UAACCCCUAAUUUGAUUGUUUAUUUUAAUUAUGUCUAUCAGCUAUAUAUGUGUACUAAAUGCUUUUACUAUCAAGCGUUAAGAUAGGUUGUUUCUUAUUUCUAAUUAGACAAGAUGCUCGAACCUUUUCCUUUCAUUUUAGGGUUCCGUUGCUUUUUUUCUUGUCAAAUUAUAGGUAAAACAUGUUAUAUGUUUAUAAAUCAUUUACUUAUUUGAUAUUUUUUAAGUUAUACAAAAAUGUAUAUGAAUUUCGAAUUAAUUAAUUUAGUUAAUUUAAAAAUUUUUUAUGGGAUCUUACGAUCUUACGAUCCGAUCCUGUGAAACUAAAAUCGAUCCUACAUAAGAUCCCCCUCUUGCAAACCUUGAUUGUAACUAGUGAAGUAAAGGUUAAAGGCAAAUGUUUGCUAUAAAGGAACGAGGAAAAGAAGAGGUUACCGUUGCCCAUUAACCGGGAAUCUAGGACAAUGUCAUACGUUGGUGGGCAUUUUGGAACAUUCAGCUUGUCUUUUUGUUGACCAGUCAAAGUAUAAGGUAUCAGUCGAGACUCGAGGUUAACUAAUGCAAAGGAGCUCAUAUCCCUUUCGGUCAUAGCAUUAUCAGGGACCCGGACCUCCAAGUUUUUUUUUUUUUUUUUUUUUUUAUUGGAGACAGACAACUGUAGUAUAUUCUAAUCUAUUCUAUAGUAAGGGGAGGGGUGAAUCUAAGGAGGUUCAGGAAUAAUUCGAAAAGGAUUGAACUAUCACCGGACCAAACAGAUACAUGCUCGAAUUUUUUGAAGUAAGUUCACAUUUUAAUAUGAUGAUUGGUGGAAGGCAAACCCCACCAAAUUUUAAAGGCUUGAUGAUGGCCAACAGAGCAAAGGUUGGUAGUUGGACCUCUAUGGUAACAAGCACUGUUUUUAAAAUUCGGAUUGGACUGGUGGACUCCAUCAGUCAAAACGAAAGCGGUUACUUAUUCGAUUUGUUUCAUCUUUAAAAAUCGCAUGUUAGAAAUUCGUUCAAAUUCGAUCAAAAAUUGAAUUUGAGAAAAACCAAUAAAACCUGGUUUUAUACUUUUUUUUUGCUGUAUUUUUUCCCGUUGCUGAUUUCUUUUUCUUUUUCCCAAAAUUUUCUUCUUCUUUAGAGCCUUAAUUUGAUCCCUCCAACAAUUUGGUAAUAUGUAUUGGAAAUCACAAGCACAAAGUUCUAAGAGAAAAUAACAAAAAAGGAAGAGAGAAGAUAGAUCUAUGAAUAUAUCUUCAUUAUCAACUUCUAAAGAUCUAGAUCUAAAUGAAAAAAAAAAAGAAUGAAUGAAAAUAGAGGAAGAGAGAAGGAAUCCUGCCUAUUUGAAGAAAAGAAACAAAAAUGAAAAUCACAAAAUGAUAGGAAAAAAAAAAAGAAUGCAGAGAUUGAACCCCCUGGUAAUUUGGUGAUGAUGCAUGCUGCUGAUUUGAUGAUGUCGUGUUUUUUGUUUUUCCUUUUUAAUUUGGUGAAUUUCUAUUUUCGAAUAACAUUGAUUGAAGUUGACUGGAAAGAGCCAAAAAAAAAAAAAAAAAAAAAAAAGGGAAAAAGCAGGUUGAAACUUGAAAGUUGAAGAGAAGAAGGAGAAGAAAGAGGCCGAAAUGUUUCCACCUGGUGCAUGAGGAGUGGGGUAGGUGUUUGGACCGAAUGAAGAGUAGGAAGGCAAAAGAUAAGGCCAGGUGGCAACUGCCUUCCAAGUCUAAAAUUUUUCUAAUUUUGUGUUUUGACCCUUUAUGUUUUGAACAAUUACAAUUAUGCUUGCAAAUUUCUUUUAUAAUUCUCGUGUGCAACUUUAGCUUUUGUACUUUGUACAAAUAAUUGUCAAUUUUGUUUACGACUUAUCAUGCAUGUGCAUUUGAACUUUAUAAAAGUUAACAAAUUAAUUUGAAAUAUGAUUGUUGAAUUUUUAUUUAAAAUUCGUAUUAAGUAUUGGAUAUUGAUUUGUCAUUUUGUUCAAUUUGUAACUCAAUUGUGUUUUAAGAAUUUGAUGUGAUGCAAGGACUAUGAGGUAAAAAUGAACCUAAUUAAUGUAUUAAUAGUAUUUUUCUAUAUUUUUAUUUUUAAAAAUUAAUAUAUAUUAUGACAUCGUAAUGACAUCAUCCGAUUUUUAAUACCGGUCUAAUUCGAUCGAAUCCAUUGAUCAUGAAUUCUGUUGAACCAAUUGCCAGUCUGAGUUUUAAAAUAGGUUACAAGUGCCACCAUAGAGGGCUUUUUGUAGCCCAGAUGAGGCCAAGCUUGUCGUGAUCUAGGCAAUGAGAAGCUUGGCAUGAUUAACCUGCAAUCCUACCAGUCUCUCGCCCCAUUAUCAAUACUUAGCAUUACUUAGUACUAUGGUCAAACUUUAAAAUAUGAUUGGUAAUUUGGUCAAAUUUCAUGGAAAUACAUGCACAAUAGGUGUGACUUAUAAUUUGGCUAAAUCUCAAGGGAGAUGAAUAUACAAUACAUUUUACAUAUCACUUCCUAACUCACUCUCGGUCCAUCUUGUAUUAUAUUGUCAUAUAUUGUACAUGAACAACCUAUUUUAACUCUUUUUUUUUUCUUCUUCAGAAUUCCAAGAACCACUAACUAUGUAAAAAAAUGAUAAUAGACUAAAAUGCUAAAUUUUAAUUAAAAAAUCAAACUUUUACGAGUUUUUAGUAUAUAUAUAUAUAUAUCUCCUAUACUCAUUAAACAAACUAUAUACUUGCAGAAUUUGAGGUAAUUAGAUUAUUAAGUUUGGUUUAAGGCAAGACCUCGUCAAUUGGAUAAAUAAAAGGAAAACUAAAAGAAACGUAAUAGAGAGAAGCCCCACCCAGUUUCGCAAAUCAAGCUAUCAUACCUAAGGGAUUCUACGAUGGUGACCACGCUAUUAUUUCAAUAUAUAUUCUAUAGUUAAUUACCAUUCUAAUGCUUGCAAAAAGGCUAAAUAUGUAGAUAAUCACUGUCUUCGGAAGUAUAAGUCCACUUAAAAUUCUACCAUCUAUGACAAAUCAUGAGUGCUAUGAUCAGUAUGAUGCGCUUAUGCUGAAAUCUAUUUUGUACUAUAUGCCAAUGGUGAAAUUUACUCGUUGUACAAAUUCUACUAUCAUUCAUACCAAUUAUAAAUGCAUUAAAGGUGUGGAUUUAAAAUAAAGUUAUGCGAAUAUAGCCCUUUCAUUUUCAUUUUUGAUCCAGAAUUCAAUAAAAACAAAAAAAAAAUUGUAAGAUUUAAUUCUGUUUUUAACACUAGGAAAAAAAAUCUGGUCAGAGCAAGACUCCAGGACAUACCUUUAGUGGAACUAGGAGGAGGAACACCAGUGAAGGAAUGUAAGUUUGUCAUAGGCGGUGGUGCAGGGAAUGCACUAUUGUAGAAGCGUUGGAGCUCAUACCUAAUAUUACAGCUUGGAAAGAUUACUCUACCUCCCACUCUGAUAGCACAACACCAGGGCAGCAAUGCUAUAGCAUUUUUAAGGCACCAUUUGCAGUCAUCACCAGAUAUAUCUGGUGUGCACUGUGUAAGGGUAUACAACGUCUGAGAAGCGGAAAAGUUGGCUUGUUGAACAGCAAACUUUUUGCCCCGCGUAUCAUUUGCAGCCUGAUCCGCAGCGUUAUACAACAAAUUUCCCAAUAACAUUACGAAGCUGUACCAGUCCGGUCCAGUGACAUUCAUUACAUUGUAAAUAGCCAAUCUCACUCCGAAAUCAACCUUGGAGAAGAUUGUCUGGUCAGAAAAACGCAACAAGCACAUGUCAUACCAAACAAUAGCAGCCGUCUGAUUCGGGCACUCUUGAAAUACUCUUGUGCUGGCAUUUGCUACACAUUCUUUGCAAACAUCAGCGCUGAGAUCGCCUCGACAGAGAAAGAGGCCAUAGACCUUGUUUGAAGGGUCAUUGCCAGUACUGAAAUUAUAGAAGCCAUUGGUGUCUGUCCGAGAUGCAUUUGAAGAUAGGGUGUCAAGCACGAAAUUCAGGUUGGUUCUGUAAAUGCUGCCGGUAGGACUGUUAGGAUUGUAUGUAGUAUUUCCACAGUGAGACUCAAGAAAACUAGCGGGGCUAGUGAGUGUGGUAUGGAAGCUAAUAAGCAAACAAAGCAUGUAAUAAUGGAAGUGGAACAACAAAUUUCUGGAGAUCAUUUCAAAGGCAGGCAACAAAAGAAUAAAAGGCUAAAUAUCCACAAAUUACAGUCGUAAAAUAGGAGCCAAAAUUUUGGUUGAGGGAUCAUGAAAGUUGUACACGCCCCGAAAAUGAUUAGCCUAUAGGAUGACUUUACUUUAGCAAGUCGGAAUACGUCGUUUAUGGAUUUUGACGGGAGUGGAAAAUUCGAGGAUGCUGAGUAUAUUGAACAAUGUUAUUGUGACAGAUUAAUGGGGACCAAGCUAAAAGCUAGUGCUCUAAUCGUCCCAAAUUCAAUCUCUAUUUGGUAGUAGAAUCGUUCAACAUUACUGGGUUUUAACUUUGGAUUAUUCUUUCUAAACAUUGUCAGUGCAAAUCCAUUUCACACUAAUAAGAUGCAUGACACGUAAAUUUUCUUCAAAUUUUAAAUUCAUUUUUAACAUAUAUAGCAUGCACCUAAAUAAAAAAAAAAAUCUUUAUACUGAUGGUGUAUAUUAGAUUAAUCCUAUUUUUAAGAAAGAGUUCUUUAGAUACACUUGAAAAAUCAUGUAAAGUCUAUCAAAUUGUUUCUUUUGUUGCCUUUAUACAAAUAUCCAGCCAUUUCGCCACAAUUGACAGCCAAUUUUAUGUCUGCGACUGCUUUUCAAAUCAAGUUUGAUGGCCAGUUAAUUUUCUAACUUAUUUAUUUACAAUGGUGCCUGCUGCAUUAGUAAGAUAUAUCUUGGGCUGUAAAAGAUCCAGGGUUCAUGCCUUAGUUGAUACAGGAGUAACCACUUUGCUAGUUUCCUGGACAUGAGCCAUCGGAUGGCUAGUCUGUAACUAAAACUUCUAUACGCCAGUAAAGGAUUUUGAUGGAACUGGAAAUUUGAGGAUGCUAAAAACAUCAAAACAACGUUAUUGUGGAGGAUAAUUGUACUUCUACUAAUGCUCUAAAGAAUAAAUUCGACCUAAAUUUAAAAAAAAGUUGACCCAAAUUGAAUCUCUAUAUAGUAGUUCAACAGUGGUUUUAAGAAAGAGUUCUCUAAAUAUAGUUCAAAGGGGAAAUGAUGCACAGCCCCGUGGAUUCAUUCAUUGUCACAUGACUCUAUUAAUAUGUAAGAAUAUCCAUAUAAACUUUCUAUGGUUUCAUAUAAAGUGAAAAUUUGAUGGAAAAAUAACCUCUAAAAUAUAGUUAUUUGAAAUACCAGUAUUGCCUUUAUUUAAACAUUAAUUCAAACAAUGACCAGAUCAUCUUACAUAAACUAUAGGAGAAUUAUGUGAAUAAAUGCAAAAUCUACAAAGGAUUAAAAUGGAUAUUCAUACAAAUCAUACGGGAUACUAAGUAUAUAUCAUUAUUUCAUCACAUGCAUUUUUGGAGCACUUCUGUUCAAUCACUAUAGCCAUUGGUGUUUUCUAUCUAUUUAUUGUAUCCCAUUGACAGGUGCCGAACCUGUGCAAUAAUAAAUACCUACUUAAAUAAAAUACAAAUUCUGUAUAUAGCGGUAAGUAGGGUCGAAUCCACAGGGAUUGGGGAUAAUUUAAUUUCUUCUCAAGUUCCAGAUAUGAGGGGUUUUGAAAAUGAGAGUAACUAAAUUACUUGGAAUAAAGUAAAAUAAAAUAAAAUAACUACAACUCAAAUAACUAAUUAUCACAAUAAAAAUAAUAAUGGACGAACUCUAACCAAGAGACAACUUCGGAGAUGGUUCACUUAAUUCGAUCACAGAUGCAAGGAUUAUUCCAGUUACUAUCUGAUAAAUUAGUUAUAGUUGUCAUACACGCGAUAAACAACCAACUCUUCCUCAAUUUGUCGAUAGCCAAGGUACGACCGUUGACUAUUUCUCUAAUCAGGAAAUAACCCUAAGUACGACCAUAGAAGUUCAAUUCCCUAAUUGCAUGAAUAAUUAGAAGAGCCUAAUUCUAACCAAUCAACACGCUACGAGGGUCUCUUUAAGUUAGCAUGUCUAUCUCCCUGACACAAACCCAAUCAUGCCAGUUGCCACCAGUUUAGAAUAAUUAAACAAUUACGGAUUUAACUACCCUAAUUGGCUUCAGGUUAUUGAAUUAAUCUAGAAUCCGGGCCCUGGAUAAUCGAAUAAUAAAACAACCAUAUGAACAUAAAGCAGAAGAUAGACGAAUACCAGAAAAUAAUAGGAAAUAAAUAAAAACUAAUUCGAUCUCACAAAUUUAGUAGAACCACGUCCUCCGUUGUUCCUCGACUAGAUCAAAAACUUAGCCACGCCUCAUGAGAAAAUCUCCCCGUAAUUUAAUUGAGGUCCAGGCCAUCAAAGGAAAGAAUAAAACUAAACUAUGCUAAAAGCUAAGCUAAAACUCUUGACCAGGAAACCUCCUGUACGUUUCUCCCUUUUUAAAGCCAAAAGAAAGUCUAAUGCUAUCUCUAGUGGUCCCCACUGAAUUGAGAGUCCAAGGGCCAAAAGAAUUGGAGUUUUGCCAAAGUCCUUGUUUUUAGUUUCUCGUAAGACUCCUAGUACAAGUCCACCAUUUUCAGCAUAAAGAUAGGAAAUCCCCUUUUUGUAGCAUCCUGUGGAGCCCGGCUUGUAUUUCUUUUUAGAACUUCCCAUGUGUGGAGUGUUUUUCUCAAUAAAGUCUCCUUUUUAGCACUUGUUUGCUCCACUUCCUGUAAUUAGGGCCAAAUACCAAAUAUAAGUACAUUUCGACAAUUAAAACAAUAUUUGGCAAGGACAAAGAGGAAAAUUAAUCAUAAAAUUAACAACAAAUUAUGCCUUAUCAAUUUCCCCCACACCUAAAUCAUGCUUGCCCUCAAGUAUAAUAAUAGCAAUUGAACACCAAAAUUUGACAAUGGCUAUUGCUCUAACUAUCAUAUUGCCAAGAUACCCAGAAAAACAUAUAUCAAGCAUCACAGUUAAGAUCCAAGAAAAACCAGUCCGGUUAGCUUCCCAACUACCAACUCCUCCAAUUUAAAGCAAACUAAUCUAAGAAAAAGGAAUGGUUGCUCACAUUUAUUAGUAAAUGGUCCAACUAUUAACCAAAAUCUCAACAUUAAUUCCACAAAUCGGCAAGCUGACUUUUACCACUUAUUAACACAAUCUUCACUUUUCUUUCUUUCUUUUUUUUUCACACUUUUCUAUUUUCUCUUUUUCCCUUUUUUUUUUCAGAAUAGCAAAAGACUUAAUUUCUAGCCAUUAGAGCCUUUUGACGCGAACUCCAACAUUUGAUAGAUGGAGGAGCCCGGUUACUCAGCUCCAAUCGCUACGGGAUCACGCACUCAUAGCAAUUACUACCUUUUGACGCGAGAAUCGACAUUUUAGGUGAAGAUCCCCGGUUACUCAGUAGUAAUAACUAGCGGAGUACAGUCAUCUCUUAUUUACAAUCAUAUAGCACAAUAACUAAAAGUGACACAAAAGAACAGCAGCCAGCCUCAAAUUUCCAAAUAUGGAGAACUAAAAUUAAUAACUGGACCAAUUCACAUGAAAAUGCCAACAAUCAUUCCCUAUGCCUAGAAAAGUUAACCAAAAAUUGGAAAAGUCAAGCAAUUACCGAUAUUCACCAAAGAGAUAUUCCUGAAUUCAACCACAUUAACUUAAUACCCUUUUAUUAAUAAAACUUGGCAAUAACAUAAUUAGAGGCAACAAUCCAGCGUCAAAACUUGGUAGUCAUAGAAGAGCUGACCACUAAAAAAAAAAAAAAAGAAAAGGAAAUAAAUGAAAAAGGAGAUAAAUAUCAAACUAAAAACAAAGGAAAAACCUCCGGAACCUAAAAACUGAGAAUACUAGCACCACUAUGAUCCCCCCCCAACCUAAUUCACACAUUGCCCUCAAUGUGAUAAUGUAAGAGCAGAAGGAAGGAGAGGGGCAACGGUACUUCCCUGAAGUCAUCAAAAUAGGGGCGGUUCAGGUGGAAAUUGCGGAGCAACUCACAUCUGGAGCUGGUGCCAUUCGUGGCUUCACCAUGGACUCUAAAUUUCACUCUAAGCAACAAGAGACUACAAUUGCCAACAAAUAAUGGAAGCCGAAAAUUCAAAGCAAUAACAAUUUUUAAAGCCAUCUCAAUGAGCAAAAUGCACAAUUCAAUCUCCCACAGAUUAAACCAGACCCCAACACUUAUAGCAAAUGCAAUCAAUAAGUACUUAUGGACCCCAUGUAGUCAAAUUCAGAAUUAAGGCCGUCCAAAGUGCAACAACUGCUCCAAAUACCCCAAGCAAGUCAAUUAAAGGCAACCGACUUCAACAAGCAAAUGCAAACGGCGCAUUCAUAUCCCAAUUCAACAAAUAAACACAGGAAAGUAGCCACAAUACUAGAGCACAGCUCCCAAUAAUGCAACAGAACAGCAACUCAAACAAACUAGGAACUGUGCUAGUGUCUUAAUAAAUCAACAACUUUCAGCAAUUAGACACAAUCGGACCCAAUAUCGAAACAACUGUCUCCAAUUGGACAGUCAAUUACCCACUUCAGCCUGCUAAAAUCAGCAAGUGACCCAAGAAAAUGGCAACUCCAGCAACAACAGUUCAGAAGUUGGACAGAAACAACUCAACCACAAAUGCCCAGUAGUCGAUUAGGCAACCAAUAACACAGGAGUAACAAAUAUUAUGUAAACUACCCUCACCAGUACCACUGGUGCAUGCAAAAGGAAAAUUGAAAUCAAAUGGCCAACCCAAGACAUGUGAUAAAGCCAAACACACCAAUCAGUACCACUGAAUGGCAGAGAGUACCACGGGACCCAAUUGACAAGUAACUCCCAAAUUACCCCCAACAAUUUCCAAACAAAUAAACUGGCACAAAAGUCAUCAAAUUUUAUCCCCCAGAUGCAAUAGAAAUCUCAAGUAGUCAAAACCCAAAUAAUAUUCAACAAUAUAAUCAAUGCCAGAGAGCACCCCCAAAUGGGGUAGCAAAUAAAUUGAAUUCCACCCAAAAUUAACCCCAGAAAAUAAUUAAGCAAAUAAACAGAGCAAAAACCCCCUCAAAAACUAAAUAAACAGGCAACUAGAGUAAAGAUUCUCCCCAAAUACCACCGGUUGAGCACAAAAUUUACCAAAUAAUCAACAACCAACCACAGAUAUACCACAGCACCCAAACAAGCACAAAAUUUCUGUCCUCAGCUAGCAAAUCAAAAAUCUGGCAUCAGCUAAUGAAAAACUAGUACUCUGGCCUCAGCUACUUAGCGACUGAAAAAAAUAAAGAAAGAAUUCACCAGAUGUUUGGAGUAGGCAGUGGGUGCUAGUGAAGAGAGCAGGGGCAGCAAAGAGGUGGAGGAAUUCACCGCGCGGGCGUCGCACGCGCGCCUGGUCUACUCGCGCGAGGAGGAAACGCGGCUGUGAAGUCGCGCCUGGGCUCGCCUGUGUGCGACCUGCUGCCCUGGUGACCGCGCGCUGUGCUGCUGGAGGCGCUGUUCUGGUCGCGCGCGGAGGAAGCUGCUGGUGGACUGGCGGUGGAGCUCGGAGCUUGGCGGCGGGCUGGAGAGUGGCUGGGUUGAGUUGAGGGUAGAGUGGUGCGAGCUGGUGGUGGACCGUGAGGUAGAGAGAGAGGGAAGAGCUGACGGUGGCCGCGAGGUGGAGAGAGGCGCGGCUGAGGCCGCGCGACUGCAGAGGUGAGGCGGGCGCUGGGGUCGCUGGCCGCGAGCUGCGCGCAAGGCAGAGGAGAAAAGGGAGCUGGGUUGGCGGUCUGGAUAGCGGCGAACGAAGCUGGAGGAGGCGCACGGUGAUGGAGCAGGUCGUGGGUGGGGUGCGGCGAGCUAAGCUGAGGGGGCGGCGCUCCUGGAAGGUGAGAGUGGAGGAGAGGCGCGGCUUGGCCGCGAGUUGCGUGGGCUGUGCUCAAUGGAGCCGCGAGGUGAGCUGGACGAAUGAAGGACAAGAAGAAAAAGGGGAAAACAGAGGCAGCGGGGAAGAAGGAAGAAAGAAAAAGAAAGAAAGAAAAAAAAAAGAAGAAAAGAAAGAAAGAAAAAGAAUUUUUUUUUUUUUUGGAUUUUUUUUUUAUUGCACACUCAAAUUUCAAAACUCGAAUUGUGAGAACCAACACUGAAGGUGUAAAACGGAAAAUGUUUUUAUUUUGAAUUUUUGAUUUUUUUUUCAAGGAACCUCUGGCUUAGGCGUUGGCACGUCUAACUGCUAUAGAGUCCGCAGAUCCUGAACGAAAAUUUCUUUCCCUCAGGCGUGACCACCUGGCGUGGGCACGUCUAACUGCUAUAGAGUCCGCAGAUUUUGAACGAAAAUUUCUUUCCCUCAGGCGUGACCGCCUGGCGUGGGCACGUCUAACUACUAAUUUCCUGCCACCAAACAUCAAACUAUUAAUUGACACUAACACUUAACUAGAACUUCAAAAAUGCAUGAAAACUGAAACAAAUAGUCUUGGGUUGCCUCCCAAGUAGCGCCUUUUUUUAAUGUCUUUGGCUAGACAUGCUAUGCUUUGCUCAUGGAGGAUAAAAUCUUGUGGCUCGUUUCAAUGCUUCAUCUUCAAUGUGAUCCUGGUAACCCUCAUAGAUGGAGUAAUCCUUGAGCACACGAGUUACGGGCUUCCAUGGACUAGUGAAUGGCGCCAAACGAGUCGAUGAUAAUUUGCAUUCUCCAUUCACUCCUCCCUCACUUGCAUUUAUUGGUUCAAGAUAUCUCGCCAUCGCCACUCUUAAUUUAUUCCUGUCAUGAAAUUCAAAAUUGUCUAGUAUAAUAAAGUCAAUUUCGUUAACAGGAAUUGAAGAGUAAGAGUCAGGAGAAUAUUGAUGAAGGAGUGGAGGAGAUGUCACCGCAUUUGGAGAUUGUUCACUGGAUUCAUUCACUUGAACGAGUUGAUCUUGGAGUUUCAUUUCUUGCACUUUAGCUUCCUUUUCAACUGCAUCUUUAAAUCCGUUUUCUUGAAACUCUUGCAGUUCCAUGUCAUUUGGCCGGACAAUUGCACUCUCAUCUUCCUCAAGAUUGAUAUUGGUUUGUGCGGGCAAUUCUUCCAUUUGAGGAGCCAAUCGAUUUAUUCUGGAUGUCAAUAGACAUAGUUGAUCUGCCAGAUAACUCAUUGCAUCCUUCAUCAUCUCAUUUCUCAUUUGUGUCUCCUGUUGGAAUUGGUAUGUAUUAAUAAAUAAUUCACCCAAUUCCUGAAAAGACAUACCUGACAUGGACGAUGGUUGUUGAGACUCUUGCUGUUGAAAAUCCAUUGGCCCGGUCGCAUAAUCAAAAUUGGAAUUAUCCCACUAUCCUUGAUCAUACCCGUUUGAAUAAGGGUCAUACUGCGUUUGAUAUUGGGGUGGAAAAUCUCCAAAAGUAUCAAUUGGAGCACUUAGAUUAUCUUGAAAUGCGGGGCAUGUGUCAGUUGAAUAACCUGAGUCAAAAUAAGUUUCACAAUUUGCAACAGCCCAUUGAUCAUUAGGAAAAUCAUGAGUCUCAUAACCCCAUUCAGGAACAAAGUCCAGUCUAUCAUCAAAAUAUGGAAUGUUAGCAGCCAUAAAAAAAUAAAAAAAAAUAAAAAAGAGAAAACUAAAUUAAAAAUGAAAAUAAGGUGAACUCAAAAAGAAACAAAUUAAUCUGACACCAGUCCCCGGCAACGGCGCCAAAAAUUGACAGGUGCCGAACCUGUGCAAUAAUAAAUACCUGCUUAAAUAAAAUACAAAUUCUGUAUAUAGCGGUAAGUAGGGUCGAAUCCACAGGGAUUGGGGAUAAUUUAAUUUCUUCUCAAGUUCCAGAUAUGAGGGGUUUUGAAAAUGAGAGUAACUAAAUUACUUGGAAUAAAGUAAAAUAAAAUAAAAUAACUACAACUCAAAUAACUAAUUAUCACAAUAAAAAUAAUAAUGGACGAACUCUAGCCAAGAGACAACUUCGGAGAUGGUUCACUUAAUUCGAUCACAGAUGCAAGGAUUAUUCCAGUUACUAUCUGAUAAAUUAGUUAUAGUUGUCAUACACGCGAUAAACAACCAACUCUUCCUCAAUUUGUCGAUAGCCAAGGUACGACCGUUGACUAUUUCUCUAAUCAGGAAAUAACCCUAGGUACGACCAUAGAAGUUCAAUUCCCUAAUUGCAUGAAUAAUUAGAAGAGCCUAAUUCUAACCAAUCAACACGCUACGAGGGUCUCUUUAAGUUAGCAUGUCUAUCUCCCUGACACAAACCCAAUCAUGCCAGUUGCCACCAGUUUAGAAUAAUUAAACAAUUACGGAUUUAACUACCCUAAUUGGCUUCAGGUUAUUGAAUUAAUCUAGAAUCCGGGCCCUGGAUAAUCGAAUAAUAAAACAACCAUAUGAACAUAAAGCAGAAGAUAGACGAAUACCAGAAAAUAAUAGGAAAUAAAUAAAAACUAAUUCGAUCUCACAAAUUUAGUAGAACCACGUCCUCCGUUGUUCCUCGACUAGAUAAAAAACUUAGCCACGCCUCAUGAGAAAAUCUCCCCGUAAUUUAAUUGAGGUCCAGGCCAUCAAAGGAAAGAAUAAAACUAAACUAUGCUAAAAGCUAAGCUAAAACUCUUGACCAGGAAACCUCCUGUACGUUUCUCCCUUUUUAAAGCCAAAAGAAAGUCUAAUGCUAUCUCUAGUGGUCCCCACUGAAUUGAGAGUCCAAGGGCCAAAAGAAUUGGAGUUUUGCCAAAGUCCUUGUUUUUAGUUUCUCGUAAGACUCCUAGUACAAGUCCACCCUUUUCAGCAUAAAGAUAGGAAAUCCCCUUUUUGUAGCAUCCUGUGGAGCCCGGCUUGUAUUUCUUUUUAGAACUUCCCAUGUGUGGAGUGUUUUUCUCAAUAAAGUCUCCUUUUUAGCACUUGUUUGCUUCACUUCCUGUAAUUAGGGCCAAAUACCAAAUAUAAGUACAUUUCGACAAUUAAAACAAUAUUUGGCAAGGACAAAGAGGAAAAUUAAUCAUAAAAUUAACAACAAAUUAUGCCCUAUCACCCAUUAAAUCAUAGGGCGUUAUGUGGACAUUUUGAAAUGCAAAGGGAAUCAUGUGUCAAUGAAAAACCAACGGAGGUUAUGUGUAAUUUACAACAAGAUCAUGUAAAGUCUGUCACAUUUUAAUUGGAUUGAAACUUUAUAAUAAUUUUCAUUGUCAAAAAUGCCAAUAAACUGUCACACUACUUUUAAUUCUCUACGGUUCCUUGUGUUUGGUGAAGUGGACAAAUCAUAAGACAAGCAUUAAUUUAGAGGAAAGAAACGUCUGUGCAUUUUUUAAUGGCCAAUUCCAUGUCUGCGCUGGAUUUUCGAACAUAUUUACAAGGGUGCCUGCAGCAUUAGACCGUGUUAGAAGCCAUUGGUGUCUGUUCGAGAUGCAUUUGAAGAUAGGGUGUCAAGCGCGAAAUUUAGAUUGGUUCUGUAAAUGCUGCCGGUCGCACUGUUAGGGUUGUAUGUAGCGUUUCCACAGUAAGGCGCAAGAAAAUUAACGGGGCUAGUGAGUGUGGUAUGGAAGCUAAGGAAACAAAGCAUGUAAUAAUGGAAGUGGAACAACAAUUUUCUGGAGAUAAUUUCAAAGGCAGGCAUCAAAAGAAAAAAAGGCUAAAAAUCCAUAAAUUACAGUUGUAAAAUAGAGCCAAUGUUUUGGUUUUUUUUUUUUUUUUUUUUUUGCUGACACAAUGGAUAUCCGGAAUUCAACGAAUUAUAUUUUCGGGCAGGACUAAUCCAAUGUUUUGGUUGAGGGAUCAUGAAAGUUAUACACGCCACGAAAACGAGUAGUCUAUAGGAUGACUUUACUUUAGCAAUUCAGUCAACCAAGUCGCCUGCAUGUAACCACUGGGCCAUUGGCUCAGUGGCCACCACCUAGUUGGUGGGGUGGGAGGCAAGGUUUGAACCCUUGCCUCCCACUAAAAAUACUACAUUUAAGUGGCUUGUUUCCAAAAAAAUUCAGGCGGGUGUACUGUGCACCCGUUUGAUCCGAUGGUGGUUCAGUUCCCUCCGGGUUAUUCCCAAUACGUCAGUAAUGGAAAAAAAAUACAACAUUUGACCCUAAAUUGCAUCUAUUUAAUUUGUAUAUAUUUUAUCCAAUUUGAUACUUAAUCAUUAGUUUAUGUAUUCUUUUUGUUUUCUUCAUAUAUAAAUAUGUAACUGCUAUAUAUGUGUGUGUAGUAGUCAAGGGUAUUGUAAGAAAUUAUCAAGUUUUCAUUUGCAUUUUCGAAUGCCAAUUCUUGCAACCAUUGUGUUCAAUUUUCAAUUUUAUAUGAUUUUCAUAUUAUACGAGGUAAAAUUAAACAUAUUGCAAAAAUGUUAAACCAAAUUGCAACUCAUGAUUUUCUUUUGUUUCAAAUUUUAUCUUUUCAAUUUUAUUUUGAAAGUAAAAAUAUAAGUACAUUUUAAAAGGUAAAAUCAAAUUACAAGUUAUGGAAAUUUUUUCUUUUACUUCAAAGGUUAACCCCUCAAUUUGGAGGUUGAAUAUGGAUUCAACCACAAAAUUUCUCCUUUGAAAAUUUGAAAUCAUUUAAUUCAAUAUUUUUGUGUGUGGCCAAUUCAAAAUUAAUAUGAAAAAUAACUAAAUCUGAUUUUUUUAUACUUUUUGUUUUGAAUUUUCAUUUUAUAUUUUACUCGCCAAAUUUACUUUAUAGUAGUGUAACAUUGGCAAUAUGUUAAAUUAUGUUUUCAAUAAAAAAAAUAGAGAAAUUAAGACUCUUGGGCCAAUAGAGAUGGGAAAUGCCAAUCAUAAUUACUAUUAUUUAAAAAAGAAAAUUCCAACACAAACACAACAUAGUAUAUACAUAUGUGUACAUAUAAUUCUCAUAAGCAUAUAAGAGAAAAUUGUAGAUUUGCAUAGCAUAAUUUAUCUUAAAUGAAAAAUUUGUAGUAUUACUUUAUUCUGGUUUUGGCCAAGUGGAAGAAGAAGAAAGGAAUAAGGGAAGAGGAAUUGUAGGAGGUUGGGCGUGAGAGAUGGAGGUUGGAGGGGCUAUCCAAGGGUUUGGGAGAAUGAUGAAGAAAAAGGGGUGACAAAUUAGGGGGUGGGGAUAAGAAGUUAGAAGAGAGAGGAAUGGAAUACUAAGGAGUUAAAGAGUAACGGAAAAAGUUGAAAAAUGAAGAUGAACUACAAAGUUAGACGGAGAAAAAGGGAAAGAAAGAAAGGAAUUGUGGAGUAUGAUAGAGGUCGUAAAAAAUGAUAGGAAGAAUUGCUCUGUGAUUGAAGGUGCAAAGGUCAUAUGAGACAAUGGAUAGUCAGCUGACAAGUAAGAGAGAAUGAAAAUAAUGAUAGUUUCUAAUAAUUCUAAAAACGCAGCUUACAAAAAUAUUUUUAAUCUAUAUUAAAAUCUAUGAAAAACAUUAUUUUAAAAGCCCUCAACAAUUUUAGGGCUACAAGAUAGGAGAAAAUUUUUUUCUAAAAUUGUGGAAAAUAAAUUAGUCAUAAUUUAUGUUUUUAUAUUAUAAAUUUUGAUGUAUGGAUAUAUAUAUAUAUAUAUAUAUGGCUAUAAAUUUUAAUCGAUAUUAUAAAUUUAGUAUAACUUUUUAGCCUUUGUCAUAUAUUUUAUCCUAUAUUAAAAUAUAUAAAUAUGUAUUAUUAUUUUGAAUUGAAAUAUAAGCUCAUGCAUAGCACGGGCCAAAAUGCUAGUCCAUGUAAAUUGUAGAAGCUGUGGAUAAAUACAAAAUCUAUAGAGGGUUAAAGUGGAUAUUUAUAAAUUGUAGGAGCAUUAAAUGGAUAUUAUUAAUUCACCACAUGCAUUUUUGGAGCACUUGUGGUUCAAUCACUAUAACCAUUGGUGUUUUCCGUCUAUUUUUCAUAUUACAUGAAACAAUAGGAGUUUAUGUGGAUAUUUUAAGAUCUAAAGGAGAUCAUAUAGUAAUAUAAAAAUCCAGGGGGAUUAUAUGUAAUUUACCGUAAAAUCCGGCAAAGUCUGUCGCAUUUUAAUUGGAUUGAAAUUUCCAAUAAUUUUCGUUGUCAAAAAUGUCAAUAAACUGUCCCACUACUUGUGUUUGCAAUACAUACAAGUAUCUUCACAAUUUUGUUGAACCGAUUUGCAUUUCUUAAAUUCUUCUUCUUUUGGUAAAGUGGACACAUCAUAGGACAAGCAUUAAUUUAGAGAGACCUCAAGGAAAGAAACGUCUACCCAUUUAUUAAUGACCAAUUCCACAUUCGUGGUUGGUUUCAAAAAUAUAUCAAGUUUUUGAACAUAUUUACAAGGGUGCCUGCAGCAUCAGUAAGAAGCGACCAUUAUGAUGGUUGUUGAUCUUUGUUUUUUCAAGAAACCGGUCACAAUAGACCUACUCGCGAAAAUCCUCGUUUAUGUUAUCAGUUUUAGUGAACCACGUGCUUGUUAGCAUUUCAUUGCAACUUUAAUGUUACAAUUAAUUUUUUAGCAUUGCUUGUUUAUUUAUAUUAUUUUUCAUUCGUGUUAAGAAAUUUUGGUAUAGGAUUCAUAUCUCAUUCAGUAUUUUCCUUAUCGAAAUCACCCAAAUUUACAACAUAUGUAUAUUUUCAGCAUACACGUUCAUGUUCUUAAAAUUCUUGUAUCUAGUUGAGCUAUUUAUUCUGUUUAGUAAUUAUAAUAUGGUGCGUUCUUCUAGGGCCUAUUAGUGUUUUAAUUUCAUAUAUGCUCAAAUUAUCAAAUGGAAAUAAUUUUUAUUUUUAUAUAUUAAUUACAAUUAUGAGGCCCAAAAAAGGGAAAAGAAGAAUAGAUUUUUUAAAUUAAAAAAGAACUUAAAGAAAAAGGGUUUAUCGAGAAUGAAAGGGAACUAAUAUUCUCUUUCCCCAUAUUCGAACUUAAGCGAUGACCAACCUAAAAAUCCCCACUACACUACUAAGUAGUAGGCCAUAACAUAUGCUUUCUUGCUGUGGAUGAGAGAGAGAGAAUUGGAGGAGGAAAAGAAAGAGAAGGAAAUCUUUGUUAUUGUUUUACAUUAGAAUCUUUAAGAAUACCCUAUGGUACCUUAUGAUGAUGUUCUAAAGCAUAUAAUCCUGAAAAUCUAAUGAUGAAAACAAGAAGAAUUCAUGGCUGAAGAUUCGGUUUAAAUGAUGAAGGUUUGACAUUUUCAUGAUUUUGCACUUUCAAGAUCGUCAUCAUACUAGAAAAUUGGAGAACCUAUUAAACAUAUAAGAUCUAGUACCUUUUAUUCAAUCCCCCAAGUGCACGUAAUAGAAGCACCUGACUUUUAAGAACAAGUCAAUCAAAUUUUCGAGCAUAACGAAAGCCAAAAAAUUGUAUCAAGUUAUGGUAACGAUUGUUAUGGUAACGAAAUAAUUUUUACCUAAUAUAACAGGUUGAUGUACUUUUAGCGACUAUUUGAUUUCUUGUUGGACCUAUCCACCUAAAUAGAAUAAUAUCUAAAAAUAUGGAAGUAAGUUUUCCAUCUAAAACAGUAAGUUAAGCUUAAUAGAUUAGUAACUUUUAUACCUCAAAAAGUAAAUUGGAAAAAAUAUUAAACUUACUUUUUAAAUAAAUAAAUUACUACUUUAUAUCUCAAACUUAUUUUUUAGAGAGUAAGUUUAGUUCAAAUAACAGUAAGUUUUUAUACAUAAAUAGUAAUACUUACUAAUAACAUGGUAAAUUUGAUUAAGGAUCAAAAUUUACUGUUUUUUGGAAAACAUGUACAAUUUUACAUUAAAACCUUAUGUCAAACUAGUAUUAGGAAGUUUAUUUGAAAUAAUGAUAAGAUGUUUUAUUAAUGAUUAAAACUUAGUACCUUAGUUAGUAAGUACUCAUAAUAUACCUGUAUAAUAAAUGAUUAUAGGUAUAAUUUAAAUUUUUUUUGUAUUUAUAUAUUUUAAAAUACUAUGAAAAGUAGUUUCACUUUUCAGAUAACCUUGUAAAAUAUGUAAUAAAAUUUUGUCAUAUUAUAAGUUUUUAAUCAUUUUCAAUUUUUGAAAAGUUUGAAAGUUUGGAUAACAAUAACAACAAAUCUCCCUAGUUAUAUAUAGAAUAUCAUUUGUUUCUAUAUCACAAUUUUUAUAAUUUAACACCUAUGAAUAUAAUAAGAUAAUAAAGUUUUAAUAAAUUUACAUCUGGGACACAAGAAUUAAUAAGAGUUAAAGCCCAAACAAAAUGAGAAAUAAUAUAACAAUAAAAAUGACAAAAUUAAUAUAACGGUUAAUAUAAGAAAAUCAGUAUGAUCUGGACUUUUUUCCUUGGGAGAUUGUUCAUAAAAAUGAGAUCUAACAAUUAAAUGAAAAUCACUUGCACAUAUAAUCUAUUGUAUAAUCUAAAUUAAAUUUAGUUCACAUAUAAAACGAUCCUAAAAUAAUUAGCGCACUAUGAUACAAUGUUAUUUUAAUUGUAAUUUUUUUUACUGAAAGUCUCAAAUAUCCAUGCCAUAAAUAUGAGGGAUAUUUUACCAUAUUUGUGUCUAACUGUAAGCACAAAUUUCGUUGCCAAAAAUAAAAGACAUGAAAACUUGCACCAAUAUCAAAUUUAUUAAAUCAAAUAAUAAGAGAGUUACAAUCUCUAAAAAUUCUUUUUUCUUUUGAUAAUUACAAUCUCUAAAAAUUCUUGAAUCAAAGAAAUUAAUCCCCUAAUUCUUCUCUUCAAAAGCACUCCUAAUUAAAGCAUAAUAAAAUCAAGUUUUUUUUAACCUUUUAAUGUAGUAGUUAUGCUUACUAAAAAAAUUAGUAAACCAUUCCUACAAUGCAUUGCUUCUCCUAAAAGUACUAAUAUUUUGUAAAUAAAUUGAAAUAAUUUUGUAAAAGAUUUUAUGCAUUUUCACUAAUAUAAUCAAGAGAAUUUUACACCUUUAAAAUAUAAAUAGAAAGAAAGGAAAAUGGUAUGAGUAUAAAGGUGACCACAUGCAAUAUAUAUCACAUCAGGUGUUUAGAUAUGAUUUGUUAAGUAAUCAACAAUUUAGUCCUGGUCAAUAUAUGAGGCAUAUUGAUUUCUUAUAAAUAAAAACAUAAUUUAGCAAUUAUGCAUUAACAGAAUUCGUAGUUUGAAUGCAAUCAAUUGAGCACCUAUUUCUUUUUCUUAAGUAGCAAUUAUUUAUUUUAUUACUUAGGUUAUAUAUUUACAUUUAAAAUAACAACAAUAGCUUGCCAAUCCUCAGACCAAUAGAACGUCAAUUAUUGUUAACUAAACUAAUUUUACAUUGAUCAAAAUUAAUCUAGAAAAUGAAAUGUUAAUAGCAACAAUUGGUAAAAAAUAGCAAUCUUUUAAUUUUGGGAAAAUAAAAAAUAAGUUCCCAAAAUAUUUCACUUUUAUUUUCAAAAAAAUCUCAACUUGUUAAUUAAAUUCAAAAUGAUUUUAUUAUAAAAAAUAUUCUUCCUCAAAUUAACAUCAAUGAUUAGACAUGAGAUACAAAUAUGGGAAAAAAAAGAUAAAAAUAUGGUAAAAUAUCUCUCAUACAUAUGUCAUGGAUAUUGGAGACUUUUGGCAAAAAAAAAAUUUUGUUGUUAAAAUAAUAUGGUAUUGCAGUGUGCUAAUUAUUUUAGGAUCAUUUUGUAUAUGAACUAAAUUUAAUUUAAAUUAUACAAUAGAUUAUAUAUGCAUGUGAUUUUUGUUUAGUGGUUGGAUCUUAUAUUCGUGAACAAUAUCCAGAGAAAAAUUUUUCCAGAUUAUACUAAUUUUGUUAUUUUUAUUGUUGUAUUAAUUGUUACACUAUGUCUCUCAUUUUGUUAGGCCUAUAUUAAUACAAGUUUAAUUCUUAUUAUUUCUUGUGUCCUAGACAAUAAAUAUAUUAAAACUUUAUCAUCUUAACUAGGAAGAUAUGUUGUUAUUAUUAUCCAAACUUUUAAACUUUUCAAAAAUUAUUCAAAAUUAUAAUACGAUAAAAUUUUAUUAUUUUAUAAGGUUAUGUGAAAGGUCAAAAUAUUUUUCACAUAAUAUUUUAAAAUAUAUAAAUACAAAAAAAUUUUAAAUUAUACAUAUAAUCAUGUAUUAUACAAGUAUAUUACGAGUACUUACUAACUAAGGUACUAAGUUUUAAUCAUUAAUAAAAUAUUUUAUUGUUAUUUUAAAUGAACUUCCUAGUAUUGGUUUGGUAUAAGUUUUUUUAAGCAAAAUAGUACAUAUGUGCCAUAAAUUAGUAAGUUUUGGUCAUUAAUCAAAUUUACUAUGUUAUAAAUAAGAAUUACUAUUUAUGUAUAAAAACUUACUAUUACUUGAACUAAACUUACUCUCUCAAAAGUAUGUUUGUGAUAUAAAAUAGUAAUUUAUCUCUUUAAAAAGUAACUUUCAUAUUUAUUCAAAUUUACCUUUUGAGACACAAAAGUUACUAAUUAUUACGGUUAACUUACUAUUUUAGAUAAGAAACUUACUUCAUUAUUUUUAGGCAUUAUUCUAUUUAGGUGGAUAGGUCCAACAGGUAAUUAAAUGGUCGGUAAAAGUAUAAUAACCUGUUAUAUCAGGCAAAAACUGUUUAGUUACCAUGUCGAUAGUUACUACAGCAUUUUCCUCUUGCUGUGGAUGAAAGAGAGAGGAUUGGAGGAGGAAAAGAAAGAGAAGGAAAUCUUUUUUAUUGUUUUACAUUAGAAUCUUUAAGAAUACCCUAUGGUACCUUAUGAUGAUGUUCUAAAGCAUAUAAUCCUGAAAAUCUAAUGAUGAAAACAAGAAGAAUUCAUGGCUGAAGAUUCGGUUUAAAUGAUGAAGGUUUGACAUUUUCAUGAUUUUGCACUUUCAAGAUCGUCAUCAUACUAGAAAAUUGGAGAACCUAUUAAACAUAUAAGAUCUAGUACCUUUUAUUCAAUCCCCCAAGUGCACGUAAUAGAAGCACCUGACUUUUAAGAACAAGUCAAUCAAUUUUUCGAGCAUAACGAAAGCCAAAAAAUUGUAUCAAGUGGAAAGUCAAGCUUACAAUUGAAACUCAUAUCCAGCUCGAUGUUGAUUUCGAACCAGAGUUUGCAACAUCAUCAUUGAGCAUGUUAAAAAUAAGACUCAACCCGCUUAGAUUACACUUCGGCCCACACCAACCCAUCACUAAUCUCAAUAUUUGAAAUUCAUUGGUGCUCUAAACAGCAACCUAUCCUUUCUUGACAUGCGUCACAAUAAACUAUCAAUAGAUACUAUUAGGGAAUAACUUCAAACCCUUUGUUCUAUUUAUCCUAAGAAAUUAAUUUAAGUGGACUUUGUUUUUUAUGUACACCAUCGAUCCCUUUUAACUAAUUGUAAAUCAUUCGUUAGAAAACUCACUUAUUACAUUUGAGAGGGGGGAAACUAAGCUUGAGUAUAACUUUAUUAGAAAAAAAGGAAUAAAUCAAUAUUAAAUGAACAAAAAAUUGAAAAUGUUGAAAUAAAUUUUAGUGGUUAUAUUUUGAUUGAUUGUUAGCUCUAGGAAUUUUUCUUAGGGUACGUUUGGUUCCCCGUAGAAUUGGAGUGUAGAAUUGGAAUUGGAGCUCCAAUUCCAAUUCUUGUGUUUGGGUACUAUCUUUCCUGUAGAAUUAGAAUCGAAUUACAAUUCCAAAUUGAUCGAAUUCCAUGGUUCCAAUUCUUUGGCUGGACCAAAGAAUUCCAAUUCCAAUUCCACAACUAAACGGGUCCACACGCGGAUCUAGUAUGGGUCAAAAAUUAAAAUCGGGUCAAAGGAUAUUGGCACCCCUUUCUUCCUGUCUAACUCACCAUUUUCCUCAGCCGCUAGGGCUCUGCUCUCCACCAUCACUUCCACCUGCAAUCCUAAUAUCUUACCUUUCCCACCACCGUCUCCCCCCUGCCUUCCAUUUCUCUGGCCACUUCCUCCAUUCUUCGCCACUCUCGCCACUGUCCACCCCAAAUUUCAGACACAUUUAGGGCUUGUGAGACACCCAGGAAGGAUAAUGCGAACGCAACACAGCAGAGGAGCACCUUUUGGUCUCUGAGAUUUUGCCGCUACUAUUGUCCCGAAUCGAAAUGGCCUGUGCGGAACUUUGAGCCUAAAGAUGUACUAACACAUGGCAACCUCGAAUAGGGUACCGGUGGUUCGCGCUAAACACCCAUCAUAUUAGGGAAAUUACAAGCCAAGUUGGUAAGAGUUGUUUAUUAAUUUUUCCAGCAUCAAAAUAAUCUACUAUCAGAAUAAUCUCUUAAUCUUUCCAGCAUCUUUCUAGCACAAAAUUAUUUUUUUGCUUCAAAAAAAAAAGAAAAUUAUGAUUAAUUUUUUCAAUUAAUCAUUGGUUAUGGGCUUUAUUACAUAGCUUUUUUUUCAUUGGAUACAUUGCAAUGGUUUGUUUUGUUUUGUGAAGGUAAAUUUGUCUAAAUUUUUGCCAAUCAAACAACAUUUUUUUUUUUUGUAUUUUCUGAUAUUUUGCUCUAGUAUUUUUGGCUUCUAGAUUUAUGCUGUUAAUAAGGAUUAAAAAAAAAAGCACAAGUUGAUCGUUUGUUUCCUUUUUCUUAUUUUGGGUUUGAGUUCAAUUAGUUAAAUCGAGUCCAAGUUUUAGCUUGUUGGAAUAUAUAAUGUUAGUUUAAAAUCAUAUUGGUGAUGAAGAUGAAAGGGGUAAUCUCGUAUGUCUUCCUUAAAAUGGUUUUUUGAGAUCUAUUAGAAGGUUUUGCAUUGUGGAACCACAAAUUGAUACUGCAUUUGGAUUCUACACUAAAAGAUGAGAUAUUUAGCUGUGUUAUGUAGAAUUUCAGCUGAUUAUCCAUCCAUAAUUUUAAGGAUGCCACUCCAUUAGAGCUUCCCUCUAAAUGAGACUCUACUAAAUCUUUCCUUUUGAUGAGACUCAUAGAAGGCUUUAGAAGGAUUCUGAUGUUUCUCGUAGCCAAUUAGUCUUGUUUCUAGAAAGAAAGCUUUGUGCACAUAAGUGAUGAUCUUAGCAACAUCUCCAAAUUGCUUUUGCAAAAAGGUUCCGUCCAAAUAAGUCAGCAUAAGUUCUUCAUUUAACAUAUGUAUGGAUUUUUCUGGUGCAUAUUUGCCUCUCACUUUUAGUUCUAUAAUGCAGUGGCUGUUGAAUCUAUUCUUAAGAUAGUGUCAGAUUAAAAAAUCUUCUUAAAACCAGUUCUACUCUUCUUAACUUAGUAUCUAGAAUCAUAGAAGGAAUCACAAAUUUACUUUGACAGAGCGAAUUUUUAGUUCUAUACUACAGUUGUCCUGCAGUUCUUUGGUGUAUGUUUCUGUAUAUAAUCAAUUGUUACGCAUAUUUUAAAGCUUAUGUGGUGUAACAGUUGGGCCUUCCCUGCAAUUCAUUGCUAGUUAGGAAAUUGUAAAUAGCUAUCUUUAUCUCACACACACACAUAUAUAGAGGAGUUUCAAGGGGAAGAUAAUUAAUCUUUUGUUCUGUAACUCACAGAAUUGAGUGUAAUAGUUUCCCAAGCUUGUUUUUCAAGGCAAAAUGGGCAGUACCAAAUUGAAACACUAACCUGAUCAUAGCAAUGAAUCACAGAAGCUAAUAAUUAUGUUUACCAACAACUUGCACAAACUAAUGAAUUACAAAAUUGUAGCUAUUUCCUAAGCGAUCUCUAAAGUAUUAAAGGUGUAUAAGCCAAUAUAUUUGUUUCUGUCAAUAGUUGUAUUCACAAGCUGUAAAUGUAAUAUUUCAGGAAAGGCAAAAAUAUUAUUGCAGAUUAUUAUGUCAGAGGUUUCAUUAGCUAUCAUUUUAGCUUCAAUUGACUAUGUAGAAUUUAACACUCACUUUUUAAAAUUUGGUCUUUUGACUUACCUUUUCUUAUUGUUGUCGUGAUUUUGAAUUGCAGAAUUUGGAUAUUGACAUGGAUAAGGAAGGAGACGAGCAAAAAACAAAAAAGAGAAAAGUGGUAGUUGCAAAUUAUAUGGUAACAGUAGCCACAUUAGUAGUUUGGUGGCAUGAGAAACAUAUAGUAAAGGAGCCUUACUUGGACUUUAAAGUAACACGUGAAAUAUAUCUAAGGCGUCUUUACUAUGGAAACAAUAGAGUUUGUGUAGAGCAACUUAGACUCAAUAAACAUUGUUUUACUGUUUUAUGUACAAAUUUAAGAGAGCAUUGUGGGUUGAGGGAUACAAGAAAUAUUACUGUUGAAGAAGCAGUUGCAAUGUUUCUCUAUGUUCUUGCUCAUAACUUUAAGAAUCGCACUGUCAAUUUUAAUUUCAUAAGAUCAGGUGAGACAGUUAGUCGAUACUUUAAUAUAGUUCUAUGUGCUAUCAUAAAAUUGGGGAGACACUAUCUUAUCCAGCCUGAAACGGAAAUGGAAGGUUACGAGCAUGAAAAGUGGGAAUGGUUUCAGGUAAUCAAUAAUUUUUGAUAUUUGUUAAUGAAGAUAAUAUCUACAAGAUUCAUCAACUUAUGAUAUUUUGUUUAUAAUACAGGAUUGUCUUGGAGCGUUAGACGGUACUUAUGUUAAAGUACAUGUUCUUCUUAGAGAUCAAGGAAGAUAUAGGAAUAGGAAGAAUGAGAUAGCAACAAAUGUUUUAGGUGUAUGCUCCCGUGACAUGAGAUUUACAUAUGUAUUGCCUGGAUGGGAAGGUUCUGCAGCAGAUAGUAGAGUUCUACGGGAUGCGUUAGAUUAGAUCAGAUCCUUUUUUAUUUUUGCAAAAAAGGAACUAAUUUUUUUUUCUUUUAAAGCUUUAUUAACAAUUAGUUAAAUGCAAGAAAAAAUAAAUUAUUAAAGGUACUAAUUGAUUUUUUCCUUAAAGCUUUAGUAACAAUUAGCUAAAUGUUAAAAAAUUAUUAUAUAGUAAAAAAAAGAAAUUUUUUAUGUAAGGAAAUAUUAGUUGGAAACAAUUCUAAUUCCUAAUGAAUUCUUCUCUCAUACAAACAAAGAAUUUGGAAUUUCAAAUAAAUUCCAUAUCAAUUCUAUGCAUUUCCCAAACGAAAGAAUUGAAAUGAUUUGGAAUUCCAAUUCAUAGAAUUCCAAUUCUAUAGAAUUUCAAUUCUAAUUCAAUUAUAAUUCUGUAGAACCAAACGUACCCUUAGUUGAAUUUCAAAAGAGUUGUAAUAGUUGGAUAAUGUUGACUAUUUGAAGUACCAAUAAAAAUUUGGACAUUCUUAGAUGUGAAAACUUCAAAGCUGGGAAAAGCGAUGAAUUAGAUGAUAUAUAGGCACCUACACUAAAAAAAUCCAUAAAGAUUUAAAAAAUAAAUAAAAAAGCUUCAAAGCUUCCAGGCUCAACACUUGUUUCAAUAGUCCUUUUAUUCAAUUUUCUUGCUCCCGAUAGUCACAAAAUACUCAAAUCUCAAUAAGUUACUAAAUAACCUCCCCCUAAGGCGUACCAGAGGGUUCGGCGGACCGCCUGCCCAACUCUAGCCAGGACUCACUCAUUAUCUAAAACGAAUCGCGUGCGUACAUCCAAGAACCAUGAAUAACAUCCACAAUUCAAACUUAUAAUUUAUAUUAAUACAAUUCAAGGUACAAGGUCUCAAUAUACCAAACUAGUUCAAAGCGUAUACAAACCAAAUACAAAACAUUCUAUUCGAGAAAUAGCGCGAGUACAAGACGAAAAUCAAAAGUCAAACGACUAGACUACGCUAGCCUUUACACGUCUCACGCCUCGCUCGUACCCCCUGUAAGGAAAACAAAUAGCGUGGAAUGAGCUAAAAGCCCAGUGAGGUUCCAAAUAACAAAUUGUCCAUUUGAAAAGUACAAGUUUUCGAUAUAGCAAAGUAACGAGCAUGAAGAGUUCAUAAAAGUGAGUCAUAACACGUCAAGCAGCAAUCUCAAAAUGAGCAAGUGUAAAGGUUUUUCAGAAGAGUCAAUAAUCCAAUAAGCAAUAAUCAUUCCAAACUAUAAGGAUACGGACGGCUCUCAGGAGCCAAAUUCCCAUUGCAUUACCAAAAACUUGAUCACGUAGUAGUUGACACUCCAUCAACUUUCAAGUAAAGGAACUAAUCCAGUAGAGCACCACUUACGCUACUCUCCGUCCACCAUUCAAACCCCCUACUGGGCCCAAAAUCCUCAAGAAACACGGGUGGUAUUACUCGAGUAUACCGAUUAGUCGAGAAGGUAUCACUCCACUCGCCAAUCAAGAGACCCAGGGUUCGUUACCCAAUCGACCAAACCCUUGCCGGCUCGACUCGAGUAACUUGCCGCAGGAUUUUUGGAAUUCCAGGAAGUGCGCACAUCAUAAUCAAGUAUAUCAAAUCACUUUCAACAAUAAACAAUUAUAUAUCACGUGAGGGCAACUGCGAUAAAGUACACUCUUGCCCUAACAAUUCACGUAUAUAACAUGUAAUCACAUUGAUCACGUAUCAAGUACAAGUAUCAAGUUUAAUUCAGUAUUUGAAAUCAAUUCGGUAUUUGAAAGCACUCACCAAAAGAUAUAGUGCCUUACUGGUCACUUUCAGGUUGUACUCCGGGUUCGGAGUCCAAAUUUGCGAUAAAACUCAAUUUGAGAACUUUGAAACAUGACUAAGAUUCGAAACUUAGACGUUUCGUUCAAUAAGAAUCAAGAAAUGGAAAUUCACUCGGAUAGUAGUCGUGAAACACUUGCUCGCUUUUUAAACAGUAAAACUUUGUAACAUUUAUACUUGAAAUUGUCAUGCGAGUUGAAAGUACAAGGAAAACAUACUUCGAGCAAUCAUUAUUUCAUUUCUCAAGGGUACAAGUUCGGCCAAAUCCUUACUUAUAUACCUCGGAACAAGAAGACUCAAGUAUCCUAGAUGGUUCAAGUAGUAAUCACUCUUAACCCUUAUUCAAGUUGCAAGUAUAGUUUUCUAGUCCUCGAGCGUAAAUUUGGGCAGCAUGCCCUUUCUGUUUACCUAAUUUCCAGCCAUUAUGGCUUCAUUCUUUUACUCAAUCCAACCCAAAGUCAUACAUAUCAUAGAUUCAAGUAAAUAGCCGUUCCAUAGGCUCAUAACAACAUAAGAACAGAAAUCAAAGUGAUAACAAGUGCGGAAAUGUAACCUAGCAAAAGACAGAUUUGACGUGUGGUUGCGGAAAUAACACAUUCGAGGCUACGCUUAUCGGAUUGAGGCCAAAAUUAUACCGUUUCGAAGCUAAGACACAGGGCUACAAUGGUCAUGAAGAUCACUUAGUCCAGUUUCCAAUGCAACCUAGUCAAAUCCUCAAUUUACAGAACCAAAAUCUAACUAGUCGGCUAUUUAACCGCUCUGCACUGGAAUGGUCAUAUCUCAGGUUACCAAGGUCCGAUUAAGGUGUUCUUGGAGGCGUUUAAAAUCUAAGUCAGAAUACUAAAACUUUCAUGUUUUGGCAAAAAGCUAAAUCAGUACGGAUCCUAAUGAAUAAACGUGAUAAACUGGAUAAACUGACCAAACGGACUACUGGGAAAAACCUUAAAACAGUGAGGGUAUUUUGGUCUUUUCAUGGGCUGCAUUGCUCCGAUUGAGCUGAAAUUUUGUAGGCACCUAUAAAAUACCAUUCUAUACAACUUUAAUGUUUUAGGCCAAGCCUAAUUUGGCCUCUAACUAUGAGUAUUAAAAUCGGACAGAAUGUAAUCCUGAAAUUCCAGAAAUCUGGAAUUUUUGAAAUCUCAAGUCAAUCCUUCCAUUUUCUUGCUUCCAAUUCUACCAAAGCCCCUUAUCUACUCUUAUAUACAACAUAUACUAAAUAUAAAACAAGGUUAGGCAGAAAUUAAUCAAACCCUAGCUUGCAUAUCUCAUCCAAGAAUCAUCACAACAACUUGCUUAUCUUGUAAUCAAGCUAAAACAUGAUCUAAAUAACAUCUUAAAUCAAAAUUUAAAGGAGCAAGGAUCAUGAUCAGAUUUUUACCUCAAGAACAAGGCUUGGAAGAGUGAUACUCCACUUCCUUUGAAAUUUCUUAGUUCCUCUAGCCUUCCCACUCACCAACUAACACUUUAAUCGGUCUGGUUUCCUUUCUUUCUCACUUGGUUGAUCAAACUCAAGAUGAAAUGGUUGUUUUUCUUGUUUUUCUUGCUCUCCUUUUUCUCUCUCUCUCUCGGCUGUGAUGGUGCAGAAAUGAAGAGCUUUGGAGUUGGUUUUAGGGAUAAAUAUGAUGUAAAUUCAUUAGUCAACCAACCAAGGAAAGACUACCACUUGUUGCUUCAAGAUUGGUUCUUAAUUUUUUUCCUUUUCCUUGUUGUUUUUGGUCAAAAAAUUCGGCCAGCUUGCUCAGCUUUAUAGCUGAUGUUUGGCUCUAAUAUUAAAGAGAUUAAGUAUAUAAAAUAUGAUGGUCAAGUGGUGCGUUCAAUCGGUAGUGCACGGUACCCGUCGGUUCGCACCGUUUUUCUUAAAAACACAUGUACUAGGGUUUUUACUUCCUAUUCACCAACUCUAUAUCAUUGCUCCUAAUAACAUAUUAUUUCUCACUUAAAAGUCACUUUUAAUCACCAAAUUUGAUCCUUGCUCAGUACCGAAAAUUCAUCGGGCGAAAAAUCACAAAAACCCUAAUUUUGCUCCAAUCUUGAAACCAAAAGUGAAACCCUACUUUCUAGGUUUAGUUACACUUAUUGUGGAAAGAUUGGGUGGUAGGGCUUUAAUAAAUGAAUAAUUUCCAAAUAAAAGGAAAUUUUUAAGAAAAACGUGAGAGAUUUUACAAUUCUAGUAAUUAAAAUUAGGGUUUCAAUUAAAAUGUGAGAGAUUUAAGAAAACCGGUUAGUCACAAGUAAACUAGAGUUUUUGAUUAAAAUUUUAGGGUUUCUAAUCUUUUAAAACAAAAUAAGGUUUUAAAUCAAACCCAAAGAAAUACACUUUAGUAUCUUCUUUACAAACAACCUCCUAAUAUUCGGGGUGUCACAAUCUCCCCUCCUUAAAAGAAUUUCGUUCUCGAAAUUCAUACAUGCAUUUCGAAUAAUGUAGGGUAUUUUCCUUAUAUAUUCAUUUCCAACUCUCAGGUCUCAUUAUAGCCAAAACUUAGUUAAACAAUAGAAAUCACGAGUCAUACCUUCUACUAUCUCCGAUGGCUCGGGUAAUGCCUGUUGAUCCAAGGCGUAUACUCUAACUGGCACUCUUGGCUUAGUCCCUCCUACAUUUGCUUGUUCAGGGUUUAGGUGUGAUCUAUGGGGACAGGUUGCAAGCUGGUGUUCGGUACUACCACACCAUAAACAUUUUCCUGCUUUCCGCCAACAAUCAUUCUCCGUAUGAUUGACCUUUCCACAGUACCCACAAGAUACUUGAGGGGCUGAGGUCUGACCUCCUUGUGAGGCACCUCUUGCUUGGCCCCAGCCACGCGAAGCUCCUCUUGGAGUACUUUCCUUAGAUAUCCCUGAAAUUUUCUCACCACCAUCUCCUCGACCUAUCUUAGAGGGUGGCAUAUCGAAUUCACCUUGUCCUUGCCUAUGACUUCCACCAGGCGCACCUCUCCUUUUUGCAUGAAAAGCCCUCACUUGUGCCCUAGCAGUUUCUAUUCUUUGGGCCUUCUCCAAAACCUCCAUAAACGUGUUAAUCUGAGCUGCCGCUAAGACUUCUUGUAAUUCCACAUUUAGCCCUUGCACGAAUCUCUGUACUUUUCUUGGCUCCGUAGCAAUCAACUCAGGAGCAAAUUUUGACAAUUUUAUAAACUGAGUCUCAUACUCAGCUACACUCAACAUUCCCUGACGGAGUUUAAUGAAAUCGUCCUCUCGCUUCUCCUGGACGAUGGGUGGAAGGUAUUUUUCGUUAAACUCCCGUACGAAAUUUAACCAGGUCCAUGCAGUCGCCUCUCUCUCCCACUUGGCCCUCACUACGUUCCACCAAACCCUAGCUGGCCCCUCGUAUUGGAAAACAGCGAAUUGAACUUGCCUCUCCUCUGUAUAAUUUAAGGCAGCAAAAAUAUUAAUCAUGGCCUCUAGCCAUUUCUCGGCUCCGUCCGGGUCUGAUCCUCCUAAGAACUUGGGUGGAGAGAACUUCUGGAAUCUCUCUAAAGCCCUAUCUUGCCCCAUAUCGGGGUCCCUAGGUUGAUUUACAGGGGCUUGACCGUAUUGUUCCACUAAGCGGGCCAAAAUAUUGAUCAUUUGCCGAAUGGCAGUUGCCACUUGAUCUCCCCCUGCAGCUUGGGGUUCAGGUUGUGGCUCAAUCGUUGCCUCUCGCCCCUCUCUCGGUUCUGGCACCGGUUCCUGUGCUUGUCUACCCCCACGGCCACGACUAGGACCGCGUCCUCGGUUAGUUCCCCUGACUUGACUUCUUCUACCCUCCAUGUUUUGGAUUUAACCAACUAUAGACAUAUAAACAAAGUAAGGUAUGGCUCGUAUCGCACGUUGCAAAAGAUUAAUAGAGGUAAUAAAACACAUAAUAAACAAGUACUUUAUAUACAUAGCAAACAAAUCACAUAACCUAUAGGACAUUAACCCUAGGUAUUGCUCAGGCACUACACUUAAUCAAAACUCGAAGCACGUGAAUAAUAAGGAUCCCAAAUCCCAUGAAUAUCUUCAAUAUAUUUCAAGUCCAGACUAUUCGUAUUCCCGGUGCCUUUGCUUUCGCCAUCCAAACUUAUCCUAAUAUUACGCGAGAUCUCAACUUAUUGUCAAGGUAUCACUCUUUGGUACUUGGGGACAAGAAUCCGAAAAUAUGAUAAUUCACCACUCAAGCUGGCCAGGCUCAAGAGCAAAUCACUCUUAUUAGAGAUUCCUACCCAACAUACAUGUUUAAGGUCCCCAACAAUAGACAAUUGUUCCACACUUAACAAGUCAAUCCCCACAGUCCGAGAACCUUCUCCCGGCACGAGUUCGAUAGGAGCUCUGAUACCAUCUGUGACGAUCCCACCUACCCCUAAGGCGUACCAGAGGGUUCGGCGGACCGCCUACCCAACUCUCGCCAGGACUCACUCACUAUCUAAAACGACUCGCGUGCGUACAUCCAAGAACCAUGAAUAACAUCCACAAUUCAAACUUAUAAUUUACAUUAAUACAAUUCAAGGUACAAGGUCUCAAUAUACCAAACUAGUUCAAAGGGUAUACAAACCAAAUACAAAACAUUCUAUUCGAGGAAUAGCGCGAGUACAAGACAAAAAUCAAAAGUCAAACGACUAGGGUACGCUAGCCUUUACACGUCUCACGCCUCGCUCGUACCCCCUGUAAGGAAAACAAAUAGCGUGGAAUGAGCUAAAAGCCCAGUGAGGUUCCAAAUAACAAAUUGUCCAUUUGAAAAGUACAAGUUUUCGAUAUAGCAAAGUAACGAGCAUGAAGAGUUCAUAAAAGUGAGUCAUAACACGUCAAGCAGCAAUCUCAAAAUGAGCAAGUGUAAAGGUUUUUCAGAAGAGUCAAUAAUCCAAUAAGCAAUAAUCAUUCCAAACUAUAAGGAUACGGACGGCUCUCAGGAGCCAAAUUCCCAUUGCAUUACCAAAAACUUGAUCACGUAGUAGUUGACACUCCAUCAACUUUCAAGUAAAGGAACUAAUCCAGUAGAGCACCACUUACGCUACUCUCCGUCCACCAUUCAAACCCCCUACUGGGCCCAAAAUCCUCAAGAAACACGGGUGGUAUUACUCGAGUAUACCGAUUAGUCGAGAAGGUAUCACUCCACUCGCCAAUCAAGAGACCCAGGGUUCGUUACCCAAUCGACCAAACCCUUGCCGGCUCGACUCGAGUAACUUGCCGCAGGAUUUUUGGAAUUCCAGGAAGUGCGCACAUCAUAAUCAAGUAUAUCAAAUCACUUUCAACAAUAAACAAUUAUAUAUCACGUGAGGGCAACUGCGAUAAAGUACACUCUUGCCCUAACAAUUCACGUAUAUAACAUGUAAUCACAUUGAUCACGUAUCAAGUACAAGUAUCAAGUUUAAUUCAGUAUUUGAAAUCAAUUCGGUAUUUGAAAGCACUCACCAAAAGAUAUAGUGCCUUACUGGUCACUUUCAGGUUGUACUCCGGGUUCGGAGUCCAAAUUUGCGAUAAAACUCAAUUUGAGAACUUUGAAACAUGACUAAGAUUCGAAACUUAGACGUUUCGUUCAAUAAGAAUCAAGAAAUGGAAAUUCACUCGGAUAGUAGUCGUGAAACACUUGCUCGCUUUUUAAACAGUAAAACUUUGUAACAUUUAUACUUGAAAUUGUCAUGCGAGUUGAAAGUACAAGGAAAACAUACUUCGAGCAAUCAUUAUUUCAUUUCUCAAGGGUACAAGUUCGGCCAAAUCCUUACUUAUAUACCUCGGAACAAGAAGACUCAAGUAUCCUAGAUGGUUCAAGUAGUAAUCACUCUUAACCCUUAUUCAAGUUGCAAGUAUAGUUCUCUAGUCCUCGAGCGUAAAUUUGGACAGCAUGCCCUUUGUGUUUACCUAAUUUCCAGCCAUUAUGGCUUCAUUCUUUUACUCAAUCCAACCCAAAGUCAUACAUAUCAUAGAUUCAAGUAAAUAGCCGUUCCAUAGGCUCAUAACAACAUAAGAACAGAAAUCAAAGUGAUAACAAGUGCGGAAAUGUAACCUAGCAAAAGACAGAUUUGACGUGUGGUUGCGGAAAUAACACAUUCGAGGCUACGCUUAUCGGAUUGAGGCCAAAAUUAUACCGUUUCGAAGCUAAGACACAGGGCUACAAUGGUCAUGAAGAUCACUUAGUCCAGUUUCCAAUGCAACCUAGUCAAAUCCUCAAUUUACAGAACCAAAAUCUAACUAGUCGGCUAUUUAACCGCUCUGCACUGGAAUGGUCAUAUCUCAGGUUACCAAGGUCCGAUUAAGGUGUUCUUGGAGGCGUUUAAAAUCUAAGUCAGAAUACUAAAACUUUCAUGUUUUGGCAAAAAGCUAAAUCAGUACGGAUCCUAAUGAAUAAACGUUAUAAACUGGAUAAACUGACCAAACGGACUACUGGGAAAAACCUUAAAACAGUGAGGGUAUUUUGGUCUUUUCAUGGGCUGCAUUGCUCCGAUUGAGCUGAAAUUUUGUAGGCACCUAUAAAAUACCAUUCUAUACAACUUUAAUGUUUUAGGCCAAGCCUAAUUUGGCCUCUAACUAUGAGUAUUAAAAUCGGACAGAAUGUAAUCCUGAAAUUCCAGAAAUCUGGAAUUUUUGAAAUCUCAAGUCAAUCCUUCCAUUUUCUUGCUUCCAAUUCUACCAAAGCCCCUUAUCUACUCUUAUAUACAACAUAUACUAAAUAUAAAACAAGGUUAGGCAGAAAUUAAUCAAACCCUAGCUUGCAUAUCUCAUCCAAGAAUCAUCACAACAACUUGCUUAUCUUGUAAUCAAGCUAAAACAUGAUCUAAAUAACAUCUUAAAUCAAAAUUUAAAGGAGCAAGGAUCAUGAUCAGAUUUUUACCUCAAGAACAAGGCUUGGAAGAGUGAUACUCCACUUCCUUUGAAAUUUCUUAGUUCCUCUAGCCUUCCCACUCACCAACUAACACUUUAAUCGGUCUGGUUUCCUUUCUUUCUCACUUGGUUGAUCAAACUCAAGAUGAAAUGGUUGUUUUUCUUGUUUUUCUUGCUCUCCUUUUUCUCUCUCUCUCUCGGCUGUGAUGGUGCAGAAAUGAAGAGCUUUGGAGUUGGUUUUAGGGAUAAAUAUGAUGUAAAUUCAUUAGUCAACCAACCAAGGAAAGACUACCACUUGUUGCUUCAAGAUUGGUUCUUAAUUUUUUUCCUUUUCCUUGUUGUUUUUGGUCAAAAAAUUCGGCCAGCUUGCUCAGCUUUAUAGCUGAUGUUUGGCUCUAAUAUUAAAGAGAUUAAGUAUAUAAAAUAUGAUGGUCAAGUGGUGCGUUCAAUCGGUAGUGCACGGUACCCGUCGGUUCGCACCGUUUUUCUUAAAAACACAUGUACUAGGGUUUUUACUUCCUAUUCACCAACUCUAUAUCAUUGCUCCUAAUAACAUAUUAUUUCUCACUUAAAAGUCACUUUUAAUCACCAAAUUUGAUCCUUGCUCAGUACCGAAAAUUCAUCGGGCGAAAAAUCACAAAAACCCUAAUUUUGCUCCAAUCUUGAAACCAAAAGUGAAACCCUACUUUCUAGGUUUAGUUGCACUUAUUGUGGAAAGAUUGGGUGGUAGGGCUUUAAUAAAUGAAUAAUUUCCAAAUAAAAGGAAAUUUUUAAGAAAAAUGUGAGAGAUUUUACAAUUCCAGUAAUUAAAAUUAGGGUUUCAAUUAAAAUGUGAGAGAUUUAAGAAAACCGGUUAGUCACAAGUAAACUAGGGUUUUUGAUUAAAAUUUUAGGGUUUCUAAUCUUUUAAAACAAAAUAAGGUUUUAAAUCAAACCCAAAGAAAUACACUUUAGUAUCUUCUUUACAAACAACCUCCUAAUAUUCGGGGUGUCACAUAAUUAAGUGCAAGCCUUAUUUUUAGAAGUUCUAAACCUUUUGCUUUUUCAUCUAAAGCAACCACAAAUGUUUAAUUUUGAUUUUCAAAAGUUUAUUCUAUUGACAAGUUUUUUUUUUAUAUUAUCAAUAACUGUAACCUAGUCUAAAACCAUUCUUUUGGUUCUCCUAAUCAUUGCAGUAGAACUAGUUAAAUUCACUAUAUUCAUUAACACAAAACAAAAACAUUGAAGUUUAUCUAGUUGAAAAAUAGAGAAGUAAUUGUCAAUUUUAUUUAAUCUAAAAUGACAAUUUAUUGGACUAAUUAGGGAAGGGUAACUAAAUUUUAAACCAAUGGAGGCAAGAAAAUUAUAGUUAUUAUAAAUGUUAUCUAAUGACAUCCAAGAUCCAAAUUCACUUUAUAUAUAUAUAUUAAAUGCACAAAAUGAAAGUUUCAUCUUUGAAUGAAUAUAUAAAAAAAAGUUAUAACCAGGAAAAUCUAAAAGUCAAUUUUUGUCUUCCAUCAAAACGAAACAUAGAAAAACAAAAAAUUUGCGUAAUAGCUAAACUGAAUGCUGGAGCCUUGGGUUGAUGAAUUAAUGAAACAUUGCAAAUAAAAUUAUCUUAGCACAAAAUUUUGUAUAGAAAUUUACAAGACGAAAAUCAAGAAGUUACACAGGAUAGAAUAUGGAAUUUGUUUGGCUGUCAUUUUAAGGGAAAAAGAAUAAUUAAAAGAAAAAAAGACAAUAGGUAAUGGUGGGAUGGUGGGAUGGUGGGUCUUUCAAUUGUUUUGACUUGGGGUUUCUGUUAUAGGAUUGGAUAACUAAAUUGGAAUUGGGCAUUCUGAUUUUUCAUCGAAGUAGUACACAUGGUGGAAUUUUCAGUGCUACAUGAAUUUGGUUUUGGAUGGGAAUCAGAGUUGGACUUUUUUUUUUUAUUAGUACGAGACAUAUGCAUAAAUGUUAGGGGGACAGACUUCUUGUUGUUUUAAACUUUAAGAAUAAUUUGUAAGUAAAACUUUAAAAAAAAAGAAUAAUUUAUAAGUACAGUGUUGUUUCCGAGGAGAAAACAUUGCUUGUUGGAGUCAAGACUUCAACUAUGCCGUUCUAUUUCAGAUGAUUAUGCCAUAGUGUCUAAUUUAAAUUUAGAUCAAAGUGUUAUUUCAAAAUGGGUUUUUUGUAACCGGUGUCAAAAGGCCACUGUUGUAAAACUAAUAAAAUAAACCACUAUAAUAUCAAGUGAACUAUUGGAGAAAGAUGUAGAGAAAUGGAGAGUGAUAUUCUUAUUAUUCCAACUAAUACAAAAGUCUUCACAAAGGAUGUCAAUGUACCUCUAUAUAUAGGUACUACAAGAUUAAAGGUAUAUCAAUUCUAUUAAACACUCACUACUAUAAGAAUAUGAAGAAACCUAUGAAACGGUUUCUCCACUACAUGAAUAGAUUUAUGGAUUGUAACUUCUAUACAUAAUAUAGCCAUAAAUCAUGAAUUAAUCCUCUUGGGAAUACAAAGGGACAUCCACACUUUUAAUUAUUUCAUAACACUCCCCCUUGGAUGUCCAUUACACAAAGAAUAUGUCUCGUUAAAACCUUACUAGGGAAAAACCCAUCGGGACAAAAAUCCUAGUGAAGGAAAAAGAGUACACUAUUCUUGUGUAUUAAUUAAGAUGUCAACAAAUAUCCCAUGAUUAUUUAGAUAUUUUUAUGAUGCUUUAUCUUUUAUGUAAUUUUUCUUUCUAUUGAAUAUUUAUUUUCGCAUCUUUAUUAAUAUUUUUGUUUGAAAUUUUCUUCCUGAAGAAGAAAUGGAUGUCAAAUAUUUGGGAUUAAAUAAUGGUGAUGAUGAUAUUUGUCUCAUUGAUAGUGCUACUACGCACACCAUAUUGAAAAAUAAAAAAUGUUUUUCUGUUUAAAAAUGGGAGAGACAAACGUUAAUACCAUUAGUGGUAGUGCAAAAUUGAUUGAAGGCUCCGGAAGAGCCACUAUAUUUCUCCCUGAAGGGACAAAAAUUAUUGUAAAUAAUGCACUAUUCACUCCCAAGUCUCGAAGAAACUUGUUGAGUUUUAAAGAUAUCCGCGAAAAUGGAUAUCAUAUCGAGACAAUGACUGAGACAAAUGGUGAAUUUUUAUUAAUCACAAGUAUCAUUUAUGGGAAAAAAUGCGAAAUAGAAAAAUUACCUUCUUUUUCUUCUGGCUUAUAUUAUGCACAAAUUAGUGCAAUUGAAAUUCAUCACCUAGUAGACCAGAAGUCUACUCAUCCCAAUGAUUUUAUGGUUUGGCAUGAUCGUCUCGGACAUCCCGGAUCUAUAAUGAUGAGACGAAUAAUUGAGAAUUCACAUGGCCACUCAUUGAAAAAUCAAAAAGUAUUAAAAGCCAAUGAAUUCUCUUGUGUUGCUUGUUCUCAAGGGAAAUUAAUUAUUAGACCAUCACAAGUUAAAGUUGGGACUGAAUCCCCUGCAUUUCUAGAACGAAUUCAUGGUGAUAUAUGUGGGCCUGUAGAUCCACCAUGUGGACCAUUUCGAUAUUUUAUGGUGCUAAUUGAUGCAUCAACUAGAUGGUCACAUGUAUGUUUAUUAUCUACUCGCAACUUGGCAUUUGCGAGAUUGCUUGCUCAAAUAAUUAAAUUGCGAGCACAAUUUUCAGAUUAUCCAAUAAAGAAAAUUCGUCUAGAUAAUGCUGGUGAAUAUUCGUCACAUGCUUUUGACGAUUAUUGUAUGUCCAUUGGAAUAACUGUUGAACAUCCUGUAGCUUAUGUUCACAUACAAAAUGGUCUAGCCGAAUCACUUAUUAAACGGCUACAAUUAAUUGCUAGACCAUUGUUGAUGAGGUCUAAACUUCCUUCAUCUGCUUCGGGACAUGCUAUUUUACAUGCAGCAACACUUGUGAGAAUUAGGCCGACAAAUUAUCAUACUUAUUCUCCCCUACAAUUAACUUUUGGUUAUGAGCCAAAUAUUUCUCAUUUACGAAUAUUUGGUUGUGCGGUGUAUGUCCCAAUUGCACCGCCCCAACGUCGUAAAUUGGACUCACUGGCUAAAAGAAAAGUUUAUCAUAAAUAAAGCACUACUUUUUAUCAUGUCUCGGAAAAUUUAUUGAAUUUGAAUAUCCAUUGAAAUGGAUAUCAAAUUGAGACACUAAAUGAGACAAUAAUAGAGAUCAUGUUUAGAAAUCAAAUGAGAUAAAUGUUAAUUAUAUCAUAAUAACCAUUCGAGAGAGAAAUAGUUAUCGAUAUAGUUGUCUUCAUUCUUAUUUGAUUUAUAAUUAUCACCUGCAGUAAACCAGAAGUUUAUUGAUCCCAAUGGAUAUAUGAUUUGACAAAAGUGAUAAUAUUUGAGAGCCAACAAGUGUUUAUACAUACCCCCUUGAUAUUAUAUAUGGCUCCAAAAGAAAUUUAAAAUUUAUGUCGGGUAUGAAUCACCUUUUACGAUUAAAUAUCGUAAAAUAUUGAUGAGUGAUCUAUUGAAUGAUUUAUUUAUUCUGAUGAACUACGAUUCCCGACAUUAGGGGGAGGAAAAAAUCAACCGAAAGGAAAUCAUCUGAAAAAUUGAAUUUUCUCGAUCCUCAUACAAAAUAAUGUGAACUAGAACUUCAAGAAAUUCUUCAUUUGUAGAAAGUUAUAUUUAUCGACUCCAGAAGAGUCAUUAAAUCAACUAUUCCUGCAGGAAAUACUCUAGCUAAAAUUGAUGUCCCUGAAGGACAUGCACAAGUGCUACAAAUAAAUUUAAGGCCGGCCUACCUAAACAAAAUAUAAAUUGAUUUGAAAUAUCUUCGGAGAUUAAAUGUCAUGACAAAAUUCAACCUCUUGAAGAGGUUGCUCCUGAAGAGCCAACUCCUGAAGAGAAUGAAAUCAUAGAAAAUUUAAUUGGAGCCUAAUGAAAUGUAGCACUUGAUAUUAUAGAAGUUGAUGAGAAUCAUAAAUCUAAAUCGGUUGAUGAAUGUCGGUAUAGAAAUGAUUGUUCAAAGUGGAAAGAUACGAUCCAAUCUAAAUUGGAUUUAUUGGUUAAAAGAAAAGUUUUGGACUUGUAGUCCAAACACUUGAAGGUGUAAAGCUAGUAGAAGAUAAAUGGGUAUUUGUGAGAAAAAGAAAUGAGAAAAAUAAAAUUGUGAGGUAUAAGGCAAGACUUGGACCUCAAGAAUUUUCACAAAGUGGAUGCUAUCACAUUUAAAUAUCUUGUGAGUUUUACAGUACAUGAAAAAUUAGAUAUGCGUCUAAUGGACGUCGUUACUGCAUAUUUAUAUGGGAAUUUUGAAAAUGAUAUUUAUAUGAGAAUCCGCGAAGGAUUCAACAUGCCUGAAGCAUGCAAAUCAAAUUCUAAAAAUAUUUAUUCUAUUACAUUACAAAGGUCUCUGUAUGGGUUCAAACAAUCUGGACGUAUGUGGUAUAACCGCCUCAAUAAAUGUCUGACUAAAGAAGGUUAUACCAAUGAUCCAAUAUGUCCAUGCGUUUUUAUCAAGAAAAAUGGAUCAAAUUUUGUGAUAAUUGCUGUAUAUGUUGAUGAUCUAAAUUUUAUUGGAACUCCUGAAGAGAUUCAAAAUAAUGUUCAAUAUUUGAAGAAGGAAUUUGAUAUCAAAGAAUUUUGGAAAAACAAAAUUCUACCUUGAUUUACAAAUUGAGCAUUUGAGAGGUAGAAUUUUUGUUCACCAAACUGCAUAUACCCGGAAGGUAUUAAAGCAGUUUUAUAUGGAUAAGGCACAUAUAUUAAGUAUUCCAAUGAUCGUCAGAUCAUUAGAUCCUAAUAAAAAUUCUUUUAGACCGCGAGAGGAAGAUGGAGAGAUACUUGGUCCUGAAGUAUCAUAUCUCAGUGCAAUUGGUGAAGCAUGUUGAAAUGCGACGAUUAAAAGAUCUCAAAUGAUGUUUGCAUCAGGAGGAGAAAUUAAUACACAAGAAUAGUGUACUCUUUUUCCUUCACUAGGAUUUUUGUCCCGAUGGAUUUUUCCCUAGUAAGGUUUUAACGAGGCAUAUUCUUUGUGUAAUGGACAUCCAAGGGGGAGUGUUAUGAAACAAUUAAAAGUGUGGAUGUUUCUUUGUAUUCCCAAGAGGAUUAAUUCAUGAUUUAUGGCUAUAUUAUGUAUAGAAGUUACAAUCCAUAAAUCUAUUCAUGUAGUGGAGAAACCGUUUCAUAGGUUUCUUCAUAUUCUUAUAGUAGUGAGUGUUUAAUAGAAUUGAUGUACCUUUAAUCUUGUAGUACCUAUAUAUAGAGGUACAUUGACACCCCUCGAUGUUGCUGCUGCAGGAGCAUGUUAGAGACAUGAAAAGUAGAAAAUGUUUUCUCUAACAUAUCUUCAUCAGUGACUUUUCCGCCACAUAAUGAUAAUUGAGAAGUGAUUCUGAACAUGGCUGAAUUAUAUUCGUUGACAGAUUUAAAAUCUUGCAGCCGUAGGUGAAGCCAAUCAUAUCGGGUUUUUGGAAGAACGACCAACUUCAGGUGGUCGAAUCUUUCUUUCAAAUCUUGCCAAAGGACAAGAGGAUCUUUGACAGUAAGAUACUCUAUUUUUAAUCCUUCAUCUAAAUGAUGACGAAGGAAAAUCAUAGCUUUGGCACGGUCUUGGUUUGAGGAUUCAUUUUUUUCCACAAUAGUAUUACCAAGACCCAUUGCCUCAAGAUGGAUUUCAACAUCCAAUACCCAUGAUAAAUAAUUUUUUUCAGAAAUAUCAAGAGGUACAAACUCUUGUUUUGUAAGAUUAGCCAUAAGAAAUUGAAAUAAGUUUUUGAGUUAGAAAUUUACCUUAGAAUUUUCUUGAGCAGAAUUUCGAUAAAAUCUAGUGCUUCACUUUGUUCAAUGUAGAGCCUCCGUUUUACCCUUUUGCUCAAAAGUAGAGUCUCGUGCUAAUAACGUGUUGUAAAACUAAUAAAAUAAACCACUAUAAUAUCAAGUGAACUAUUGGAGAAAGAUGUAGAGAAAUGGAGAGUGAUAUUCUUAUUAUUCCAACUAAUACAAAAGUCUUCACAAAGGGUGUCAAUGUACCUCUAUAUAUAGGUACUACAAGAUUAAAGGUAUAUCAAUUCUAUUAAACACUCACUACUAUAAGAAUAUGAAGAAACCUAUGAAACGGUUUCUCCACUACAUGAAUAGAUUUAUGGAUUGUAACUUCUAUACAUAAUAUAGCCAUAAAUCAUGAAUUAAUCCUCUUGGGAAUACAAAGGGACAUCCACACUUUUAAUUGUUUCAUAAUAGCCACUUAUUAAUGAAACUAUAUUUCAUUCAAUCUAUCAUAGGGAAAAAUGCACUUUUCAUCCUCAAAGUUUGGGUUCUUGACCAAUUUCAUCUCAAAAUUUCACCCAAAACACAUUUCAUCCUCAAAGAUCCGUAAUUUUGGAAAUUAAGGACAAUUGACGGAAAUUUGCAUGUGAGCCGUUAGAACCAACUUUAAACCCAAUAAAAAAUGGGUAAAACCGAAUGGAGCCAUUUUUUAAUGGAACAAUAAUUUGCAACGGACGAAAACUAACAUUCUUCUCCUUCUUCCCUCUCCUUCAUUAUGAUCCACACACACUGCACUAUCCUUUCUUCCUUCCUCUCUUUGCUCUUUUUCUCUCAGAGAGUGAGAGAGGGCGAAGAGGAAAUGAGUUUUGGCGAUUUUUCCGUUCUUUUCUUUCUCCGCACCCAUCUCACCUCCCUCUGUUGCUCACGCCUCACGCCUCAUGCCUAAUGAUCCACGACCCUUUUAGUACCCUCAUGCCUAAUGCCUCAUGCCUAAUGCUCACGCUAUUAUCUCUAUCGCUACAUUAAAAGCUAGCUAACAAGCUGUAGAUGGAUUGGUGAAGGAAUUAAAGAAGUGCGGUUUUGGGGCCAUGGAAAAUGGGCUCUUACUGGAAGAGUUUUCACCAACUCUGCCGACCCUUUCGCAAGAAGGGCGCAUGGUCAGUGUAGCCGUUGGCAAUUGCAUGUACAAGAGCUACGCUAGUUUUAGCGCUUUCAAUUCUUGUAGCUCCUUCUCCAGCCUCCUGUUCUCGUCCGUCAGCGUCUCGUAGCAUUUCUUCAAGAACUCGCAGUCUACUUCCGUUUGCUUAAGGUUCGUCCUGCGUAUAGCCAAGAAAAAGCCCCCCUCUAUUAUUUCAAAUGGACAAAAUUUAUGCAUAUCUCAAAAAACCGGCUCGCACGAUCGAUUCUGUUUUUCCUCAACAUUGUUAAUCUUCGGGGAUGAGGGAUGAAGAAGCAAGUACCUGGCUCUUCUGUUCUGAAACCACACCUCAACUUGUCAAGGCCUUAAAUUCAGUUCCCUCGCCAAAUCUUGCUUUUGCUUCUGCAAAAUCAGCAAAUAUGUAUGUAUAUACACACGAUUUAAUUUGCCCUGUGAAAUGAUUGUUCAAAUGUUAAAAAAGAGAGCAAGGAAUGUUAUACUAUUACGUGUGAAAAUAAAUCAACUAGCCAGCCACAGAGAGAGAGAGAGAGAGAGAGAGAGAUGUUAUCGGAUUGCUAUGCUGCUUGAAGCUCUCUUCCAAAAGAGCAGACUGAGCUUUUGUGAGGCAAAGCUUCUUUCUUCCAUUAGAACCAUCAUCAUCUUCAUCACUUACUCUUAAGGAAACUGUCUCGAUCUCCACCUCUUCGCUGCUACCGAGCUCUCUCUCCCUCUUCACGCUAUUGUUGGAAAAGGAUGACGCAGCACUAUCUUGACGAUGCAAGUCAGCAGCAGAAGGUGGAGGCUCAUUAUUGGAGGCCUUAUUAGCAGAGUGAGUGAGAGGAAGAAGGAAACAUUUGUCUAUAUUUGCAGCAGAGUUUGACAUCCAUUCUUUCAUGUCAUCAACAGAUUUCGCGACCUUAAAGAUUUUGUCAUCAGAUUCGACUCCCAUUGCUGUCACAGACGCGUUUACAAGCCUUGAAGAAUCCUUGAACAAGACAUUGCAGUCUUUCAAAGCUGUCAAAGUUCUUGAAUCUUUGACCUCAGAGAUUGCCUUUUCAUUAGCUGAAAUCAAGUCCUCUAGUUGAUUGAUAGCAGCACGGAGAGAGAGGGUGAAAAUUCUUGAUGGGGUGGUCUUGAUCUCACCUAAAUCGGUGGAGAAAUUCGUGCGGAGGCACCAUAUAGAGUCGAAACAUGAGGUUGGUUUUGGAGUCAGAUUGCAGAUGGCGUGAAUUGCUCUAUCUGGAGUUGAAGCGGAGAGUAACUUAGACUCUUUUUCUUGUAUAAGAGCUAUGGAAACUGUGAUGAUUGAACCGAUGAUAACCGUGAAUAAGACGAUGAAAAAGACGUAGCUUCUUAUCUUCCUUUUCUGUCUCGAAGCUUGAUCUUCCAUCAGCUGCCUAUCCUUAUUGGUGACUGAGUUCAUAUAUGAUUUCCACACUUUCUUAUGGCAUUUGUUUGAGAAUAAGGAGAUGAUUCUUGUCGAGUGGGGAUAUGGAGUGGAAAAGAUAUAGUAGCUGCUUGAUUAUCUUCCAAACAGACAAGUAUAGAUACUGUGCAAGUUUUGUGGAAAUAGUCAAGUCAAUUCUGGCCUCAUCUAUUAUAAGUCUCCGAGCCAAUGAAACAAGAAGUCAAACUUUGGGAAAUUUUUAACCACGAUCUAAGACCAACACGCAAGUAAUUAUGAAAGUGGCUCCAUUCUAUUUGACCCCUUUUUGGUUGAGUAUAGAGUUGGAUUUGACAGAUAGUACUUCUCACGUGCAAAGUUCCGUUCAAAUUAAAUAGCUAUCCUUAAUUUCCCGUCAAUUGUCCUUGAUUGACUAAAAUUACGGAUCUUUGAGGAUGAAAUGUGUUUUUGGUGAAACUUUGAGGUAAAUUAGUCAAGAACCCAAACUUUGAGGAUGAAAAGUGCAUUUUUCCCAUCUAUCAUAUAUAAACAUACAUUAAUAAUCAUUAUCCAUCAAAUAGACCGAUUUUAAAUAAGGACCCUACAAUACUUGCUCUAUGAUAAGGAAGACAAAAAAAACAGGGGAAAUAUUUAUUAUUUUUGUUUCAUUUAUCUUUACAUUAAGAUUUUUUUAUUUGAUGCUUAAAGCGCCAAAUAAGCAUAUAGAAAAAGGAAAGCGGCCCACCAUUAAACCUUUAAAAUUACCAACACUUUAGCAAACAAAUUACCCUUCUGAAAAAAAAAAAGGAGACCCACUCCUUAUUUGGUGCUUUAAGAGCACAAAAUAUAAGCCCAAAAGUUAAGACAGCAUUUAAAUCAGUAACUAAUCUAAUCCAAUUUUAUUAGUUGAUGUCUAAUUUGAUAUUUAAAUGACAUUUACAUAUCUUAACUAAGGUGUAUAUCAGGAUCAUCAGGAUCAUCAUGAUUUGAGACUUUUUAGGCAUCCAAUUAUGUAUUGCAACCUAACUUCCUUUUUAAGUGUUCUACUGUUACACUAAUACGCCAUCACCUAUAAUAUCUGGACACCAAUUUGAGUUAAAAAGUUUUAAAAAAAUGAUGAAAUACGGAGUCCUCCUUAAAGUGCCAAUAUUUUUUCCUGCCAAUCACAACAUCACAAUUCCCUGGCCUUUCCCUACCCAGAAAAAUAAAGAGUGAAAUGAAGGAAAGAAAAAUCCAAGAUGAAGAAUAAGAAAUAUUUUGUUGAUCUGCCAUUAUCUCUCAUACACUUGCUAAGAUAUUCACUUGUAUAAUUUUGGGUUGAUAAUUUUGUAUUUUUUAAUAUCAACUUCCAUACUCUAAAUUUCAUCUAUGCAUUUGGGGAUUUCAUAGAAUUUUAUAUACCUUUAAAUUCUCAAGAUUUCUAGGUUAUUUGUGAUUAUUUAUGUAGCAGAAUAAUUCACAGAUGUAGUUAUUCACUUGAAAAAUUUCAUAUGCUAAAUGUGAAGAUUGUAUAAAUGCAUCAACUAUCCUUUUUCUUUUUUGCGUAAUCAUUGAUAGUUGGGAUAGCCAUCAUAUUUACACAAUUAUAUGAAUGGUUUUUUCUUUGCUUAAAGAAAAGGGAAAAAGAUUGGCUAAGUUACAUUAAAAAGAAGAAUAGAAAAAGGUAAGUGCAAUAAAGAAAAAGAAAAAAAAUUGGGUAAAUUACUUUGAACAAAAAAAGAAAAAAGAAAAGAAGGAAUAACAAAUAUGAAGAUUGUAUGAAUGCAACUACAUUGUUAUUACAAUAGAAUACUUAAGGAAGCUUAGGUGAUAAUAAAUCAUUGAAUGUUGAUUGAAUUUUGAAAAGGUCCCAAAUCAGGAUGAAUCUGAUAUACUUUAAACUCCUUUAACUAAUAACUCACUCCAAGAAUUGUGAACCAAGAGAGCCUUUAUAUUGGUUUUGUUACCAAAUGUAUACAUGAGUUUGUUUGGAUAGUGUGAACCAUUGUAAACCUGGGCUAUCCUGCAUAAAUCAUUGGUACAAUGAUAUAAUUGAUAGACUUAGUUUGGAAGCCAACUUUGCUAUGUACAAAUGAUAAAAGUUCAAGACAUACUGUUUGUUCGAUCAGAUGGCGAUUAAUGUUCAUAAAUAAAAUUUCUCUUCUAUUUUAAAAAAUAUCUAAAGAGCGACAACAACUUGCAUUUUCUUUCAAGCACAUCCUUAUACCCCUAAGGUGGAAGAAGUCAAUUAGUGUGAAGAAGCAAACAUUGAAACGAUCCCCUAAUUUCCAACAAUAGUGGGCAAAUUUCGAUACCUUCCUGGUAAAUGAAUCAUGCUUCAAAAUCUACAACAUAAUGCUGAUGAUGAACUUGAUAUUUUCUUCCCGAAUUGGCCUAUUUCUUCCUUCAUCUGGGAUAUGGUUCAGUAAUUGAUGCCUCAUUGACAGAGCUUGGAGCUGAAAUUCUUUGAGCGUUGGAUUGAUCAACUUUCAGCUCGUCUACCCUGCUCUCCGAUCCAUGGCUCCGGAAAACUGCCGGACGAUGUGGAGUUGGUAGGGGAACAGAACUAGGAUUGAGCAUGCAGACCACAGAAGCCAUUGUUGGUCUUUUAAUGACAUCUUCUUCAACACAUAGUAAGCCAACUUGGAUGCAUUGAAUGACUUCAUUUCUGGCAUAAGAAUCUCCAAUGCUUGAAUCCAAAAGAGCUAAAGUUUGGCCGCGUCUCCAAUGGUUCCAAGCCUUUUCGAAAUAAUCCCACUCAUAAGGUGUUCAUUCUUAAAAACUUCAAUUAGCUUAAAUAGAUAUACAGGUAAUGUCAAUAUUCACAAUAAGCAAUAGUCAAUACUCUCUAUUUCAAGUUUAAUCACAUAAAAAGAUGGAUUAAUCUUUCUUACACUACACAGUAUAUACAUUGUUGUCAGCGUUGGAUGAACAACAAUUAUAUAAAAUUUGAAUUUUAAAUUCAACUUUUGCAUACAUGUCAUAAAUCCAACGGUGAUAGUGUAUACACUGUCUAAUAUAUAAGAUUUAUUCAUAAAAGAUUUCGAAUCACAAUCUUUUUUCCCAUCAUUGUAGUUAAGUAUAACCUGAGAAAGAAGUACAAUGGUCUUUACUGAAAUUUACAAGUACUCUACUUUGAGUGUGUGACAACGUACAAAUGAGAGAAAGAAUAGCAAUUAUGACAAAUCUUGCAUCCGACAUCUAAAAAUUUCCAUGAGAAGCACAUAAACAGAAAUACGUAUUUAUUUAGGGCAGGUAGUUCAUAAAUUAUCAUGCCAUUUUGGUCUGGUUCACACAAAAUGUUGACCUUUAUGCUUUGCUUCAUCCCACAUCGGCCAAACGGAAGGAAAGGCUCCUUUGGAGAGCCUAUAAUAGAAGGGCCGAUUGAAGGUUUUAAAUGUACCAAACCAAGAGAGCAUUAAUGGGUUAUUUGGGUCUUUGGGUCAUUAAGCCUUUUGAAGUAGAAAUACUUUGGACUCUCUUAUGUUUUAGUAUUAGGUACCUCUUUGGCCUAGGAACCAUUUUUUUACGGCUUUUGUAUAUCUUCUUCAUAGUAGAAAUAUUGUUCCUCUUCCGCCCGUAGACGUAGGACAAUUUGACCGAACCACGUAAAUUUCUGUAUCUUUUAUUUUGCUUUGUUAUUUGUCUUUAUUGGGUUGCCACAACCCUUUUAUAUGAUCGGUUUUACCGCCUAAGUAUUAUAUGGCUGGUGUCUACCGCCUAAAUAUUAUAUGGUCGGUUAUAUUGUCUAAUAAGCAAACAGACUUAAUUCAUUUGUUCAAACAAAUCUGAAGUGUUUGUAAUAUUAAUCAAUCUACUUUACCACUUGUUUCCAGUGCCAUAGCAACAUAACUCUUCCGCAAUCUUCUUUUCAGGAAAACUAAAGCCAUGAUAAAUAGCACGACAGCAACCCCAAUUAAUGGGACAGCAAUCCGUAGGGGGCUUCGCCCUUUGCCUGGAUGAAAGUUAGUUUAAUUUAGCUUCGAAAGUCAGCUGAUCAUAGGAGAUCAAGUUUAUUAAACUUCGAGGUAGAGUCACUCUGAGACAGCCUUACAUAGACAAAAAGCUAGAGUUGAGAUCCUCUCUAUUACUUUCUCACUUAUGUGCCUAAAUUUUUCAUAACAAUCUAUUUAUGUCAAUAAUUUUACUUCCACAAGUAGAUCAACAUACUUAAAAUUCAUUCUCACUUAUGAAUUUUUUGUCAUUCAAUUUGUACAAAACACUUUGACGGUGCAAUAUGGGUCAAAAUUAUAUUAAAAAAAAUGUAAAGUUUGAUCCAAUAGUAAAAUUUAAUCAAUUUAAUUCAAAUUUUUUAAUAUACUUUAAACAACACCAGAAAUAUAAUUUGGAUGACCUUUUAUUUCAAACAUAGUAUUAUAACCAUGUUUACUUAGGUGUAAUGGAGAAAAAAUUUUCUUCAAUUAAUGGAGAAGAGCCUAACCCAAAAAGCUAUGCAAAAACACAUUAUUUGAAAGAAUUUUUUUUUCAAAUAUUCUUUAAAAGUUUUUCACUACCUUUUGGUAUCACAUGCUUCAUGUUGAUGGUAAAUGAAGAGAGAUUUUCAUCAUCAAUUUUCAAUAUUAUGGAUUAAUAUUAAGAAACUCCCCUGAGGUUUGAACAUACACAAGCUUAACUGUGUUUGGACCAAAUUACGACUACAAAUUGUAAGCGAGGCUGUCCAGACCUAGUGAUUAUAAAGAAAUGACAACAAUGGCAAAUAUUUUGGAAAUAAAACCAAACAAAUGAGAUUGCUUUUUUAGGCCAAAGAAUUGCUAUAGAAGAAAAAAGGUCGAAGAAAAUUAAUUACGAAAAUUAAGAAGAGAGACAAAUCACCAAAAAUUCUUUAGCCUAUGCACUUGCAGCCUUGUGUAGAAGUGCAAGUCCUUAUUUCUUAUUGUUGCAAGUCCUUAUAUGAAGAAUACAUGGCAAUAUGCAUAGUUAUUAAAUUCGAUCGGACAAGAAAUCCAACAAAGGGACCAAGGCAAUGGGUGACUAGUUUAACCAAUCAGUCAUUGGUUGAACUAGUGGGUACUAAAUUAAUAUUUACAAAUAUAAAAUAGAAAUAAAGUGCUUUUAAAUACAAAUUAUUAUACUUUGAAAGAUAUAUAAUGAACAUACAAAUAUUAAUAGAAGAUUCAAUUUCAUUUUACUGUACUUGCACAUAAUUAAAUAACACAUUCAAAUAUAGAACAAAAUUGUAUCACUUAUUUUCAAAGAUAUAGCAUAAUUUUUAUUAUUUUAUCUUUCAAAAAUAAAAUAAUUUUUAACAACUCAAAUAUUGUAAGUUUGAAAGUUAAAAUAAUUAAUUGUAUAACAAAAAAGUAAACAAGUUUAUGUGAUAAAACAUUUAAUUAUCAAGUAAAAACUAAGAAAGUAGUAAAAUUUUAUACACAUUUAAAUGAAAAUCCAACAUACAAAUCUAGUCAAAAGUAUAGUACACUUUAUUUCAAAAACAAUGAUCCACACUUGUAUUAGAAAAAAGAACCCAGUCAACUGGAAAACUAGAGGGGCUCCGAUUGAACCACCAUGUCAAACAGGUUUGAUCGGACUAAUUCAUUCUCCAAUCAAAUUGGAAAUCCUUUCGGCCGGAUGGUCGAGUUAUUGGUAGGGUUGCAAAUUAAUCGAACCGCUUACAAGCAAUUCAAUCCAAAGCUCAGCUCGAGCUCGAUGUGCUGCUCACGACAACUCGAGCUCGAUCAAGAUCGAACUCGAGUCGGGCUCAAUCUGAUCAAGUCGAACUCGAAUUCGAACUCGAGUUCAAAGAUAUUCAACUCAUUAAUUCAUAAGCCGACUUAAUUAUAUAUAAAUAUUUUAUUUUUUAUUUUAAUAAUAAAAUUACACAUAUAUUCCUAAUAGUUUAUUAUUUGUUAAGAAAAUUAUUAUUUUAUUCCCUUUUAAAAAAUAAAAUAAAUAUUUUUUUUAAGCUCAAGGUUGAAUUCAAUUUCGAUUCGAAUUUGAGUCAAACUCGAGCUCGAGUUGUUACAUUGGGAGAUCAUCGAGUUCGAGCUCAAGUUUGAGUUUGAUAAAACUAAGUCAAGUUUGGAUCGAUUAAACGAAAGUUGACUUGACUCAACUCAUUUGUAGCCGAUUUCAUUGGGCUGAUUGUUUCAACUGCUAGGGUCACGUCAGAUUCAAUAACUAUAGGGGAUGAAAUAAUAAGUAAAACAGAAAAUCCAUUGUGAAACAAAUGUAAAAAAAAUUUAUUUGGCAAGAAAACAAUGAUAGGAUUCAAAAGUGGAGGAGAAAGGGAAUUUGAAUCUAAGAUCUCUAAAUUCUAAGGUCUCAACCUUAGCCACUAAGCAUAUAGUGCGUUACCUCAUGAUCUCCAUGUCUAUGUGAAAUUAUCCUAUUAUCUUGGCCCCUUGAACUUUCUUGGGAAGUGGAUCACUGAUUUUUCCUUUUUAGGCUAAAUUAACUUCAAAGAGGGUAAAUAUGGUAUUGGUUGAUUUCAAUGCUAAUAUUUGUCUUGUAUAUUUUUUUCUCAGCUGUUUUCUACUUUGGGCUCUUGAACUAAAGACAUACUGCCCCUUUAAUCAUUAAAUUUCAAAGUAGAGCACUUUAUUUCUUAAAAUAUGAAAUUCAUCCUACUUUAGUUCUUAAUAAUUGUAUUCAAAAUUUUGACAGCUAGUUUUGUCACAAAACGAAGAAAGAUCAAAUGGCUUCACGUUACCAAAGCACAACUAAGGUAAAAUUGCGAUUUUGAAACCACAAGAGGUUAAGAGGCAAAACAUUAAACCACAGAGAAGUACCAUUAAUUUACUUAUUUAAUAUCAGAUUUCAAACUAGCAAACAAUUCUACUUCAACAUAUAUUCAGUAGUUAUUACAAUCCUAAUGCUUGCAAAAAGACUAAAUUUACUGUCCUAAGAAGUAUGACUCCACUUAAAAUCUUCCAUAAAUGACAAAUGAUGAUGCAUGUGAUCAGUAAGAUGUGCUAAUGCUGAAAUCUUACUGUUGCGUAUUCAACUAAAAUUUGACUUAGAAAAUUCAAUAAGUUACGUGGUGGUCUCCUAUAGGUACAUAUUUUCGUUUGAAAGUGAAUUCACACCCCUCAUCCUAUAUUUACAUAUUCUACUAACUUCAAUAAUGUUAAUUCCAAUAAUAAAGGUAUGAAUUUAAAAUGAAGGCAUGUGAAUUUAGUAUACUACAAACAAGAAAUUGUAAGAAUUAAGAUUGUAUUCAACACCAAUUCCAAGAAGAAACGGCCAUAGCAAGGCUGCAGAACUUACCUUCAGUGGAAUUAGGAGGAGGACCGCCAGGAGAGUUUGGCGAUGCAGAGGAUACAGUAUCAUAGAAGACGGAGACCUCAUACCUCAGAUUACAGCUUGGAUAGAUUACUCUCCCUCCCUGCUUCUUGGAACAGCAAGCGGGUACAACCACUAUAGCCUCUGUGAGGCACCUUUUGCAGUCAUAAGGGGAUAGAUCUGGUGUGCACUGCGUAAGGGUAUACAAUCUCUUUUGAUCAGUGGAAUAAUUGCCUUCUUGGACAGCAAACUUUUUGCCCAAGGUAUGAUUUGCAGCCUCAUCCGCAGCGUUGUGCAACAAAUUUUUCAAUACCAUUUUGAAUUUGUCCCAGUCAGGUCCAGGGACAUUAAUUGGAUUGCACCUAGUCAAAUUCUCUCCCAAAUCAGCCUUGGAGAAGAUCGUCUGGUCAGAAAAACGUAACAAGCACUCGUCAUACCAAACAAUAGCAGCUGUUUGAUUCGGGCACUCAUCAAGUAGUCGUAUGUGGGCAUCUGCUACGCAUUCUUUGCAAACAUCAGUGUUGACAUCACCUCGACAGAGAAAGACGCCAUAGACCUUGUUUGAAGCGUCAUCGCCAGUACUGAAAUUAUAGAAGCCAUUAUUGUCUGUCCGAGAUGCAUGCGAAGACAGAGUGUCAAGCAAGAAAUUCAGAUUGGUUCUGUAAGUGCUGCCGGAAUUGUAUGUAAUAUUUCCAUAGUAAGAGUCAAGAAUUGUGAACCAAGACAGCCUUUAUAUUGGUUUUGUUACCAAACGUAUACAUUGUAAACCCGGGCUAUCCUUCAUAAUUCGUUGGUACAAAGAUAUAAUUGAUAGAUUCAGUUUGGAAGCCAACUUUGCUAUGUACAAAUGAUAAAAGUUCAAGACACAUUGUUUGUUCGAUCAGCUGGGGAAUAAUGUUCAUAAAUAAAAUUGCUCUUCUAUUUUUAAAAAAUAUCUAAAGAGCGACAACAACUUGCAUUUUCUUUCAAGCACAUCCUUAUACCCCUAAGGUGGAAGAAGUCAAUUAGUGUGAAGAAGCAAACAUUGAAACGAUCCCCUAAUUUCCAACAAUAGUGGGCAAAUUUAGAUACCUUCCUGGUAAAUGAAUCAUGCUUCAAAAUCUACAACAUAAUGCUGAUGAUGAACUUGAUAUUUUCUUCCAGAAUUGGCCUAUUUCUUCCUUCAUCUGGGAUAUGGUUCAGUAAUUGAUGCAUCAUUGACAGAGCUUGGAGCUGAAAUUCUUUGAGUGUUGGGUUGAUCAACUUUCAGCUCGUCUACCCUGCUCUCCGAUCCAUUGCUCCGGAAAACCGCCGGACGAUGUGGAGUUGGUAGGGAAACAGAACCAGGAUUGAGCAUGCUGACCACGGAAGCCAUUUUGGGUCUUUUACUGGCAUCUUCUUCAACACAUAGUAAGCCAACUUGGAUGCAUUGAAUGACUUCAUUUCUGGCAUAAGAAUCUCCAACGCUUGAAUCCAAAAGAGCUAAAGUUUGGCCGCGUCUCCAAUGGUUCCAAGCCUUUUCGAAAUAAUCCCACGUAUAAGGAGUUCAGACUUAAAAAUUUCAAUUAGCUUAAAUAGAUAUACAGGUAACGUCAAUAUUCACAAUAGGCAAUUGUCAAUACUCUCUAUUUCAAGUUUAAUCAUAUAAAAAGAUUGAUCAAUCUUUCUUACAUUGACAGUGUAUACACUGUUGUCAGUGUUGGAUGAACAACAAUUAUGCAAAAUUUGAAUUUUAAAUUUAACUUUUGCAUACAUGUUAUGAAUCUAACGGUGAUAGUAUAUACACUGUGUGAUAUAUGAGAUUUAUUCAUAAAAGAUUUCGAAUCGCAACCUUUUUUCCCAUCAUUGUAGUUAAGUAUAACCUGAGAAAGAAGUACAAUGGUCUUUACUAAAAUUUACAAGUACUCUACUUUGAGUGUGUGACAACGUACAAAACGAGAGAAAGAAUAGCAAUUAUGACAAGUCUUGCAUCCGACAUCUAAAAAUUUCCAUAAGAAGCACAUAAACAGAAGUACGUAUUUAUUUAGGGCAGGUAGUUCAUAAAUUAUCGUGCCAUUUUGGUCUGGUUCACACAAAAAAUGGUAUUGCAAGUUUAGGUGAAUUUAAUAAUGAAAAAAAAGAAAAGAUAAAAGGUUGAAAAUUAGGAGUGCCAAUAUCAAAUCCUCCUCCCCAGUUCUGCAAAAGCCAAAAAAAAAAAAGGUAACAACUAUAGCAAAGGUUUUGCAAUUUGUACUUACAUAGCUUAGAAGGUCUUCGGAAUCUCUAGAUUGAUGGAAGUCACUGCUCUUCUUGCCCGUGACAAUUUCCAAAAUUACAACCCCAAAACUAAACACGUCUGACUUUAGUGAGAACUGACCCCACCUUGUGUAUUCAGGAGCCAUAUAACCACUACAAGCCACAACGAUUGUUAUAAUCAGCACAAAGAUAAUCCGAAUGAUGCAAUCAAAUGGAGGUGUACAUAAUUUUCCAUGAAAGAUUCAAAGUGAUAUUAUGUGAGAAAAGAUAGUAUGGGAGCAAAACUUACACUGUCCCUGCAAUUCUAUUUGUGUUUCCUUCAUAUUGAUCAACUCCACAAAUCUUUGCCAUGCCAAAAUCUGCUAUCUUUGGACUCAUAUUUUCAUCCAAUAAUAUAUUACUUACUUUGAGAUCGCGAUGAACAAUUCUUAGACGAGAAUCCUCAAGCAGAUAAAGAAGUCCUUUUGCUAUACCUCCUAUGAUAUUGUAACGUCUUGACCAGUUCAAUGAUCGUUUAUUUUCUGGAUCUACACAAAUUUAAACAAUAACUCCAUAGAGCAUAAUCAAAUAGGUAAAUUACAUUUGUAGCUUUUAAAAUAUAAAUGCACUCCACAGACACUUCACCCUAAAGGUUUUAAAUUGUCCCACUUCAGUAUAAUUAUUAAUGAAAUCAUCCCACUUUGACAAUUGAGUGAGUGAUUGUAAUGAUGUGUGACAAAUGUCAUGCUUUAGGAGGUGAAAUAUCCAAAAUUAAAGUUUAAAAACUAAAGUUUGAGUGCGUCUGUGGUUUAAGGGUCUAAACUAGAAUUAAACAUUUGUCUAGAGCCAUAAAUAGAACCCACCAUAGAUGGCAACAAAAAAUUACUAUAAGUAUGUCUAGAUUGAACCCACCAAAGAGAAAGUAGUCAAGGCUUUUGUUGGCAACAAAUUCAUAGAUGAGUAUCUUUUCUUCUCCUUCCAGGCAAAAUCCCAAUAGCCGAACUAGAUUUCUGUGUUGAAGCUUUGCAACUACUACAAUUUCAUUUUUAAAUUCUUCUGCACCUUGCACUGAGCUCCUUGACAGCCUUUUAACAGCUACUUCUUGUCCAUUACCAAGUACACCCUGAUUAAACAUGCAUACUAGAAUUUAAUUGAAAUAUUAAAUGUGUAGAUAUUCAAAUUCACAAAAGCAAAAUAUCUCAUGCAAAGACCUUGUAUACACGACCAAAUCCACCUUCGCCAAUUUUGUUAUCCACAGAGAAGUUAUUUGUGGCAAUUUGAAUUUCAGUUAAGCUAUACUGUAAGGAUUCGGCUGUUAAGAUCUCAGCAACUCCAUCUACACCAGGGAUAAGCAACUUCACUCAAUUUAUUAGUUCAAAAACCUCUGAGGUUUCCUGUAAUUGCAAUCAAUAAACUUUACCACUUGUUUCCGGUGCCAUUGCAACACGACUCUUCCGCAAUCUUCUUUUCAGGAAAACUAAAGCCAUGACAAAUAGCACAACAGCAACCCCAAUUAAUGGGACAGCAAUUGAAAAAGCUGCUCGCGGGGGGCUUCGCCCUUUGCCUGGAUGAAAGUUAGUUUAAUUUAGCUUCGAAAGUCAGCUGAUCAUAGGAGAUCAAGUUUAUUAAACUUCGAGGCAGAGUCACUCUGAGACAGCCUUACAUAGACAAAAAGCUAGAGUUGAGAUCCUCUCUAUUACUUUCUCACCAUUUAUGUGCCUAAAUUUUUCAUAACAGUCUAUUUAUGUCAAUAAUUUUACUUCCACAAGUAGAACAACAUACUUAAAAUUCAUUCUCAUUUAUGAAUUUUUUGUCAUUCAAUUUGUACAAAACACUUUGACGGUGCGAAAUGGGUCAAAAUAUAAUUACAAUAAAAAAUGUAAAGUUUGAUCCAAUAGUAAAAUCCAAUAGCUUAACUGUGUUUGGACAAAUCACCAAAAAAAUCUUUACCCUAUGCACUUGUAGCCUUGUGUAGAAGUGCAAAUCCUUAUUUCUUAUUUGCUGGAUGAUUUCGCACCACGCAUCUGUGGCCUGUGAAAUUGGAUAGCAUAAGUUUCCUUCUCUUUCAGAAGACCAUGGAUCUGAGGUGGGAAAUCACCCAACGAUGUGUUUCCUCUGCGGUGUUUUUUGUUCUUUUGUCAUGUAUUUGUUUUUAGUUAUUCCAUUUUGAUUUUUUAUGACCCUACAUGAAGAAUACAUGGCAAUAUGCAUAGUUAUUAAACUCGAUUGGACAAGAAAUCCAACAGAGGGACCAGGGCAACAGGUGACUAGUUUAACCAAUCAGUCAUUAGUUGAAGUAGUGGGUACUAAAUUAAUAUUUACAAUUAUAAAAUAGUAAUAAAGUACUUUUAAAUACUAAUUGUUAUACUUUGAAAGAUAUAUUAUGAACAUACAAAUAUUAAUAGAAGAUUCAAUUUCAUUUUACUGUACUUGCAUAUAAUUAAAUAACACAUUCAAAUAUAGAACAAAAUUGUAUCACUUAUUUUCAAAGAUAUAGCAUUAUUUUUAUUAUUUUAUCUUUCAAAAAUAAAAUAAUUUCUAACAACUCAAAUAUUGUAAGUUUGAAAGUUAAAAGAAUUAAUUGUAUAACAAAAAAGUAAACAAGUUUAUGUAAUAAAACAUUUAAUUAUCAAGUAAAAACUAAGCAAGUAGUAAAAUUUUAUACACAUUUAAAUGAAAAUCCAACAUACAAAUCUAGUCAAAAGUAUAUUACACUUUAUUUCAAAAACAAUGAUCCACAAUUGUAUUAGAAAAAAGAACCCAGUCAAGUGGAAAACCGGACAGGCUCCAAUUGAACCACCAUGUCAAAUAGGUUUGAUCGGACCAAUUCAUUCUCCAAUCAAACUAGAAAUCCUUUCGGCCGGAUGGUCGAGUUAUUGGUAGGAUUAAACGAAUCGAAUCACCUACGAGCAAUUCAAUCCAAAGCUCGAGUCGAGCUCGAUCAACAUCGAACUCGAGUCGAGCUCAACCUGAUCAAGUCAAACUCGAAUUUAAAUUCGAGUUCAAAGAUAUUCAACUCAUUAGUUCAUAAGCCGACUUAAUUAUAUAUAUAUAUUAUUUUUUAUUUUAAUAGUAAAAUUACGUUUAUAUUCCUAAUAUUUUAUUAUUUGUUAAGAAAAUUAUUAUUUUAUUUCCUUUUUAAAAAAUAAAAUAAUUUUUUUAAAUUCGAGUUUGAAUUCAAACUCGAUUCAAAUUUGAGUCAAGUUCGAGCUCAAGUUGUUACAUUGAGAGCUUGUUGAGUUCAAGCUCGAGUUUGAGCUUGAUAAAACUAAGUCAAGUUUGAAUCGAUUAAACCAAAGUCGACUCUACUCAACUCAUUUAUAGCCUAUUUCAUUGGGCUGAUUGUUUCAACUACUAGGGUCACGCCAGGUUCAAUAACUAUAGGGGAUGAAAUAAAAAGUAAAACAAAAAUUCCAUUGUGAAACAAAUGUAAAAAAAAUUUAUUUGGCAAGAAAACAAUGAUAGGAUUUAAAAGUGGAGGAGAAAGGAAAUUUGAAUUUAAGAUCUCUAAAUCCUAAGGUCUCAACCUUAGCCACUAAGCAUAUAGUGUUAUACCUCAUGAUCUCUUGUGCAUGUGAAAUUAUCCUAUUAUCCUGGCCCCUUGAACUUUCUUUGAAAGUGGAUCACUGAUUUUUCCUUUUUAGGCUAAAUUAACUUCAAAGAGGGUAAAUAUGGUAUUGGUUGAUUUCAAUGCUAAUAUUUGUCUUGUAUAUUUUUUUCUCAGCUAUUUUCUACUUUGGGCUCUUGAACUAUAGACAUACUACCACUUUAAUCAUUAAAUUUCAAAGUUAAGCACUUUAUUUCUUAAAAUAUGAAAUUCAUCUUACUUUAGUUCUUAAUAAUUGUAUUCAAAAUUUUGACAGCUAGUUUUGUCACAAAACAAAGAAAGAUCAAAUGGCUUCACGUUGCCAAAGCACAACUAAGGUAAAAUUGCGAUUUUGAAACCACAAGGGGUUAAGAGGCAAAACAUUAAACCACAAAGAAGUAACAUUAAUUUAAUUAUUUAAUAUCAUAUUUCAAACUAGCAAACAAAUAUAUUGCACUAUAACGGAAAAUCUUUUACAUGCAUACAAUACAUCAUCGAUCUUCUUCAAUGUCUUUGUCCUAAAGUGGAAAAACUAAAAUGGAUUCUUCUUUGCAUUAUGCCAUAGUAAUUUCAUUUUUUUACAUCAAUUUUGCUAUCAAUAGCAUUCAUAAUAUAACUCAUGUACUAUUUUAGUUAAACUCAAAAGUUAAAUUAAAAAUACCAAACUUUUUCCAUUUGAUUAAUCAUUGGAAAAUUUUCCAUGAACUUAAACCCUUUUACACUAUAUAAAUGUUUCUAGCAAAUUGAAUGCAAAAACUUUCUCAAAUGCACUUUAUAUUCAUGUAUGCUGAUCAAGCAAUCAAAAUAAAAUUAUAACAUAAGUAUAUGAGUUUUAAAAACCAUAUCAUAGAUAAAUGGAUAGAUAACUAAAUAAAAACGUAAUGCAAAAGUGCCCAACCCAUUUUCGGACGUCAGGCCAUCACGGUUAAAGGGAUUCCGCAAUGACCAUAACAAUACUACUUCAACAGUUGAACAUAUAUUCAAUAGUUAUUACAGUCCUAAUGCUUGCAAAAAGACUAAAUUUACUGUCCAUAAAUGACAAAUGAUGGAUCCAAAUUUGCAUGUGAUCUGCUAAUGCUGAAAUCUUACUGUUGCGUAUUCAACUAAAAUUUGACUUAGAAAAUUCAAUAAGUUACGUGGUGGUCUUCUAUAGGUACAUAUUUUCGUUUGAAAGUGAAUUCACACCCCUCAUCCUAUAUUUACAUAUUCUACUAACUUCAAUAAUAUUAAUUCCAAUAAUAAAGGUAUGAAUUUAAAAUGAAGGCAUGUGAAUUUAGUACUACAAACAAGAAAUUGUAAGAAUUAAGAUUGUAUUCAACACCAAUUCCAAGAAGAGACGGCCAUAGCAAGGCUGCAGAACUUACCUUCAGUGGAUUUAGGAGGAGGACCGCCAGGAGAGUUUGGCGAUGCAGAGGAUACAGUAUCAUAGAAGCUGGAGACCUCAUACCUCAGGUUACAGCUUGGAUAAAUUACUCUCCCUCCCUGCUUCUUGGAACAGCACGCGGGUACAUCUCUUAUAGCCUCUGUGAGGCACCUGUUACAGUCAUCAGGGGAUAGAUCUGGUGUGCACUGCGUAAGGGUAUACAAUCUCUUUUGAUCAGUGGAAUAAUUGCCUUCUUCGACAGCAAACUUUUUGCCCAUGGCAUGAUAUGCAGCCUCAUCCGCAGCGUUAUGCAACAAAUUGAUCAAUACCAUUAUGAAUUUGUCCCAGUCAGGUCCAGGGACAUCGACUGGAUUGCGCCUAGUCAAAUUCUCUCCCAAAUCAGCCUUGGAGAAGAUCGUCUGGUCAGAAAAACGUACCAAGCACUCGUCAUACCAAACAAUAGCAGCUGUUUGAUUCGGGCACUCAUGAAGUAGUCGUGUGCGGGCAUCUGCGACGCAUUCUUUGCAAACAUCAGUGUUGACAUCACCUCGACAGAGAAAGAGGCCAUAGACCUUGUUUGAAGGGUCAUCGCCAGUACUGAAAUUAUAGAAGCCAUUGUUGUCUGUCCAAGAUGCAUGCGAAGACAGAGUGUCAAGCAAGAAAUUCAGAUUGGCUCUGUAAAUGCUGCCGGAAGGACUGUUAGGAUUGUAUGUAAUAUUUCCACAGUAAGAGUCAAGAUAGUUCCAGGGGUUUGUGUCGUUGGAAGUGGAACAACAAUAUUCAAUGGUAUGGAAGCUAAGCAAACAAAGCAUGUAAUAUUUGAAGUGGAACAACAAAUUUCUGGAGAUCAUUUCAAAGGAAGGCAUCAAAAGAGUAAAAGGCUAACAACCUACAAACUAGAUUGGUAGAUUAGGAGCCAAAUUAAGUAUUGUUUGAGGGACCAUGAAAGUUGUAUAAGCCAGGAAAACUUAUGGCCUGGGAAAACUUGACCUUGGCAGACAACCAACUCGCCUGGACGUGAACCAUCAGCUGAAUGGUCUCUAACCAAAAUUCAAUACGUCAGUAAUAGAUUUUUACCUUUUGACAAAAAAAAAAAUAAUGGAUUUUGACGGGAAUGCAAAUUUCAGGAUGCUAACAACUAUCAAACAACGUCAUCGUGGAGGAUAAUUGUAAUUUGAGUAAAGUGGACCCAAAUUGAAUCUCUAUCUAUUAGUUCAAUACUUUUAAGAAAAAGUUCUCUAUAUAUAGUUAAAAGGAUAAAUUAUACACAUAAUCCCCUAUAGAUUCAUUGAUUGUCACAUGACAACCCUAAUAUUUUCAAUAUUCAUAUAAAACCUCUAUGGUUUCAUAUAAAAUAGAAAUUUUACAAAAAAAAAUCUUAUGUUACACAAUUAGUUGAACUACUAUUAUUGCCCUUACUUAAAUAUUAAAUCGAACAACAAUCAGACCACCUUGUAUAAAGUUAUAGAAGAAUUAUGUGGAUAAAUACAAAAUCUAUAGAGGGUUAAAGUAGAUAUUUAUAAAUUGUAGGAGCAUUAAGUGGAUAUUAUUAAUUCACCACAUGCAUUUUUGGAGCACAUCUAGUUCAAUCACUGUAACCAUUGAUGUUUUCCGUCUAUUUUUCAUAUUACAUGAAACAAUAGGGGUUUAUGCGGAUAUUUUGAAAUGUAAAGGAGAUCAUAUAUUAAUAUAAAAAUCCAAGGUGAUUACAUGUAAUUUACCAUAAAAUCCCGUAAAGUCUGUCGCAUUUUAAUUGGAUUGAAACUUUCCAAUAAUUUUUGUUGUCAAAAAUGCCAAUAAACUGUCCAACUACUUGUUUUGCAGUACAUACGUGUUCACCAUUUUGUCAAACUGAUUUACAUUUCUUAAUCUUCUUUUGAUUAAUUCAAAGGAACCCUCAAGGAAAGCAACGUCUACCCAUUUAUUAAUGACCAAUUCCGCGUUGCUUUGUUUUAAAAAAUUCAUCAAGUUUAAGAGCCACUUUUUGAACAUAGUUACAAGGGUGCCUGCAGCAUCAGUAAGAAGCGACCAUUAUGAUGGUUGCUGAUCUUUGUUUUUGCAAGAAACCGGUCACAAUAGAGCUACUCCUGUAAAUCCUCGUUUAUGUUAUCAGUUUUUGUGAACCAGGGUUUUUCGAGAAUGAAAAGGAACUAAUAUUCUCUUGCUCCAUAUUCUAACUUAAGCGAUGACCAACCUAAAAAUCCCCACUACACUACUAAGUAGUAGGCCAUAAUAUAUGCUUUCCUGCUGUGGAUGAGAGAGAGAGAGGAUUGGAGGUGGAAAAGAAAGAGAAGGAAAUCUUUGUUAUUGUUUUGCAUUAGAAUCUUUAAUAUAGGAAGAAAAUCUUUGUUAUUGUUUUGCAUUGGAGAACCUAGUAAAUUCUUUAAUAUAGGAAGAAAAUCAAAAGGAGCUCUAACAUUUAAAGGAAAUUUGUGAUCCUAUUGCCAAUUGCGUUUGUACACAUAUCUUCUCAAUGAUCUCAUUCUCAUACGUCGAGAGCUACAUACAUUAAGCAAAACCGCUAUGAUUAUCUAACCUAAAAAAUUUUAAAAAAAAAUUCUUCAACAAAAAAGGGAAAAAAAUGCAAAGAUUUGCAAGAUUACAGGAAAAUUAAGAAUUGUGUCUUGUCCCCAAUACUUCAAUGCUGCCAAGUCAAAUGCACGUGCAGAAGCUUCUUCAUCAUCGUAAGCUCCUGCCAGGAAAAAAACAAGUGACUCUUUUUUCUUUUCUUAUUUCAUAUGUCAGCACAAGAAGUUUAGUGAUAAACUUCUUUUCAAACCGAUAUAGUAAUAUUUCUUUCAAAUUUCGAAUUGAGGUUUAGUGAUAAUUAAAGAAUUUGAUAGUACCUUUUAUCCAAUCUACUAAGUGCACGUAAUAGAAGGACCUAAAUUUUAAGAAAAAGUCAAUCAAAAUUUCAAGCAUGACGAAAGUCAAAAUAUUGAAUGGAGUGGAAAGUCAAGCUUAAAAUUGAAACUCGAUGUUGAUUUCGAACCCGAGUUGGAGCAUGUUAAAAAUAAGGCUCAGCCGGAUUCGAUUACACUUCGGCCCACACCAACCCCCGUCACUAAUCUCAAUAUUUGAAAUUCCUUCGAGCUCUAAACGGCAACCUAUCCUUUCUUGACAUGCGUCACAAUAAACUAUCAAUAGAUACCAUUAGGGAACGGCUUCAAGCCCUUUAAAAAAAAUGAUGAAAUACAGAGUCCUCCUUAACGUGCCAAUAGUUUUUCCUGUCAAUCACAACAUCACAAUUCCCUAGCUUUUCCUGACCCAGAAAAAGAAAGAAUGAAAUGAAGGAAAGAAAAAUCCAAGAUGAAGAAUAAGAAAUAUUUUGUUGAUCUGCCAUUAUCUCCCAUACACUUGCUAAGAUAUUCACUUGUAUAAUUUUGGGUUGAUAAUUUUGUAUUUUUUAAUAUCAAUUUCCAUAUUCUAAAUUUCAUCUAUGCAUUUGGGGAUUUCAUAGAAUUUUAUAUACCUUUAAAUUCUCAAGAUUUCUAGGUUUUUUGUGAUUAUUUAUGUAGCAGAAUAAUUCACAGAUGUAGUUAUUCACUUGAAAAAGUUCAUAUGCUAAAUGUGAAGAUUGUAUAAAUGCAUCAACUAUCCUUUUUCUUUUUUGCGUAAUCAUUGAUAGUUGGGAUAGCCAUCAUAUUUACACAAUUAUAUGAAUGGUUUUUCUUUGCUUGAAGAAAAGGGAAAAAGAUUGGCUAAGUUACAUUAAAAAGAAGAAUAGAAAAAGGUAAGUCCAAUAAGGAAAAGAAUAAAGAAAAGAGAAAAUUAAAUGACAAAAUUGGGUAAAUACUUUAAACCAAAAAAAAAAAAGAAGGAAUAACAAAUACGAAGAUUGUAUGAAUGCAAGUACAAUGUUAUUACAAUAGAAUACUUAAGAAAGCUUAGGUGAUAAUAAAUCAUUGAAUGCUGAAAAAGUUCCAAAUCAGGAUGAAUCUGAUAUAAUUUAAACUCUUUUUAACUAAUAACACACUCCAAGAAUUGUGAACCAAGACAGCCUUCAUAUUGGUUUUGUUACCAAACGUAUACAAUGAUAUAAUUGAUAGACUCAGUUUGGAAGCCAACUUUGCUAUGUACAAAUGGUAAAAGUUCAAGACAAACUGUUUGUUCGAUCAGCUGGGGAUUAAUGUUCAUAAAUAAAAUUGCUCUUCUAUUUUUAAAAAAUAUCUAAAGAGCGACAACAACUUGCAUUUUCUUUCAAGCACAUCCUUAUACCCCUAAGGUGGAAGAAGUCAAUUAGUGUGAAGAAGCAAACAUUGAAGCGAUCCCCUAAUUUCCAACAAUAGUGGGCAAAUUUAGAUACCUUCCUGGUUAAUGAAUCAUGCUUCAAAAUCUACAACAUAAGGCUGAUGAUGAACUUGAUAUUUUCUUCCAGAAUUGGCCUAUUUCUUCCUUCAUCUGGGAUAUGGUUCAGUAAUUGAUGCAUCAUUGACAGAGCUUGGAGCUGAAGUUCUUUGAGUGUUGGAUUGAUCAACUUUCAGCUCGUCUACCCUGUUCUCCGAUCCAUUGCUCCGGAAAACUGCCGGACGAUGUGGAGUUGGUAGGGAAACAGAACCAGGAUUGUGCAUGCAGACCACGGAAGCCAUUGUGGGUCUUUUACUGGCAUCUUCUUCAACACAUAGUAAGCCAACUUGGAUGCAUUGAAUGACUUCAUUUCUGGCAUAAGAAUCUCCAAUGCUUGAAUCCAAAAGAGCUAAAGUUUGGCCGCGUCUCCAAUGGUUCCAAGCCUUUUCGAAAUAAUCCCACUCAUAAGGUGUACAUUCUUAAAAACUUCAAUUAGCUUAAAUAGAUAUACAGGUAAAUGUCAAUAUUCACAAUAGGCAAUUGUCAAUACUCUCUAUUUCAAGUUUAAUCAUAUAAAAGGAUGAAUUGAUCUUUCCUACACUGACAAGUUUAAUCAUAUAAAAGGAUGGAUUGAUCUUUCCUACACUGACAGUGUUGAAAUGCCUUGAAUUAGAUCUUCAACCCCCGCUGAGCUGUACGGUUUCGGGUCUUGUUUUGGGCCUAUUGUUGGGUCCAGUCUGUUUGGCUGUAUAUAUAUACACCUUAUGUUAGUUUGUAAACUAUUUUUCUGAUUGCAACCCUAAUAAAAUCUGAUUUCCCCCAAGUUGUUCUUGUCUGCUCUUGUUUGUUCUUCUGUUCCGCUGCAACUGAUAUAACAAACUGGUAUCAGAGCUCUAGGUUUGUCCUAGGGCUCGGAUCACGCAACAACAUGUCUGCUUUGAACAUCAAGAUCGACAAGUUCACUGGGAGAAAUAGUUUCAGUCUAUGGCAGAUCAAGAUGCGGGCUCUGUUAAAGCAACAGGGUCUGUGGAGUCCGCUGACGAAGAAGAAAUCGGAUUCCGUUGAUGAAGAGUCGAUGAGUCUGGAGGAAAAGGCUCACUCGACAAUCAUGCUGUGUCUGGCAGAUGAUGUCAUCACUGAGGUCGCCGGUGAAGAAACUGCUGCGGGUUUGUGGGUUAAACUUGAAAGUCUCUAUAUGACGAAGUCUUUAACCAACAAGUUGCUCCUAAAGCAACGUCUGUUCGGUCUGCGUAUGCAGGAAGGUACUCCUCUUCGAGAACAUUUAGAUCAAUUAAAUACAAUUCUUCUUGAAUUGCGUAAUAUUGAUGUUAAAAUUGAGGAUGAGGAUGCCGCGUUGAUUCUAUUAGUGUCUCUACCGUUAUCGUAUGAGAAUUUUGUUCAGUCUUUUAUUGGCGGUAAAGAUACAGUGACUUUAGAAGAAGUAAGAUCAGCACUGCAUAGUAGAGAGUUGCGCCAUAAGGCGGCUGGUAAUGUUACAGAUAAUCAGGCUGCUGGGCUAGUUGUCAGCAGUAGUAAGGGAAAAUUAGGGAAAAAGAAGUCCGGAAAUAAGAAGCAGUUCUCUAAAGGUCCCAAGCCGGAGGAUGUUUGUAACUAUUGCAAGGAAAAGGGUCAUUGGAAAUCUGAUUGUCCCAAGAAGAAGAAACAGCAGGAAAAACAACACGCUUCAGCUUCAGUUGCAGAAAAGGAAGCAGAAAAUUCAGAAGAAGACCUGGCCCUAAUUGCAAACGAACCAACACAUCACUCUGAUGUGUGGGUUCUUGAUUCUGGGGCGUCCUAUCACAUAUGUCCAAAUAGAGAAUGGUUUACAACAUAUGAGGAGAUAGAUGGCGGAAAUGUCGUUAAGGCUAAUAGCGCUGUCUGCAAGGCUGUUGGAAUCGGUUCGAUUAAGAUCAGGACACAUACUGGAAAAAUUGCCACACUGAACGAAGUCAGGCACGUCCCCAAAAUGACGAAGAAUCUGAUAUCACUUAGUACUCUUGACAGUAAGGGUUUCAGGUUCAGCGGAGGAAGUGGAGAGUUGUGCAUCAGUAAAGGUUCAUUAGUGGUUCUCAAAGGAGUUAAGCAUGGCACCCUGUACAUCUUACAAGGUUCUACGCUAACAGGUUCUGCUGCUGCUGCUGUUGCAUCUUCUGAAGAUCGCAGGUCUGAUAUGACCAAGCUAUGGCACAUUAGGCUUGGUCAUAUGAGCGAAAGGGGGAUGCAGAUUCUGUCUAAACGUGAUCUUCUAGAAGGCCACAAGGUCACCGAUCUUGGAUUCUGUGAACAUUGUACUUUCGGUAAACUACAUCGCAGAAAGUUUGGGAAGGCAAUUCACAGGACAAAAGGCACACUAGAUUACAUCCAUUCUGACUGUUGGGGUCCUUCACGAGUUGAGUCUUUGGGAGGCUGCCGGUAUUUUUUAUCCAUGAUUGAUGAUUAUUCAAGGAUGACUUGGGUAAUCGUUAUGAAGGAAAAAGGUGAAGCUUUCAAGAACUUCAAGCAGUGGAAGGCCUUAGUGGAGAAUCAAACUGGAAAGAAGAUCAAAAGGCUGAGAACUGAUAAUGGCCUGGAAUUCUGUUCAAAGGAGUUCGAUGAAUUCUGCAAAGAUGAAGGAAUUGCUCGGCAUCACACAGUUCGGCACACACCACAACAAAAUGGUGUAGCAGAACGCAUGAAUCAGACACUUCUAGAGAGAGCACGGUGUAUGCUCUUCAAUGCUGAGUUGCCAAGGAGGUUCUGGGCGGAAGCAGUAAGCACGGCCUGCUUCUUGAUCAACCGUGCACCUCAUACAGGUAUAGACUGCAAGAUACCUUAUGAAGUGUGGUCUGGUAUGUCCCCUACUUACUCAAAUUUGAAGGCUUUUGGUUGUACUGCGUAUUAUCAUGUCAGUGAGGGCAAACUAGAACCAAGGGCUAAAAAGGGAGUGUUUCUGGGAUAUGGAGAUGGGGUUAAAGGAUAAAGAAUCUGGUCACCCUCAGAAAAGAAAGUUAUACUUAGUAGAAGUGUAAUUUUUGAUGAAAACUCUAUACUUAACCCCCCUGUGAAGACUGUUGUUGAAGAAAGUGCAGGUGUUGAUAAACAGGUGGAGCUACAAAUCAUUCAAAAUGGUUUUGAAUCACAGCAGCAAUUUAGUGAUCAUCAACAACUAUCCUAUGAAACUGAACCUCCUGCAGAAGUAGAGUCUCCAGAACCUACAUCAGCAGAAAGGUUGGCACCUAUAUCCCAUACUGCGUCAGAAACUCAGCAGCAUGGUAUUGCUUAUGAUCGUGCAAGAAGAGUGGGAGUACAAGCUCCCAGCAGGUAUCGGGAUUUUGUAGGUUAUGCAUUUCAGGUUGCUGAGGAGGUGGAUUCUCCCGAACCCUCUACCUAUAGAGAAGCUAUUUCAGGCAGUGAGUCAGCUCAAUGGCUUGCUGCAAUGGGUGAUGAAAUGGAGUCGUUACACAAGAAUGGCACUUGGGAAUUGGUCAAACGGCCAGCAGAGAGAAAGGUUGUGACUUGCAAAUGGGUCUUUAAAAGGAAGGAAGGAAUUUCUCCAGCUGAGGGCAUCAAGUAUAAAGCACGUGUUGUUGCAAGAGGGUUCACUCAAAGAGAAGGAGUAGACUACAAUGAGAUUUUCUCACCAGUGGUCAGACAUACUUCUAUCAGGGUGCUACUAGCAAUGGUUGCACAUCAGGACUUAGAACUUGAGCAGCUAGACGUGAAGACAGCUUUCCUACAUGGAGAGUUAGAUGAAGAGAUUUAUAUGACUCAGCCAGAUGGAUUCCUUGUUCCGGGAAAAGAAGAUUAUGUAUGCAAGUUGAAGAAAUCUUUGCAUGGAUUAAAGCAGUCCCCAAGGCAGUGGUAUAAAAGAUUUGACGGCUACAUGAUUGAGCUAGGCUACAACAGAAGUCAGUAUGAUUGUUGUGUAUAUCACAACAAACUUGAAGAUGGUUCGAUGAUCUAUUUGAUUCUGUAUGUAGAUGAUAUGCUCAUAGCUGCGAGGAACAAAGCUGAUAUACAGAAGUUGAAAAGUCUUCUCAGUGCAGAGUUUGAGAUGAAAGACUUGGGUGCAGCACAGAAAAUUCUGGGAAUGGAGAUUUUCAGGGAUCGAAGUCAGAAGAAGCUUUUCUUAUCACAAAAGAGCUAUAUUGAGAAGGUAUUAUCCAGAUUUGGCAUGUCUACAGCAAAGCCCUUGAAUACUCCGAGUGCAGCGAAUGCUCAGCUAUCAGUUACGCUCGCACCACAGUCAGAAGCUGAGAUAGAGUAUAUGGCUAAGGUUCCCUAUUCUAGUGCAGUGGGUAGUUUGAUGUAUGCCAUGGUUUGCACUAGACCUGAUCUGGCACAUGCAGUCAGUGUUGUUAGCAGAUUUAUGGCUAAUCCUGGGAAGGAGCACUGGCUGGCCGUGAAACGAAUUUUUCGGUACUUGAGGGGUACAUCUGAUGUUGGUCUCAUCUAUGGAGGUGAUACAGAGUGUUUGGUUACAGGCUAUUCAGAUUCUGAUUAUUCUGGACAUGUUGAUAGUAGGAGGUCGAUGACUGGUUAUGUUUUCACUCUUGGGCAUUCUGUAGUUAGUUGGAAAGCAACUCUACAACCUACAGUGACUCUGUCCACUACUGAGGCAGAGUAUAUGGCACUGACGGAGGCUGUUAAAGAGGGAAUUUGGUUAAAGGGGCUGGUUGGAGAUCUUGGCCUACAUCAGGAUCAGGCUAAUAUAUAUUGUGAUAGUCUCAGUGCAAUAUGUCUAGCCAAGGAUCAAGUUCAUCAUGAGAGGACUAAACACAUUGAUGUCCGAUAUCACUUCUUGAGAUCUGAGACAAGGAUCAAGGUGAAGAAAGUUGGCACUGCUGACAAUCCUGCUGAUAUGUUCACCAAGCCGGUCCCUCAUAGCAAGUUCAAACAUUGUUUGGAUUUGCUAAAUGUCCUAAGUUUCUGAUGGCCCUUAUGGGCAUUCUGAUGGUACUUAGAGAUAAUUCUCUGAGUACUUCUGGCACUUCAUUAGUGCAUCUGUUACAUUCUUUCGGGGAAGAUUCAAGUCAAGGUGGAGAUUGUUGAAAUGCCUUGAAUUAGAUCUUCAACCCCCGCUGAGCUGUACGGUUUCGGGUCUUGUUUUGGGCCUAUUGUUGGGUCCAGUCUGUUUGGCUGUAUAUAUAUACACCUUAUGUUAGUUUGUAAACUAUUUUUCUGAUUGCAACCCUAAUAAAAUCUGAUUUCCCCCAAGUUGUUCUUGUCUGCUCUUGUUUGUUCUUCUGUUCCGCUGCAACUGAUAUAACAGACAGUGUAUACACUGUUGUCAGUGUUUGAUGAACAACAACUAUGCAAAAUUUGAAUUUCAAAUUUAACUUUUACACACAUAUCAUGAAUCUAAGGGUGAUAGUAUAUACACUGUCAGUGUACAUAUGAUUUAUUCAUAAAAGAUUUCGAAUCGCAACCUUUUUUCCCAUCAUUGUAGUUAAGUAUAACCUGAGAAAGAAGUACAAUGGUCUUUACUAAAAUUUACAAGUACUCUACUUUGAGUGUGUGACAACGUACAAAACGAGAGAAAGAAUAGCAAUUAUGACAAGUCUUGCAUCCGACAUCUAAAAAUUUCCAUAAGAAGCACAUAAACAGAAGUACAUAUUUAUUUAGGGCAGGUAGUUCAUAAAUUAUCGUGCCAUUUUGGUCUGGUUCACACAAAAAAUGGUAUUGCAAGUUUAGGUGAAUUUAAUAAUGAAAAAAAAAGAAAAGAUAAAAGGUUGAAAAUUAGGAGUGCCAAUAUCAAAUCCUCCUCCCCAGUUCUGCAAAAGCCAAAAAAAAAAAAGGUAACAACUAUAGCAAAGGUUUUGCAAUUUGUACUUACAUAGCUUAGAAGGUCUUCGGAAUCUCUAGAUUGAUGGAAGUCACUGCUCUUCUUGCCCGUGACAAUUUCCAAAAUUACAACCCCAAAACUAAACACGUCUGACUUUAGUGAGAACUGACCCCACCUUGUGUAUUCAGGAGCCAUAUAACCACUACAAGCCACAACGAUUGUUAUAAUCAGCACAAAGAUAAUCCGAAUGAUGCAAUCAAAUGGAGGUGUACAUAAUUUUCCAUGAAAGAUUCAAAGUGAUAUUAUGUGAGAAAAGAUAGUAUGGGAGCAAAACUUACACUGUCCCUGCAAUUCUAUUUGUGUUUCCUUCAUAUUGAUCAACUCCACAAAUCUUUGCCAUGCCAAAAUCUGCUAUCUUUGGACUCAUAUUUUCAUCCAAUAAUAUAUUACUUACUUUGAGAUCGCGAUGAACAAUUCUUAGACGAGAAUCCUCAUGCAGAUAAAGAAGUCCUUUUGCUAUACCUCCUAUGAUAUUGUAACGUCUUGACCAGUUCAAUGAUCGUUUAUUUUCUGGAUCUACACAAAUUUAAACAAUAACUCCAUAGAGCAUAAUCAAAUAGGUAAAUUACAUUUGUAGCUUUUAAAAUAUAAAUGCACUCCACAGACACUUCACCCUAAAGGUUUUAAAUUGUCCCACUUCAGUAUAAUUAUUAAUGAAAUCAUCCCACUUUGACAAUUGAGUGAGUGAUUGUAAUGAUGUGUGACAAAUGUCAUGCUUUAGGAGGUGAAAUAUCCAAAAUUAAAGUUUAAAAACUAAAGUUUGAGUGCGUCUGUGGUUUAAGGGUCUAAACUAGAAUUAAACAUUUGUCUAGAGCCAUAAAUAGAACCCACCAUAGAUGGCAACAAAAAAUUACUAUAAGUAUGUCUAGAUUGAACCCACCAAAGAGAAAGUAGUCAAGGCUUUUGUUGGCAACAAAUUCAUAGAUGAGUAUCUUUUCUUCUCCUUCCAGGCAAAAUCCCAAUAGCCGAACUAGAUUUCUGUGUUGAAGCUUUGCAACUACUACAAUUUCAUUUUUAAAUUCUUCUGCACCUUGCACUGAGCUCCUUGACAGCCUUUUAACAGCUACUUCUUGUCCAUUACCAAGUACACCCUGAUUAAACAUGCAUACUAGAAUUUAAUUGAAAUAUUAAAUGUGUAGAUAUUCAAAUUCACAAAAGCAAAAUAUCUCAUGCAAAGACCUUGUAUACACGACCAAAUCCACCUUCGCCAAUUUUGUUAUCCACAGAGAAGUUAUUUGUGGCAAUUUGAAUUUCAGUUAAGCUAUACUGUAAGGAUUCGGCUGUUAAGAUCUCAGCAACUCCAUCUACACCAGGGAUAAGCAACUUCACUCAAUUUAUUAGUUCAAAAACCUCUGAGGUUUCCUGUAAUUGCAAUCAAUAAACUUUACCACUUGUUUCCGGUGCCAUUGCAACACGACUCUUCCGCAAUCUUCUUUUCAGGAAAACUAAAGCCAUGACAAAUAGCACAACAGCAACCCCAAUUAAUGGGACAGCAAUUGAAAAAGCUGCUCGCGGGGGGCUUCGCCCUUUGCCUGGAUGAAAGUUAGUUUAAUUUAGCUUCGAAAGUCAGCUGAUCAUAGGAGAUCAAGUUUAUUAAACUUCGAGGCAGAGUCACUCUGAGACAGCCUUACAUAGACAAAAAGCUAGAGUUGAGAUCCUCUCUAUUACUUUCUCACCAUUUAUGUGCCUAAAUUUUUCAUAACAGUCUAUUUAUGUCAAUAAUUUUACUUCCACAAGUAGAACAACAUACUUAAAAUUCAUUCUCAUUUAUGAAUUUUUUGUCAUUCAAUUUGUACAAAACACUUUGACGGUGCGAAAUGGGUCAAAAUAUAAUUACAAUAAAAAAUGUAAAGUUUGAUCCAAUAGUAAAAUCCAAUAGCUUAACUGUGUUUGGACAAAUCACCAAAAAAAUCUUUACCCUAUGCACUUGUAGCCUUGUGUAGAAGUGCAAAUCCUUAUUUCUUAUUUGCUGGAUGAUUUCGCACCACGCAUCUGUGGCCUGUGAAAUUGGAUAGCAUAAGUUUCCUUCUCUUUCAGAAGACCAUGGAUCUGAGGUGGGAAAUCACCCAACGAUGUGUUUCCUCUGCGGUGUUUUUUGUUCUUUUGUCAUGUAUUUGUUUUUAGUUAUUCCAUUUUGAUUUUUUAUGACCCUACAUGAAGAAUACAUGGCAAUAUGCAUAGUUAUUAAACUCGAUUGGACAAGAAAUCCAACAGAGGGACCAGGGCAACAGGUGACUAGUUUAACCAAUCAGUCAUUAGUUGAAGUAGUGGGUACUAAAUUAAUAUUUACAAUUAUAAAAUAGUAAUAAAGUACUUUUAAAUACUAAUUGUUAUACUUUGAAAGAUAUAUUAUGAACAUACAAAUAUUAAUAGAAGAUUCAAUUUCAUUUUACUGUACUUGCAUAUAAUUAAAUAACACAUUCAAAUAUAGAACAAAAUUGUAUCACUUAUUUUCAAAGAUAUAGCAUUAUUUUUAUUAUUUUAUCUUUCAAAAAUAAAAUAAUUUCUAACAACUCAAAUAUUGUAAGUUUGAAAGUUAAAAGAAUUAAUUGUAUAACAAAAAAGUAAACAAGUUUAUGUAAUAAAACAUUUAAUUAUCAAGUAAAAACUAAGCAAGUAGUAAAAUUUUAUACACAUUUAAAUGAAAAUCCAACAUACAAAUCUAGUCAAAAGUAUAUUACACUUUAUUUCAAAAACAAUGAUCCACAAUUGUAUUAGAAAAAAGAACCCAGUCAAGUGGAAAACCGGACAGGCUCCAAUUGAACCACCAUGUCAAAUAGGUUUGAUCGGACCAAUUCAUUCUCCAAUCAAACUAGAAAUCCUUUCGGCCGGAUGGUCGAGUUAUUGGUAGGAUUAAACGAAUCGAAUCACCUACGAGCAAUUCAAUCCAAAGCUCGAGUCGAGCUCGAUCAACAUCGAACUCGAGUCGAGCUCAACCUGAUCAAGUCAAACUCGAAUUUAAAUUCGAGUUCAAAGAUAUUCAACUCAUUAGUUCAUAAGCCGACUUAAUUAUAUAUAUAUAUUAUUUUUUAUUUUAAUAGUAAAAUUACGUUUAUAUUCCUAAUAUUUUAUUAUUUGUUAAGAAAAUUAUUAUUUUAUUUCCUUUUUAAAAAAUAAAAUAAUUUUUUUAAAUUCGAGUUUGAAUUCAAACUCGAUUCAAAUUUGAGUCAAGUUCGAGCUCAAGUUGUUACAUUGAGAGCUUGUUGAGUUCAAGCUCGAGUUUGAGCUUGAUAAAACUAAGUCAAGUUUGAAUCGAUUAAACCAAAGUCGACUCUACUCAACUCAUUUAUAGCCUAUUUCAUUGGGCUGAUUGUUUCAACUACUAGGGUCACGCCAGGUUCAAUAACUAUAGGGGAUGAAAUAAAAAGUAAAACAAAAAUUCCAUUGUGAAACAAAUGUAAAAAAAAUUUAUUUGGCAAGAAAACAAUGAUAGGAUUUAAAAGUGGAGGAGAAAGGAAAUUUGAAUUUAAGAUCUCUAAAUCCUAAGGUCUCAACCUUAGCCACUAAGCAUAUAGUGUUAUACCUCAUGAUCUCUUGUGCAUGUGAAAUUAUCCUAUUAUCCUGGCCCCUUGAACUUUCUUUGAAAGUGGAUCACUGAUUUUUCCUUUUUAGGCUAAAUUAACUUCAAAGAGGGUAAAUAUGGUAUUGGUUGAUUUCAAUGCUAAUAUUUGUCUUGUAUAUUUUUUUCUCAGCUAUUUUCUACUUUGGGCUCUUGAACUAUAGACAUACUACCACUUUAAUCAUUAAAUUUCAAAGUUAAGCACUUUAUUUCUUAAAAUAUGAAAUUCAUCUUACUUUAGUUUUGUAUUCAAAAUUUUGACAGCUAGUUUUGUCACAAAACAAAGAAAGAUCAAAUGGCUUCACGUUGCCAAAGCACAACUAAGGUAAAAUUGCGAUUUUGAAACCACAAGGGGUUAAGAGGCAAAACAUUAAACCACAAAGAAGUAACAUUAAUUUAAUUAUUUAAUAUCAUAUUUCAAACUAGCAAACAAAUAUAUUGCACUAUAACGGAAAAUCUUUUACAUGCAUACAAUACAUCAUCGAUCUUCUUCAAUGUCUUUGUCCUAAAGUGGAAAAACUAAAAUGGAUUCUUCUUUGCAUUAUGCCAUAGUAAUUUCAUUUUUUUACAUCAAUUUUGCUAUCAAUAGCAUUCAUAAUAUAACUCAUGUACUAUUUUAGUUAAACUCAAAAGUUAAAUUAAAAAUACCAAACUUUUUCCAUUUGAUUAAUCAUUGGAAAAUUUUCCAUGAACUUAAACCCUUUUACACUAUAUAAAUGUUUCUAGCAAAUUGAAUGCAAAAACUUUCUCAAAUGCACUUUAUAUUCAUGUAUGCUGAUCAAGCAAUCAAAAUAAAAUUAUAACAUAAGUAUAUGAGUUUUAAAAACCAUAUCAUAGAUAAAUGGAUAGAUAACUAAAUAAAAACGUAAUGCAAAAGUGCCCAACCCAUUUUCGGACGUCAGGCCAUCACGGUUAAAGGGAUUCCGCAAUGACCAUAACAAUACUACUUCAACAGUUGAACAUAUAUUCAAUAGUUAUUACAGUCCUAAUGCUUGCAAAAAGACUAAAUUUACUGUCCAUAAAUGACAAAUGAUGGAUCCAAAUUUGCAUGUGAUCUGCUAAUGCUGAAAUCUUACUGUUGCGUAUUCAACUAAAAUUUGACUUAGAAAAUUCAAUAAGUUACGUGGUGGUCUUCUAUAGGUACAUAUUUUCGUUUGAAAGUGAAUUCACACCCCUCAUCCUAUAUUUACAUAUUCUACUAACUUCAAUAAUAUUAAUUCCAAUAAUAAAGGUAUGAAUUUAAAAUGAAGGCAUGUGAAUUUAGUACUACAAACAAGAAAUUGUAAGAAUUAAGAUUGUAUUCAACACCAAUUCCAAGAAGAGACGGCCAUAGCAAGGCUGCAGAACUUACCUUCAGUGGAUUUAGGAGGAGGACCGCCAGGAGAGUUUGGCGAUGCAGAGGAUACAGUAUCAUAGAAGCUGGAGACCUCAUACCUCAGGUUACAGCUUGGAUAAAUUACUCUCCCUCCCUGCUUCUUGGAACAGCACGCGGGUACAUCUCUUAUAGCCUCUGUGAGGCACCUGUUACAGUCAUCAGGGGAUAGAUCUGGUGUGCACUGCGUAAGGGUAUACAAUCUCUUUUGAUCAGUGGAAUAAUUGCCUUCUUCGACAGCAAACUUUUUGCCCAUGGCAUGAUAUGCAGCCUCAUCCGCAGCGUUAUGCAACAAAUUGAUCAAUACCAUUAUGAAUUUGUCCCAGUCAGGUCCAGGGACAUCGACUGGAUUGCGCCUAGUCAAAUUCUCUCCCAAAUCAGCCUUGGAGAAGAUCGUCUGGUCAGAAAAACGUACCAAGCACUCGUCAUACCAAACAAUAGCAGCUGUUUGAUUCGGGCACUCAUGAAGUAGUCGUGUGCGGGCAUCUGCGACGCAUUCUUUGCAAACAUCAGUGUUGACAUCACCUCGACAGAGAAAGAGGCCAUAGACCUUGUUUGAAGGGUCAUCGCCAGUACUGAAAUUAUAGAAGCCAUUGUUGUCUGUCCAAGAUGCAUGCGAAGACAGAGUGUCAAGCAAGAAAUUCAGAUUGGCUCUGUAAAUGCUGCCGGAAGGACUGUUAGGAUUGUAUGUAAUAUUUCCACAGUAAGAGUCAAGAUAGUUCCAGGGGUUUGUGUCGUUGGAAGUGGAACAACAAUAUUCAAUGGUAUGGAAGCUAAGCAAACAAAGCAUGUAAUAUUUGAAGUGGAACAACAAAUUUCUGGAGAUCAUUUCGAAGGAAGGCAUCAAAAGAGUAAAAGGCUAACAACCUACAAACUAGAUUGGUAGAUUAGGAGCCAAAUUAAGUAUUGUUUGAGGGACCAUGAAAGUUGUAUAAGCCAGGAAAACUUAUGGCCUGGGAAAACUUGACCUUGGCAGACAACCAACUCGCCUGGACGUGAACCAUCAGCUGAAUGGUCUCUAACCAAAAUUCAAUACGUCAGUAAUAGAUUUUUACCGUUUGACAAAAAAAAAAAUAAUGGAUUUUGACGGGAAUGCAAAUUUCAGGAUGCUAACAACUAUCAAACAACGUCAUCGUGGAGGAUAAUUGUAAUUUGAGUAAAGUGGACCCAAAUUGAAUCUCUAUCUAUUAGUUCAAUACUUUUAAGAAAAAGUUCUCUAUAUAUAGUUAAAAGGAUAAAUUAUACACAUAAUCCCCUAUAGAUUCAUUGAUUGUCACAUGACAACCCUAAUAUUUUCAAUAUUCAUAUAAAACCUCUAUGGUUUCAUAUAAAAUAGAAAUUUUACAAAAAAAAAUCUUAUGUUACACAAUUAGUUGAACUACUAUUAUUGCCCUUACUUAAAUAUUAAAUCGAACAACAAUCAGACCACCUUGUAUAAAGUUAUAGAAGAAUUAUGUGGAUAAAUACAAAAUCUAUAGAGGGUUAAAGUAGAUAUUUAUAAAUUGUAGGAGCAUUAAGUGGAUAUUAUUAAUUCACCACAUGCAUUUUUGGAGCACAUCUAGUUCAAUCACUGUAACCAUUGAUGUUUUCCGUCUAUUUUUCAUAUUACAUGAAACAAUAGGGGUUUAUGCGGAUAUUUUGAAAUGUAAAGGAGAUCAUAUAUUAAUAUAAAAAUCCAAGGUGAUUACAUGUAAUUUACCAUAAAAUCCCGUAAAGUCUGUCGCAUUUUAAUUGGAUUGAAACUUUCCAAUAAUUUUUGUUGUCAAAAAUGCCAAUAAACUGUCCAACUACUUGUUUUGCAGUACAUACGUGUUCACCAUUUUGUCAAACUGAUUUACAUUUCUUAAUCUUCUUUUGAUUAAUUCAAAGGAACCCUCAAGGAAAGCAACGUCUACCCAUUUAUUAAUGACCAAUUCCGCGUUGCUUUGUUUUAAAAAAUUCAUCAAGUUUAAGAGCCACUUUUUGAACAUAGUUACAAGGGUGCCUGCAGCAUCAGUAAGAAGCGACCAUUAUGAUGGUUGCUGAUCUUUGUUUUUGCAAGAAACCGGUCACAAUAGAGCUACUCCUGUAAAUCCUCGUUUAUGUUAUCAGUUUUUGUGAACCAGGGUUUUUCGAGAAUGAAAAGGAACUAAUAUUCUCUUGCUCCAUAUUCUAACUUAAGCGAUGACCAACCUAAAAAUCCCCACUACACUACUAAGUAGUAGGCCAUAAUAUAUGCUUUCCUGCUGUGGAUGAGACAGAGAGAGGAUUGGAGGUGGAAAAGAAAGAGAAGGAAAUCUUUGUUAUUGUUUUGCAUUAGAAUCUUUAAUAUAGGAAGAAAAUCUUUGUUAUUGUUUUGCAUUGGAGAACCUAGUAAAUUCUUUAAUAUAGGAAGAAAAUCAAAAGGAGCUCUAACAUUUAAAGGAAAUUUGUGAUCCUAUUGCCAAUUGCGUUUGUACACAUAUCUUCUCAAUGAUCUCAUUCUCAUACGUCGAGAGCUACAUACAUUAAGCAAAACCGCUAUGAUUAUCUAACCUAAAAAAUUUUAAAAAAAAAUUCUUCAACAAAAAAGGGAAAAAAAUGCAAAGAUUUGCAAGAUUACAGGAAAAUUAAGAAUUGUGUCUUGUCCCCAAUACUUCAAUGCUGCCAAGUCAAAUGCACGUGCAGAAGCUUCUUCAUCAUCGUAAGCUCCUGCCAGGAAAAAAACAAGUGACUCUUUUUUCUUUUCUUAUUUCAUAUGUCAGCACAAGAAGUUUAGUGAUAAACUUCUUUUCAAACCGAUAUAGUAAUAUUUCUUUCAAAUUUCGAAUUGAGGUUUAGUGAUAAUUAAAGAAUUUGAUAGUACCUUUUAUCCAAUCUACUAAGUGCACGUAAUAGAAGGACCUAAAUUUUAAGAAAAAGUCAAUCAAAAUUUCAAGCAUGACGAAAGUCAAAAUAUUGAAUGGAGUGGAAAGUCAAGCUUAAAAUUGAAACUCGAUGUUGAUUUCGAACCCGAGUUGGAGCAUGUUAAAAAUAAGGCUCAGCCGGAUUCGAUUACACUUCGGCCCACACCAACCCCCGUCACUAAUCUCAAUAUUUGAAAUUCCUUCGAGCUCUAAACGGCAACCUAUCCUUUCUUGACAUGCGUCACAAUAAACUAUCAAUAGAUACCAUUAGGGAACGGCUUCAAGCCCUUUAAAAAAAAUGAUGAAAUACAGAGUCCUCCUUAACGUGCCAAUAGUUUUUCCUGUCAAUCACAACAUCACAAUUCCCUGGCUUUUCCUGACCCAGAAAAAGAAAGAAUGAAAUGAAGGAAAGAAAAAUCCAAGAUGAAGAAUAAGAAAUAUUUUGUUGAUCUGCCAUUAUCUCCCAUACACUUGCUAAGAUAUUCACUUGUAUAAUUUUGGGUUGAUAAUUUUGUAUUUUUUAAUAUCAAUUUCCAUAUUCUAAAUUUCAUCUAUGCAUUUGGGGAUUUCAUAGAAUUUUAUAUACCUUUAAAUUCUCAAGAUUUCUAGGUUUUUUGUGAUUAUUUAUGUAGCAGAAUAAUUCACAGAUGUAGUUAUUCACUUGAAAAAGUUCAUAUGCUAAAUGUGAAGAUUGUAUAAAUGCAUCAACUAUCCUUUUUCUUUUUUGCGUAAUCAUUGAUAGUUGGGAUAGCCAUCAUAUUUACACAAUUAUAUGAAUGGUUUUUCUUUGCUUGAAGAAAAGGGAAAAAGAUUGGCUAAGUUACAUUAAAAAGAAGAAUAGAAAAAGGUAAGUCCAAUAAGGAAAAGAAUAAAGAAAAGAGAAAAUUAAAUGACAAAAUUGGGUAAAUACUUUAAACCAAAAAAAAAAAAGAAGGAAUAACAAAUACGAAGAUUGUAUGAAUGCAAGUACAAUGUUAUUACAAUAGAAUACUUAAGAAAGCUUAGGUGAUAAUAAAUCAUUGAAUGCUGAAAAAGUUCCAAAUCAGGAUGAAUCUGAUAUAAUUUAAACUCUUUUUAACUAAUAACACACUCCAAGAAUUGUGAACCAAGACAGCCUUCAUAUUGGUUUUGUUACCAAACGUAUACAAUGAUAUAAUUGAUAGACUCAGUUUGGAAGCCAACUUUGCUAUGUACAAAUGGUAAAAGUUCAAGACAUACUGUUUGUUCGAUCAGCUGGGGAUUAAUGUUCAUAAAUAAAAUUGCUCUUCUAUUUUUAAAAAAUAUCUAAAGAGCGACAACAACUUGCAUUUUCUUUCAAGCACAUCCUUAUACCCCUAAGGUGGAAGAAGUCAAUUAGUGUGAAGAAGCAAACAUUGAAGCGAUCCCCUAAUUUCCAACAAUAGUGGGCAAAUUUAGAUACCUUCCUGGUUAAUGAAUCAUGCUUCAAAAUCUACAACAUAAGGCUGAUGAUGAACUUGAUAUUUUCUUCCAGAAUUGGCCUAUUUCUUCCUUCAUCUGGGAUAUGGUUCAGUAAUUGAUGCAUCAUUGACAGAGCUUGGAGCUGAAGUUCUUUGAGUGUUGGAUUGAUCAACUUUCAGCUCGUCUACCCUGUUCUCCGAUCCAUUGCUCUGGAAAACUGCCGGACGAUGUGGAGUUGGUAGGGAAACAGAACCAGGAUUGUGCAUGCAGACCACGGAAGCCAUUGUGGGUCUUUUACUGGCAUCUUCUUCAACACAUAGUAAGCCAACUUGGAUGCAUUGAAUGACUUCAUUUCUGGCAUAAGAAUCUCCAAUGCUUGAAUCCAAAAGAGCUAAAGUUUGGCCGCGUCUCCAAUGGUUCCAAGCCUUUUCGAAAUAAUCCCACUCAUAAGGUGUACAUUCUUAAAAACUUCAAUUAGCUUAAAUAGAUAUACAGGUAAAUGUCAAUAUUCACAAUAGGCAAUUGUCAAUACUCUCUAUUUCAAGUUUAAUCAUAUAAAAGGAUGGAUUGAUCUUUCCUACACUGACAAGUUUAAUCAUAUAAAAGGAUGGAUUGAUCUUUCCUACACUGACAGUGUUGAAAUGCCUUGAAUUAGAUCUUCAACCCCCGCUGAGCUGUACGGUUUCGGGUCUUGUUUUGGGCCUAUUGUUGGGUCCAGUCUGUUUGGCUGUAUAUAUAUACACCUUAUGUUAGUUUGUAAACUAUUUUUCUGAUUGCAACCCUAAUAAAAUCUGAUUUCCCCCAAGUUGUUCUUGUCUGCUCUUGUUUGUUCUUCUGUUCCGCUGCAACUGAUAUAACAAACUGGUAUCAGAGCUCUAGGUUUGUCCUAGGGCUCGGAUCACGCAACAACAUGUCUGCUUUGAACAUCAAGAUCGACAAGUUCACUGGGAGAAAUAGUUUCAGUCUAUGGCAGAUCAAGAUGCGGGCUCUGUUAAAGCAACAGGGUCUGUGGAGUCCGCUGACGAAGAAGAAAUCGGAUUCCGUUGAUGAAGAGUCGAUGAGUCUGGAGGAAAAGGCUCACUCGACAAUCAUGCUGUGUCUGGCAGAUGAUGUCAUCACUGAGGUCGCCGGUGAAGAAACUGCUGCGGGUUUGUGGGUUAAACUUGAAAGUCUCUAUAUGACGAAGUCUUUAACCAACAAGUUGCUCCUAAAGCAACGUCUGUUCGGUCUGCGUAUGCAUGAAGGUACUCCUCUUCGAGAACAUUUAGAUCAAUUAAAUACAAUUCUUCUUGAAUUGCGUAAUAUUGAUGUUAAAAUUGAGGAUGAGGAUGCCGCGUUGAUUCUAUUAGUGUCUCUACCGUUAUCGUAUGAGAAUUUUGUUCAGUCUUUUAUUGGCGGUAAAGAUACAGUGACUUUAGAAGAAGUAAGAUCAGCACUGCAUAGUAGAGAGUUGCGCCAUAAGGCGGCUGGUAAUGUUACAGAUAAUCAGGCUGCUGGGCUAGUUGUCAGCAGUAGUAAGGGAAAAUUAGGGAAAAAGAAGUCCGAAAAUAAGAAGCAGUUCUCUAAAGGUCCCAAGCCGGAGGAUGUUUGUAACUAUUGCAAGGAAAAUGGUCAUUGGAAAUCUGAUUGUCCCAAGAAGAAGAAAUAGCAGGAAAAACAACACGCUUCAGCUUCAGUUGCAGAAAAGGAAGCAGAAAAUUCAGAAGAAGACCUGGCCCUAAUUGCAAACGAACCAACACAUCACUCUGAUGUGUGGGUUCUUGAUUCUGGGGCGUCCUAUCACAUAUGUCCAAAUAGAGAAUGGUUUACAACAUAUGAGCAGAUAGAUGGCGGAAAUGUCGUUAAGGCUAAUAGCGCUGUCUGCAAGGCUGUUGGAAUCGGUUCGAUUAAGAUCAGGACACAUACUGGAAAAAUUGCCACACUGAACGAAGUCAGGCACGUCCCCAAAAUGCGAAGAAUCUGAUAUCACUUAGUACUCUUGACAGUAAGGGUUUCAGGUUCAGCGGAGGAAGUGGAGAGUUUUGCAUCAGUAAAGGUUCAUUAGUGGUUCUCAAAGGAGUUAAGCAUGGCACCCUGUACAUCUUACAAGGUUCUACGCUAACAGGUUCUGCUGCUGCUGCUGUUGCAUCUUCUGAAGAUCGCAGGUCUGAUAUGACCAAGCUAUGGCACAUUAGGCUUGGUCAUAUGAGCGAAAGGGGGAUGCAGAUUCUGUCUAAACGUGAUCUUCUAGAAGGCCACAAGGUCACCGAUCUUGGAUUCUGUGAACAUUGUACUUUCGGUAAACUACAUCGCAGAAAGUUUGGGAAGGCAAUUCACAGGACAAAAGGCACACUAGAUUACAUCCAUUCUGACUGUUGGGGUCCUUCACGAGUUGAGUCUUUGGGAGGCUGCCGGUAUUUUUUAUCCAUGAUUGAUGAUUAUUCAAGGAUGACUUGGGUAAUCGUUAUGAAGGAAAAAGGUGAAGCUUUCAAGAACUUCAAGCAGUGGAAGGCCUUAGUGGAGAAUCAAACUGGAAAGAAGAUCAAAAGGCUGAGAACUGAUAAUGGCCUGGAAUUCUGUUCAAAGGAGUUCGAUGAAUUCUGCAAAGAUGAAGGAAUUGCUCGGCAUCACACAGUUCGGCACACACCACAACAAAAUGGUGUAGCAGAACGCAUGAAUCAGACACUUCUAGAGAGAGCACGGUGUAUGCUCUUCAAUGCUGAGUUGCCAAGGAGGUUCUGGGCGGAAGCAGUGAGCACGGCCUGCUUCUUGAUCAACCGUGCACCUCAUACAGGUAUAGACUGCAAGAUACCUUAUGAAGUGUGGUCUGGUAUGUCCCCUACUUACUCAAAUUUGAAGGCUUUUGGUUGUACUGCGUAUUAUCAUGUCAGUGAGGGCAAACUAGAACCAAGGGCUAAAAAGGGAGUGUUUCUGGGAUAUGGAGAUGGGGUUAAAGGAUAUAGAAUCUGGUCACCCUCAGAAAAGAAAGUUAUACUUAGUAGAAGUGUAAUUUUUGAUGAAAACUCUAUACUUAACCCCCCUGUGAAGACUGUUGUUGAAGAAAGUGCAGGUGUUGAUAAACAGGUGGAGCUACAAAUCAUUCAAAAUGGUUUUGAAUCACAGCAGCAAUUUAGUGAUCAUCAACAGCUAUCCUAUGAAACUGAACCUCCUGCAGAAGUACAGUCUCCAGAACCUACAUCAGCAGAAAGGUUGGCACCUAUAUCCCAUACUGCGUCAGAAACUCAGCAGCAUGGUAUUGCUUAUGAUCGUGCAAGAAGAGUGGGAGUACAAGCUCCCAGCAGGUAUCGGGAUUUUGUAGGUUAUGCAUUUCAGGUUGCUGAGGAGGUGGAUUCUCCCGAACCCUCUACCUAUAGAGAAGCUAUUUCAGGCAGUGAGUCAGCUCAAUGGCUUGCUGCAAUGGGUGAUGAAAUGGAGUCGUUACACAAGAACGGCACUUGGGAAUUGGUCAAACGGCCAGCAGAGAGAAAGGUUGUGACUUGCAAAUGGGUCUUUAAAAGGAAGGAAGGAAUUUCUCCAGCUGAGGGCAUCAAGUAUAAAGCACGUGUUGUUGCAAGAGGGUUCACUCAAAGAGAAGGAGUAGACUACAAUGAGAUUUUCUCACCAGUGGUCAGACAUACUUCUAUCAGGGUGCUACUAGCAAUGGUUGCACAUCAGGACUUAGAACUUGAGCAGCUAGACGUGAAGACAGCUUUCCUACAUGGAGAGUUAGAUGAAGAGAUUUAUAUGACUCAGCCAGAUGGAUUCCAUGUUCCGGGAAAAGAAGAUUAUGUAUGCAAGUUGAAGAAAUCUUUGUAUGGAUUAAAGCAGUCCCCAAGGCAGUGGUAUAAAAGAUUUGACGGCUACAUGAUUGAGCUAGGCUACAACAGAAGUCAGUAUGAUUGUUGUGUAUAUCACAACAAACUUGAAGAUGGUUCGAUGAUCUAUUUGAUUCUGUAUGUAGAUGAUAUGCUCAUAGCUGCGAGGAACAAAGCUGAUAUACAGAAGUUGAAAAGUCUUCUCAGUGCAGAGUUUGAGAUGAAAGACUUGGGUGCAGCACAGAAAAUUCUGGGAAUGGAGAUUUUCAGGGAUCGAAGUCAGAAGAAGCUUUUCUUAUCACAAAAGAGCUAUAUUGAGAAGGUAUUAUCCAGAUUUGGCAUGUCUACAGCAAAGCCCUUGAAUACUCCGAGUGCAGCGAAUGCUCAGCUAUCAGUUACGCUCGCACCACAAUCAGAAGCUGAGAUAGAGUAUAUGGCUAAGGUUCCCUAUUCUAGUGCAGUGGGUAGUUUGAUGUAUGCCAUGGUUUGCACUAGACCUGAUCUGGCACAUGCAGUCAGUGUUGUUAGCAGAUUUAUGGCUAAUCCUGGGAAGGAGCACUGGCUGGCCGUGAAACGAAUUUUUCGGUACUUGAGGGGUACAUCUGAUGUUGGUCUCAUCUAUGGAGGUGAUACAGAGUGUUUGAUUAUAGGCUAUUCAGAUUCUGAUUAUGCUGGAGAUGUUGAUAGUUGGAGGUCGAUGACUGGUUAUGUUUUCACUCUUGGGCAUUCUGUAGUUAGUUGGAAAGCAACUCUACAACCUACAGUGACUCUGUCCACUAUUGAGGCAGAGUAUAUGGCACUGACGGAGGCUGCUAAAGAGGGAAUUUGGUUAAAGGGGCUGGUUGGAGAUCUUGGCCUACAUCAGGAUCAGGCUAAUAUAUAUUGUGAUAGUCUCAGCGCAAUAUGUCUAGCCAAGGAUCAAGUUCAUCAUGAGAGGACUAAACACAUUGAUGUCCGAUAUCACUUCUUGAGAUCUGAGACAAGGAUCAAGGUGAAGAAAGUUGGCACUGCUGACAAUCCUGCUGAUAUGUUCACCAAGCCGGUCCCUCAUAGCAAGUUCAAACAUUGUUUGGAUUUGCUAAAUGUCCUAAGUUUCUGAUGGCCCUUAUGGGCAUUCUGAUGGUACUUAGAGAUAAUUCUCUGAGUACUUCUGGCACUUCAUUAGUGCAUCUGUUACAUUCUUUCGGGGAAGAUUCAAGUCAAGGUGGAGAUUGUUGAAAUGUCUUGAAUUAGAUCUUCAACCCCCGCUGAGCUGUACGGUUUCGGGUCUUGUUUUGGGCCUAUUGUUGGGUCCAGUCUGUUUGGCUGUAUAUAUAUACACCUUAUGUUAGUUUGUAAACUAUUUUUCUGAUUGCAACCCUAAUAAAAUCUGAUUUCCCCCAAGUUGUUCUUGUCUGCUCUUGUUUGUUCUUCUGUUCCGCUGCAACUGAUAUAACAGACAGUGUAUACACUGUUGUCAGUGUUUGAUGAACAACAACUGUGCAAAAUUUGAAUUUCAAAUUUAACUUUUACACAUAUAUCAUGAAUCUAAGGGUGAUAGUUGUAGACACCAAAUUUUGAAAUAAUUUGUAUGCUUCGUUUUAGUGAUAAUUCUUAUCUGUUGAUUUUUGUUAAUUUCAUGUUUUUGUUUUAGAUGGUUUGCAUUUUAGUUCAUUAUUGUUUGUUUAGCCCUUUUAGGUGUUGUUUUAUUUUAGUUUUAUUCACUUUUUAGUUUUUAGUUUUUUUUAUUUUUAAGUUUUAGCGUAGAAUUUCUAGAAAAAGGGAAAAAGAAGGAAAAAUAUUCAAAAAUAUGCUGAGUUGUUUUAAUACAAUGUUUUCUUAAAGGAAAAGGAAAAAAGAGAAAAAAAAGAAAAAAAAAAAAGAUAGGAAAAAGAAAAAGGAAAAAACAUGGUUUAGGGCAUAUUGGCUUAUUUUUGACAAAAAGUGAAAAGUUUGAAAAUUGAAGGAAAAUCUUUUUAGUGUAAUAGAAAUUAUUACUUUUUGAUACAUUUUAACUAUUUUCAAAGAAAAGAAAAUUUUCAAAAAAUAUUAAUUUAGGGGCAAGUUGGUUUUAUUUCAGGUUACAAGCAUUUUUUGAUUGCAUUUUAUUUUUGUUUCUAUUAUUGUUAUUAUUAUUUAUAUUUUAUCAAUUUUGUAUAGUUAAAAAAAAAAAAAAUAUGUGUCGCGGCAUGCACGCUGCAAUUUUUUGUAGCGUGCAAAGGACAGCCACGGUUGCCCUUUGGAAGGCUGGAUGUGAAGGCAAGGGUAAGCCCUUCAUCCUCACCAUUCGGGAGAGGGUUUAUGAAUGAGUGAGUUCAUAUAAAAGGGAAGAGAGCAGCAGCCGCAGGAGAGGUUCUUUAGAGAGUUGACGGGCUAAUAGAAAAAACUGGGGGAGUUUUUGGAGAGAAAAGGGGCGGCUGAGAUUGGGAAGGAGAGAAUAGAGAGUGGCAUCUGAAAAGGAAAAAAAAAACGCAGGAGACUAAGAGGGAGUUAGGAGAAUAAUAACGAGGGAAAAAUUCUGAGGAAGACACAAGAGAGGAUCUGGGAGCAAGCAAAGCAAAUCUGGAAAAUUUUGAAGAAGGCUUCAAAGCUGAGAACGAUAGGAAGGAGAUCGCUCGUCAAGGCAGGAGCUUCUGCAGCAAAAAUUCCCAACCGUAUUUCUUGGAACCCUCAUGCGUUUCUGGGUAGAUUUCAAGGUCACUCAACCGUGCUAGCAUUCUCAGGUAAAAAUGGCUCUUAUUUUGUGGGUUUAAACAUUUUUUUUAUGAGAAGAUAUGCCACGAAGGUGAAUCUUUUGAAUGAUCUGUUGCUGUUUUUGAGUUUUUGCUGGUCUCAUGACUUGGCCAUGAUUGUUUGGUAGCUAAGAUAGAGCAUAAUAAGAGCCUAUAGGAUGGGUUUAGGGAUUUUAUAAGGUUGUAUGAUGAAUGCAUGAGCUCUGAUUUUUCACGUGUUUGUAUGAACAAAACCAGAAAAACUGCAAAAGCUUUCGGCUUUAUGAUUUUUGUCAUGUUUGGGACUCUUAAUGCUUCCCUGAUUGCUGUUUUAUGUUUUUUUUACGAUGUUGGUGAUGGGUUUUGGCAAUGAAAGGCUCAGAUAUCAUGGUUUUCCCUCUCCCCUUUGUUCCAAAGUCCAGCGUACGAAUUAGAUUCUGGUUUGGGUCUGGGUAUUUGUUGCAUGAGGUUGCUAAAAUCUAGAGGCACCAGAAAUUGCAGGUGCUUCAUCAGUUGCAUGUCUACAUUUCUGCUUAGCUCCUUUAGCUAGUAUUUGAUUGAAGUUUGAUUAACCAUGUCGAUUUCCAGCUUCCUAAUGUAUAAAGAGCUCGCUGCCUAUUCUUUCUUUGUUGCUGUCCAUUUGCUGCGAUAAUGUUGUUCCGUGCCUUUUGUUGCAUUGUAAAACAAGUAGAUCAGGUGGUGUUUUGUUGUCUUGCACGAAUUACAUUCAGUUUGGGCUGUCAAAUGUGUAGAGUUUGUUUGAGUUCUCACACACAAACAUAUUUGGGCUGAAAUAGAAAAAGCUGCUGCAUUUGUUUCCUUUUCUCUGCCGUGUUUCCUUCUGCACUUCAGUUUCGUGUUCAAUCUUGUGUUAAGGUGGGGAAAUGGAAGUUUGGGUGUUGUGUAUGCAUGUUUGAAACUCUGAAACACUCGAGCUAUGGCCAAGCACUUGCUGGAAAAAUGCAUUUCAACUUGCCAAAUCAGUUUCAUAUGCUUCCAGAUUUUUCAAUUUGCUGAACGUAUUUCAUUUUUUUUUGUUGCAUUGGAUCUUGCUAAGUUUUUUGUUUGAUUGGAUGAUGGCUUGCUGCUUAGUUUAAAGCCUUGUGUGUGGACUUGACUAUGUUUGAAAGCUGGCUUGACAAGGUGCCAAAUUGCAGAAAGUCUUCAUCCGAAAAUUACAGAAGCAAAGAAAGCUUCGGUUUGCCGAAAGCUUCAUAUGCUUGUUGAAACCUUGUUGCAGCUUGAUUUUGCAUCAUUUCUUGCUGUGUUUUACUGGUUUGAAUAUCCAAGUUGUGUGCUGUGCUGUUUAAUUCAAAGCUUGGUCGUUGGUUUGAGAGAGUUAGAUCAAAGCUUGAGUUAGUUUUUCUGAAAUUUAUGGUUAAAGGUGAAAGCGCAGCCAGCAUUCUAGUUGCAGCAGGUUAAAAUGCAGAAAUCUUCUUCGUAUGCAUGCUUUGCAUGAAGAAAUAACUUCCAAAAAUUGCACUCCAACCCCUUGGCUUCUAUCUAAUGCUUCCAUGGCCCAAUUAAUUGGAAAACUUAAUUAAUUUUGUCCUCCUAACAUGCCAUUUUCUCUUUAAUACCUCUUGAUUUGUUUUGGGUAGAUACUUAAGGAGUUGUAGAAUGAAUUUGAAGGGGCUAAUAACUUUUUUUUUCUAGAUUUGUAGGCAAUUUGAUUUUUCUUGGAUUCUUUGGCAUUUUGUUGCUUAGAUACUAGCAAAUUGUUCCUCAUUUACCUUUUGUGAAUUUUCUCGUUUGAUUUGGUAUGUUUCACCUUCGAAUCUUAAUUUUAUUUUAUAUUUUUUUUGAGACCCUUAGUGUUUAUAAUAAUAAUAAAUUGGCCCGUUAAACCUCUUUAAUUUUUUCAAUUGGGUCUUUGCUUGUCUUAAUUGGUUAAGUACGAGUAGUUUACUUUCCUUGGAAUGCUUCGAGUGAUUCAAUUUGGCGUUUAUUCCCAUUUUCUCUGAUUUAGUUGAUAAUUUAAAUGGUACCUUGACCUUUUUAUUAUUUUGGAGGGUAAAUUAGUAAUUUCACUACGUUAGGGCGUCGAUUCAAGGGAGGUACACUCUAUCCCUUAUAUUUGCACUUCAUUUGACCCUACGUGCUCCUACGUGUUAUGUGAAUAUGCAUGUCUAUUUCGCUUUCCUUACCUUUCCUUAAUUCCUUGCAUUUAAUUUAUUUAAUUUUACUUUUAUUUAAGUUAUUCAUUAUGGGGUAUGUGUACACCUCUUGGCUUGUAAUGGAUAGGGUUUGGCGAGCAAUUUGGUCCAUUUUCCCCUUCCCUUUUUGUUUUAGUUAGCAAAUGUAAUAGAUUCAUUAGUUUGGUUGCAUGCCUAUGUGUUAUGUGUUAAGUGCUUUAUUAGGCUCUUGCAUCUAGUCGAGCAUGCUAAGUGUUAUGUGCUACGUGUUUAUAAGUGAUUCGCAUGUCUACUCGCUUUUUUAUAGUCAUGAAUGAAUGUGAUGGAUGAAUGGACGUCACCACACUAGUCCAAUACUAGUUGUGGCCCCCUUUCCCGUCACCACACUAGUCCAACGCUAGUUGUGGUUCAUUGUCCCGUUUCCACUAGUCCAAUGCUAGUAGGAAUUCAUAGAAAGGGCUUGUCCAACGCUAGACCCAAUAGGCCGUCCCUUUCGAUAGUGCAUAUUUGCAUGUUCACUACAUGUCAUGCAUUUUUCUUAGUUUUAUCAUUUGGCAUGCUCCUCGAACCCCUUUUCCCCUCAUGCUAGUUAUAGGGUACAUUUGCUUGAGAGUCCCCUUUCGAUAAGGGAAACGAGCGAGUUUGGCUGCGAAAUAGCCUUAGCACGCUAGUUUUUCCUUCUAAUCCAAGGAAAAAUCAAAGUCGUAAAGUUAGGAGUCCUUCCCGUGCCCGACUUGAUGCAUUCCCUUAGGGUCAUACACUUGCAUUCCUUUUAUAUCACCUCUUCACCUUUUAACCACAUUUUCUCACUUUUCUCAAUCCACACUUCCUCAACACCUUUUUAUCGCUUAUUUAUUUCUUACCUCACAAAUGGCACUCAAAAUUGCGCUUAUAUAUCUACUAUUCUAUUUUUCAUCCAUUUGCACACGAACACAUUUCUUUUUCUCACACUUACACACUUACACUUAAGUCCUCAUUUGCAUUUACCACAACUUCUAUGAGAGCUUUCCCUAUUGGCCACCACAAUUCAUGUGGUUGAGACCAAAAAGCCUCAUAAGAAACAUUUAGAUUUAGGAUCGCAUUUUUCUUUCCUUCUUGCAUUCAUAUAGUUAUAUACAACAUGCGAUACAUACUUUGGGUAGAAAAACUAGGAAAAGAAGGGUUAAGUCACGCAACUAGCCUUUGCUAGGGUAAGGGAGUGCCUUAGGCUUUGCCUUCGCCUUCUCCCUUAUCAAAUGUGACCCCCGAUACCUCGCUUUGGUUACGUAGACCUAAAAGUUUUAAAAAGGGUUUGUCUAUUUCGCUUUUCCAAAAAAUCACUUUUGGGUGACUUGGUACACCCUAACUCUAUACCAAGUGGCGACUCCAUUUUCUUUAAAAAACCCUUUUUGAACUUCGUUUGGCCAAAAUCGUCGCAUUCUCAAGUCCCAUGGCCUUUUACUUUUCAUUUUCACACGUUCACAUGUAUAUCAUACACACUACUCACUCUCACACACACCACACACCACAUCAUCAAAAAGUGGGGCGCGACAGUUGGCGACUCCACUGGGGAUUUUCUAAGUGGGUCCAAGCAUUUGAUUUGGCCAUUCUUUUCCCUUUUCUACCCUUUUUAUGCAUAGCAUUGGAUAUUAGGGUUGCAUUUUCUACUUUAGGACUUUUUUGCCUCGCGCGCAUAUCAAACUAUUCCCUCACUCACGUAUGUAUGAUUGGUUGUUUGGAUGUAUAUUCUACUUGUUUUAUCUCGCGCUUUGCAUUGCAUUUGGGUGGGGGGAUAUACCCUAGAGCCUCGCGUUGGUUCUUGAUCCCUCCCCUCCAAACGAGCACUAGCAUACGUGCAUACGCUUUAAUUUUUUACCGCUCAUUUAUUUUUCUUUUAGUGGCCUGUCACGCCACUCCACCCUACUAGGAUUUUAGGCGACUCACUUGGACUUGUGAUCGCGACACGAUGUGUGCGUAGCAUGAUCCGAGGAGUCACUCGAUCUUCCAUUUUAAGCUUUGGGUUCAUAACCUUUAGCUUUUAAUUGAAGAUUGAGGAUUUUUGAUAGAUUCACUCAUGACAUGUAGCCGUGACACGAUGUGUGCGUAGCAAUGUCUGGGGAAUCGCUCGAGCCACCGACAAGGAACCUUGGAAUUGAUGACCCUCGGUUUCCAAGUCUGAAGGCUCGGGGACCUAAAACCUAUCGAGUCUAGAUGCAUUAGUGAGCCAACCCCAUGCAUCCAUAAUAGUUUUACCUAGGGUAGCGUCUGCCUUACCCUAUUAUGAAUACUAUUCACGAGGGGAGGGGUCCAACCCCUUUCUCCUUUUUAUUGCUUUAUUUCUUUGUGUUGAUUUCGUUGCUACAAGGUGUUAUGUGUAUUUAUGUGAUUGAACUAACCUUUCUUGGUUUUGUCUCCAUUGCAUUCAUUAGCCCUAGAAAAUAAGAGUCCUGGCAUGGCACUCUCUAAGAACCUACCCCAUUUGAUGUGACACGUUUAAAUUCAAUGCUUCACAUAUGUAGCAUGAAUACAUUUCAUUUUAGGCUUACCCUGGCAAAUAAAUGGUCCCUUAGGUCAUGCUUCAUUUCAAAUUACAUGUUUUACUGCUUUAAUAAACGGGCAUCACGCAUAAACCCUAGAAAGGGAAUGCCAUUUAGGGGAUCCUGUGUUAGGAAUAGGCCACCUUGUGUCUCGGAUAUUUAAUCCAGUGAGACUUGCACGUUUACAUUUUGUACCAUCCAAAGGGGCAGUGCACAAGGUAAGGUAGGAUCCGAUCAUUUUCAUAGAGUGAUCUUUGGAAUAUGAGCAUCUAAUAAUCACUUUUUGGCCAUUUUAUCAAAAAUUGGUAAAAAUCCCUUGCGUGAAGGGCAUUAAUUUGAAGAAAUUCACAAAUGAUUCCUCCUAUUGAAACGAUAAAUAAAUUGAGGCAAAAUUUUGAUUUUUAGAAGGUCAUAGACUAAUGCACCUCAAUAAUUUUGAAAUAACCAAUGGCUGGACAAUUCAACCAAUCCAUUUUGCCAAUUCAUUCAAUUCAUUUGACCUGUUUCCCUUUAUAGGGUAAACCGGUCGAUUUUUAAUAAAUUGUCAAUUUCAUUUGACCAAUUAGGGUUUCAAUGUCGAAUUUCAAAAUGGAAAACCUAGUCGAUUUUGAGAAAAACAUCCAUUGCAUCCAGCCAUUUGAUCAGUUGGAGUUUUGACCUGCGCUUCACUAAGAAAAUUUGUUAACAAGUUCCAAUCUCUUUGAUAGGAAGUUCGUCAAAGUCAAAACCCGUGCAUUUUUUUUGCAAAUUCUUGUAUCGAUCAAAAGUGAUCAAUCUAUUUGGUCGUUGACCUCAUUUUGACAAAGUGUCUCUCGUCAAUCCAAUUGACCAAAUUUUUCAAAAUUAUUUUUCACUCAAUGAGUUGAUCAGAUCCAUCAGGUAUGGUAUAGUGCCUACCUCAGAGGAUUGCAUUUUCAUGCUAGGCCUACCCUUGGCACAAAAGGGCUCCCCCGCAGGACAUGCAUCCGAAUUUUUUGGAUAUUUACUAACUCUUGUCUUUUUCUUUUCCUUUUCUUUAUUUUCUUGGAAUAACUAAGCGAGGGUUAAAUCUAAAGGCAAUUUUUCAAAAAUUCUCAGGUAAUAUUUAAACAUAGCUUCUCGUCGAAACCCCAUCAUAACGCGAUCCCGUAGUCAAGCCUAGAGGAGUCGUGUAAACAUGAGUUCGCAACCGAAACUGUCGGAUAAGUCUGCUACUACAGCCCAACCUGAGACUGCAAGUUUGGGGGUCCAACUGACCGAGAUGCUUACGAAGUUUGGUGAGAUGGCAUCUGAAAUGGCCGUCCAAAAGAAAUUAAUCGAUGAGCUUAUCAGUAGCGGAGUUCAACCCGAGCCUGUACUCGUCAGUCAAUCGGGGCCAGAAUCAUUGGUCAUGCCCACGACCCAAACUACUUUUACUCCAUCCUUCAUCAUUCCACCCGAAGGAACUUUCACCUAUCCCACCAUAAAUUUGCCAUACACUUACCCUCCUAACCCUUCGUUCUUUCCUACUCACAUGCAAGGUCCCCAACCGCAAAUCACUUCAAACAUACCACCUGAGCUACAUACCUUUUAUCACGCUGCUGCUGAGCCUUUCUUGCCAGACCAUACCAUUCAAAACAAGCCAGCAAUGGGAGAAUCUUCUGCUCCCAUUGAUAUGAAGUUUCUCAAGCGCCUUGACCGUUUUGAUGAAUUUAUGAGGAAAAGUCAGGGUUUAAACAAGCAAGGAGUGCUGGACUAUGAUGAACUGUGUCUCUUUCCAAAUGUUCAAUUGCCUGAGGGGUUCAAAACUCCGAAGUUUAACAAAUACGAUGGCACGGGCAAUCCCAAGACACACCUCCGAUUGUUCGCCAAUAAGUUGGGUAGGCCGGUAGAUGAUGAAAAUCUACCUUUAAGGCUAUUCCCAGAAAGUCUGGAAGGCGACGCACUUGAUUGGUAUUCAACUUUGAAGUCUGAGGAGAUAAAAACUUGGCUGGACCUGUCCAAUGCUUUUGUAAGGCAAUACGAGUACAAUUGUGAGCUGGCUCCGACACGAACUAUGUUGGAGGGGACAAAGAGGAAGCCAUCCGAGGAUCACAAGACUUAUGCCAAGAGGUGGAGGAAAAUAGCUGCAAAAGUCGAGCCACCAAUGACGGAGGACGAAAUCAUACGUACUUUCAUUAAAGCACAUGAUCCGCCGUAUUUUGAAGAAAUAUUUCGCAUGACUGGAUGCUCGUUCGCCGCCAUUGUCAAUAAGUUUGAGGAGUAUGAUGACUUCGUGAAAGCUGGGAAGAUUGUUAAUGUCUCUGCCCUCAAAUCCCAGUUGGAUGCCUUGCAAGGACAGGGGAAUAGUGGGAAGAACCCGCAACUUAAAAAGAAAGAGGGGGAAGCUGCCUCCAUAUGGGAUCAAAACCCUAUUCCAAGGCCUAGACCUCGACAAUACCCUACAUACUCAAACCCUUACCCUUAUUAUUCCAACCCUCAUCCUGUUUAUCACGCCAAUAUCAGUCACCCUCGACCUCGCCCAAGCUAUCCUAAUCCACCUUUAGCCCCUUUGCAAAUUUCUCAACCAAAUCCUCACCAAAAUCGUCAUCGGCCUCCAUUCAAUCCAGGAAUGCCUCCACCAACCGUUUACAACUACCCUCAGCCCCCUAAAGCCAACAACCCGGGACGUAACCGCACAUUCACCAAUCUCGACAGGCCUUUGGAUCAAUUAUAUGACCAAUUGAAGGCUGCUGGGAAAAUAGGUAUCAUUCCCCCUCCAACCUAUCCGUAUGGCAUACCCGUAGGGUAUAACCCACAAGCUGUCUGUGCUUAUCAUUCAGGGGCACCUGGCCAUCCGAUUGCUGAGUGUAAAGCACUCAAGCAUAAAAUUCAAGACAUGAUUGAAGCUGGAGAGAUUGUAAUUAGAAGAAAAGAGGCACAAGCGCCAAAUGUGGAUAAGAACCCCCUGCCAGAGUACGAUAACACCAUUGGAUUUAUUAUGGACAAUAUGGAAUUUAAGGAGCCUGUUAGAAACUCGUCAAGUGAGGCUGAGGUGUUUGGAAAUGAUGCAGAAUUUCCCGACAUUCCUGAAGGAUCAAUUUUCAAUUGAACAGCCGAGUUUCUGCCAUUCAGAAGGAGUUUCGUAAACUUAAAGGGGUUUGUCAUCCAUGCGAACUCAUUGAAAAUGCUUUUGCAUCUGUAAAUAGCUAAUGAAAGCAUCUUUAUUUUUGACUAAGAGUUUGCACAUGUUUUCAUUUCAUUUUCACUUGCUUUCCUUUUAUUUUUGCUUUCAAUCAAAGGUUUUAUGAAAAGGCACAAGUCAUUCUUGUCAUGUUAUUUUGUUUAUUCGUUUGUUUAUAUUUCGGUCAUAUUGCUUGUUCAUUUGUUUGUUGUAUACUUGUUUGUUAUCCCAAAUUCCUUAAUUCUUUCAGAUGGCCAAAAAUAAAGCUAUUUGACCCUUUGGAUAUCACCAUUCUGGAAUUUAGUAAAGGCAAUCUCUAUCUCACUCACGACUUGAGAAUUUUGGAACCCAAAUUUUCAAGCGAGAGUGAUAAUAAGAAAAUAUUUGAUUCUUUUCAAAAAUCUUGAACAAUAUGAGGAGAAAUUCGAACCAAACCAAGAAGCCACAGCAAUUGUUCACUUUGGCACUGAGAAUGAGGUCAAGAAGACAUAAGUCAGCAUUCGUUUGGACGAAGUGAUAGGGUAUAUUUUGUUAGUAAUUUUAUUAGUAAUUUCCCCUUCUAUCCCUGACAAAUAUUGCGUUAGUUGCUGAUAUUUACUCAUAUUUGGUAUUUGGAAUCAAUUUCAGGAGUGAAGCAGAAAUAUUACCAAAUGGAGGGACUUUCUAGAGCAUAUUACUAAGGGUCAAUUCGGCAGGGCCGAGCAUUGGCAAUUCAUCUUCUUAAUUUCGGUGGGGGCCCAUGGAAUAAAGAUCACUAGUCAUUUGGCCAACAGCAGACAACGUACAAAGCCUAAGUACUAAGAAGAAAUUCGGCAGACUUGUGCCAAUUGAAGGGGACCACUGGAGAGAAGACAUGGAGUUGGCCUGGCCCACGGAAAUUGAAGCCUUAGUCAUCCUUUUGGCUUGAGAAAGAAAAAGGACGUAAAGAGGCUGCUGCUUGGAAUCUCUUUUGGGUUUUUCCUAAUUGUGGUGGGACCGCAGAGGAGAUGGUUUGAGUCAACUCCCUUUUGUUUCUUUAAAAGGAAAAGAACGUACAGAAGCAAGGGACCACCUUUUAGUUUUAGCUUUUAGUUCAGUUUUAGUUCUUCUUUCUCCUGACUGGCCUCUGACACACGCCAGGUGUUCGACAAUAUUCCCCAACGGGAAAAACACUUUUAUUCCUUGCUUCUUAAUAGAAAACGCAAUGCCUUUGCAAUUUAUUAAUUCGUGUGGUGAUUUAAUUAUGCGGCGUGGCUAAGUCUUCCGUCUAGUCAGGGGUCAACUCGACGGCGCAGUCCCGGAAAUCUGUGAGAUCUAAUUAGUUUUCACGUGUUCCUUUAUCUAUUAAUAUUUGCAUGUUGCCUGAUUUAACUUUCAUGGGAUUAUUUUAUUAAUUGGAUGUCAAGGGCCCGAUGUUCAAUGUGAUAUAUUAAACUCGUGCCAAUUUAGUCAAUUAAAUCCGUAAUUGUUUGAUUGAUUAAUAUUAGUGGCAACUGGUGUGUUUACACAUUAGGGGAGCAUGCAAUCUAAUUUAAAUAACCCUCGUAGCGUGUUAUUGAUUAGGACUAGGUUUUUCUGGUUAUUAAUGCAAUUGGAAAAUUAAUUCCUACGGUCGUACCUAGGAGUACUUUUCUGGUUAGGGGUGACUAAUGGUCGUACCUUGGUCACCUAUAAAUUAAGGAAAAAUUGGUCAUUAGAGUUCCUUGAUGGCUAUAACUAGUCUAUUAAUAAAUUAAGUGAACCUCUCUUGCAUCAAUAAUCGGAUAAAUGGACUGUGCCUGAGUAGUUGCUUCCUUGGCUAGAAUUUAUUUAUUCCUGAUUAAGUUCCUGCUAUAUUUGUGCUAGUUAUUUAUUCAUUUUUAGUUAAAUUGUUUAAUUGUUUUUAGUUUUAUUCCUGUGAAAUCCCCCCUUAUCAAUUGGACUUUAAAAGAGACAGAUAUCUCCAGUCCCUGAGGAGACGACCCUACUUGCCAUUGUCUACUAUUUAGUAAUUUUUGUCAACUAAUUAAUUCUGGUAUAUCAGGUUAAGCAAACUCUUCGGGAACAGGGUGAAUCAAGUAACCCAUUGCACACCUAGAGUCCCUGCUCCAGUACCUAGGAUUAAUUACUGACUACUUUUAGUGGUAACUAGGUUCUAUUUUUAUUAUUAUUAUUGCACAGGUUUGACGACCUGUCAAUUUUUGGCGCCGUUGCCGGGGACUGGCGUUAUUAUUUGCUUCUUUAUUAAGUUCAUUUUUGCACUAAUUUUCUGGUAUUUUUCUAGUGUAUGCCUAGGUCUUCUCGUACAGGUGAAUUGAUUUUUGACCCUGAAGUAGAGAAGACCGUGCGUAGAACGAGAAAGGAAACCAGACAGCUCAGAGAGGAGCACUCCAGUGCUGCAUCUCAGAGAUCUGAGCCCGAAGUUGAACCAUCAGAUUCGGUUGGUGACACUUCAAGUGAUUCGUACCAAGAGAACGUCGCCAUGGCCAACACACAAACAUUAAGGGAGUUGGCUGCUCCAAACUUGACCCAACAACCUCUUUGCAUAACUUUUCCUCGCCUUAGUGAGAAUGCAGCUUUUGAAUUAAAACCUGGUUUAAUACAUUUGUUGCCUGUUUUUCAUGGUCUGCCAGGAGAGGAAUCCCACAAACACAUGCAGGAAUUUGAUGUAGUGUGUUCGAGUAUGAAGCCCUCGGGAGUAACUGAUGAACAAAUUAAAUUAAGGGCCUUCCCUUUUUCUCUCAAGGAUUCGGCAAAGGACUGGUUAUACUGUCUACCUGCAGGCAUUAUCACCACGUGGCCAGAGAUGCAGAAAAAAUUUUUUGAAAAAUAUUUCCCUGCAUCUAGAGCUGCUAGUUUGCGAAAGGAAAUAUGUGGCAUCAAGCAAUUUCAGGGGGAAUCCUUGUAUGAAUAUUGGGAGAGGUUCACCAGGCUGCGUACCCGAUGCCCUCAUCACCAAAUAAGUGAUCAACUGCUGAUUCAGUACUUCUAUGAGGGGCUACUGAUGAACGAUAGAAAUAUCAUUGAUGCAGCAAGUGGUGGUGCACUGGUGAAUAAGACUACCCAGGAGGCAUGGGACUUAAUCGAGCGAAUGGCAGAGAAUUGCCAGCAGUUUGGUACGAGAGCAGAUGUUCCUACGAGAAAGGUCAACGAGGUAAGUUCAUCUUCCAUUCAACAGCAGUUAUCUGAAUUAACCUCAUUUGUUCGACAGAUAGCUGUAGGAAAUGCACAGCAGGCCAAAGUGUGUGGGAUUUGUACGAAUAUUGGUCAUACAGCUGACGCAUGCCCACAGUUACAAGAGGAGGGAAUUGAGCAAGCAAACAUGGCUGGCAACAUGCCCAUGCCACGUAGACAGUAUGACCCCUAUUCCAACUCAUACAAUCCGGGUUGGAGGGAUCAUCCAAAUCUGAGCUAUGGGGGAAAUAAGCAACAAAAUUUCAUCCCCAAUAGACAGCAGGGCUUCCAGCAACAAUAUCAAACAAGGAAUCAACCAUCCUCUGCCUCAGGUAUGUCCCUAGAAGACAUGGUUAAAACCAUAGCCUCUAAUACUAUGAAAUUUCAACAGGACACUGAGGCCAGCAAUCAAGAGAUGAAAGCACGUAUGCAAAACUUGGAAAAUCAGAUGAGUCAAUUAGCCUCAAUUGUCAACCGACUAGACUCCCAGGGAAAGGGAAAACUUCCAUCCCAACCUGAGGUGAAUCCCAAGAAUGUAAGUGCAAUGACCCUCAGGAGUGGGAAAGAGGUUGAAGGACCAGCGCCAGUAGCUCCGAAGGACAAGAAUGAGGACCGCAUUGAGAAGGAGCUCGGGCAAGAAGGAACGCCCGGCACAGAUAAAGAGGUAAUACGUAACCCAGUGGUUCCAGUAAAGCCUAACCCACCACCUUUUCCUAGCAGGUUGGAAAGGCCUAAAAAGCAAGACAAGGAAAAGGAAAUUUUGGAGAUGUUUAGGAAGGUGGAGAUAAAUAUCCCCUUACUUGACGCAAUUAAGCAAGUACCCCGGUAUGCCAAAUUUUUGAAGGACCUAUGCAUCAAUAGGAAGAAACUGAGGGGAGAUGAAAGGAUAAUUGUGGGGGAGAACGUAUCUGCAGUGCUUCAAAGAAAACUUCCACCCAAGUGCGGAGACCCAGGUAUGUUCACUAUCCCUUGUAAAAUAGGGAACACUAGCAUUAGGAAUGCCAUGUUAGAUUUAGGAGCCUCUAUAAAUGUGAUGCCCAAGGCUAUUUAUGCUUCUCUAAAUUUGGGUCCCUUAAAGGAAACUGGCAUUAUAAUUCAAUUGGCUGAUAGGACUAAUGCUUAUCCCGAUGGGGUGAUAGAAGAUAUGUUAGUGCAAGUGAACAAUUUAGUGUUCCCUGCUGAUUUUUAUAUUCUUGAUAUGGGUGACGAACGUUCUCCAAAUCCAUCACCAAUUUUGUUGGGGAGGCCCUUCUUGAGCACAGCUCGUACAAAAAUUGAUGUUAGUGAGGGCACCCUAACGAUGGAAUUUGAUGGAGAAAUAGUUCAUUUCAGUAUAUUUGAGGCCAUGAAAUAUCCAUGUCAUUCUAAUGCUAUUUUUGCUGUGAGUGUAAUUGACCCUUUGGUGCAAGAAGUAUUUGAGAUUAAUGGCAGGGAUGAAUUGGAGGUAGCAAUCACUAAACAUUUGGAUCUGGAAGCAGCCUACGAAAUGGAGUUAGACAUCAGUUUGUAAAGAAUGAUUGGAGCCUUGCAUUCACUGGGCCAAAGUCCUCUAAGGUAUGAUGUUGCUCCUAUAUUUGUGCCUGAACCGCACCUAAAGUUAUUACCUUCUAUCGUGCAGGCACCUGAAGUGGAGUUGAAACCCCUGCCCAAGCAUUUAAAGUAUGCCUAUCUGGGUGAAAAAGAGACGUUACCAGUGAUAAUCUCAUCCAAAUUAUCACCCACGGAGGAGGAUAAGCUGCUACGGGUUUUAAGGGAGCAUAAGGAAGCUAUAGGGUGGACAAUUGCAGACAUCAAGGGUAUAAGCCCGUCCGUAUGUAUGCAUCGAAUUCGCCUGGAAGAGGAUGCUAGACCGAUAAGACAACCACAAAGAAGAUUGAACCCCAACAUGAUGGAAGUGGUCAAGAAAGAGGUAAUCAAGCUUCUGGACGUAGGAAUUGUUUUUUCUAUCUCAGAUAGCCCAUGGGUGAGCCCGGUACAAGUGGUGCCGAAGAAAGCAGGGGUAACUGCGGAGGAAAAUCAUGAAGGGGACCUUGUUCCAAUUCGAAAGCCUACGGGUUGGCGCCAGUGCAUCGAUUACCGUAAAUUGAACGCAGUGACCAAGAAGGAUCAUUUUCCCCUUCCAUUCAUUGAUCAAAUGGUUGAAAGGUUAGCUUGUCGUGCCUAUUAUUGUUUUUUAGAUGGUUUCUCUGGUUAUUUUCAGAUAGCAAUUGCGCCAGAGGAUCAAGAGAAAACAACUUUCACUUGCCCCUUUGGCACUUUUGCCUAUCGAAGGAUGCCCUUUGGAUUGUGCAAUGCCCCCGCAACAUUCCAGAGGUGCAUGAUUAGCAUUUUUUCUGAGUAUGUGGAGAGAAUAAUUGAGGUAUUCAUGGAUGACUUCAGUGUCUAUGGUGAUAGCUUUGACGAUUGCUUAGAUAACUUGACGUUGAUUUUAAAAAGAUGCAUUGAGACUAACCUAGUGCUCAAUUGGGAAAAAUGUCACUUUAUGGUUGAGCACGGGAUAGUUCUAGGACAUGUAGUGUCAUCUAGAGGAAUUGAAGUUGAUAAAGCUAAAAUAGAUGUAAUAUCUGCUUUGCCUUACCCCGUAACUGUACGGCAAGUUCGUUCCUUUCUAGGACAUGCAGGUUUCUAUCGCAGAUUUAUCAAGGACUUCUCAAAGAUUGGGGCACCACUUUUCAGGCUUUUACAAAAGGAUGUUAUUUUUGAAUUCAACGAGGAGUGCAAGGAAGCGUUCGAGAAGUUGAAGAAAUUACUCACUUCUCCACCUGUCAUCCAACCACCUGACUGGAAUCUCCCGUUUGAAAUUAUGUGUGAUGCCAGUGACUACUCUGUGGGAGCAGUCUUGGGACAAAGGGUGGAGAAAGCGGCACACGCAAUAUAUUAUGCCUCCAGAGCUUUAAAUGGCGCCCAACUCAAUUACUCUACCACGGAGAAAGAACUCUUAGCUGUUAUUUUUGCUUUAGAAAAAUUCAGACCUUAUUUGCUAGGUGCUAAAGUAAUUGUGUAUUCUGACCAUGCAGCUCUGAGGUACCUACUGACCAAGAAGGACGCUAAACCCCGCUUGAUAAGAUGGAUAUUGCUCCUGCAGGAAUUUGACUUGGAAAUCAGAGAUAAAAAAGGAGCAGAGAAUCUAGUAGCUGACCACCUCAGUCGAAUACUGGUAGCGGAGGAAGAAUUACCAUUAAGGGAGUCUUUUCCUGAAGAGCAUUUACUUUCUAUUAAUUCAUCCCCUCCUUGGUUUGCAGAUAUUGUGAAUUAUUUGGUUACUGACAAAUUGCCCGCAGGUUGGCCCAAGGCAAAAAGGGACAAACUAAAAAGUGAUGCAAAGUACUAUGUCUGGGAUGAUCCCUAUCUGUGGAAACAAGGUGCUGACCAAAUAAUGAGACGAUGUGUAAGUGAAGGUGAAUUCCAAUCUAUAUUGACUUUCUGUCACUCUUUUGCAUGUGGGGGUCAUUUUGGACCUAAACGGACUGCUAGAAAAGUGUUGGAAAGUGGUUUUUUUUGGCCUACCUUAUUUAAGGAUGCUUACUUGUUUUGUAAGACAUGUGAUAAAUGUCAGAGGGUAGGCAAUUUAUCCCGAAGGGAUCAACUGCCACAGGUGCCCAUGCUUUUCAUUGAAAUUUUUGAUACUUGGGGUAUAUAUUUCAUGGGUCCCUUUCCAAAUUCUUGUGGAUUUUUAUACAUUUUACUAGCAGUAGAUUAUGUCUCGAAGUGGGUGGAAGCAAAAGCCACCCGCACUAAUGAUUCUAAGGUUGUUGCAGACUUCAUAAAAUCUAACAUUUUCGUGCGAUUUGGAAUGCCACGGGCAGUUGUGAGUGAUAGGGGGACACAUUUUUGCAACAAGACAAUUGCUGCUUUGUUCAGGAAAUAUGGGGUACUUCAUAAGGUUUCUACUUCCUACCAUCCACAGACCAAUGGCCAGGCUGAAGUCUCGAAUAGGGAAGUAAAGUCUAUUUUGGAAAAAAUGGUCCGCCCUGAUAGGAAGGACUGGAGUUCAAGGUUGGAAGAUGCGUUGUGGGCAUACAGGACCGCUUACAAGACACCUAUAGGGAUGUCUCCCUAUAGGUUGGUAUUUGGUAAGCCUUGCCAUCUUCCAGUGGAAUUCGAGCAUAAAGCAUUUUGGGCGGUUAAGCAAUGCAAUAUGGACAUCGAAGAGGGCGGAAUUCGAAGGAAGCUACAGUUACAAGAAUUGGAGGAGAUUCGCAAUGAAGCCUAUGAGAAUGCUGUGAUCUAUAAGGAGAAAAACAAGAUUUUUCAUGACCAGCAGGUCUCUAGGAAGACGUUCGAAAGUGGGCAAAAAGUUCUACUGUACCACUCAAAAUUGAAGUUAUUUCCGGGUAAGUUACGUUCUCGUUGGAUUGGUCCCUUUGUGGUAACUAAUAUCUUUGAUUAUGGUGCAGUGGAGAUCCAGAGUCUAAGGACAGAGAAGAAAUUUGUGGUGAAUGGCCAUCGUCUUAAGCCGUAUUAUGAAGGGGUUCCAGUUGAGCGGGUAGAGAUGAUGCAUUUGGAGGACCCAAUUUGCUUAGUUUAAGCAAAUUAUGGGUUAUGUCUAGCCAAAGACACUAAAGAAAGGCGCUAGUUUGGGAGGCAACCCGAAUAUUAGUCUUGUUAUUUCUAGUUGUUUUGAUUAUUUCUAGUUGUUCUUCUUUUGCAUUGGGUCAUUUACUCGUUGGGUAGUAUCUGUAUUAAUAUUUCCUUCACUGCAAUCAGGAAGUGAGAUCUUGGCGUGCCCGCGCGGUGUUUGGAUCUUCUGAGACCAGAGGACGAAGACCAAUCUUGGCGUGCCCGCGCGGUGUUGGACGACCCAAACCAUGUUUUUGCAGUACAACAAAAAAAAAAAAAAAUUUAUUUAUUAUUAUGAUUAUUAUUAUUAAUACUUUCAUUAAAAGAAAAAGAAAAGAUUGUUUUCUUUCCAAUUCAAAGAUUCAAACUACGGCAAGACAUAUAAAAAAAAAAAAAACAGUUUUUCUUGUCUUUCUUUUCUUUCUUUCCUUUUUUUUUUCUUUUUCUUUCUUUCUUCUUCUUUCUUUCUUUUUUUCUUUCUUUCUUCUCCUCUGUUUUGCUCUGUCCGCCGCCCGUGCCCACCGCCAUCUCCAAUUCCAUCGCACGCCGCUCCCCCCUGCCGCUCGUCGACGCGGCCCACGCCCCUCGCCACCGCCGCACACCAGCUCUCCUCCCACUUCCUCGCACGCCGCCGCCCGCUGCUGACCUCUGCGCGUGGCCAGAGCUUCACGCUGCGCCACCCACCUCGCGCGGGCCUCUCGAUCUGCACAGCUCCAGCCGUCCCAGCCGCCCAGCCGCCACUCUCGCGCCAGCCGCACGAAGCUCCAGCCACGCCACAGCCGCCGCACUUCCUCAGCCGCAGCCGCAGCUAGCAUUCGCCACAGCCACGCUCGCGCCAGCUCGCGGCCAAGUAUUCCAGGGCAGGCGGAGGUAUUCGAAUUUUCACCUUGAUUUGUAUUUCUCUAGUCCUUAAAUUGCUGGAAUUUGCGUUUUUGUUUCUUGGGCUUCUUGUUGGAAAACAGCAGGCAGUGAUUUUAGACAGUUUCUGGGGCUAAUUUGGGUAGAGUUGAGUUAAACUACUGCGAUAUUUGGGGGUACCUGGGGAGUAAGUGCCAAUUGCUUCUGGUUUUAAUUUCCGCUCAUUUUUUUUUUUUUGCGCUACUUGGGUGUUCAGAUCUGUUUUGUUCAGUAGGUUGGUUAUUUACUUUAAUUUCUCCCUAUAUACUCACCAGUGGUACUGGUGAGGGUAGUUGUUUAACAUCUGAUAAUUUGUGUGCUGGAUUGCCUAAUUCAGCGAAUUGUGACUACUGGGCAUUUGUGAUUGGGUCCACCCUGUGAUUGAGUGGUUGGAUAGAGCAGGGAGUGAUUUAGUUAUUUUCUGGGGGAGCUGUUUGGACAAAUUUGGGUUUACUUGCUGCCAAAGUGGGGGUAUUUUCUACUAUUAGUUGAACAGCUAGCCUUUUGAUUACUUUUUCCCCUGCGACUCGCCAGUGGUACUGGUUGAGAUCUUGUACCUUUCGUUGUGGUUUAUAUUUGAAGAUACUUGCUAGCUCUUUGGGUGAAUUGCUGCAAUUGCUGGUUGAAAUUGGGGGCGCCCGUGACGCUUAUAUUUGCUACUUGGUUGUUUUGGUUUGCCUGUUGGUCACCAUGGUGAGGCCUCGAUCUUCUGCUAGGUCUAGGACCCCUCAGCCCCCUCCACCCCAGCAUUCCAUUCCCGCCUCUGACCCCUCGCACGAUCCUUCAUCCUCUGGGAGGCGGGCUCGUCUUGGGCGACAAAGAGGCGUCCAUAUCUCUGACCCUGCACAUUUUGGGGGUCAUUUAGACUUCACCAGGGCGACCGACAAGCGGCGGUAUGCUGAGGCUUGUGAACGGCGAAUUAUUCCAUGCCGUUAUCGGGACGCCGCCACCUUGGGCCUUCUGAAUAUUAGCGUCCCCUUCCACGAUUUGAUUGAGGCAAUCGGGUGGCGACCAUAUUCUCGUAUCACUGACCUCCCAGCCUUUGUUGAGUUAGUUAGGGAAUUCUAUGCCACAUUUGAAUUCGACCUUCCCACUGGUUACACAGUUUCCAUCCCUGAUGUCAUCCGCUUCCGUUUAAUGGGUCAGGAAUUCCACCAUUCCAUAACCGACUUCAACCUGGCUUUUGGUUUCAUUGAUCCUGCCUAUGCUGAGUCUAGGGAGUAUGCCAAGAGUGCGUGUGACUUUGUCCAACCGUUUUUCUCCCGCUAUCGCUUUAUUUGGGAUGAGAUGUCCGUGGACAGGGAUAAUUAUGACCCCCGUCUAUCUAAGGGUUCUUAUCUGAAGGACCCGGCCUCUCGCUAUAUCCACCGUUUUUUGGCCUAUAGUUUCUCGGGUAGGCGAGAUAGUUCGGGCAUUCUGUCUAAGUCCGAAUUUUUCUUUAUAUGGUGCAUGCAUCACAAGAUUAAGGUUAAUCUGGGGUGCUGGCUCGCGUCUCAGUUCAAGUCCAUUUUGCCUAAAAAGAAGCGCCCCUUGAUUCUUGGGUCUUACAUUACUCACUUGGCUAUGAAUUUGCAUGUACUUGAUAUUUCUAACCAUAACUUGCAUAUAGCCUGUCAAAUGGAGCCUUUGGAUAUCCCGUGCUUAGAGAAAAUGGGCUUAGUUCGGGAGGGCGACGAUGGUUGGGAGGUAGUUCCACCGGGGCCGCUACGCCCUCCCCCUCGGUCAUCUUUUGCCCGAGCUUCCACUGAGGGCGGCGACCCUGGCCCGUCUUCCUCCGCUCCGCCACCUACCGCCCCAUCGGCCGACGAUUGGACCCAACUCCGGAACACCGUUGAUAGACUGGAGACUCACGUAACUCACAUUGGCAUCAACUUGCAUAACAUGGCUCAAAACCUGGCUGCGUUUAUGCAGCAGGCCGGCUUUCCACCUCAGUUCGCGCCUGAUCCACCCCUGUUUUGACGAUUACAGGGAAGUAUCGUUGCCCCUCUCCUUACUUUUUGCUGUUACAUUAUCACAUUGAGGGCAAUGUGUGAAUUAGGUGUGGGGGGGUCAGUUUGGGUGCUGAAUAUUUCCAGUUUUUCCAGUUUAGGUGUUUUCCUAUGUUUUUAGUUCAAGUGUUUUCUGUUUAGGUGUUGGUCCUUUAUUCCUUUUGGAUGUUUUUACCUUGCUGAUAUCUGGGUAAAUAUGUUGGCAGCUUACUCUUUUAUUGCUAGUUGUAGUUUAUACUUUGAGUUGAGUUUCGGUGGCAAGUAAGAGCAUGCUGUCUUGGUGAAUAUUUUGAGUUUAACGACUUGGGGCGAUUUAUGGCUAACUUGUUUAGGCAAUAUAAAUAUUUUGCUGGCAUUGUUGUGUGGUUUGGUCCCCUGUUGACCUUGGUCCUUCAUGUUUAGGAGAUGACGUGGGCCAUGAUCUUAAAAGUGUUUGUUAUUUUGGUACGUUAGUGAGAAUAACGUAUGGCUAUACUCCGCUAGUGCCGCCACCUAGUAACCGGAAGUCUUCACCACAAGUGUCGACUCUCGCGUCAAAAAGUGGCGAUAUCCAUGAGUAAAUAGUCCUGGAGCUAUGAAAGGUCGAGUAACUGGGCUCUUUCAUCUAAAAAUGUCAGAGUUCACGUCAAAAGACUUGAAUAGCUCGGGACUAAGCAUUACUCUUUGCAAUCUAAAAAAAAAAGAAAAAGGAAAAAAGCAAAAAAGAAAAUCAGAUGUGGAGAAUAUGUGAGUUUAUGAUCAUGUUGGCCUGCCGAUCCUUGGUUCGUAUUGUUGAGAUUUUGGUUGACAGUUGACUUGAUUACUGAUUGUUGCUAGUUAAUAUUUGGAUUUCCUACGCGAAUUAGCCAUGAAUUGGACAGGUCUAUGAACUGAGGAGCUAACCGGGAGAGACACGUCUUGAUACUUAGUCACUAGAUCUUGAUUUUGGGUAUAAGCGCAGCUGGCUAUGAUAAUGUGAAAGCUAGCCAUUGUUGAGUUGAAUUGUCUCCAUGCUUGAGGGCAAGCAUGAUUCAGGUGUGGGGGGAAUUGAUAGGGUAUAUUUUGUUAGUAAUUUUAUUAGUAAUUUCCCCUUCUAUCCCUGACAAAUAUUGCGUUAGUUGCUGAUAUUUACUCAUAUUUGGUAUUUGGAAUCAAUUUCAGGAGUGAAGCAGAAAUAUUACCAAAUGGAGGGACUUUCUAGAGCAUAUUACUAAGGGUCAAUUCGGCAGGGCCGAGCAUUGGCAAUUCAUCUUCUUAAUUUCGGUGGGGGCCCAUGGAAUAAAGAUCACUAGUCAUUUGGCCAACAGCAGACAACGUACAAAGCCUAAGUACUAAGAAGAAAUUCGGCAGACUUGUGCCAAUUGAAGGGGACCACUGGAGAGAAGACAUGGAGUUGGCCUGGCCCACGGAAAUUGAAGCCUUAGUCAUCCUUUUGGCUUGAGAAAGAAAAAGGACGUAAAGAGGCUGCUGCUUGGAAUCUCUUUUGGGUUUUUCCUAAUUGUGGUGGGACCGCAGAGGAGAUGGUUUGAGUCAACUCCCUUUUGUUUCUUUAAAAGGAAAAGAACGUACAGAAGCAAGGGACCACCUUUUAGUUUUAGCUUUUAGUUCAGUUUUAGUUCUUCUUUCUCCUGACUGGCCUCUGACACACGCCAGGUGUUCGACAAUAUUCCCCAACGGGAAAAACACUUUUAUUCCUUGCUUCUUAAUAGAAAACGCAAUGCCUUUGCAAUUUAUUAAUUCGUGUGGUGAUUUAAUUAUGCGGCGUGGCUAAGUCUUCCGUCUAGUCAGGGGUCAACUCGACGGCGCAGUCCCGGAAAUCUGUGAGAUCUAAUUAGUUUUCACGUGUUCCUUUAUCUAUUAAUAUUUGCAUGUUGCCUGAUUUAACUUUCAUGGGAUUAUUUUAUUAAUUGGAUGUCAAGGGCCCGAUGUUCAAUGUGAUAUAUUAAACUCGUGCCAAUUUAGUCAAUUAAAUCCGUAAUUAUUUGAUUGAUUAAUAUUAGUGGCAACUGGUGUGUUUACACAUUAGGGGAGCAUGCAAUCUAAUUUAAAUAACCCUCGUAGCGUGUUAUUGAUUAGGACUAGGUUUUUCUGGUUAUUAAUGCAAUUGGAAAAUUAAUUCCUACGGUCGUACCUAGGAGUACUUUUCUGGUUAGGGGUGACUAAUGGUCGUACCUUGGUCACCUAUAAAUUAAGGAAAAAUUGGUCAUUAGAGUUCCUUGAUGGCUAUAACUAGUCUAUUAAUAAAUUAAGUGAACCUCUCUUGCAUCAAUAAUCGGAUAAAUGGACUGUGCCUGAGUAGUUGCUUCCUUGGCUAGAAUUUAUUUAUUCCUGAUUAAGUUCCUGCUAUAUUUGUGCUAGUUAUUUAUUCAUUUUUAGUUAAAUUGUUUAAUUGUUUUUAGUUUUAUUCCUGUGAAAUCCCCCCUUAUCAAUUGGACUUUAAAAGAGACAGAUAUCUCCAGUCCCUGAGGAGACGACCCUACUUGCCAUUGUCUACUAUUUAGUAAUUUUUGUCAACUAAUUAAUUCUGGUAUAUCAGGUUAAGCAAACUCUUCGGGAACAGGGUGAAUCAAGUAACCCAUUGCACACCUAGAGUCCCUGCUCCAGUACCUAGGAUUAAUUACUGACUACUUUUAGUGGUAACUAGGUUCUAUUUUUAUUAUUAUUAUUGCACAGGUUUGACGACCUGUCAAUUUUUGGCGCCGUUGCCGGGGACUGGCGUUAUUAUUUGCUUCUUUAUUAAGUUCAUUUUUGCACUAAUUUUCUGGUAUUUUUCUAGUGUAUGCCUAGGUCUUCUCGUACAGGUGAAUUGAUUUUUGACCCUGAAGUAGAGAAGACCGUGCGUAGAACGAGAAAGGAAACCAGACAGCUCAGAGAGGAGCACUCCAGUGCUGCAUCUCAGAGAUCUGAGCCCGAAGUUGAACCAUCAGAUUCGGUUGGUGACACUUCAAGUGAUUCGUACCAAGAGAACGUCGCCAUGGCCAACACACAAACAUUAAGGGAGUUGGCUGCUCCAAACUUGACCCAACAACCUCUUUGCAUAACUUUUCCUCGCCUUAGUGAGAAUGCAGCUUUUGAAUUAAAACCUGGUUUAAUACAUUUGUUGCCUGUUUUUCAUGGUCUGCCAGGAGAGGAAUCCCACAAACACAUGCAGGAAUUUGAUGUAGUGUGUUCGAGUAUGAAGCCCUCGGGAGUAACUGAUGAACAAAUUAAAUUAAGGGCCUUCCCUUUUUCUCUCAAGGAUUCGGCAAAGGACUGGUUAUACUGUCUACCUGCAGGCAUUAUCACCACGUGGCCAGAGAUGCAGAAAAAAUUUUUUGAAAAAUAUUUCCCUGCAUCUAGAGCUGCUAGUUUGCGAAAGGAAAUAUGUGGCAUCAAGCAAUUUCAGGGGGAAUCCUUGUAUGAAUAUUGGGAGAGGUUCACCAGGCUGCGUACCCGAUGCCCUCAUCACCAAAUAAGUGAUCAACUGCUGAUUCAGUACUUCUAUGAGGGGCUACUGAUGAACGAUAGAAAUAUCAUUGAUGCAGCAAGUGGUGGUGCACUGGUGAAUAAGACUACCCAGGAGGCAUGGGACUUAAUCGAGCGAAUGGCAGAGAAUUGCCAGCAGUUUGGUACGAGAGCAGAUGUUCCUACGAGAAAGGUCAACGAGGUAAGUUCAUCUUCCAUUCAACAGCAGUUAUCUGAAUUAACCUCAUUUGUUCGACAGAUAGCUGUAGGAAAUGCACAGCAGGCCAAAGUGUGUGGGAUUUGUACGAAUAUUGGUCAUACAGCUGACGCAUGCCCACAGUUACAAGAGGAGGGAAUUGAGCAAGCAAACAUGGCUGGCAACAUGCCCAUGCCACGUAGACAGUAUGACCCCUAUUCCAACUCAUACAAUCCGGGUUGGAGGGAUCAUCCAAAUCUGAGCUAUGGGGGAAAUAAGCAACAAAAUUUCAUCCCCAAUAGACAGCAGGGCUUCCAGCAACAAUAUCAAACAAGGAAUCAACCAUCCUCUGCCUCAGGUAUGUCCCUAGAAGACAUGGUUAAAACCAUAGCCUCUAAUACUAUGAAAUUUCAACAGGACACUGAGGCCAGCAAUCAAGAGAUGAAAGCACGUAUGCAAAACUUGGAAAAUCAGAUGAGUCAAUUAGCCUCAAUUGUCAACCGACUAGACUCCCAGGGAAAGGGAAAACUUCCAUCCCAACCUGAGGUGAAUCCCAAGAAUGUAAGUGCAAUGACCCUCAGGAGUGGGAAAGAGGUUGAAGGACCAGCGCCAGUAGCUCCGAAGGACAAGAAUGAGGACCGCAUUGAGAAGGAGCUCGGGCAAGAAGGAACGCCCGGCACAGAUAAAGAGGUAAUACGUAACCCAGUGGUUCCAGUAAAGCCUAACCCACCACCUUUUCCUAGCAGGUUGGAAAGGCCUAAAAAGCAAGACAAGGAAAAGGAAAUUUUGGAGAUGUUUAGGAAGGUGGAGAUAAAUAUCCCCUUACUUGACGCAAUUAAGCAAGUACCCCGGUAUGCCAAAUUUUUGAAGGACCUAUGCAUCAAUAGGAAGAAACUGAGGGGAGAUGAAAGGAUAAUUGUGGGGGAGAACGUAUCUGCAGUGCUUCAAAGAAAACUUCCACCCAAGUGCGGAGACCCAGGUAUGUUCACUAUCCCUUGUAAAAUAGGGAACACUAGCAUUAGGAAUGCCAUGUUAGAUUUAGGAGCCUCUAUAAAUGUGAUGCCCAAGGCUAUUUAUGCUUCUCUAAAUUUGGGUCCCUUAAAGGAAACUGGCAUUAUAAUUCAAUUGGCUGAUAGGACUAAUGCUUAUCCCGAUGGGGUGAUAGAAGAUAUGUUAGUGCAAGUGAACAAUUUAGUGUUCCCUGCUGAUUUUUAUAUUCUUGAUAUGGGUGACGAACGUUCUCCAAAUCCAUCACCAAUUUUGUUGGGGAGGCCCUUCUUGAGCACAGCUCGUACAAAAAUUGAUGUUAGUGAGGGCACCCUAACGAUGGAAUUUGAUGGAGAAAUAGUUCAUUUCAGUAUAUUUGAGGCCAUGAAAUAUCCAUGUCAUUCUAAUGCUAUUUUUGCUGUGAGUGUAAUUGACCCUUUGGUGCAAGAAGUAUUUGAGAUUAAUGGCAGGGAUGAAUUGGAGGUAGCAAUCACUAAACAUUUGGAUCUGGAAGCAGCCUACGAAAUGGAGUUAGACAUCAGUUUGUAAAGAAUGAUUGGAGCCUUGCAUUCACUGGGCCAAAGUCCUCUAAGGUAUGAUGUUGCUCCUAUAUUUGUGCCUGAACCGCACCUAAAGUUAUUACCUUCUAUCGUGCAGGCACCUGAAGUGGAGUUGAAACCCCUGCCCAAGCAUUUAAAGUAUGCCUAUCUGGGUGAAAAAGAGACGUUACCAGUGAUAAUCUCAUCCAAAUUAUCACCCACGGAGGAGGAUAAGCUGCUACGGGUUUUAAGGGAGCAUAAGGAAGCUAUAGGGUGGACAAUUGCAGACAUCAAGGGUAUAAGCCCGUCCGUAUGUAUGCAUCGAAUUCGCCUGGAAGAGGAUGCUAGACCGAUAAGACAACCACAAAGAAGAUUGAACCCCAACAUGAUGGAAGUGGUCAAGAAAGAGGUAAUCAAGCUUCUGGACGUAGGAAUUAUUUUUUCUAUCUCAGAUAGCCCAUGGGUGAGCCCGGUACAAGUGGUGCCGAAGAAAGUAGGGGUAACUGCGGAGGAAAAUCAUGAAGGGGACCUUGUUCCAAUUCGAAAGCCUACGGGUUGGCGCCAGUGCAUCGAUUACCGUAAAUUGAACGCAGUGACCAAGAAGGAUCAUUUUCCCCUUCCAUUCAUUGAUCAAAUGGUUGAAAGGUUAGCUUGUCGUGCCUAUUAUUGUUUUUUAGAUGGUUUCUCUGGUUAUUUUCAGAUAGCAAUUGCGCCAGAGGAUCAAGAGAAAACAACUUUCACUUGCCCCUUUGGCACUUUUGCCUAUCGAAGGAUGCCCUUUGGAUUGUGCAAUGCCCCCGCAACAUUCCAGAGGUGCAUGAUUAGCAUUUUUUCUGAGUAUGUGGAGAGAAUAAUUGAGGUAUUCAUGGAUGACUUCAGUGUCUAUGGUGAUAGCUUUGACGAUUGCUUAGAUAACUUGACGUUGAUUUUAAAAAGAUGCAUUGAGACUAACCUAGUGCUCAAUUGGGAAAAAUGUCACUUUAUGGUUGAGCACGGGAUAGUUCUAGGACAUGUAGUGUCAUCUAGAGGAAUUGAAGUUGAUAAAGCUAAAAUAGAUGUAAUAUCUGCUUUGCCUUACCCCGUAACUGUACGGCAAGUUCGUUCCUUUCUAGGACAUGCAGGUUUCUAUCGCAGAUUUAUCAAGGACUUCUCAAAGAUUGGGGCACCACUUUUCAGGCUUUUACAAAAGGAUGUUAUUUUUGAAUUCAACGAGGAGUGCAAGGAAGCGUUCGAGAAGUUGAAGAAAUUACUCACUUCUCCACCUGUCAUCCAACCACCUGACUGGAAUCUCCCGUUUGAAAUUAUGUGUGAUGCCAGUGACUACUCUGUGGGAGCAGUCUUGGGACAAAGGGUGGAGAAAGCGGCACACGCAAUAUAUUAUGCCUCCAGAGCUUUAAAUGGCGCCCAACUCAAUUACUCUACCACGGAGAAAGAACUCUUAGCUGUUAUUUUUGCUUUAGAAAAAUUCAGACCUUAUUUGCUAGGUGCUAAAGUAAUUGUGUAUUCUGACCAUGCAGCUCUGAGGUACCUACUGACCAAGAAGGACGCUAAACCCCGCUUGAUAAGAUGGAUAUUGCUCCUGCAGGAAUUUGACUUGGAAAUCAGAGAUAAAAAAGGAGCAGAGAAUCUAGUAGCUGACCACCUCAGUCGAAUACUGGUAGCGGAGGAAGAAUUACCAUUAAGGGAGUCUUUUCCUGAAGAGCAUUUACUUUCUAUUAAUUCAUCCCCUCCUUGGUUUGCAGAUAUUGUGAAUUAUUUGGUUACUGACAAAUUGCCCGCAGGUUGGCCCAAGGCAAAAAGGGACAAACUAAAAAGUGAUGCAAAGUACUAUGUCUGGGAUGAUCCCUAUCUGUGGAAACAAGGUGCUGACCAAAUAAUGAGACGAUGUGUAAGUGAAGGUGAAUUCCAAUCUAUAUUGACUUUCUGUCACUCUUUUGCAUGUGGGGGUCAUUUUGGACCUAAACGGACUGCUAGAAAAGUGUUGGAAAGUGGUUUUUUUUGGCCUACCUUAUUUAAGGAUGCUUACUUGUUUUGUAAGACAUGUGAUAAAUGUCAGAGGGUAGGCAAUUUAUCCCGAAGGGAUCAACUGCCACAGGUGCCCAUGCUUUUCAUUGAAAUUUUUGAUACUUGGGGUAUAUAUUUCAUGGGUCCCUUUCCAAAUUCUUGUGGAUUUUUAUACAUUUUACUAGCAGUAGAUUAUGUCUCGAAGUGGGUGGAAGCAAAAGCCACCCGCACUAAUGAUUCUAAGGUUGUUGCAGACUUCAUAAAAUCUAACAUUUUCGUGCGAUUUGGAAUGCCACGGGCAGUUGUGAGUGAUAGGGGGACACAUUUUUGCAACAAGACAAUUGCUGCUUUGUUCAGGAAAUAUGGGGUACUUCAUAAGGUUUCUACUUCCUACCAUCCACAGACCAAUGGCCAGGCUGAAGUCUCGAAUAGGGAAGUAAAGUCUAUUUUGGAAAAAAUGGUCCGCCCUGAUAGGAAGGACUGGAGUUCAAGGUUGGAAGAUGCGUUGUGGGCAUACAGGACCGCUUACAAGACACCUAUAGGGAUGUCUCCCUAUAGGUUGGUAUUUGGUAAGCCUUGCCAUCUUCCAGUGGAAUUCGAGCAUAAAGCAUUUUGGGCGGUUAAGCAAUGCAAUAUGGACAUCGAAGAGGGCGGAAUUCGAAGGAAGCUACAGUUACAAGAAUUGGAGGAGAUUCGCAAUGAAGCCUAUGAGAAUGCUGUGAUCUAUAAGGAGAAAAACAAGAUUUUUCAUGACCAGCAGGUCUCUAGGAAGACGUUCGAAAGUGGGCAAAAAGUUCUACUGUACCACUCAAAAUUGAAGUUAUUUCCGGGUAAGUUACGUUCUCGUUGGAUUGGUCCCUUUGUGGUAACUAAUAUCUUUGAUUAUGGUGCAGUGGAGAUCCAGAGUCUAAGGACAGAGAAGAAAUUUGUGGUGAAUGGCCAUCGUCUUAAGCCGUAUUAUGAAGGGGUUCCAGUUGAGCGGGUAGAGAUGAUGCAUUUGGAGGACCCAAUUUGCUUAGUUUAAGCAAAUUAUGGGUUAUGUCUAGCCAAAGACACUAAAGAAAGGCGCUAGUUUGGGAGGCAACCCGAAUAUUAGUCUUGUUAUUUCUAGUUGUUUUGAUUAUUUCUAGUUGUUCUUCUUUUGCAUUGGGUCAUUUACUCGUUGGGUAGUAUCUGUAUUAAUAUUUCCUUCACUGCAAUCAGGAAGUGAGAUCUUGGCGUGCCCGCGCGGUGUUUGGAUCUUCUGAGACCAGAGGACGAAGACCAAUCUUGGCGUGCCCGCGCGGUGUUGGACGACCCAAACCAUGUUUUUGCAGUACAACAAAAAAAAAAAAAAAUUUAUUUAUUAUUAUGAUUAUUAUUAUUAAUACUUUCAUUAAAAGAAAAAGAAAAGAUUGUUUUCUUUCCAAUUCAAAGAUUCAAACUACGGCAAGACAUAUAAAAAAAAAAAAAACAGUUUUUCUUGUCUUUCUUUUCUUUCUUUCCUUUUUUUUUUCUUUUUCUUUCUUUCUUCUUCUUUCUUUCUUUUUUUCUUUCUUUCUUCUCCUCUGUUUUGCUCUGUCCGCCGCCCGUGCCCACCGCCAUCUCCAAUUCCAUCGCACGCCGCUCCCCCCUGCCGCUCGUCGACGCGGCCCACGCCCCUCGCCACCGCCGCACACCAGCUCUCCUCCCACUUCCUCGCACGCCGCCGCCCGCUGCUGACCUCUGCGCGUGGCCAGAGCUUCACGCUGCGCCACCCACCUCGCGCGGGCCUCUCGAUCUGCACAGCUCCAGCCGUCCCAGCCGCCCAGCCGCCACUCUCGCGCCAGCCGCACGAAGCUCCAGCCACGCCACAGCCGCCGCACUUCCUCAGCCGCAGCCGCAGCUAGCAUUCGCCACAGCCACGCUCGCGCCAGCUCGCGGCCAAGUAUUCCAGGGCAGGCGGAGGUAUUCGAAUUUUCACCUUGAUUUGUAUUUCUCUAGUCCUUAAAUUGCUGGAAUUUGCGUUUUUGUUUCUUGGGCUUCUUGUUGGAAAACAGCAGGCAGUGAUUUUAGACAGUUUCUGGGGCUAAUUUGGGUAGAGUUGAGUUAAACUACUGCGAUAUUUGGGGGUACCUGGGGAGUAAGUGCCAAUUGCUUCUGGUUUUAAUUUCCGCUCAUUUUUUUUUUUUUGCGCUACUUGGGUGUUCAGAUCUGUUUUGUUCAGUAGGUUGGUUAUUUACUUUAAUUUCUCCCUAUAUACUCACCAGUGGUACUGGUGAGGGUAGUUGUUUAACAUCUGAUAAUUUGUGUGCUGGAUUGCCUAAUUCAGCGAAUUGUGACUACUGGGCAUUUGUGAUUGGGUCCACCCUGUGAUUGAGUGGUUGGAUAGAGCAGGGAGUGAUUUAGUUAUUUUCUGGGGGAGCUGUUUGGACAAAUUUGGGUUUACUUGCUGCCAAAGUGGGGGUAUUUUCUACUAUUAGUUGAACAGCUAGCCUUUUGAUUACUUUUUCCCCUGCGACUCGCCAGUGGUACUGGUUGAGAUCUUGUACCUUUCGUUGUGGUUUAUAUUUGAAGAUACUUGCUAGCUCUUUGGGUGAAUUGCUGCAAUUGCUGGUUGAAAUUGGGGGCGCCCGUGACGCUUAUAUUUGCUACUUGGUUGUUUUGGUUUGCCUGUUGGUCACCAUGGUGAGGCCUCGAUCUUCUGCUAGGUCUAGGACCCCUCAGCCCCCUCCACCCCAGCAUUCCAUUCCCGCCUCUGACCCCUCGCACGAUCCUUCAUCCUCUGGGAGGCGGGCUCGUCUUGGGCGACAAAGAGGCGUCCAUAUCUCUGACCCUGCACAUUUUGGGGGUCAUUUAGACUUCACCAGGGCGACCGACAAGCGGCGGUAUGCUGAGGCUUGUGAACGGCGAAUUAUUCCAUGCCGUUAUCGGGACGCCGCCACCUUGGGCCUUCUGAAUAUUAGCGUCCCCUUCCACGAUUUGAUUGAGGCAAUCGGGUGGCGACCAUAUUCUCGUAUCACUGACCUCCCAGCCUUUGUUGAGUUAGUUAGGGAAUUCUAUGCCACAUUUGAAUUCGACCUUCCCACUGGUUACACAGUUUCCAUCCCUGAUGUCAUCCGCUUCCGUUUAAUGGGUCAGGAAUUCCACCAUUCCAUAACCGACUUCAACCUGGCUUUUGGUUUCAUUGAUCCUGCCUAUGCUGAGUCUAGGGAGUAUGCCAAGAGUGCGUGUGACUUUGUCCAACCGUUUUUCUCCCGCUAUCGCUUUAUUUGGGAUGAGAUGUCCGUGGACAGGGAUAAUUAUGACCCCCGUCUAUCUAAGGGUUCUUAUCUGAAGGACCCGGCCUCUCGCUAUAUCCACCGUUUUUUGGCCUAUAGUUUCUCGGGUAGGCGAGAUAGUUCGGGCAUUCUGUCUAAGUCCGAAUUUUUCUUUAUAUGGUGCAUGCAUCACAAGAUUAAGGUUAAUCUGGGGUGCUGGCUCGCGUCUCAGUUCAAGUCCAUUUUGCCUAAAAAGAAGCGCCCCUUGAUUCUUGGGUCUUACAUUACUCACUUGGCUAUGAAUUUGCAUGUACUUGAUAUUUCUAACCAUAACUUGCAUAUAGCCUGUCAAAUGGAGCCUUUGGAUAUCCCGUGCUUAGAGAAAAUGGGCUUAGUUCGGGAGGGCGACGAUGGUUGGGAGGUAGUUCCACCGGGGCCGCUACGCCCUCCCCCUCGGUCAUCUUUUGCCCGAGCUUCCACUGAGGGCGGCGACCCUGGCCCGUCUUCCUCCGCUCCGCCACCUACCGCCCCAUCGGCCGACGAUUGGACCCAACUCCGGAACACCGUUGAUAGACUGGAGACUCACGUAACUCACAUUGGCAUCAACUUGCAUAACAUGGCUCAAAACCUGGCUGCGUUUAUGCAGCAGGCCGGCUUUCCACCUCAGUUCGCGCCUGAUCCACCCCUGUUUUGACGAUUACAGGGAAGUAUCGUUGCCCCUCUCCUUACUUUUUGCUGUUACAUUAUCACAUUGAGGGCAAUGUGUGAAUUAGGUGUGGGGGGGUCAGUUUGGGUGCUGAAUAUUUCCAGUUUUUCCAGUUUAGGUGUUUUCCUAUGUUUUUAGUUCAAGUGUUUUCUGUUUAGGUGUUGGUCCUUUAUUCCUUUUGGAUGUUUUUACCUUGCUGAUAUCUGGGUAAAUAUGUUGGCAGCUUACUCUUUUAUUGCUAGUUGUAGUUUAUACUUUGAGUUGAGUUUCGGUGGCAAGUAAGAGCAUGCUGUCUUGGUGAAUAUUUUGAGUUUAACGACUUGGGGCGAUUUAUGGCUAACUUGUUUAGGCAAUAUAAAUAUUUUGCUGGCAUUGUUGUGUGGUUUGGUCCCCUGUUGACCUUGGUCCUUCAUGUUUAGGAGAUGACGUGGGCCAUGAUCUUAAAAGUGUUUGUUAUUUUGGUACGUUAGUGAGAAUAACGUAUGGCUAUACUCCGCUAGUGCCGCCACCUAGUAACCGGAAGUCUUCACCACAAGUGUCGACUCUCGCGUCAAAAAGUGGCGAUAUCCAUGAGUAAAUAGUCCUGGAGCUAUGAAAGGUCGAGUAACUGGGCUCUUUCAUCUAAAAAUGUCAGAGUUCACGUCAAAAGACUUGAAUAGCUCGGGACUAAGCAUUACUCUUUGCAAUCUAAAAAAAAAAGAAAAAGGAAAAAAGCAAAAAAGAAAAUCAGAUGUGGAGAAUAUGUGAGUUUAUGAUCAUGUUGGCCUGCCGAUCCUUGGUUCGUAUUGUUGAGAUUUUGGUUGACAGUUGACUUGAUUACUGAUUGUUGCUAGUUAAUAUUUGGAUUUCCUACGCGAAUUAGCCAUGAAUUGGACAGGUCUAUGAACUGAGGAGCUAACCGGGAGAGACACGUCUUGAUACUUAGUCACUAGAUCUUGAUUUUGGGUAUAAGCGCAGCUGGCUAUGAUAAUGUGAAAGCUAGCCAUUGUUGAGUUGAAUUGUCUCCAUGCUUGAGGGCAAGCAUGAUUCAGGUGUGGGGGGAAUUGAUAGGGUAUAUUUUGUUAGUAAUUUUAUUAGUAAUUUCCCCUUCUAUCCCUGACAAAUAUUGCGUUAGUUGCUGAUAUUUACUCAUAUUUGGUAUUUGGAAUCAAUUUCAGGAGUGAAGCAGAAAUAUUACCAAAUGGAGGGACUUUCUAGAGCAUAUUACUAAGGGUCAAUUCGGCAGGGCCGAGCAUUGGCAAUUCAUCUUCUUAAUUUCGGUGGGGGCCCAUGGAAUAAAGAUCACUAGUCAUUUGGCCAACAGCAGACAACGUACAAAGCCUAAGUACUAAGAAGAAAUUCGGCAGACUUGUGCCAAUUGAAGGGGACCACUGGAGAGAAGACAUGGAGUCGGCCUGGCCCACGGAAAUUGAAGCCUUAGUCAUCCUUUUGGCUUGAGAAAGAAAAAGGACGUAAAGAGGCUGCUGCUUGGAAUCUCUUUUGGGUUUUUCCUAAUUGUGGUGGGAACGCAGAGGAGAUGGUUUGAGUCAACUCCCUUUUGUUUCUUUAAAAGGAAAAGAACGUACAGAAGCAAGAGACCACCUUUUAGUUUUAGCUUUUAGUUCAGUUUUAGUUCUUCUUUCUCCUGACUGGCCUCUGACACACGCCAGGUGUUCGACAAUAUUCCCCAACGGGAAAAACACUUUUAUUCCUUGCUUCUUAAUAGAAAACGCAAUGCCUUUGCAAUUUAUUAAUUCGUGUGGUGAUUUAAUUAUGCGGCGUGGCUAAGUCUUCCGUCUAGUCAGGGGUCAACUCGACGGCGCAGUCCCGGAAAUCUGUGAGAUCUAAUUAGUUUUCACGUGUUCCUUUAUCUAUUAAUAUUUGCAUGUUGCCUGAUUUAACUUUCAUGGGAUUAUUUUAUUAAUUGGAUGUCAAGGGCCCGAUGUUCAAUGUGAUAUAUUAAACUCGUGCCAAUUUAGUCAAUUAAAUCCGUAAUUGUUUGAUUGAUUAAUAUUAGUGGCAACUGGUGUGUUUACACAGUAGGGGAGCAUGCAAUCUAAUUUAAAUAACCCUCGUAGCGUGUUAUUGAUUAGAACUAGGUUUUUCUGGUUAUUAAUGCAAUUGGAAAAUUAAUUCCUACGGUCGUACCUAGGAGUACUUUUCUGGUUAGGGGUGACUAAUGGUCGUACCUUGGUCACCUAUAAAUUAAGGAAAAAUUGGUCAUUAGAGUUCCUUGAUGGCUAUAACUAGUCUAUUAAUAAAUUAAGUGAACCUCUCUUGCAUCAAUGAUCGGAUAAAUGGACUGUGCCUGAGUAGUUGCUUCCUUGGCUAGAAUUUAUUUAUUCCUGAUUAAGUUCCUGCUAUAUUUGUGCUAGUUAUUUAUUCAUUUUUAGUUAAAUUGUUUAAUUGUUUUUAGUUUUAUUCCUGUGAAAUCCCCCCUUAUCAAUUGGACUUUAAAAGAGACAGAUAUCUCCAGUCCCUGAGGAGACGACCCUACUUGCCAUUGUCUACUAUUUAGUAAUUUUUGUCAACUAAUUAAUUCUGGUAUAUCGGGUUAAGCAAACUCUUCGGGAACAGGGUGAAUCAAGUAACCCAUUGCACACCUAGAGUCCCUGCUCCAGUACCUAGGAUUAAUUACUGACUACUUUUAGUGGUAACUAGGUUCUAUUUUUAUUAUUAUUAUUGCACAGGUUUGACGACCUGUCACGAAGGCAGGAAAGGAGAUGAUUAAUGGUUUGACCAUGUGUCAAAGUACACAGAUGGUUGGAUGCAGUCUCGUUUGCAGCAGCAGAAAUUCUAUCUUUGCACACUCCAAUGGGAGUUCAACCAAAAAAAUUCCGUUUGUCAUGAAAAGUUACAAAAAUGCAUGGCCUGGGCCUACAACAAGGAGUUUCAUCAGUAUACAUUCUGAGGAAGGCGACAAAGCACUCAAGCGAAUACAGGACGAAGGCAGAGGCAAAUAUGCUCCAAAUCAGAAAGGGCCGUUCAUUGUCCAAAAGGUAUUACCUGGCAAAACACUUAUUUCGACAGAAAUGGAUAGACGAACAUUUCCCUCAACCCAUCAACUCAGAUAUGUGUAAGAAGUUUUUCAUUUGAUCAUGCAAAUUUUCUUUAGAAAUUCAUGCAAAUGGCGAAAUGCAAGUCAGGCCAUCUUCUUUUACACUUAAAACAUUCUAUCCCUACUUGUCCCCUUUGGGCCAUCAGAAUUGACAAAUUUUCGUUUGAUAACCCCUGAGAAUUGCAAACCCCACACUGGGGCAAAUUUAUUUUGAAAAAGAGAUGAUCGAAGAGGAAAGAAAACCCACACUGGGGCAAAGUUAUUUUUGAAAGAAAGAUAAAAGAGGGAGAGAGGAAAGAAGGAGAACCCCACACUGGGGCAAAUGUGGUUUUUAAAGAAAAACUAAGUCCAAUCAAUGCAAAAGUGAGGAAAAUGCAAUGCAAAAAGAGAAAAUCCGAUCAAACUGGGGCAAAUUUUUCCUCAGUUUCGUUCAAAAUUGGAGACAAUUUCAAAAUAAUGCAAUCUUAAGUUAUUUCACACCUCGCAUCGAAAUUUGCUUUCAAACCUCAACUUUUCUUGAAAACACCCCACCUGACCUCAUUACAAGAGCCCAAAGUCCUGGCUUUCGUCACUUGCUGCAUUUCUACUUGAAAUUUGUUAAUCAAUUGGCAAGUGAUGUCCAUAAUGCCUUCGCCUAAUCUUACCAGAGAAGUGCAUUUUACUGAUGCCCGCAAUCUUUAACUCACAUUUCUGAGUCGAUCAUGGUCGAGAUAUUUCGUUGUUCUUUAGGUGAAAACCCGAAAGGGCGCCUCGAAAAAAAGAAAAAGAAAGAAAAAAGAAGAAAAGAAAGAAAAAGAAAGAAAAAGAAGGAAAAGAAAGAAAAAGAAGGAAAAGAAAGAAAGAAAGAAAAGACAAAACAAAAACAAAAAAGGAGGGUGGGGGGCAACUUUGCUGAAAAUCCGAGAGGGCGCCAAGGCAGUUUUUCUCAACAGACGAGCACGAGACGGAACAGCUGGGGAACUGGUUCAUUUGAAUUUUUUCUCAUUUUUGUGAUACUUCUGCCAGUAUCGAAUUCCGAAGCGGAUAUAUCCAAAGUCUUGAAUAUGAUAUUCGUUGGCCAAAUUUGUAUUUUUUCUUUACAAAUAUCCUUUUGCAAAAUGUAUCUUCAUAAACCUCUUGAUUUUUUCUUUUUUUCGAUUACUUGCGUUCGACUGCUUGUGGUUGUGUGUCUUCUUUUGCAUACUCAUUCUUGUCUGACAUAGGAAAUCAUCUUGUAUAUAUCAUUGAUUUUUAUAUUUUCAUGCAUCACUCAUUCUUUCACCAUUGGAUUCGAAUGGAUGAUAAACCCUAAGGCUUGUGAAAUACGUUGGAUUCGAUCAUCUAUUAAAAUGGGUGAAAUACAACAAACUUGCUACACAGAUUUGUGGAUGUGGCGAAUGCGUACUUCAUCAGUCUCAGGAGUCAAAAGGUUUUCACAAAUUCAACCAAACCAGACACCGCAGAGUAGAGUCAAAAGCAUCAAAAGACUCAUGUUUGCACGAUUCUCAAGGGAAACUGGAUCCAAUGAUGGUGGCAAGUUCGUUAUUUCCUCUUUUUCUCGCAUGAAUGCUACAUCUACAAAUGGAAACAACCACCAUCUUUUCUCGCCCAAAUUAGUGUCGGAAAAGCUCCCCAGUGGACAAAAGACGAAUCAACAAUACUAUUGGCAAGUGCAGUCAGGAAAAAACAAUACGUCAAAACAAAGUCAGCUACCAUUUUGGCUACAAGGACCAAAGUUUUCCUCGAUACAAAACUUUUAGCUGUUCUCAGGCAAAAACUCAACUCAUUGUUUUAAAUCCCGUGGGUCUAUCCCAUUUACAUUUCAGUCCGGGUCUAUCCCGUGGGUCUAUCCCGUUUACAUUUCAGUCCGGGUCUAUCCCGUGGGUCUAUCCCAUUUACAUUUCAGUCCGAGUCUAUCCCGUGGAUCUAUCCCGUUUACAUUUCAGUUCGGGUCUAUCCCGUGGGUCUAUCCCGUUUACAUUUCUGUCCGAGUCUAUCUCGUGGGUCUAUCCCAUUUACAUUUCAGUCCGGGUCUAUCCCAUUUACAUUUCAGUCCGGGUCUAUCCCGUGAGUCUAUCCCGUUUACAUUUCUGUCCGGAUCUAUCCUGUGGGUCUAUCCCAUUUACAUUUCUAUCCGGGUCUAUCCCGUGGGUCUAUCACAUUUACAUUUCAGUCCGGGUCUAUCCCGUGAGUCUAUCCCGUUUACAUUUCUGUCCGGGUCUAUCCCGUGAGUCUAUCCCAUUUACAUUUCUGUUCGGGUCUAUCCCGUGGGUCUAUCCCCUUUACAUUUCUGUCCGGGUCUAUCCCGUGGGUCUAUCCCAUUUACAUUUUUGUCCGGGUCUAUCUCAUUUAAAUUCCCGUUCGGGUCAGUCCCGUUUUUAAAUUCCUGUUCGGGUCAGUCCCGUUUUAAAUUCCUGUUCGGGUCAGCCCCGUUUUAAAUUCUUGUUUCGGGUCAGUCCCAUUUUAGAAUUUUGUUAGAGAGGUCAGUCCUCAUUUCAAAAACAGCAGUCGUUCGAAUAAGUGACAGCCGAAUGGCACAGGUAGGUAUUUGGUGUCUACUUCUUUGUCUCAAGUUUUUCAAAACUCAGACAAAGAGGGGCAAACUGUAGACACCAAAUUUUGAAAUAAUUUGUAUGCUUCGUUUUAGUGAUAAUUCUUAUCUGUUGAUUUUUGUUAAUUUCAUGUUUUUGUUUUAGAUGGUUUGCAUUUUAGUUCAUUAUUGUUUGUUUAGCCCUUUUAGGUGUUGUUUUAUUUUAGUUUUAUUCACUUUUUAGUUUUUAGUUUUUUUUAUUUUUAAGUUUUAGCGUAGAAUUUCUAGAAAAAAGGGAAAAAGAAGGAAAAAUAUUCAAAAAUAUGCUGAGUUGUUUUAAUACAAUGUUUUCUUAAAGGAAAAGGAAAAAAGAGAAAAAUAAAGAAAAAUAAAAAAAAGAAAGGAAAAAGAAAAAGGAAAAAACAUGGUUUAGGGCAUAUUGGCUUAUUUUUGACAAAAAGUGAAAAGUUUGAAAAUUGAAGGAAAAGCUUUUUAGUGUAAUAGAAAUUAUUACUUUUUGAUACAUUUUAACUAUUUUCAAAGAAAAGAAAAUUUUCAAAAAAUAUUAAUUUAGGGGCAAGUUGGUUUUAUUUCAGGUUACAAGCAUUUUUUGAUUGCAUUUUAUUUUUGUUUCUAUUAUUGUUAUUAUUAUUUAUAUUUUAUCAAUUUUGUAUAGUUAAAAAAAAAAAAAUGUGUCGCGGCAUGCACGCUGCAAUUUUUUGCAGCGUGCAAAGGACAGCCACGGUUGCCCUUUGGAAGGCUGGAUGUGAAGGCAAGGGUAAGCCCUUCAUCCUCACCAUUCGGGAGAGGGUUUAUGGAUGAGUGAGUUCAUAUAAAAGGGAAGAGAGCAGCAGCCGCAGGAGAGGUUCUUUAGAGAGUUGACGGGCUAAUAGAAAAAACUGGGGGAGUUUUUGGAGAGAAAAGGGGCGGCUGAGAUUGGGAAGGAGAGAAUAGAGAGUGGCAUCUGAAAAGGAAAAAAAAACGCAGGAGACUAAGAGGGAGUUAGGAGAAUAAUAACGAGGGAAAAAUUCUGAGGAAGACACAAGAGAGGAUCUGGGAGCAAGCAAAGCAAAUCUGGAAAAUUUUGAAGAAGGCUUCAAAGCUGAGAACGAUAGGAAGGAGAUCGCUCGUCAAGGCAGGAGCUUCUGCAGCAAAAAUUCCCAACCGUAUUUCUUGGAACCCUCAUGCGUUUCUGGGUAGAUUUCAAGGUCACUCAACCGUGCUAGCAUUCUCAGGUAAAAAUGGCUCUUAUUUUGUGGGUUUAAACAUUUUUUUUAUGAGAAGAUAUGCCACGAAGGUGAAUCUUUUGAAUGAUCUGUUGCUGUUUUUGAGUUUUUGCUGGUCUCAUGACUUGGCCAUGAUUGUUUGGUAGCUAAGAUAGAGCAUAAUAAGAGCCUAUAGGAUGGGUUUAGGGAUUUUAUAAGGUUGUAUGAUGAAUGCAUGAGCUCUGAUUUUUCACGUGUUUGUAUGAACAAAACCAGAAAAACUGCAAAAGCUUUCGGCUUUAUGAUUUUUGUCAUGUUUGGGACUCUUAAUGCUUCCCUGAUUGCUGUUUUAUGUUUUUUUUACGAUGUUGGUGAUGGGUUUUGGCAAUGAAAGGCUCAGAUAUCAUGGUUUUCCCUCUCCCCUUUGUUCCAAAGUCCAGCGUACGAAUUAGAUUCUGGUUUGGGUCUGGGUAUUUGUUGCAUGAGGUUGCUAAAAUCUAGAGGCACCAGAAAUUGCAGGUGCUUCAUCAGUUGCAUGUCUACAUUUCUGCUUAGCUCCUUUAGCUAGUAUUUGAUUGAAGUUUGAUUAACCAUGUCGAUUUCCAGCUUCCUAAUGUAUAAAGAGCUCGCUGCCUAUUCUUUCUUUGUUGCUGUCCAUUUGCUGCGAUAAUGUUGUUCCGUGCCUUUUGUUGCAUUGUAAAACAAGUAGAUCAGGUGGUGUUUUGUUGUCUUGCACGAAUUACAUUCAGUUUGGGCUGUCAAAUGUGUAGAGUUUGUUUGAGUUCUCACACACAAACAUAUUUGGGCUGAAAUAGAAAAAGCUGCUGCAUUUGUUUCCUUUUCUCUGCCGUGUUUCCUUCUGCACUUCAGUUUCGUGUUCAAUCUUGUGUUAAGGUGGGGAAAUGGAAGUUUGGGUGUUGUGUAUGCAUGUUUGAAACUCUGAAACACUCGAGCUAUGGCCAAGCACUUGCUGGAAAAAUGCAUUUCAACUUGCCAAAUCAGUUUCAUAUGCUUCCAGAUUUUUCAAUUUGCUGAACGUAUUUCAUUUUUUUUUGUUGCAUUGGAUCUUGCUAAGUUUUUUGUUUGAUUGGAUGAUGGCUUGCUGCUUAGUUUAAAGCCUUGUGUGUGGACUUGACUAUGUUUGAAAGCUGGCUUGACAAGGUGCCAAAUUGCAGAAAGUCUUCAUCCGAAAAUUACAGAAGCAAAGAAAGCUUCGGUUUGCCGAAAGCUUCAUAUGCUUGUUGAAACCUUGUUGCAGCUUGAUUUUGCAUCAUUUCUUGCUGUGUUUUACUGGUUUGAAUAUCCAAGUUGUGUGCUGUGCUGUUUAAUUCAAAGCUUGGUCGUUGGUUUGAGAGAGUUAGAUCAAAGCUUGAGUUAGUUUUUCUGAAAUUUAUGGUUAAAGGUGAAAGCGCAGCCAGCAUUCUAGUUGCAGCAGGUUAAAAUGCAGAAAUCUUCUUCGUAUGCAUGCUUUGCAUGAAGAAAUAACUUCCAAAAAUUGCACUCCAACCCCUUGGCUUCUAUCUAAUGCUUCCAUGGCCCAAUUAAUUGGAAAACUUAAUUAAUUUUGUCCUCCUAACAUGCCAUUUUCUCUUUAAUACCUCUUGAUUUGUUUUGGGUAGAUACUUAAGGAGUUGUAGAAUGAAUUUGAAGGGGCUAAUAACUUUUUUUUUCUAGAUUUGUAGGCAAUUUGAUUUUUCUUGGAUUCUUUGGCAUUUUGUUGCUUAGAUACUAGCAAAUUGUUCCUCAUUUACCUUUUGUGAAUUUUCUCGUUUGAUUUGGUAUGUUUCACCUUCGAAUCUUAAUUUUAUUUUAUGUUUUUUUUGAGACCCUUAGUGUUUAUAAUAAUAAUAAAUUGGCCCGUUAAACCUCUUUAAUUUUUUCAAUUGGGUCUUUGCUUGUCUUAAUUGGUUAAGUACGAGUAGUUUACUUUCCUUGGAAUGCUUCGAGUGAUUCAAUUUGGCGUUUAUUCCCAUUUUCUCUGAUUUAUUUGAUAAUUUAAAUGGUACCUUGACCUUUUUAUUAUUUUGGAGGGUAAAUUAGUAAUUUUACUACGUUAGGGCGUCGAUUCAAGGGAGGUACACUCUAUCCCUUAUAUUUGCACUUCAUUUGACCCUACGUGCUCCUACGUGUUAUGUGAAUAUGCAUGUCUAUUUCGCUUUCCUUACCUUUCCUUAAUUCCUUGCAUUUAUUUUAUUUAAUUUUACUUUUAUUUAAGUUAUUCAUUAUGGGGUAUUUGUACACCUCUUGGCUUGUAAUGGAUAGGGUUUGGCGAGCAAUUUGGUCCAUUUUCCCCUUCCCUUUUUGUUUUAGUUAGCAAAUGUAAUAGAUUCAUUAGCUUGGUUGCAUGCCUAUGUGUUAUGUGUUAAGUGCUUUAUUAGGCUCUUGCAUCUAGUCGAGCAUGCUAAGUGUUAUGUGCUACGUGUUUAUAAGUGAUUCGCAUGUCUACUCGCUUUUUUAUAGUCAUGAAUGAAUGUGAUGGAUGAAUGGACGUCACCACACUAGUCCAAUACUAGUUGUGGCCCCCUUUCCCGUCACCACACUAGUCCAACGCUAGUUGUGGUUCAUUGUCCCGUUUCCACUAGUCCAAUGCUAGUAGGAAUUCAUAGAAAGGGCUAGUCCAACGCUAGACCCAAUAGGCCGUCCCUUUCGAUAGUGCAUAUUUGCAUGUUCACUACAUGUCAUGUAUUUUUCUUAGUUUUAUCAUUUGGCAUGCUCCUCGAACCCCUUUUCCCCUCAUGCUAGUUAUAGGGUACAUUUGCUUGAGAGUCCCCUUUCGAUAAGGGAAACGAGCGAGUUUGGCUGCGAAAUAGCCUUAGCACGCUAGUUUUUCCUUCUAAUCCAAGGAAAAAUCAAAGUCGUAAAGUUAGGAGUCCUUCCCGUGCCCGACUUGAUGCAUUCCCUUAGGGUCAUACACUUGCAUUCCUUUUAUAUCACCUCUUCACCUUUUAACCACAUUUUCUCACUUUUCUCAAUCCACACUUCCUCAACACCUUUUUAUCGCUUAUUUAUUUCUUACCUCACAAAUGGCACUCAAAAUUGCGCUUAUAUAUCUACUAUUCUAUUUUUCAUCCAUUUGCACACGAACACAUUUCUUUUUCUCACACUUACACACUUACACUUAAGUCCUCAUUUGCAUUUACCACAACUUCUAUGAGAGCUUUCCCUAUUGGCCACCACAAUUCAUGUGGUUGGGACCAAAAAGUCUCAUAAGAAACAUUUAGAUUUAGGAUCGCAUUUUUCUUUCCUUCUUGCAUUCAUAUAGUUAUAUCCAACAUGCGAUACAUACUUUGGGUAGAAAAACUAGGAAAAGAAGGGUUAAGUCACGCAACUAACCUUUGCUAGGGUAAGGGAGUGCCUUAGGCUUUGCCUUCGCCUUCUCCCUUAUCAAAUGUGACCCCCGAUCCCUCGCUUUGGUUACGUAGACCUAAAAGUUUUAAAAAGGGUUUGUUUAUUUCGCUUUUCCAAAAAAUCACUUUUGGGUGACUUGGUACACCCUAACUCUAUACCAAGUGGCGACUCCAUUUUCUUUAAAAAAACCCUUUUUGAACUUCGUUUGGCCAAAAUCGUCGCAUUCUCAAGUCCCAUGGCCUUUUACUUUUCAUUUUCACACGUUCACAUGUAUAUCAUACACACUACUCACUCUCACACACACCACACACCACAUCAUCAAAAAGUGGGGCGCGACAGUUGGCGACUCCACUGGGGAUUUUCUAAGUGGGUCCAAGCAUUUGAUUUGGCCAUUCUUUUCCCUUUUCUACCCUUUUUAUGCAUAGCAUUGGAUAUUAGGGUUGCAUUUUCUACUUUAGGACUUUUUUGCCUCGCGCGCAUAUCAAACUAUUCCCUCACUCACGUAUGUAUGAUUGGUUGUUUGGAUGUAUAUUCUACUUGUUUUAUCUCGCGCUUUGCAUUGCAUUUGGGUGGGGGGAUAUACCCUAGAGCCUCGCGUUGGUUCUUGAUCCCUCCCCUCCAAACGAGCACUAGCAUACGUGCAUACGCUUUAAUUUUUUACCCCUCAUUUAUUUUUCUUUUAGUGGCUUGUCACGCCACUCCACCCUACUAGGAUUUUAGGCGACUCACUUGGACUUGUGAUCGCGACACGAUGUGUGCGUAGCAUGAUCCGAGGAGUCACUCGAUCUUCCAUUUUAAGCUUUGGGUUCAUAACCUUUAGCUUUUAAUUGAAGAUUGAGGAUUUUUGAUAGAUUCACUCAUGACAUGUAGCCGUGACACGAUGUGUGCGUAGCAAUGUCUGGGGAAUCGCUCGAGCCACCGACAAGGAACCUUGGAAUUGAUGACCCUCGGUUUCCAAGUCUGAAGGCUCGGGGACCUAAAACCUAUCGAGUCUAGAUGCAUUAGUGAGCCAACCCCAUGCAUCCAUAAUAGUUUUACCUAGGGUAGCGUCUGCCUUACCCUAUUAUGAAUACUAUUCACGAGGGGAGGGGUCCAACCCCUUUCUCCUUUUUAUUGCUUUAUUUCUUUGUGUUGAUUUCGUUGCUACAAGGUGUUAUGUGUAUUUAUGUGAUUGAACUAACCUUUCUUGGUUUUGUCUCCAUUGCAUUCAUUAGCCCUAGAAAAUAAGAGUCCUGGCAUGGCACUCUCUAAGAACCUACCCCAUUUGAUGUGACACGUUUAAAUUCAAUGCUUCACAUACGUAGCAUGAAUACAUUUCAUUUUAGGCUUACCCUGGCAAAUAAAUGGUCCCUUAGGUCAUGCUUCAUUUCAAAUUACAUGUUUUACUGCUUUAAUAAACGGGCAUCACGCAUAAACCCUAGAAAGGGAAUGCCAUUUAGGGGAUCCUGUGUUAGGAAUAGGCCACCUUGUGUCUCGGAUAUUUAAUCCAGUGAGACUUGCACGUUUACAUUUUGUACCAUCCAAAGGGGCAGUGCACAAGGUAAGGUAGGAUCCGAUCAUUUUCAUAGACUGAUCUUUGGAAUAUGAGCAUCUAAUAAUCACUUUUUGGCCAUUUUAUCAAAAAUUGGUAAAAAUCCCUUGCGUGAAGGGCAUUAAUUUGAAGAAAUUCACAAAUGAUUCCUCCUAUUGAAACGAUAAAUAAAUUGAGGCAAAAAUUUGAUUUUUAGAAGGUCAUAGACUAAUGCACCUCAAUAAUUUUGAAAUAACCAAUGGCCGGACAAUUCAACCAAUCCAUUUUGCCAAUUCAUUCAAUUCAUUUGACCUGUUUCCCUUUUUAGGGUAAACCGGUCGAUUUUUAAUAAAUUGUCAAUUCAUUUGACCAAUUAGGGUUUCAAUGUCGAAUUUCAAAAUGGAAAACCUAGUCGAUUUUGAGAAAAACAUCCAUUGCAUCCAGCCAUUUGAUCAGUUGGAGUUUUGACCUGCGCUUCACUAAGAAAAUUUGUUAACGAGUUCCAAUCUCUUUGAUAGGAAGUUCGUCAAAGUCAAAACCCGUGCAUUUUUUUUGCAAAUUCUUGUAUCGAUCAAAAGUGAUCAAUCUAUUUGGACGUUGACCUCAUUUUGACAAAGUGUCUCUCGUCAAUCCAAUUGACCAAAUUUUUCAAAAUUAUUUUUCACUCAAUGAGUUGAUCAGAUCCAUCAGGUAUGGUAUAGUGCCUACCUCAGAGGAUUGCAUUUUCAUGCUAGGCCUACCCUUGGCACAAAAGGGCUCCCCCGUAGGACAUGCAUCCGAAUUUUUUGGAUAUUUACUAACUCUUGUCUUUUUCUUUUCCUUUUCUUUAUUUUCUUGGAAUAACUAAGCGAGGGUUAAAUCUAAAGGCAAUUUUUCAAAAAUUCUCAGGUAAUAUUUAAACAUAGCUUCUCGUCGAAACCCCAUCAUAACGCGAUCCCGUAGUCAAGCCUAGAGGAGUCGUGUAAACAUGAGUUCGCAAUCGGAACUGUCGGAUAAGUCUGCUACUACAGCCCAACCUGAGACUGCAAGUUUGGGGGUCCAACUGACCGAGAUGCUUACGAAGUUUGGUGAGAUGGCAUCUGAAAUGGCCGUCCAAAAGAAAUUAAUCGAUGAGCUUAUCAGUAGCGGAGUUCAACCCGAGCCUGUACUCGUCAGUCAAUCGGGGCCAGAAUCAUUGGUCAUGCCCACGACCCAAACUACUUUCUCCAUCCUUCAUCAUUCCACCCGAAGGAGCUUUCACCUAUCCCACCAUAAAUUUGCCAUACACUUACCCUCCUAACCUUUCGUUCUUUCCUACUCACAUGCAAGGUCCCCAACCGCAAAUCACUUCAAACAUACCACCUGAGCUACAUACCUUUUAUCACGCUGCUGCUGAGCCUUUCUUGCCAGACCAUACCAUUCAAAACAAGCCAGCAAUGGGAGAAUCUUCUGCUCCCAUUGAUAUGAAGCUUCUCAAGCGCCUUGACCGUUUUGAUGAAUUUAUGAGGAAAAGUCAGGGUUUAAACAAGCAAGGAGUGCUGGACUAUGAUGAACUGUGUCUCUUUCCAAAUGUUCAAUUGCCUGAGGGGUUCAAAACUCCGAAGUUUAACAAAUACGAUGGCACGGGCAAUCCCAAGACACACCUCCGAUUGUUCGCCAAUAAAUUGGGUAGGCCGGUAGAUGAUGAAAAUCUACCUUUAAGGCUAUUCCCAGAAAGUCUGGAAAGCGACGCACUUGAUUGGUAUUCAACUUUGAAGUCUGAGGAGAUAAAAACUUGGCUGGACCUGUCCAAUGCUUUUGUAAGGCAAUACGAGUACAAUUGUGAGCUGGCUCCGACACGAACUACGUUGGAGGGGACAAAGAGGAAGCCAUCCGAGGAUCACAAGACUUAUGCCAAGAGGUGGAGGAAAAUAGCUGCAAAAGUCGAGCCACCAAUGACGGAGGACGAAAUCAUACGCACUUUCAUUAAAGCACAUGAUCCGCCGUAUUUUGAAGAAAUAUUUCGCAUGACUGGAUGCUCGUUCUCCGCCAUUGUCAAUAAGCUUGAGGAGUAUGAUGACUUCGUGAAAGCUGGGAAGAUUGUUAAUGUCUCUGCCCUCAAAUCCCAGUUGGAUGCCUUGCAAGGACAGGGGAAUAGUGGGAAGAACCCGCAACUUAAAAAGAAAGAGGGGGAAGCUGUCUCCAUAUGGGAUCAAAACCCUAUUCCAAGGCCCAGACCUCGAUAAUACCCUACAUACUCAAACCCUUACCCUUAUUAUUCCAACCCUCAUCCUGUUUAUCACGCCAAUAUCACUCACCCUCGACCUCGCCCAAGCUAUCCUAAUCCACCUUUAGCCCCUUUUCAAAUUUCUCAACCAAAUCCUCAUCAAAAUCGUCAUCGGCCUCCAUUCAAUCCAGGAAUGCCUCCACCAACCGUUUACAACUACCCUCAGCCCCCUAAAACCAACAACCCGGGACGUAACCGCACAUUCACCAAUCUCGACAGGCCUUUGGAUCAAUUAUAUGACCAAUUGAAGGCUGCUGGGAAAAUAGGUAUCAUUCCCCCUCCAACCUAUCCGUAUGGCAUACCCGUAGGGUAUAACCCACAAGCUGUCUGUGCUUAUCAUUCAGGGGCACCCGGCCAUCCGAUUGCUGAGUGUAAAGCACUCAAGCAUAAAAUUCAAGACAUGAUUGAAGCUGGAGAGAUUGUAAUUAGAAGAAAAGAGGCACAAGCGCCAAAUGUGGAUAAGAACCCCCUGCCAGAGUACGAUAACACCAUUGGAUUUAUUAUGGACAAUAUGGAAUUUAAGGAGCCUGUUAGAAACUCGUCAAGUGAGGCUGAGGUGUUUGGAAGUGAUGCAGAAUUUCCCGACAUUCCUGAAGGAUCAAUUUUCAAUUGAACAGCCGAGUUUCUGCCAUUCAGAAGGAGUUUCGUAAACUUAAAAGGGGUUUGUCAUCCAUGCGAACUCAUUGAAAAUGCUUUUGCAUCUGUAAAUAGCUAAUGAAAGCAUCUUUAUUUUUGACUAAGAGUUUGCACAUGUUUUCAUUUCAUUUUCACUUGCUUUCCUUUUAUUUUUGCUUUCAAUCAAAGGUUUUAUGAAAAGGCACAAGUCAUUCUUGUCAUGUUAUUUUGUUUAUUCGUUUGUUUAUAUUUUGGUCAUAUUGCUUGUUCAUUUGUUUGUUGUAUACUUGUUUGUUAUCCCAAAUUCCUUAAUUCUUUCAGAUGGCCAAAAAUAAAGCUAUUUGACCCUUUGGAUAUCACCAUUCUGGAAUUUAGUAAUGGCAAUCUCUAUCUCACUCACGACUUGAGAAUUUUGGAACCCAAAUUUUCAAGCGAGAGUGAUAAUAAGAAAAUAUUUGAUUCUUUUAAAAAAUCUUGAACAAUAUGAGGAGAAAUUCGAACCAAACCAAGAAGCCACAGCAAUUGUUCACUUUGGCACUGAGAAUGAGGUCAAGAAGACAUGUGUCAGCAUUCGUUUGGACGAAGGCAGGAAAGGAGAUGAUUAAUGGUUUGACCAUGUGUCAAAGUACACAGAUGGUUGGAUGCAGUCUCGUUUGCAGCAGCAGAAAUUCUAUCUUUGCACACUCCAAUGGGAGUUCAACCAAAAAAAUGCCGUUUGUCAUGAAAAGUUACAAAAAUGCAUGGCCUGGGCCUACAACAAGGAGUUUCAUCAGUAUACAUUCUGAGGAAGGCGACAAAGCACUCAAGCGAAUACAGGACGAAGGCAGAGGCAAAUAUGCUCCAAAUCAGAAAGGGCCGUUCAUUGUCCAAAAGGUAUUACCUGGCAAAACACUUAUUUCGACAGAAAUGGAUAGACGAACAUUUCCCUCAACCCAUCAACUCAGAUAUGUGUAAGAAGUUUUUCAUUUGAUCAUGCAAAUUUUCUUUAGAAAUUCAUGCAAAUGGCGAAAUGCAAGUCAGGUCAUCUUCUUUUACACUUAAAACAUUCUAUCCCUACUUGUCCCCUUUGGGCCAUCAGAAUUGACAAAUUUUCGUUUGAUAACCCCUGAGAAUUGCAAACCCCACACUGGGGCAAAUUUAUUUUGAAAAAGAGAUGAUCGAAGAGGAAAGAAAACCCACACUGGGGCAAAGUUAUUUUUGAAAGAAAGAUAAAAGAGGGAGAGAGGAAAGAAGGAGAACCCCACACUGGGGCAAAUGUGGUUUUUAAAGAAAAACUAAGUCCAAUCAAUGCAAAAGUGAGGAAAAUGCAAUGCAAAAAGAGAAAAUCCGAUCAAACUGGGGCAAAUUUUUCCUCAGUUUCGUUCAAAAUUGGAGACAAUUUCAAAAUAAUGCAAUCUCAAGUUAUUUCACACCUCGCAUCGAAAUUUGAUUUCAAACCUCAACUUUUCUUGAAAAACCCCACCUGACCUCAUUACAAGAGCCCAAAGUCCUGGCUUUCGUCACUUGCUGCAUUUCUACUUGAAAUUUGUUAAUCAAUUGGCAAGUGAUGUCCAUAAUGCAUUUGCCUAAUCUUACCAGAGAAGUGCAUUUUACUGAUGCCCGCAAUCUUUAACUCACAUUUCUGAGUCGAUCAUGGUCGAGAUAUUUCGUUGUUCUUUAGGUGAAAACCCGAAAGGGCGCCUCGAAAAAAAGAAAAAAAAAGAAAAAAGAAGAAAAGAAAGAAAAAGAAAGAAAAAGAAGGAAAAGAAAGAAAAAGAAGGAAAAGAAAGAAAGAAAGAAAAGACAAAACAAAAACAAAAAAGGAGGGUGGGGGGCAACUUUGGUGAAAAUCCGAGAGGGCGCCAAGGCAGUUUUUCUCAACAGACGAGCACGAGACGGAACAGCUGGGGAACUGGUUCAUUUGGAUUUUUUCUCAUUUUUGUGAUACUUCUGCCAGUAUCGAAUUCCGAAGCGGAUAUAUCCAAAGUCUUGAAUAUGAUAUUCGUUGGCCAAAUUUGUAUUUUUUCUUUACAAAUAUCCUUUUGCAAAAUGUAUCUUCAUAAACCUCUUGAUUUUUUCUUUUUUUCGAUUACUUGCGUUCGACUGCUUGUGGUUGUGUGUCUUCUUUUGCAUACUCAUUCUUGUCUGACAUAGGAAAUCAUCUUGUAUAUAUCAUUGAUUUUUAUAUUUUCAUGCAUCACUCAUUCUUUCACCAUUGGAUUCGAAUGGAUGAUAAACCCUAAGGUUUGUGAAAUACGUUUGAUUCGAUCAUCUAUUAAAAUGGGUGAAAUACAACAAACUUGCUACACAGAUUUGUGGAUGUGGCGAAUGCGUACUUCAUCAGUCUCAGGAGUCAAAAGGUUUUCACAAAUUCAACCAAACCAGACACCGCAGAGUAGAGGCAAAAGCAUCAAAAGACUCAUGUUUGCACGAUUCUCAAAGGAAACUGGAUCCAAUGAUGGUGGCAAGUUCGUUAUUUCCUCUUUUUCUCGCAGGAAUGCUACAACUACAAAUGGAAACAACCACCAUCUUUUCUCGCCCAAAUUAGUGUCGGAAAAGCUCCCCAGUGGACAAAAGACGAAUCAACAAUACUAUUGGCAAGUGCAGUCAGGAAAAAACAAUACGUCAAAACAAAGUCAGCUACCAUUUUGGCUACAAGGACCGAAUUUUUCCUCGAUACAAAACUUUUAGCUGUUCUCAGGCAAAAACUCAACUCAUUGUUUUAAAUCCCGUGGGUCUAUCCCAUUUACAUUUCAGUCCGGGUCUAUCCCGUGAGUCUAUCCUGUUUACAUUUCAGUCCGGGUCUAUCCCGUGGAUCUAUCCCGUUUACAUUUCAGUUCGGGUCUAUCCCGUGGGUCUAUCCCGUUUACAUUUCUGUCCGAGUCUAUCCCGUGGGUCUAUCCCAUUUACAUUUCAGUCCGGGUCUAUCCCAUUUACAUUUCAGUCCGGGUCUAUCCCGUGAGUCUAUCCCGUUUACAUUUCAGUCCGGGUCUAUCCCGUGGGUCUAUCCCGUUUACAUUUCAGUCCGGAUCUAUCCCGUGGGUCUAUCACAUUUACAUUUCAGUCCGGGUCUAUCCCGUGAGUCUAUCCCGUUUACAUUUCUGUCCGGGUCUAUCCCGUGAGUCUAUCCCAUUUACAUUUCUGUUCAGGUCUAUCCCGUGGGUCUAUCCCCUUUACAUUUCUGUCCGGGUCUAUCCCGUGGGUCUAUCCCAUUUACAUUUUUGUCCGGGUCUAUCUCAUUUAAAUUCCCGUUCGGGUCAGUCCCGUUUUUAAAUUCCUGUUCGGGUCAGUCCCGUUUUAAAUUCCUGUUCGGGUCAGCCCCGUUUUAAAUUCUUGUUUCGGGUCAGUCCCAUUUUAGAAUUUUGUUAGAGAGGUCAGUCCUCAUUUCAAAAACAGCAGUCGUUCGAAUAAGUGACAGCCGAAUGGCACAGGUAGGUAUUUGGUGUCUACUUCUUUGUCUCAAGUUUUUUCAAAACUCAGACAAAGAGGGGCAAACUGUAGACACCAAAUUUUGAAAUAAUUUGUAUGCUUCGUUUUAGUGAUAAUUCUUAUCUGUUGAUUUUUGUUAAUUUCAUGUUUUUGUUUUAGAUGGUUUGCAUUUUAGUUCAUUAUUGUUUGUUUAGCCCUUUUAGGUGUUGUUUUAUUUUAGUUUUAUUCACUUUUUAGUUUUUAGUUUUUUUUAUUUUUAAGUUUUAGCGUAGAAUUUCUAGAAAAAAGGGAAAAAGAAGGAAAAAUAUUCAAAAAUAUGCUGAGUUGUUUUAAUACAAUGUUUUCUUAAAGGAAAAGGAAAAAAGAGAAAAAUAAAGAAAAAUAAAAAAAAGAAAGGAAAAAGAAAAAGGAAAAAACAUGGUUUAGGGCAUAUUGGCUUAUUUUUGACAAAAAGUGAAAAGUUUGAAAAUUGAAGGAAAAGCUUUUUAGUGUAAUAGAAAUUAUUACUUUUUGAUACAUUUUAACUAUUUUCAAAGAAAAGAAAAUUUUCAAAAAAUAUUAAUUUAGGGGCAAGUUGGUUUUAUUUCAGGUUACAAGCAUUUUUUGAUUGCAUUUUAUUUUUGUUUCUGUUAUUGUUAUUAUUAUUUAUAUUUUAUCAAUUUUGUAUAGUUAAAAAAAAAAAAAAUGUGUCGCGGCAUGCACGCUGCAAUUUUUUGCAGCGUGCAAAGGACAGCCACGGUUGCCCUUUGGAAGGCUGGAUGUGAAGGCAAGGGUAAGCCCUUCAUCCUCACCAUUCGGGAGAGGGUUUAUGGAUGAGUGAGUUCAUAUAAAAGGGAAGAGAGCAGCAGCCGCAGGAGAGGUUCUUUAGAGAGUUGACGGGCUAAUAGAAAAAACUGGGGGAGUUUUUGGAGAGAAAAGGGGCGGCUGAGAUUGGGAAGGAGAGAAUAGAGAGUGGCAUCUGAAAAGGAAAAAAAAACACAGGAGACUAAGAGGGAGUUAGGAGAAUAAUAACGAGGGAAAAAUUCUGAGGAAGGCACAAGAGAGGAUCUGGGAGCAAGCAAAGCAAAUCUGGAAAAUUUUGAAGAAGGCUUCAAAGCUGAGAACGAUAGGAAGGAGAUCGCUCGUCAAGGCAGGAGCUUCUGCAGCAAAAAUUCCCAACCGUAUUUCUUGGAACCCUCAUGCGUUUCUGGGUAGAUUUCAAGGUCACUCAACCGUGCUAGCAUUCUCAGGUAAAAAUGGCUCUUAUUUUGUGGGUUUAAACAUUUUUUUUAUGAGAAGAUAUGCCACGAAGGUGAAUCUUUUGAAUGAUCUGUUGCUGUUUUUGAGUUUUUGCUGGUCUCAUGACUUGGCCAUGAUUGUUUGGUAGCUAAGAUAGAGCAUAAUAAGAGCCUAUAGGAUGGGUUUAGGGAUUUUAUAAGGUUGUAUGAUGAAUGCAUGAGCUCUGAUUUUUCACGUGUUUGUAUGAACAAAACCAGAAAAACUGCAAAAGCUUUCGGCUUUAUGAUUUUUGUCAUGUUUGGGACUCUUAAUGCUUCCCUGAUUGCUGUUUUAUGUUUUUUUUACGAUGUUGGUGAUGGGUUUUGGCAAUGAAAGGCUCAGAUAUCAUGGUUUUCCCUCUCCCCUUUGUUCCAAAGUCCAGCGUACGAAUUAGAUUCUGGUUUGGGUCUGGGUAUUUGUUGCAUGAGGUUGCUAAAAUCUAGAGGCACCAGAAAUUGCAGGUGCUUCAUCAGUUGCAUGUCUACAUUUCUGCUUAGCUCCUUUAGCUAGUAUUUGAUUGAAGUUUGAUUAACCAUGUCGAUUUCCAGCUUCCUAAUGUAUAAAGAGCUCGCUGCCUAUUCUUUCUUUGUUGCUGUCCAUUUGCUGCGAUAAUGUUGUUCCGUGCCUUUUGUUGCAUUGUAAAACAAGUAGAUCAGGUGGUGUUUUGUUGUCUUGCACGAAUUACAUUCAGUUUGGGCUGUCAAAUGUGUAGAGUUUGUUUGAGUUCUCACACACAAACAUAUUUGGGCUGAAAUAGAAAAAGCUGCUGCAUUUGUUUCCUUUUCUCUGCCGUGUUUCCUUCUGCACUUCAGUUUCGUGUUCAAUCUUGUGUUAAGGUGGGGAAAUGGAAGUUUGGGUGUUGUGUAUGCAUGUUUGAAACUCUGAAACACUCGAGCUAUGGCCAAGCACUUGCUGGAAAAAUGCAUUUCAACUUGCCAAAUCAGUUUCAUAUGCUUCCAGAUUUUUCAAUUUGCUGAACGUAUUUCAUUUUUUUUUGUUGCAUUGGAUCUUGCUAAGUUUUUUGUUUGAUUGGAUGAUGGCUUGCUGCUUAGUUUAAAGCCUUGUGUGUGGACUUGACUAUGUUUGAAAGCUGGCUUGACAAGGUGCCAAAUUGCAGAAAGUCUUCAUCCGAAAAUUACAGAAGCAAAGAAAGCUUCGGUUUGCCGAAAGCUUCAUAUGCUUGUUGAAACCUUGUUGCAGCUUGAUUUUGCAUCAUUUCUUGCUGUGUUUUACUGGUUUGAAUAUCCAAGUUGUGUGCUGUGCUGUUUAAUUCAAAGCUUGGUCGUUGGUUUGAGAGAGUUAGAUCAAAGCUUGAGUUAGUUUUUCUGAAAUUUAUGGUUAAAGGUGAAAGCGCAGCCAGCAUUCUAGUUGCAGCAGGUUAAAAUGCAGAAAUCUUCUUCGUAUGCAUGCUUUGCAUGAAGAAAUAACUUCCAAAAAUUGCACUCCAACCCCUUGGCUUCUAUCUAAUGCUUCCAUGGCCCAAUUAAUUGGAAAACUUAAUUAAUUUUGUCCUCCUAACAUGCCAUUUUCUCUUUAAUACCUCUUGAUUUGUUUUGGGUAGAUACUUAAGGAGUUGUAGAAUGAAUUUGAAGGGGCUAAUAACUUUUUUUUUCUAGAUUUGUAGGCAAUUUGAUUUUUCUUGGAUUCUUUGGCAUUUUGUUGCUUAGAUACUAGCAAAUUGUUCCUCAUUUACCUUUUGUGAAUUUUCUCGUUUGAUUUGGUAUGUUUCACCUUCGAAUCUUAAUUUUAUUUUAUGUUUUUUUUGAGACCCUUAGUGUUUAUAAUAAUAAUAAAUUGGCCCGUUAAACCUCUUUAAUUUUUUCAAUUGGGUCUUUGCUUGUCUUAAUUGGUUAAGUACGAGUAGUUUACUUUCCUUGGAAUGCUUCGAGUGAUUCAAUUUGGCGUUUAUUCCCAUUUUCUCUGAUUUAUUUGAUAAUUUAAAUGGUACCUUGACCUUUUUAUUAUUUUGGAGGGUAAAUUAGUAAUUUCACUACGUUAGGGCGUCGAUUCAAGGGAGGUACACUCUAUCCCUUAUAUUUGCACUUCAUUUGACCCUACGUGCUCCUACGUGUUAUGUGAAUAUGCAUGUCUAUUUCGCUUUCCUUGCCUUUCCUUAAUUCCUUGCAUUUAUUUUAUUUAAUUUUACUUUUAUUUAAGUUAUUCAUUAUGGGGUAUGUGUACACCUCUUGACUUGUAAUGGAUAGGGUUUGGCGAGCAAUUUGGUCCAUUUUCCCCUUCCCUUUUUGUUUUAGUUAGCAAAUGUAAUAGAUUCAUUAGCUUGGUUGCAUGCCUAUAUGUUAUGUGUUAAGUGCUUUAUUAGGCUCUUGCAUCUAGUCGAGCAUGCUAAGUGUUAUGUGCUACGUGUUUAUAAGUGAUUCGCAUGUCUACUCGCUUUUUUAUAGUCAUGAAUGAAUGUGAUGGAUGAAUGGACGUCACCACACUAGUCCAAUACUAGUUGUGGCCCCCUUUCCCGUCACCACACUAGUCCAACGCUAGUUGUUGUUCAUUGUCCCGUUUCCACUAGUCCAAUGCUAGUAGGAAUUCAUAGAAAGGGCUAGUCCAACGCUAGACCCAAUAGGCCGUCCCUUUCGAUAGUGCAUAUUUGCAUGUUCACUACAUGUCAUGCAUUUUUCUUAGUUUUAUCAUUUGGCAUGCUCCUCGAACCCCUUUUCCCCUCAUGCUAGUUAUAGAGUACAUUUGCUUGAGAGUCCCCUUUCGAUAAGGGAAACGAGCGAGUUUGGCUGCGAAAUAGCCUUAGCACGCUAGUUUUUCCUUCUAAUCCAAGGAAAAAUCAAAGUCGUAAAGUUAGGAGUCCUUCCCGUGCCCGACUUGAUGCAUUCCCUUAGGGUCAUACACUUGCAUUCCUUUUAUAUCACCUCUUCACCUUUUAACCACAUUUUCUCACUUUUCUCAAUCCACACUUCCUCAACACCUUUUUAUCGCUUAUUUAUUUCUUACCUCACAAAUGGCACUCAAAAUUGCGCUUAUAUAUCUACUAUUCUAUUUUUCAUCCAUUUGCACACGAACACAUUUCUUUUUCUCACACUUACACACUUACACUUAAGUCCUCAUUUGCAUUUACCACAACUUCUAUGAGAGCUUUCCCUAUUGGCCACCACAAUUCAUGUGGUUGGGACCAAAAAGUCUCAUAAGAAACAUUUAGAUUUAGGAUCGCAUUUUUCUUUCCUUCUUGCAUUCAUAUAGUUAUAUCCAACAUGCGAUACAUACUUUGGGUAGAAAAACUAGGAAAAGAAGGGUUAAGUCACGCAACUAACCUUUGCUAGGGUAAGGGAGUGCCUUAGGCUUUGCCUUCGCCUUCUCCCUUAUCAAAUGUGACCCCCGAUCCCUCGCUUUGGUUACGUAGACCUAAAAGUUUUAAAAAGGGUUUGUCUAUUUCGCUUUUCCAAAAAAUUACUUUUGGGUGACUUGGUACACCCUAACUCUAUACCAAGUGGCGACUCCAUUUUCUUUAAAAAACCCUUUUUGAACUUCGUUUGGCCAAAAUCGUCGCAUUCUCAAGUCCCAUGGCCUUUUACUUUUCAUUUUCACAUGUUCACAUGUAUAUCAUACACACUACUCACUCUCACACACAUCACACACCACAUCAUCAAAAAGUGGGGCGCGACAAUAGUAUAUACACUGUCAGUGUACAUAUGAUUUAUUCAUAAAAGAUUUCGAAUCGCAACCUUUUUUCCCAUCAUUGUAGUUAAGUAUAACCUGAGAAAGAAGUACAAUGGUCUUUACUAAAAUUUACAAGUACUCUACUUUGAGUGUGUGACAACGUACAAAACGAGAGAAAGAAUAGCAAUUAUGACAAGUCUUGCAUCCGACAUCUAAAAAUUUCCAUAAGAAGCACAUAAACAGAAGUACGUAUUUAUUUAGGGCAGGUAGUUCAUAAAUUAUCGUGCCAUUUUGGUCUGGUUCACACAAAAAAUGGUAUUGCAAGUUUAGGUGAAUUUAAUAAUGAAAAAAAAGAAAAGAUAAAAGGUUGAAAAUUAGGAGUGCCAAUAUCAAAUCCUCCUCCCCAGUUCUGCAAAAGCCAAAAAAAAAAAAGGUAACAACUAUAGCAAAGGUUUUGCAAUUUGUACUUACAUAGCUUAGAAGGUCUUCGGAAUCUCUAGAUUGAUGGAAGUCACUGCUCUUCUUGCCCAUGACAAUUUCCAAAAUUACAACCCCAAAACUAAACACGUCUGACUUUAGUGAGAACUGACCCCACCUUGUGUAUUCAGGAGCCAUAUAACCACUACAAGCCACAACGAUUGUUAUAAUCAGCACAAAGAUAAUCCGAAUGAUGCAAUCAAAUGGAGGUGUACAUAAUUUUCCAUGAAAGAUUCAAAGUGAUAUUAUGUGAGAAAAGAUAGUAUGGGAGCAAAACUUAUACUGUCCCUGCAAUUCUAUUUGUGUUUCCUUCAUAUUGAUCAACUCCACAAAUCUUUGCCAUGCCAAAAUCUGCUAUCUUUGGACUCAUAUUUCCAUCCAAUAAUAUAUUACUUAUUUUGAGAUCGCGAUGAACAAUUCUUAGACGAGAAUCCUCAUGCAGAUAAAGAAGUCCUUUUGCUAUACCUCCAAUGAUAUUGUAACGUCUUGACCAGUUCAAUGAUCGUUUAUUUUCUGGAUCUACACAAAUUUAAACAAUAACUCCAGAAAGCAUAUGUUUAGCUUUUAAAAUAUAAAUGCACUCCACAGACACUUCACCCUAAAGGUUUUAAAUUGUCCCACUUCAGUAUAAUUAUUAAUGAAAUCAUCCCACUUUGACAAUUGAGUGAGUGAUUGUAGAAUUCACACCAAUUAAACAUUUCUAGAGGCGAUUUGUCCGUCAUUUCCAUAAAAUGGCAAGUCACAUGGAACAACAAAAAAUUACUAUAGAACAAGAUCACAUGGAACAACAACAAAUAGAACAAGAUCACAUGGAACAACAAAAAAUUACUAUAAGUAUGUCUAGAUUGAACCCACCAAAGAGAAAGUAGUCAAGGCUUUUGUUGGCAACAAAUUCAUAGAUGAGUAUCUUUUCUUCUCCUUCCAGGCAAAAUCCCAACAGCCGAACUAGAUUUCUGUGUUGAAGCUUUGCAACUACUACAAUUUCAUUUUUAAAUUCUUCUGCACCUUGCACUGAGCUCCUUGACAGCCUUUUAACAGCUACUUCUUGUCCAUUACCAAGUACACCCUGAUUAAACAUGCAUACUAGAAUUUAAUUGAAAUAUUAAAUGUGUAGAUAUUCAAAUUCACAAAAGCAAAAUAUUUCAUGCAAAGACCUUGUAUACACGACCAAAUCCACCUUCGCCAAUUUUGUUAUCCACAGAGAAGUUAUUUGUGGCAAUUUGAAUUUCAGUUAAGCUAUACUGUAAGGAUUCGGCUGUUAAGAUUUCAGCAACUCCAUCUACACCAGGGAUAAGCAACUUCACUCAAUUUAUUAGUUCAAAAACCUCUGAGGUUUCCUGUAAUUGCAAUCAAUAAACUUUACCACUUGUUUCCGGUGCCAUAGCAACAUAACUCUUCCGCAAUCUUCUUUUCAGGAAAACUAAAGCCAUGACAAAUAGCACAACAGCAACCCCAAUUAAUGGGACAGCAAUUGAAAAAGCUGCUCGCGGGGGGCUUCGCCCUUUGCCUGGAUGAAAGUUAGUUUAAUUUAGCUUCGAAAGUCAGCUGAUCAUAGGAGAUCAAGUUUAUUAAACUUCGAGGCAGAGUCACUCUGAGACAGCCUUACAUAGACAAAAAGCUAGAGUUGAGAUCCUCUCUAUUACUUUCUCACCAUUUAUGUGCCUAAAUUUUUCAUAACAAUCUAUUUAUGUCAAUAAUUUUACUUCCACAAGUAGAUCAACAUACUUAAAAUUCAUUCUCAUUUAUGAAUUUUUUGUCAUUCAAUUUGUACAAAACACUUUGACGGUGCAAUAUGGGCCAAAAUUAUAUUUAAAAAAAUGUCAAGUUUGAUCCAAUAGUAAAAUUUAAUCAAUUUAAUUUGAAUUUUUUAAUAUACUUUAAACAACACCAGAAAUAUAAUUUGGAUGACCUUUUAUUUCAAACAUAGUAUUAUAACCAUGUUUACUUAGGUGUAAUGGAGAAAAAAUUUUCUUCAAUUAAUGGAGAAGAGCCUAACCCAAAAAGCUAUGCAAAAACACAUUAUUUGAAAGAAUUUUUUUUUCAAAUAUUCUUUAAAAGUUUUUCACUACCUUGGUCUCACAUGCUUCAUGUUGAUGGUAAAUGAAGAGAGAUUUUCAUCAUCAAUUUUCAAUAUUAUGGAUUAAUAUUAAGAAACUCCCCUGAGGUUUGAACAUACACAAGCUUAACUGUGUUUGGACCACAUUACGACUACAAAUUGUAAGCGAGGCUGUCCAGACCUAGUGAUUAUAAAGAAAUGAGAACAAUGGCAAAUAUUUUGAAAAUAAAACCAAACAAAUGAGAUUGCUUUUUUAGGCCAAAGAAUUGCUAUAGAAGAAAAAAGGUCGAAGAAAAUUAAUUACGAAAAUUAAGAAGAGAGACAAAUCACCAAAAAUUCUUUAGCCUAUGCACUUGCAGCCUUGUGUAGAAGUGCAAGUCCUUAUUUCUUAUUUGCUGGAUGAUUUCGUACCGCACAUUUGUGAAAUUGGAUAGCAUAAGUUUCCUUCGCUUUCAGGUGACCACGGAUCUGAGGCGGGAAAUCAUCCAACGAUGUGUUUCCCCUACUGUGUUUUUUGUUCUUUGGUCAUGUAUUUGUUUUUAGUUAUUCCAUUUUGAUUUUUUAUGACCUUAUAUGAAGAAUACAUGGCAAUAUGCAUAGUUAUUAAAUUCGAUCGGACAAGAAAUCCAACAAAGGGACCAAGGCAAUGGGUGACUAGUUUAACCAAUCAGUCAUUGGUUGAACUAGUGGGUACUAAAUUAAUAUUUACAAAUAUAAAAUAGUAAUAAAGUGCUUUUAAAUACUAAUUAUUAUACUUUGAAAGAUAUAUAAUGAACAUACAAAUAUUAAUAGAAGAUUCAAUUUCAUUUUACUGUACUUGCACAUAAUUAAAUAACACAUUCAAAUAUAGAACAAAAUUGUAUCACUUAUUUUCAAAGAUAUAGCAUAAUUUUUAUUAUUUUAUCUUUCAAAAAUAAAAUAAUUUUUAACAACUCAAAUAUUGUAAGUUUGAAAGUUAAAAGAAUUAAUUGUAUAACAAAAAAGUAAACAAGUUUAUGUGAUAAAACAUUUAAUUAUCAAGUAAAAACUAAGAAAGUAGUAAAAUUUUAUACACAUUUAAAUGAAAAUCCAACAUACAAAUCUAGUCAAAAGUAUAGUACACUUUAUUUCAAAAACAAUGAUCCACACUUGUAUUAGAAAAAAGAACCUAGUCAACUGGAAAACUGGAGGGGCUCCGAUUGAACCACCAUGUCAAACAGGUUUGAUCGGACUAAUUCAUUCUCCGAUCAAACUGGAAAUCCUUUCGGCCGGAUGGUCGAGUUAUUGGUAGGGUUGCAAACUAAUCGAACCGCUUACAAGCAAUUCAAUCCAAAGCUCAGCUCGAGCUCGAUAUGCUGCUCACGACAACUCGAGCUCCAUCAACAUCGAACUCGAGUCGGGCUCAACCUGAUCAAGUCGAACUCGAAUUCGAACUCGAGUUCAAAGAUAUUCAACUCAUUAAUUCAUAAGCCGACUUAAUUAUAUAUAUAUUAAUUUUUAUUUUAAUAAUAAAAUUACACAUAUAUUCCUAAUAGUUUAUUAUUUGUUAAGAAAAUUAUUAUUUUAUUCCCUUUUAAAAAAUAAAAUAAAUAUUUUUUUUAAGCUCAAGGUUGAAUUCAAUUUCGAUUCGAAUUUGAGUCAAACUUGAGCUCGAGUUGUUACAUUGAGAGCUCAUCGAGUUCGAGCUCAAGUUUGAGUUUGAUAAAACUAAGUCAAGUUUGGAUCGAUUAAACGAAAGUUGACUUGACUCAACUCAUUUGUAAGCCGAUUUCAUUGGGCUGAUUGUUUCAACUGCUAGGGUCACGUCAGAUUCAAUAACUAUAGGGGAUGAAAUAAUAAGUAAAACAGAAAAUCCAUUGUGAAACAAAUGUAAAAAAAUUUUAUUUGGCAAGAAAACAAUGAUAGGAUUUAAAAGUGGAGGAGAAAGGGAAUUUGAAUCUAAGAUCUCUAAAUUCUAAGGUCUCAACCUUAGCCACUAAGCAUAUAGUGCGUUACCUCAUGAUCCCCUUGUGCAUGUGAAAUUAUCCUAUUAUCUUGGCCCCUUGAACUUUCUUGGAAAGUGGAUCACUGAUUUUUCCUUUUUAGGCUAAAUUAACUUCAAAGAGGGUAAAUAUGGUAUUGGUUGAUUUUAAUGCUAAUAUUUGUCUUGUAUAUUUUUUUCUCAGCUAUUUUCUACUUUGGGCUCUUGAACUAUAGACACACUGCCACUUUAAUCAUUAAAUUUCAAAGUAGAGCACUUUAUUUCUUAAAAUAUGAAAUUCAUCCUACUUUAGUUCUUAAUAAUUGUAUUCAAAAUUUUGACAGCUAGUUUUGUUACAAAACAAAGAAAGAUCAAAUGCCUCCACGUUACCAAAGCACAACUAAGGUAAAAUUGCGAUUUUGAAACCACAAGAGGUUAAGAGGCAAAACAUUAAACCACAAAGAAGUACCAUUAAUUUACUUAUUUAAUAUCAGAUUUCAAACUAGCAAACAAAUUAUAUUGCACUAUAACGGAAAAUCUUUUACAUGCAUACAAUACAUCCUCGAUCUUCUUCAAUGUCUUUGUCUUAAAUUGGAAAAACUAAAACGGAUUCUUCUUUGCAUUAUGCCAUAGUAAUUUCAUUUUUUUACAUCAAUUUUGCUAUCAAUACCAUCCAUAAUAUAACUCAUGUACUAUUUUAGUUACACACAAAAGUUAAAUUAAAAAUACCAAACUUUUUCCAUUUGAUUAAUCAUUGCAAAAUUUCCAUGAACUUAAACCCUUUUACACUAUGUAAAUGUUUCUAGCAAAUUGAAUGCAAAAACUUUCUCAAAUGCACUUUAUAUUCAUGUAUGCUGAUCAACCAAUCAAAAUAAAAUUAUAACAUAAGUAUAUGAGUUUUAAAAACCAUAUAAUAGAUAAAUGGAUAGAUAACUAAAUAAAAACGUAAUGCAACGGAUUCCGCAAUGACCAUAGCAAUUCUACUUCAACAUCUAUUCAAUAGUUAUUAUAGUCCUAAUGCUUGCAAAAAGACUAAAUUUACUGUCCUAAGAAGUAUGACUCCACUUAAAAUCUUCCAUAAAUGACAAAUGAUGAUGCAUGUGAUCAGUAAGAUGUGCUAAUGCUGAAAUCUUACUGUUGCGUAUUCAACUAAAAUUUGACUUAGAAAAUUCAAUAAGUUACGUGGUGGUCUCCUAUAGGUACAUAUUUUCGAUUGAAAGUGAAUUCACACCCCUCAUCCUAUAUUUACAUAUUCUACUAACUUCAAUAAUAUUAAUUCCAAUAAUAAAGGUAUGAAUUUAAAAUGAAGGCAUGUGAAUUUAGUACUACAAACAAGAAAUUGUAAGAAUUAAGAUUGUAUUCAACACCAAUUCCAAGAAGAAACGGCCAUAGCAAGGCUGCAGAACUUACCUUCAGUGGAAUUAGGAGGAGGACCGCCAGGAGAGUUUGGCGAUGCAGAGGAUACAGUAUCAUAGAAGACGGAGACCUCAUACCUCAGAUUACAGCUUGGAUAGAUUACUCUCCCUCCCUGCUUCUUGGAACAGCAAGCGGGUACAACCAUUAUAGCCUCUGUGAGGCACCUUUUGCAGUCAUAAGGGGAUAGAUCUGGUGUGCACUGCGUAAGGGUAUACAAUCUCUUUUGAUCAGUGGAAUAAUUGCCUUCUUGGACAGCAAACUUUUUGCCCAAGGUAUGAUUUGCAGCCUCAUCCGCAGCGUUGUGCAACAAAUUUAUCAAUACCAUUUUGAAUUUGUCCCAGUCAGGUCCAGGGACAUCGAAUGGAUUGCACCUAGUCAAAUUCUCUCCCAAAUCAGCCUUGGAGAAGAUCGUCUGGUCAGAAAAACGUAACAAGCACUCGUCAUACCAAACAAUAGCAGCUGUUUGAUUCGGGCACUCAUCAAGUAGUCGUAUGUGGGCAUCUGCUACGCAUUCUUUGCAAACAUCAGUGUUGACAUCACCUCGACAGAGAAAGACGCCAUAGACCUUGUUUGAAGCGUCAUCGCCAGUACUGAAAUUAUAGAAGCCAUUAUUGUCUGUCCGAGAUGCAUGCGAAGACAGAGUGUCAAGCAAGAAAUUCAGAUUGGUUCUGUAAGUGCUGCCGGAAUUGUAUGUAAUAUUUCCACAGUAAGAGUCAAGAUAGUUCCAGGGGCUUGUGUCGCUGGAAGUGGAACAACAAUAUUCAAUGGUAUGGAAGCUAAGCAAACAAAGCAUGUAACAUUUGAAGUGGAACAACAAAUUUCUGGAGAUCAUUUCAAACGAAGGCAUCAAAAGAGUAAAACGCUAACAACCUACAAACUAGAUUGGUAGAUUAGGAGCCAAAUUAAGUAUUGUUUGAGGGAUCAUGAAAGUUGUAUAAGCCAGGAAAACUUAUGGCCUGGGAAAACUUGACCUUGGCAAGUCUUACAACCAACUCGCCUGGACCUGAACCAUCAGCUGACUGGUCUGUGACCAAGAUUCUAUAGUCAGUAGAUGCUAAGGGUAUCGAACAACGACACUUGGUGGAGGAUAAUUGGAAAUUGACUAAUGCUGAGAAGAAUAAAGUGGACCCAGAUGGAAUCCCUACCCAGUAGUUCAGAGUUCAUACUGGUUUGAGAAAGAGUUCUCUAUAUACAGUUAAAAGGAUAGAUUAUAGAUAAUCCCCCCGUGGAUUCAUUAGUUGUCGUAUAAACGACCUUAUAUUUCUAAAUACCCACAUAAAUCUCAUGUGAUUUCAUAUAAAGUGAAAACUUGAAGGAAAAUAAAUCCCGUAAUAUUGUUAGUUACUAGUACUGUCCUUAUUCAAGCACACUAAAUCAAUCAAUACUUUAACCACCUUAUAUAAAAUCAUACGGGAAUAAUGUGGAUAAAUGGAAAAAUUAUUGAGGGCUAAAGUGAAUAUUCAUGCAAAUCGUAGGGACUUUAAAUGGAUAUUUUGAUGUUAUCACACACUUUUUUAUAUAUAGUUCAAUCAGUGUAACUAUUGGUGCUUCCUGUCCAUUUUUCAUAUCAUAUGAAAUCAUAGGAGGUUACAUGAAUAUUUAGAAAUCCUAAAGGGAUUGUGUGGGAAUAUGAAAAUUAUUUUUUUUUGGGGAGGGGGAGAGGUUAAUUUAACCUAGUCAAAUCAUGUAAAGUCUGUCGCAUUUUCGUUAUUGGAUUGAAACUUCCAAAUAAUUUUCGUUGUUGAAAAUACCAUUUGCAAUAUAUAUUAGUGUGUUCACCAUUUUGUCCAACUUGUUUACAUUUCAUAGACUUUUCUUUUUCUUUGGCUAAAGUGGGAAUAUCACGAGACAAGCAUUAAAUCAAAGGGCCCUCCAACGAAAGAAAUACCUGUCCAAUUUAUAUUACCAAUUUAAUACUCCAUGUGCUUGUUGGCUUCUAAUUUAUGUGAAAAUUAACUUUUCAAGAUUGGUGUUCUGUUUAUAUUGUUUUUUGUUCGUGUUAAGAAAUUAUUGUGCAGGAUUUAUAUCUAAUUCAGUAUUUUUGUUGUCAAAAUCACCCAAUUUUACAAAUAUGUAUAUUUUGGAGUACAUAUUUGUGUUGUUCAUAAGAUGCUUGUAUCUAGUUUAGAUAUUUAUCCUGUUUAGUAAUUAUAAGGAUGCACAUUCUUCUACGACCUAUUAGUGUUUUAGUUUCAUAAAUGCUGAAAUUAUCAAAUGUGAAUAAUUUUUAUUUUUUUAGUUAUUAUUAACAUUUAUCAUUGCCCAGAAAGGGAAAAGAAGAACAGAUUUUUGAAAAAAAAAAAAAAAAAAAAAAACUUAGAGGAAAGGGGUUUUUCACGAAUGAAAGGAACCAGUAUUUUCUUGCUUCGCAUUGGAACUUUAGCAAAGGAAUUUUAAGUGCUGUCCAACCUAAUUCCAUAAAGAUUAAACAAGUACCAAAAUGUUAAGUAUUGAAGGAUCCUAAAAAACCCUUUAUCGCUACCCUUAGUACCAAGAAGCUAGUAGGAAGAUAUAUUCCUUAGUAAUUGUGGUUCUGUAAAUGCUGCCGGUAGUACUGUUAGGAUAGUGAGUGCGGUAUGGAAGCUAAUAAGCAAACAAAGCAUGUAAUAAUGGAAGUGGAGCAACAAAUUUCUGGAGAUCAUUUCAAAGGCAGGCACCAAAAGAGCAAAAGGCUAAAAAUCCACAAAUUACAGUUGUAACAUAGGUGCCAAAGUUUUGGUUGAGGGAUCAUGAAAGUUGUACAGGUCACGAAAACGAGCAGUCCAUAAGAUGACUUUAUUUUAGAAAGUCGGUCAACCAAGUAGCCCGGACGUGAACCAUCAGCUGAACGGUCUCUAACCAAAAUUCAAUACGUCAGUAAUAGAUUUUGACCGUUCGACAAAAAAAAUAAUAAUGGAUUUUGACAAUAAUAGGUUGCAAAUUUCAGGAUGCUAACAAAUAUCAAACAGCGUCAUCGUGGAGGAUAAUUGUAAUUUGACUAAUGCUCUAUUGAGUAAAGUGGACCCAAAUUGAAUCUCUACCUACUAGUUCAAUACUUUUAAGAAAAAGUUCUCUAUAUAUAGUUAAAAGGAUAAAUUAUACACAUAAUCCCUAUAGAUUCAUUGAUUGUCACAUGACAACCCUAAUGUUUUCAAUAUUCAUAUAAACCCUCUAUGGUUUCAUAUAAAAUAGAAAUUUUACAAAAAAAAUAUCUUAUGUUACACUAUUAGUUGAACUACUAUUAUUGCCCUUACUUAAAUAUUAAAUCGAACAACAAUCAGACCACCUUGUAUAAAGUUAUAGAAGAAUUAUGUGGAUAAAUACAAAAUCUAUAGAGGGUUAAAGUGGAUAUUUAUGAAUUGUAGGAGCAUUAAGCGGAUAUUAAUAAUUCACCACAUGCAUUUUUGGAGCACAUCUAGUUCAAUCACUGUAACCAUUGAUGUUUUCCGUCUAUUUUUCAUAUUACAUGAAACAAUAGGGGUUUAUGCGGAUAUUUUGAAAUACAAAGGAGAUCAUAUAUUAAUAUAAAAAUCCAAGGUGAUUACAUGUAAUUUACCAUAAAAUCCCGUAAAGUCUGCCGCAUUUUAAUUGGAUUCAAACUUUCCAAUAAUUUUCGUUGUAAAAAAUGCCAAUAAACUGUCCAACUACUUGUGUUUGCAAUACAUACGUGUUCACCAUUUUGUCAAACUGAUUUACAUUUCUUAAUCUUCUUUUGAUUAAUUCAAAGGAACCCUCAAGGAAAGCAACGUCUACCCAUUUAUUAAUGACCAAUUCCGCGUUGCUUUGUUUUAAAAAAUUCAUCAAGUUUAAGGGCCACUUUUUGAACAUAUUUACAAGGGUGCCUGCAGCAUCAGUAAGAAGCGACCAUUAUGAUGGUUGUUGAUCUUUGUUUUUGCAAGAAACCGGUAACAGUAGAGCUACUCGUGUAAAUCCUCGUUUAUGUUAUCAGUUUUUGUGAACCAUUUUAAUGUUAAAAUUAAUUUUUUAGCAUUGCUUGUUUAUUUAUAUUAUUUUUCAUUCGUGUUAAGAAAUUUUGGUAUAGGAUUCAUAUCUCAUUCAGUAUUUUCCUUAUCGAAAUCACCCAAAUUUACAACAUAUGUAUAUUUUCAGCAUACACGUUCAUGUUCUUAAAAUUCUUGUAUCUAGUUGAGCUAUUUAUUCUGUUUAGUAAUUAUAAUAUGGUGCGUUCUUCUAGGGCCUAUUAGUGUUUUAAUUUCAUAUAUGCUCAAAUUAUCAAAUGGAAAUAAUUUUUAUUUUUAUAUAUUAAUUACAAUUAUGAGGCCCAAAAAAGGGAAAAGAAGAAUAUAUUUUUUAAAUUAAAAAAGAACUUAAAGAAAAAGGGUUUAUCGAGAAUGAAAGGGAACUAAUAUUCUCUUUCCCCAUAUUCGAACUUAAGCGAUGACCAACCUAAAAAUCCCCACUACACUACUAAGUAGUAGGCCAUAACAUAUGCUUUCUUGCUGUGGAUGAAAGAGAGAGGAUUGGAGGAGGAAAAGAAAGAGAAGGAAAUCUUUGUUAUUGUUUUACAUUAGAAUCUUUAAGAAUACCCUAUGGUACCUUAUGAUGAUGUUCUAAAGCAUAUAAUCCUGAAAAUCUAAUGAUGAAAACAAGAAGAAUUCAUGGCUGAAGAUUCGGUUUAAAUGAUGAAGGUUUGACAUUUUCAUGAUUUUGCACUUUCAAGAUCGUCAUCAUACUAGAAAAUUGGAGAACCUAUUAAACAUAUAAGAUCUAGUACCUUUUAUUCAAUCCCCCAAGUGCACGUAAUAGAAGCACCUGACUUUUAAGAACAAGUCAAUCAAAUUUUCGAGCAUAACGAAAGCCAAAAAAUUGUAUCAAGUGGAAAGUCAAGCUUACAAUUGAAACUCAUAUCCAGCUCGAUGUUGAUUUCGAACCAGAGUUUGCAACAUCAUCAUUGAGCAUGUUAAAAAUAAGACUCAACCCGCUUAGAUUACACUUCGGCCCACACCAACCCAUCACUAAUCUCAAUAUUUGAAAUUCAUUGGUGCUCUAAACAGCAACCUAUCCUUUCUUGACAUGCGUCACAAUAAACUAUCAAUAGAUACUACUCCCUCCGUCCCAUUGAUAGUGUCAUACUUUCCUUUUUUAUCCGUCCCAAAAUGAUUGUCACUUACUAAAAUUGGCAAUGAAAACUCUCACACAUUUCCGCUCCAUAUCCUUCAAUGUGACAGCCUUUUCUUAUCUUUUAGUGGGCCCAAUUAUGCACUUCCCAAGUACCAACACUGCACUUGAUAGAUCGUGAUUCUCACAUGAAAUGCAAACAACAAUCGUGCAUGACACUUUCCUCUAAAGUAGUGUGGAGACUUUUCAUUCUUUUGGAUCCCACAUGUCUUAUCACAACUUAUGACCCCCUUAUCAUUCAAUCACGUAUGGAAACAUUGAAAGUCAAGGGGUAUUGCCGGAACUUAAACACAAAUCAUUUAAAAGUCUUGCACUGUUGAUAAAAAUUACAAGUUUCGAAGCGCGACACAAAUUCUGGGACGGAGGGAGUAUUAGGGAAUAACUUCAAACCCUUUGUUCUAUUUAUCCUACGAAAUUAAUUUAAGUGGACUUUGUUUUUUAUGUACACCAUCGAUCCCUUUUAACUAAUUGUAAACCAUUCGUUAGAAAACUCACUUAUUACAUUUGAGAGGGGGGAAACUAAGCUUGAGUAUAACUUUAUUAGAAAAAAAAGGAAUAAAUCAAGAUUAAAUGAACAAAAAAUUGAAAAUGUUGAAAUAAAUUUUAGUGGUUAUAUUUUGAUUGAUUGUUAGCUCUAGGAAUUUUUUCUUAGUUGAAUUUCAGAAGAGUUGUAAUGGUUGGAUAUUGUUGACUAUUUGAAGUACCAAUAAAAAUUUGGACAUUCUUAGAUGUAAAAACUUCAAAGCUGGGGAAAGGGAUGAAUUAGAUGAUAUAUAGGCACCUACACUAAAAAAAUUCAUAAAGAUUUAAGAAAUAAAUAAAAAAGCUUCAAAGGUUCCAGGCUUAACACUUGUUUCAAUAGUCCUUUUAUUCAAUUUUCUUGCUCCCGAUAGUCACAAAAUACUCAAAUCUCAAUAAGUUACUAAAUAACCUGAAAAAUCACUAGUAUAAUUAAGUGCAAGCCUUAUGUUUUAGAAGUUCUAAACCUUUUGCUUUUUCAUCUAAAGCAACCACAAAUGUUUAAUUUUGAUUUUCAAAAGUUUAUUCUAUUGACAAGUUUUUUUUUUAUAUUAUCAAUAACUGUAACCUAGUCUAAAACCAUUCUUUUGGUUCUCCUAAUCAUUGCAGUAGAACUAGUUAAAUUCACUAUAUUCAUUAACACAAAACAAAAACAUUGAAGUUUAUCUAGUUGAAAAAUAGAAGAAGUAAUUGUCAAUUUUAUUUAAUCUAAAAUGACAAUUUAUUGGACUAAUUAGGAAAGGGUAACUAAAUUUUAAACCAAUGGAGGCACGAAAAUUAUUGUCAUCAUAAAUGUUAUCUCGUGACACCCAAGAUCCAAAUUCACUUUAGUUAUAUAUAUUAAAUGCACAAAAUGAAAGUUUCAUCUUUGAGUGAAUAUAAAAAAAAAGUUAUAACCAAAAAAAAAUCUAAAGGUCAAUUUUUGUCUUCCAUCAAAACGAAACAUAGAAAAACAAAAGAUUUGCCCAAUAGCUAAACUGAAUGCUGGAGCCUUGGGUAGAUGACUUAAUGAAACAUUGCAAAUAAAAUUAUCUUCGGACAAAAUUUUAUAUAGAAAUUUACAAGACGAAAAUCAAGAAGUUACACAGGAUAGGAUAUGGAAUUUGCCUGGUUGUCUUUUUAAGGGAAAAAGAAUAAUUAAAAAAGAAGACAAUAGGUAAUGGUGGGUUUUUCAAUUGUUUUGACUUGGGCUUUCUGUUAUAGGAUUGGAUAACUAAAUUGGUAUUGGGCAUUCUUAUUUUUCAUGGAAGUAGUUGACAUGGUGGAAUUUUCGGUGCCAUUUGAAUUUGGUUUUGGAUGGGAAUCAGAGUUGGACUUUCUUUGUUUUAUUAGUACGAGACAUAUGCAUAAAUGUUAGGGGACAGACUUCUUGUUGUUUUAAACUUUAAGAAUAAUUUGUAAGUAAAAUUAAAAGAAAAAGAAUAAUUUAUAGGCACUUGCUUGGUGUCAAAAGGGCACUUGUUAACAAAUCUAUAUUUCAUCCGAAAUAUUAUAUAUAAACACACAUUAAUAAUCAUUAUUCGUCAGAUAGACCGAUUUUAAAUAAAGACCCUAGAACACUUGCUCUAUGACAAGGAAGACAAAAAAAUAGGGGAAAUUUUAUUAUUUUUUUCAUUUAUAAUUACAUUAAGACUUUUUUAUUUGAUGCUUAAGAAAUCUUAGGUGAUAAUAAAUCAUUGAAUGCUGAAAAAGUUCCAAAUCAGGAUGAAUCUGAUAUAAUUUAAACUCCUUUUAACUAAUAACACACUCCAAGAAUUGUGAACCAAGACAGCCUUUAUAUUGGUUUUGUUACCAAACGUAUACAUUGUAAACCCGGCCGGGCUAUCCUUCAUAAUUCGUUGGUACAAAGAUAUAAUUGAUAGACUCAGUUUGGAAGCCAACUUUGCUAUGUACAAAUGAUAAAAGUUCAAGACACAUUGUUUGUUCGAUCAGCUGGGGAAUAAUGUUCAUAAAUAAAAUUGCUCUUCUAUUUUUAAAAAAUAUCUAAAGAGCGACAACAACUUGCAUUUUCUUUCAAGCACAUCCUUAUACCCCUAAGGUGGAAGAAGUCAAUUAGUGUGAAGAAGCAAACAUUGAAACGAUCCCCUAAUUUCCAACAAUAGUGGGCAAAUUUAGAUACCUUCCUGGUAAAUGAAUCAUGCUUCAAAAUCUACAACAUAAUGCUGAUGAUGAACUUGAUAUUUUCUUCCAGAAUUGGCCUAUUUCUUCCUUCAUCUGGGAUAUGGUUCAGUAAUUGAUGCAUCAUUGACAGAGCUUGGAGCUGAAAUUCUUUGAGUGUUGGGUUGAUCAACUUUCAGCUCGUCUACUGAUAGGGUGUAAUUUUAUCAUUUAUUUUAUUAUUAAUUUUCCCUAUUACCUGACCCGAUGUGGAUUAAUUGCUGGAUUCUACUCAUUUUUAGUGUUUUGCAUAUAUUUCAGGGAGUAGAACGAAAAUAUGAUAACAAGUGCUAAUUUGACAAAAAAGGAGUCUAAGGCACAGAGCUCACCCCAGGGGCAUUGUUGGCAAGCUUAUGCCCAUUUUAGUAAUUGCCGAAGACAAAAGCAUUAAAAGGAGCAACGAAGGGCUGAAGGCAGGGGUCGGCUUCUUCCUCUCCGGAAGGAGAGCCGCCGCAGAGGAGAUAGGAAAUAUAGAAAUAGCAUAGGACUAGCACUACGGAAGCUUAGCUUUUGAUUUCUCUUUGGAGAGCUUUUCGUCUUGUAGCUUAGCCGCAGUUGUUGACUUUUCUUCUUAGUCUUUGUUAGUUAGCUUUUUCUUACGCAUGGAAGAUUGCUGAGGAGCUUAGCUUAUGUCUUUGAUUCUGCCUAUUCAAUUUCUCUUCUCCGAAUGUCGGGCAAAAGCGAACACACUCAGUGGACUCUUGUAGCUUUCUUUCUUUAUUGAAUAGACGAAUUGAAUUCGCCCAGCUUCCCAAUUGAUGGCCGCAGCUUUUGCAACAAUUUCUGGCGGAUUUAGUUCAUCAAUUAUGAACUAAUUUUCUUUCUCUAGUCAAGGGACAAUGGAUGCUUUGGAUUGCCUAAAACUUGUGAGAUCGAUUUAAUUUUAUCUUUUUCUCUUAUUUAUUGGUAUUUGCAUAUUUCCUGAUUGCAGUGCUUAUGGUUGUUUAAUUAAUUGAUUGUCUUGGAUCCGGAUAAUUAGUUAAUUUAAUAAUCUAUUGUCAAUUGAGGUGUUAAAUCCGUAAUUGUUUAAUUGUCUCAAAAUAUUGAUAACUGGCAUGAUUGGGUUUGUGUCAGGGGAAUACGCGGGCUAAUCUAAAAUAACCCUGGUAGUGCGUUAUUUGGUUAGAAUAGGGCUCCUCUAAUACGUAAGGCAAUUGAGGAAUUAAAUUCUACGGGCGUACCUAGGAUUAUUUCUCAAUUAGAGCAGUGAUUAACGGGCGUACCUUGAUCACCGACACAGUAAGGAGGGGUUGACUGUCAUCGCUUGUUUGGCAGUUAUAACCUAUUUAUUAGUAAAUAAUUGGAAUUGCCUUUGCUUAUCGAUGAUCAAUUAGGUGCACCUUUGCUGAAGUUAUUCCUUGGCUAGAUCCUUAAUUAUCACUCAUUUGAUUUUAGUAAUUUGUUAUUUAAUUUUUAGUAGCUUUUUAUUUUAGUUGAAUUUCUUUGAUUGUCACCUUCUGCAUAAAAACACUCCCCUUGUCACUGUGAGCUUGAAAAGAAAUAAUUACUCCCAGUCCCUGUGGAUUCGACCCUGCUCACCACUAUCUACAGAAACUACUUUUAGUUUGAGCAGGUAUUUAUUAUUGCACAGGCUUCGACAACCUGUCAAUUUUUGGCGCCGUUGCCGGGGACUGGUGCCAGAUUAAUUUGUUUCUUUUUGAGUUCAUCUUGUUUUCAUUUUCUUUUAAUUUAUUUUUCCUCUUAUUAUUUUUUAUUUAUUUAUUUAUUUUUUAUUUUUGAUAUAGUUUAUGACUUCUAACACUCCGUAUUUUGGUGAUGUAUUGGAUUUUAUUUCCAGGCAAGGCGAUGAGAUUUGUUUUUUUCCUGAGUUGGCAUAUGCAGAGGCAGUAAACUCUAUUAGAAAAAGAAUGGCUGCUGCAACCUGUAAAAUUUGUUAUGCCAGGGAUCAUUCAACAGGUAUGUGCCCCGAAUAUCAAGAUAAUCUGAGUGUCUCAUUCGAUAAUUAUGGAGAAUUUUCACCCUGGUCUCAAACGUGGUAUGACCCUAAUCCAAACGGGUAUGAUCAAGGAUGGUGGGAUAACUCCAAUUAUAAUUAUACAACGGGGCCAAUGGAUUUUCAGCAGUAUGAGACUCAUGUUUUUCCUAAUGAUCAAUGGGCUGUUGCAAAUUGUGGAACUUAUUUUGACUCAGGUUAUUCAACUGACACAUGCCCCGCAUUUCAAGACAAUCUAAGUGCUCCAAUUGAUACUUUUGGAGAUUUUCCACCCCAAUAUCAAAUGCAGUAUGACCCUUAUUCAAAUGGGUAUGAUCAAGGAUGGUGGGAUAAUUCCAAUUUUGAUUAUGCGACCGGGCCAAUGGAUUUUCAACAGCAAGAGUCUCAACAACCAUCGUCCCUGUCAGGUAUGUCUUUUCAGGAAUUGGGUGAAUUAUUUAUUAAUACAUACAAAUCCCAACAGGAGACACAAAGGAGGAAUGAGAUGAUGAAGGAUGCAAUGAGUUAUCUGGCGGAUCAACUAUGUCUAUUGACAUCCAGAAUGAAUCGAUUGGCUUCUCAAAUGGAAGAAUUGCCCUCGAAAACCAUUGUUGAUCUAGAAGAAAAUGAGAGUGCAAUUUGCCUGACUAGUGAUGAGGAGAUGCAAGAGUGUCAAAAUGAGAAAUCUACAGAUGCAGUUGAAAAAGAAGCCGAAAUGGAAGAAAUGAAACCCCAACCGCAACCCAUUCAAGUGAAUGAAUCCAGUGAACAAUCUCCAAAUGCGGUGAAAUCUCCUCCACUCCUUCAUCAAUAUUCUCCUGACUCUUACUCUUCAAUUCCUGUUAAUGAAAUUGACUUUAUUAUACCAGACAAUUUUGAAUUUCAUGACAGGAAUAAAUUAAGAGUGGCGAUGGCAAGAUAUUUUGUGCCAAUAAAUGCAAGUGAGGGAGGAGUGAAUGGAGAAUGCAAAUUAUCAUCGACUCGUUUGGCGCCAUUUACUAGUCCAUGGAAGCCCGUAACUCGUAUGCCCAAAGAUUAUUCUAUCUACGAGGGCUAUCAGGACUAUGUAGAGGAUGAAGCAAUGAGACGAGCCACAAGAUUUUAUCCUCCAUGAAAAAAAACGUGAUAAUGUCUAGCCAAAGACAGUAAAGAAAGGCGCUCAUUGGGAGGCAACCCAAUUGUUUCUUUUAAUUGGUUGUUGGUUUCGUGUCAUAGUUUAAAUCUGUUUUCCUUGAAUUUGACUGAUUUUGGGUGUUAGUUUUCGUUUUUGCUGCUUUAUAGGUGCCAUUCAGUCAUGACGCGCCCGCGUGGUGACGAGCAGGAAGCUCACGAUCAGAAACUUCAAACUUCUGGGAGCUCUCUUGCCCUCAUGACGUGCCCGCGUGGUGACGUGCAGAAAGCUCACGACCUGAACUUCUGGGAGCUCUCUUGUUCUCUUGACGCGCCCGCGUCACGUUCGCGGAAAAGGUAAGAAUUCAAAAAAAUAAAAAAAAUAAAAAAUAAAAAAAAAGAAGAAAAAAAAGAAUUUUUUUGAAUAAAUGAAAUGAUAACAAAUCAAAUAAAAAAUAAUUAAAAAAAAAGAGAAGAAGAAAAAUCUUUCCUCUUAACCGUAGCAAGAGAAAAAAAAAAAAUUCCUUUUUCUUUUCUUUCUCUUCUUUUCUUUCUUUUCUUUCUUUUCCUUUCUUUUUUUUUCUUCUUCUUUCUUUCUUCUUCCCCUGUUUCUUCUUCCCUCUGCGCACGCCGACGCCCCGAUUGCCGCCGCCCUCCUCGCGGCUGCCAGCUCUCUCACCCGAGGCCGCGCCUCCCUCUAUCUACCGUAGCUCCAUCGCCACCACCUCGCGCGACCAGCGUCGCGCCGCAAGCCACUCCACCUCACACCAGCUCAUCUUCCCCCUGUUGCCGCCCAAGCCGCCAACUCCGCUGCCCAAUCUCGCGCGUGGCGAGCCAUCCACCAGCGCAGCUCCCUCGCGUGCCUCGCCCUUGCUCACGGCCGCAUCACCACCUCAUCCGCCACCAAGCAACUGCACGCAGACCCUGCGGUCUUCUCCUUCUCUGUCGCACAGCUCACCCAAGCUCCGGCUCACCGCCGCCACUACUAUGGACGCUGUCCACCAUCACCACCUGUCAAACAAAUUGACGGGUGGAGGUAGUGCUGUUCACCUCUGUUUCUAAAUUUUUUUUUUUCUGGAUUUUAAACUGCUGGAGUUGUUGCCAUUUUCUUGUGUUUUUGGGUGGAUAUUAGCAAGUGGUAUAUUGCUUGAUUUUCUUUACCUGUGCCUUGCUUGGAGUUUCUAGUGCAUGUUUGGGGCUGCCUUGGGAGUUAUUUGCCACAAUUGAUUGCCAUUUGGUUUCUUCUAUUUCUGGUACUGCUUGUGCUGAUGGAUUUAUCAGUGUUUUGGGCGGCCUAUUCGAAUUGCUUCUUCCCUAUGUGUUUGGUCAGCUGUUUGCUUGAAAACCCAAACCCUUGUGCUUAUAUUUGCUCCCAGUUGAGUUAUGUAUUGGACUUUCCAAUUGGUGACAACUUUUGGGCUUUAGGGGUGAGUUCAUUUUGUCAUUAUUUGCUACCUUGUUGGGGUCAUUUUUGGUUUCACCUGAGUCUAUUGUCCUGCCUUCUGUCUUGAGUCCAUUGGAGUGAGUAAUUUCUGCUUUUGUUUGUUGAUUUGGAAGGCUACUGUGCCACUUUCAUUGCUUAUUGCUUAGUGAUUAUGUCUAAUUAACAAUGUGCAUAGCAUGGCGCAGAAUUUGGCAGCAUUCAUGUAGCAUGCGGGUCUUAUACCUCAAUUGGGUACCUCUAUUUGGUUGGCUGCGUUCUUAUUGUCCAAUAUCUAUGCUGUUUUCAUUGGAAUUGCUGAUCUUGGGUUAAGACUUUAGCUGGCCAACUGGAGCCAUUUGUUGAGAUUUUGGGUGAACUGCAAUACUGCACUUGUUUGUUCAAUUGGGAGUUUGUUCAGUGCGCAUUCUCUACGCCAAGUGGCAAGGAUGUCUCAGAACUCGACUUCCCUCCACUGUUCCCUCCUAUCCCUUAGCUGUUCAACAGGGAAGUUUCAUUGUUCUCUUCGCUUUAAUUACUUUAUUACCUCCAUUGAGGACAAUGUAGGAUUUAGGUGUGGGGGGAGCAGUUAUGGUGCUAGUGUCUUUCAUUCAUUUUCUUUUUCUUCUUUUUAGUGAUUGGCUCGUAAGUGCAUGCCAAGGUUUGAUGUUGGAUUAUUGCCUCUAUUUCUGCUAUUGCCAAUUUUAAUAAUAAAAGGGUAUCAAGUUAAUGUGGUUGAAUCCAAAAACAUCUCUUUGGUGAAUAUCAAUAAUUAUUUUACUCUUAUAAUUUUUUGUUAACUUUCCUAGGCAUAGGGAAUGAUUAUUGGCAUUUUCAUGUGAAUUGGUCCGGUUAUUAAUUUUAGUUCUCCAUGUUUGAAAAUGAGGCUAGCUGAUGCAAGUUUUCUUUUGGUUCUUGUGUUAUAUUGAGUUUUUGUGAUUUUUAGUUAUGAAUAAAUUUGACUGUACUUCGCUAUUAGUUACUACUGAGUAACCGGGGAUCUGCACCUAAAAGUGUUGAUUCUCGCGUCAAAAGGUAGUAAUUGCUAUGAGUACGUGGUCACGUGGCGAUAGAAGCUGAGUAACCGGGCUCUUUCAUCUGGCCAAUGUUGGAGUUCGCGUCAAAAGGCUCCAAUGGCUAGCGACUAAGUCUUUUGUUACUAUUGAAAAAAGAAAAAAAAUCAAAAAAAAAAGAGAAAAGAAAAAAAAAAGAAGAAGAAAAAUGUGAAAAAAAGUGAAGGUUGUGUUAGUGUGUAAUAAAAAUCAGCUUGCCGAAUUAUGGAUUUAAUGUUGAGAUUUUGGUUAAUAGUUGGACCAUUUGCUGAUAAAUGUUAUGCGUCAUUCAUUUUUCUUAGAUUAGUUAACCUGAAAUUAGAGGAGUUUGUGGUUUAGAAGCUAACCGAAGUGAUGUUUCUUGGAUCUUGGUCACCCAUGCUUGAUAUAUAUUUUUCUUGGUAUUUUGACAAUACGGUAGAUGGAGCAAUGACCAUUGUCAAAUAUUGGUACUUAUUUGCUGUUCUCAUGCUUGAGGACAAGCAUGGUCUAGGUGUGGGGGGAAUUGAUAGGGUGUAAUUUUAUCAUUUAUUUUAUUAUUAAUUUUUCCUAUUACCUGACCCGAUGUGGAUUAAUUGCUGGAUUCUACUCAUUUUUAGUGUUUUGCAUAUAUUCCAGAGAGUAGAACAAAAAUAUGAUAACAAGUGCUAAUUUGACAAAAAAGGAGUCUAAGGCACAGAGCUCACCCCAGGGGCAUUGUUGGCAAAGGCAAGCUUAUGCCCAUUUUAGUAAUUGCCGAAGACAAAAGCAUUAAAAGGAGCAACGAAGGGCUGAAGGCAGGGGUCGGCUUCUUCCUCUCCGGAAGGAGAGCCGCCGCAGAGGAGAUAGGAAAUAUAGAAAUAGCAUAGGACUAGCACUACGGAAGCUUAGCUUUUGAUUUCUCUUUGGAGAGCUUUUCGUCUUGUAGCUUAGCCGCAGUUGUUGACUUUUCUUCUUAGUCUUUGUUAGUUAGCUUUUUCUUACGCAUGGAAGAUUGCUGAGGAGCUUAGCUUAUGUCUUUGAUUCUGCCUAUUCAAUUUCUCUUCUCCGAAUGUCGGGCAAAAGCGAACACACUCAGUGGACUCUUGUAGCUUUCUUUCUUUAUUGAAUAGACGAAUUGAAUUCGCCCAGCUUCCCAAUUGAUGGCCGCAGCUUUUGCAACAAUUUCUGGCGGAUUUAGUUCAUCAAUUAUGAACUAAUUUUCUUUCUCUAGUCAAGGGACAAUGGAUGCUUUGGAUUGCCUAAAACUUGUGAGAUCGAUUUAAUUUUAUCUUUUUCUCUUAUUUAUUGGUAUUUGCAUAUUUCCUGAUUGCAGUGCUUAUGGUUGUUUAAUUAAUUGAUUGUCUUGGAUCCGGAUAAUUAGUUAAUUUAAUAAUCUAUUGUCAAUUGAGGUGUUAAAUCCGUAAUUGUUUAAUUGUCUCAAAAUAUUGAUAACUGGCAUGAUUGGGUUUGUGUCAGGGGAAUACGCGGGCUAAUCUAAAAUAACCCUGGUAGUGCGUUAUUUGGUUAGAAUAGGGCUCCUCUAAUACGUAAGGCAAUUGAGGAAUUAAAUUCUACGGGCGUACCUAGGAUUAUUUCUCAAUUAGAGCAGUGAUUAACGGGCGUACCUUGAUCACCGACACAGUAAGGAGGGGUUGACUGUCAUCGCUUGUUUGGCAGUUAUAACCUAUUUAUUAGUAAAUAAUUGGAAUUGCCUUUGCUUAUCGAUGAUCAAUUAGGUGCACCUUUGCUGAAGUUAUUUCUUGGCUAGAUCCUUAAUUAUCACUCAUUUGAUUUUAGUAAUUUGUUAUUUAAUUUUUAGUAGCUUUUUAUUUUAGUUGAAUUUCUUUGAUUGUCACCUUCUGUAUAAAAACACUCCCCUUGUCACUGUGAGCUUGAAAAGAAAUAAUUACUCCCAGUCCCUGUGGAUUCGACCCUGCUCACCACUAUCUACAGAAACUACUUUUAGUUUGAGCAGGUAUUUAUUAUUGCACAGGCUUCGACAACCUGUCAUCUACCCUGCUCUCCGAUCCAUUGCUCCGGAAAACCGCCGGACGAUGUGGAGUUGGUAGGGAAACAGAACCAGGAUUGAGCAUGCUGACCACGGAAGCCAUUUUGGGUCUUUUACUGGCAUCUUCUUCAACACAUAGUAAGCCAACUUGGAUGCAUUGAAUGACUUCAUUUCUGGCAUAAGAAUCUCCAACGCUUGAAUCCAAAAGAGCUAAAGUUUGGCCGCGUCUCCAAUGGUUCCAAGCCUUUUCGAAAUAAUCCCACGUAUAAGGAGUUCAGACUUAAAAACUUCAAUUAGCUUAAAUAGAUAUACAGGUAACGUCAAUAUUCACAAUAGGCAAUUGUCAAUACUCUCUAUUUCAAGUUUAAUCAUAUAAAAAGAUUGAUCAAUCUUUCUUACAUUGACAGUGUAUACACUGUUGUCAGUGUUGGAUGAACAACAAUUAUGCAAAAUUUGAAUUUUAAAUUUAACUUUUGCAUACAUGUUAUGAAUCUAACGGUGAUAGUAUAUACACUGUGUGAUAUAUGAGAUUUAUUCAUAAAAGAUUUCGAAUCGCAACCUUUUUUCCCAUCAUUGUAGUUAAGUAUAACCUGAGAAAGAAGUACAAUGGUCUUUACUAAAAUUUACAAGUACUCUACUUUGAGUGUGUGACAACGUACAAAACGAGAGAAAGAAUAGCAAUUAUGACAAGUCUUGCAUCCGACAUCUAAAAAUUUCCAUAAGAAGCACAUAAACAGAAGUACGUAUUUAUUUAGGGCAGGUAGUUCAUAAAUUAUCGUGCCAUUUUGGUCUGGUUCACACAAAAAAUGGUAUUGCAAGUUUAGGUGAAUUUAAUAAUGAAAAAAAAGAAAAGAUAAAAGGUUGAAAAUUAGGAGUGCCAAUAUCAAAUCCUCCUCCCCAGUUCUGCAAAAGCCAAAAAAAAAAAAGGUAACAACUAUAGCAAAGGUUUUGCAAUUUGUACUUACAUAGCUUAGAAGGUCUUCGGAAUCUCUAGAUUGAUGGAAGUCACUGCUCUUCUUGCCCGUGACAAUUUCCAAAAUUACAACCCCAAAACUAAACACGUCUGACUUUAGUGAGAACUGACCCCACCUUGUGUAUUCAGGAGCCAUAUAACCACUACAAGCCACAACGAUUGUUAUAAUCAGCACAAAGAUAAUCCGAAUGAUGCAAUCAAAUGGAGGUGUACAUAAUUUUCCAUGAAAGAUUCAAAGUGAUAUUAUGUGAGAAAAGAUAGUAUGGGAGCAAAACUUACACUGUCCCUGCAAUUCUAUUUGUGUUUCCUUCAUAUUGAUCAACUCCACAAAUCUUUGCCAUGCCAAAAUCUGCUAUCUUUGGACUCAUAUUUCCAUCCAAUAAUAUAUUACUUACUUUGAGAUCGCGAUGAACAAUUCUUAGACGAGAAUCCUCAUGCAGAUAAAGAAGUCCUUUUGCUAUACCUCCAAUGAUAUUGUAACGUCUUGACCAGUUCAAUGAUCCUUUAUUUUCUGGAUCUACACAAAUUUAAACAAUAACUCCAGAAAGCAUAAUCAAAUAGGUAAAUUACAUUUUUAGCUUUUAAAAUAUAAAUGCACUCCACAGACACUUCACCCUAAUGAAAUCAUCCAAAAUUAAAGUUUAAAAACUAAAGUUUGAGUGCGUCUGUGGUUUAAGGGUCUAAACUAGAAUUCACACCAAUUAAACAUUUCUAGAGGCGAUUUGUCCGUCAUUUCCAUAAAAUGGCAAGUCACAUGGAACAACAAAAAAUUACUAUAGAACAGGAUCACAUGGAACCACAACAAAUAGAACAAGAUCACAUGGAACAACAAAAAAUUACUAUAAGUAUGUCCAGAUUGAACCCACCAAAGAGAAAGUAGUCAAGGCUUUUGUUGGCAACAAAUUCAUAGAUGAGUAUCUUUUCUUCUCCUUCCAGGCAAAAUCCCAACAGCCGAACUAGAUUUCUGUGUUGAAGCUUUGCAACUACUACAAUUUCAUUUUUAAAUUCUUCUGCACCUUGCACUGAGCUCCUUGACAGCCUUUUAACAGCUACUUCUUGUCCAUUACCAAGUACACCCUGAUUAAACAUGCAUACUAGAAUUUAAUUGAAAUAUUCAAUGUGUAGAUAUUCAAAUUCACAAAAGCAAAAUAUUUCAUGCAAAGACCUUGUAUACACGACCAAAUCCACCUUCGCCAAUUUUGUUAUCCACAGAGAAGUUAUUUGUGGCAAUUUGAAUUUCAGUUAAGCUAUACUGUAAGGAUUCGACUGUUAAGAUUUCAGCAACUCCAUCUACACCAGGGAUAAGCAACUUCACUCAAUUUAUUAGUUCAAAAACCUCUGAGGUUUCCUGUAAUUGCAAUCAAUAAACUUUACCACUUGUUUCCGGUGCCAUUGCAACACAACUCUUCCGCAAUCUUCUUUUCCGGAAAACUAAAGCCAUGACAAAUAGCACAACAGCAACCCCAAUUAAUGGGACAGCAAUUGAAAAAGCUGCUCUUCGCCCUUUGCCUGGAUGAAAGUUAGUUUAAUUUAGCUUCGAAAGUCAGCUGAUCAUAGGAGAUCAAGUUUAUUAAACUUCGAGGUAGAGUCACUCUGAGACAGCCUUACAUAGACAAAAAGCUAGAGUUGAGAUCCUCUCUAUUACUUUCUCACCAUUUAUGUGCCUAAAUUUUUCAUAAAAGUCUAUUUAUGUCAACAAUUUUACUUCCACAAGUAGAACAACAUACUUAAAAUUCAUUCUCAUUUAUGAAUUUUUUGUCAUUCAAUUUGUACAAAACACUUUGACGGUGUGAAAUGGGUCAAAAUUACGAUAAAAAAUGUAAAGUUUGAUCCCAUAGUAAAAUCCAAUAGCUUAACUGUUUUUGGACAAAUCACCAAAAAAUUCUUUACCCUAUGCACUUGUAGCCUUGUGUUGAAGUGCAAAUCCUUAUUUCUUAUUUGCUGGAUGAUUUCGCACCACGCAUCUGUGGCCUGUGAAAUUGGAUAGCAUAAGUUUCCUUCUCUUUCAGAAGACCAUGGAUCUGAGGUGGGAAAUCACCCAACGAUGUGUUUCCUCUGCGGUGUUUUUUGUUCUUUUGUCAUGUAUUUGUUUUUAGUUAUUCCAUUUUGAUUUUUUAUGACCCUACAUGAAGAAUACAUGGCAAUAUGCAUAGUUAUUAAACUCGAUCAGACAAAAAAUCCAACAGAGGGACCAGGGCAACAGGUGACUAGUUUAACCAAUCAUUCAUUAGCUGAAGUAGUGGGUACUAAAUUAAUAUUUACAAAUAUAAAAUAGUAAUAAAGUGCUUUUAAAUACUAAUUAUUAUACUUUGAAAGAUAUAUUAUGAACAUACAAAUAUUAAUAGAUGAUUCAAUUUCAUUUUACUGUACUUGCAUAUAAUUAAAUAACACAUUCAAAUAUAGAACAAAAUUGUAUUACUUAUUUUCAAAGAUAUAGCAUUAUUUUUAUUAUUUUAUCUUUCAAAAAUAAAAUAAUUUUUAACAACUCAAAUAUUGUAAGUUUGAAAGUUAAAAGAAUUAAUUGUAUAACAAAAAAGUAAACAAGUUUAUGUAAUAAAACAUUUAAUUAACAAGUAAAAACUAAGCAAGUAGUAAAAUUUCAUACACAUUUAAAUGAAAAUCCAACAUACAAAUCUAGUCAAAAGUAUAUUACACUUUAUUUCAAAAACAAUGAUCCACAAUUGUGUUAGAAAAAAGAACCCAGUCAAGUGGAAAACCGGACAGGCUCCAAUUGAACCACCAUGUCAAACAGGUUUGAUCGGACCAAUUCAUUCUCCAAUCAAACUGGAAAUCCUUUCGGCCGGAUGGUCGAGUUAUUGGUAGGAUUACAAACGAAUCGAAUCACCUACGAGCAACCAAAUCCAAAGCUCGACUCGAGUUCAACCUAAUCAAGUCGAACUCGAAUUCAAACUCGAGUUCAAAGAUAUUCAGUUUAUUAGUUCAUAAGCCGACUUAAUUAUAUAUAUAUAUUAUUUUUUAUUUUAAUAGUAAAAUUACGUAUAUAUUCCUAAUAUUUUAUUAUUUGUUAAGAAAAUUAUUAUUUUAUUCACUUUUUCAAAAAUAAAAUAAUUUUUUUAAACUCGAGUUUGAACUCAAACUUGAUUCAAAUUUGAGUCAAGUUCGAGCUCAAGUUGUUACAUUGAGAGCUUGUUGAGUUCAAGCUCGAGUUUGAGUUUGAUAAAACUAAGUCAAGUUUGAAUCGAUUAAACCAAAGUCGACUCUACUCAACUCGUUUAUAGCCUAUUUCAUUGGGCUGAUUGUUUCAACUGCUAGGGUCAUGCCAGGUUCAAUAACUAUAGGGGAUGAAAUAAAAAGUGAAACAAAAAAUCCAUUGUGAAACAAAUGUAAAAAAUUUUAUUUGGCAAGAAAACAAUGAUAGGAUUUAAAAGUGGAGGAGAAAGGAAAUUUGAAUUUAAGAUCUCUAAAUCCUAAGGUCUCAACCUUAGCCACUAAGCAUAUAGUGCGUUACCUCAUGAUCUCUUGUGCAUGUGAAAUUAUCCUAUUAUCCUGGCCCCUUGCACUUUCUUUGAAAGUGGAUCACUGAUUUUUCCUUUUUUGGCUAAAUUAACUUCAAAGAGGGUAAAUAUGGUAUUGGUUGAUUUCAAUGCUAAUAUUUGUCUUGUAUAUUUUUUUCUCAGCUAUUUUCUACUUUGGGCUCUUGAACUAUAGACAUACUACCACUUUAAUCAUUAAAUUUCAAAGUUAAGCACUUUAUUUCUUAAAAUAUGAAAUGCAUCUUACUUUAGUUCUUAAUAAUUGUAUUCAAAAUUUUGACAGCUAGUUUUGUCACAAAACAAAGAAAGAUCAAAUGGCUUCACGUUGCCAAAGCACAACUAAGGUAAAAUUACGAUUUUGAAACCACAAGGGGUUAAGAGGCAAAACAUUAAACCACAAAGAAGUAACAUUAAUUUAAUUAUUUAAUAUCAUAUUUCAAACUAGCAAACAAAUUAUAUUGCACUAUAACGGAAAAUCUUUUACAUGCAUACAAUACAUCAUCGAUCUUCUUCAAUGUCUUUGUCUUAAAGUGGAAAAACUAAAAUGGAUUCUUCUUUGCAUUAUGCCAUAGUAAUUUCAUUUUUUUACAUCAAUUUUGCUAUCAAUACCAUUCAUAAUAUAACUCAUGUACUAUUUUAGUUAAACUCAAAAGUUAAAUUAAAAAUACCAAACUUUUUCCAUUUGAUUAAUCAUUGCAAAAUUUUCCAUGAACUUAAACCCUUUUACACUAUAUAAAUGUUUCUAGCAAAUUGAAUGCAAAAACUUUCUCAAAUGCACUUUAUAUUCAUGUAUGCUGAUCAACCAAUCAAAAUAAAAUUAUAACAUAAGUAUAUGAGUUUUAAAAACCAUAUCAUAGAUAAAUGGAUAGAUAACUAAAUAAAAACGUAAUGCAAAAGUGCCCAACCCAUUUUCGGACGUCAGGCCAUCACGGUUAAAGGGAUUCCGCAAUGACCAUAACAAUACUACUUCAACAGUUCAACAUAUAUUCAAUAGUUAUUACAGUCCUAAUGCUUGCAAAAAGACUAAAUUUACUGUCCAUAAAUGACAAAUGAUGGAUCCAAAUCUGCAUGUGAUCUGCUAAUGCUGAAAUCUUACUGUUGCGUAUUCAACUAAAAUUUGACUUAGAAAAUUCAAUAAGUUACGUGGUGGUCUUCUAUAGGUACAUAUUUUCGUUUGAAAGUGAAUUCACACCCCUCAUCCUAUAUUUACAUAUUCUACUAACUUCAAUAAUAUUAAUUCCAAUAAUAAAGGUAUGAAUUUAAAAUGAAGGCAUGUGAAUUUAGUACUACAAACAAGAAAUUGUAAGAAUUAAGAUUGUAUUCAACACCAAUUCCAAGAAGAGACGGCCAUAGCAAGGCUGCAGAACUUACCUUCAGUGGAUUUAGGAGGAGGACCGCCAGGAGAGUUUGGCGAUGCAGAGGAUACAGUAUCAUAGAAGCUGGAGACCUCAUACCUCAGGUUACAGCUUGGAUAAAUUACUCUCCCUCCCUGCUUCUUGGAACAGCACGCGGGUACAUCUAUUAUAGCCUCUGUGAGGCACCUUUUGCAGUCAUAAGGGGAUAGAUCUGGUGUGCACUGCGUAAGGGUAUACAAUCUCUUUUGAUCAGUGGAAUAAUUGCCUUCUUCGACAGCAAACUUUUUGCCCAUGGUAUGAUUUGCAGCCUUAUCCGCAGCGUUAUGCAACAAAUUGAUCAAUACCAUUUUGAAUUUGUCCCAGUCAGGUCCAGGGACAUCGAAUGGAUUGCGCCUAGUCAAAUUCUCUCCCAAAUCAGCCCUGGAGAAGAUCGUCUGGUCAGAAAAACGUAACAAGCACUCGUCAUACUAAACAAUAGCAGCUUUUUGAUUCGGGCACUCAUCAAGUAGUCGUGUGUGGGCAUCUGCGACGCAUUCUUUGCAAACAUCAGUGUUGACAUCACCUCGACAGAGAAAGAGGCCAUAGACCUUGUUUGAAGGGUCAUCGCCAGUACUGAAAUUAUAGAAGCCAUUGUUGUCUGUCCGAGAUGCAUGCGAAGACAGAUUGUAAAGCAAGAAAUUCAGAUUGGCUCUGUAAAUGCUGCCGGAAGGACUGUUAGGAUUGUAUGUAAUAUUUCCACAGUAAGAGUCAAGAUAGUUCCAGGGGUUUGUGUCGUUGGAAGUGGAACAACAGUAUUCAAUGGUAUGGAAGCUAAGCAAACAAAGCAUGUAAUAUUUGAAGUGGAACAACAAAUUUCUGGAGAUCAUUUCAAAGGAAGGCAUCAAAAGAGUAAAAGGCUAACAACCUACAAACUAGAUUGGUAGAUUAGGAGCCAAAUUAAGUAUUUUUUGAGGGACCAUGAAAGUUGUAUAAGCCAGGAAAACUUAUGGCCUGGGAAAACUUGACCUUGGCAGACAGCUAACUCGCCUGGACGUGAACCAUCAGCUGAAUGGUCUCUAACCAAAAUUCAAUACGUCAGUAAUAGAUUUUUACCGUUUGACCAAAAAAAAAUAAUGGAUUUUGACGGGAAUGCAAAUUUCAGGAUGCUAACAACUAUCAAACAACGUCAUCGUGGAGGAUAAUUGUAAUUUGACUAAUGCUCUAUUGAGUAAAGUGGACCCAAAUUGAAUCUCUAUCUACUAGCUCAAUACUUUUAAGAAAAAGUUCUCUAUAUAUAGUUAAAAGGAUAAAUUACACACAUAAUCCCCUAUAGAUUCAUUGAUUUUCAAUAUUCAUAUAAAACCUCUAUGGUUUCAUAUAAAAUAGAAAUUUUACAAAAAAAAAUAUCUUAUGUUACACAAUUAGUUGAACUACUAUUAUUGCCCUUACUUAAAUAUUAAAUCGAAUAACAAUCAGACCACCUUGUAUAAAGUUAUAGAAGAAUUAUGUGGAUAAAUACAAAAUCUAUAGAGGGUUAAAGUGGAUGUUUAUAAAUUGUAGGAGCAUUAAGUGGAUAUCAUUAAUUCACCACAUGCAUUUUUGGAGCACAUCUAGUUCAAUCACAAUAACCAUUGAUGUUUUCUGUCUAUUUUUCAUAUUACAUGAAACAAUAGGGAUUUAUGCGGAUAUUUUGAAAUGUAAAGGAGAUCAUAUAUUAAUAUAAAAAUCCAAGGUGAUUACAUGUAAUUUACCAUAAAAUCCCGUAAAGUCUGUCACAUUUUAAUUGGAUUGGAACUUUCCAACAAUUUUCGUUGUCAAAAACGCCAAUAAACUGUCCAACUACUUGUUUUGCAGUACAUGCGUGUUCACCAUUUUGUCAAACUGAUUUACAUUUCUUAAUCUUCUUUUGAUUAAUUCAAAGGAACCCUCAAGGAAAGCAACGUCUACCCAUUUAUUAAUGACCAAUUCCGCGUUGCUUUGUUUUAAAAAAUUCAUCAAGUUUAAGGGCCACUUUUUAAACAUAUUUACAAGGGUGCCUGCAGCAUCAGUAAGAAGCGACCAUUAUGAUGGUUGCUGAUCUUUGUUUUUGCAAGAAACCGGUCACAAUAGAGCUACUCCUCGUUUAUGUUAUCAGUUUUUGAGAACCAGGGUUUUUCGAGAAUGAAAAGGAACUAAUAUUCUCUUGCUCCAUAUUCUAACUCAAGCGAUGACCAACCUAAAAAUCCCCACUACACUACUAAGUAGUAGGCCAUAAUAUAUGCUUGCUUGCUGUGGAUGAGAGAGAGAGAGAGAGGAUUGGAGGAGGAAAAGAAAGAGAAGGAAAUCUUUGUUAUUGUUUUGCAUUAGAAUCUUUAAGAAUACCUUAUGAUGAUGUUCUAAAGCAUAUAAUCGUGAAAAUUUAAUGAUGAAAACAAGAAGAAUUCAUGGCUGAAGAUUCGGUUUCAAUGAUGAAGGUUUGACAUUUUCAUUGGAGAAAAUCAAAAAGAGCUGUAACAUUUAAAGGAAAUUUGUGAUCCUAUUGCCAAUUGCGUUUGUACACAUACCUUCUCAAUGAUCCAAUAUACUCUUCUUUAGACUGACCCUCCAUUUCGUUGACCUCAUUUUCAGACGUCGAGAGCUACAUACAUUAAGCAAAACCGCUAUGAUUAUCUAACCUAAAAAAAAUUUUUAAAAAAAAAUUCUUCAACAAAAAAGGGAAAAAAAAUGCAUAGAUUUGCAAGAUGAAUUAUAGAUUACAGGAAAAUUAAGAAUUGUGUCUUGUCCCCAGUACUUCAAUGCUGCCAAGUCAUAUGCACGUGCAGCCGCUUCUUCAUCAUCGUAAGCUCCUGCCAGCAAAAAAGAAAAAAAGAAAAAAAAUUCCCCGAUUCAUGGAGCACCCACUUGUACAAUAUUACUUGUAUCCACGUAGCUACACUAAAGUGACUCUUUUUUCUUUUCUUAUUUCAUAUGUCAGCACAAGAAGAGUGGACCUUUUCAAACCGAUAUAGUAAUAUUUCUUUCGGGGUUCGGUUCACUGGUUGUAGUCCCAGUUGGGGGAGAGUCAGGUCACGGGAUCGAAUCCCCGGUUUACCGUGGCUGGUAAUGCUUAGGGCGAGCCGCUCCCAGCCCGCAGUGGAAUUAGUUGGGCCGUACGGUAACCAAUCUAUGGGUCCAGAUACCCACUGUGAAGAAAAAAAAAAUAUAUGUAUAUAUAUAGUAAUAUUUCUUUCAAAUUUCGAAUUGAGGUUUAGUGAUAAUUAAAGAAUUUGAUAGUACCUAGCACCUUUUAUCCAAUCUACUAAGUGCACGCAAUAGAAGGACCUAACUUUUAAGAAAAAGUCAAUUAAAAUUUCAAGCAUAAUGAAAGUCAAAAUAUUGUAUCGAGUGGAAAGUCAGGCUUAAAAUUGAAACUCAUAUCCAGCUCGAUGUUGAUUUCGAACCCGAGUUGGAGCAUGUUAAAAAUAAGGCUCAGCCCGAUUCGAUUACACUUCGGCCCUCACCUACCCCGUCACUAAUCUCAAUAUUUGAAAUUCCAUCGAGCUCUAAACAGCAACCUAUCCUUUCUUGACAUGCGUCACAAUAAACUAUCAAUAGAUACCAUUAGGGAACGGCUUCAAACCCUUUGCUCUAUUUAACCUGAGGAAUUAAGCGGACUUUGUUUUGGAUGUACAUCAUUGGUCCCUCUUAACUAAUUGUAAAUAGUUCGUUAAAAAACUCAUGAAUUAGCAUAUUGCAUUUGAAAUCAGGAUGGGAUGGAGCAGUGGCGGUGCCAGGAAUUUGUUAUAGGGGGAGAGAGGGGGGGGGGAACUAAGCUUGAGUAUAACUUUAUUUUAAAAAAAAAGGAAUAAAUCAAGAUUAAAUGAGCAAAAAAAAUUCAAAACGUUGAAAUAAAUUUAGUGGUUAUAUUUUGAUUGAUUUUUAGCUCUACGAAUUUCUUGCUUAGUUGAAUUUCAGAAGGGUCGUAAUAUUUGGAUAAUGUGGACAUUCUUAGAUGUAGAAACUUCAAAGCUGGGGAAGGGAUGAAUUACACUAACAAAAUCCAUAAAGAUUUUAAAAAUAAAUAAAAAAGCUUCAAAGAUUCCAGGUUCAACACUUGUUUCAAUAGUUCUUUUAUUCAAUUUUCUUGCUCAAAACGUAUAUGCUACCAAAUACUCAAAUCUCAAUAAGUUACUAAUUAACCUGAAAAAUCACUAGUAUAAUUAAGUGCAAGCUUUAUGUUUUAGAAGUUCUAAAGCUUCUGCUUUUUCAUCUAAAGCAACCACAAAUGUUUUAUUCUGAUUUUCAAAAGUUUAUUCUAUUGAAAAGUUUUUUUUUUUUAAAUAUUAGCAAUAAUUGUAACCUAGUCUAAAACCAUUCUUUUAGUUCUCCUAAUCAUUGCAGUAGAACUAGUUAAAUUCACUAUAUUCAUUAACACAAAACAGAAACAUUGAAGUUUAUCUAAUUGAAAAAUAGAAGAAGUAAUUGUCAAUUUUAUUUAAUCUAAAAUGACAAUUUAUUGGACUAAUGAGCAAAGGGUAACUAAAUUAAUCUAAAAGUGAAUUGUUGUCUUCCAUCAAAACGAAACAUAGAAAAACAAAAGAUUUGCCUUGGGUAGAUGAAUUAAUGAAACAUUGCAAAUAAAAUUAUCUUAGCACAAAAUUUUGUAUAGAAAUUUACAAGACGAAAAUCAAGAAGUUACACAGGAUAGGAUAUGGAAUUUGCCUGGUUGUCUUUUUAAGGGAAAAAGAAUAAUUAAAAAAGAAGACAAUAGGUAAUGGUGGGUUUUGGCUUGGGCUUUCUGUUAUAGGAUUGGAUAACUAAACUGGUAUUGGGCAUUCUUAUUUUUCAUGGAAGUAGUUGACAUGGUGGAAUUUUCGGUGCCAUUUGAAUUUGGUUUUGGAUGGGAAUCAGAGUUGGACUUUCUUUGUUUUAUUAGUACGAGACACAUGCAUAAAUGUUAGGGGACAGACUUCUUGUUGUUUUAAACUUUAAGAAUAAUUUGUAAGUAAAAUUAAAAGAAAAAGAAUAAUUUAUAGGCACUUGCUUGGUGUCGAAAGGGCACUUGUUAACAAAUCUAUAUUUCAUCCGAAAUAUUAUAUAUAAACACACAUUAAUAAUCAUUAUCCGUCAGAUAGACUGAUUUUAAAUAAAGACCCUAGAACACUUGCUCUAUGACAAGACAAAAAAAUAGGGGAAAUUUUAUUAUUUUUUUCAUUUAUAAUUACAUUAAGACUUUUUUAUUUGAUGCUUAAAGCACCAAAUAAGCAUAUAGAAAAAGGAAAUUGGCCCACCAUUAAACCUUUAAAAUUACCACCCUGAAGUACAGCACUUUAGCAAACAAAUUACCCUUUUGAAAAAAAAAAAAAGGAGACCCACUCCUUAUGGUGCUUUCAGGGCACAAAAUAUAAACCCAAAAGAUAAGACAACAUUUAAAUCAGUAACUAAUCUAAUCUAAUUUUAUUAGAUGAUGUCUAAUCUGAUAUUUAUAAAACAUUUACGUAUCUUAACUAAGGGUGCAUAUCAGGAUCAUCAUGAUUUGAGACUUUUUAGGCACCCAAUUAUGCAUUGCGACCUAAACUUCCUUUUAAGUGUUCUACUGUUACACUAAUACACCAUCACCUAUGAUAUCUGGACACCAAAUUUGACUUAAAAAGUUUUAAAAAAUGAUGAAAUACAGAGUCCUCCUUAAAGUGCCAAUAGUUUUUCCUGUCAAUCACAACAUCACAGAUCACAAUUCCCUGGGCUUUCCUUACCCAGAAAAAGAAAGAAUGAAAUGAAGGAAAGAAAAAUCCAAGAUGAAGAACAAGAAAUAUUUUGUUGAUCUGCCAUUAUCUCUCAUACACUUGCUAAGAUAUUCACUUGUAUAAUUUUGGGUUGAUAAUUUUGUAUUUUUUAAUAUCAACUUCCAUACUCUAAAUUUCAUCUAUGCAUUUGGGGAUUUCAUAGAAUUUUAUAUACCUUUAAAUUCUCAAGAUUUCUAGGUUAUUUGUGAUUAUUUAUGUUGCAGAAUAGUUCACAGAUGUAGUUAUUCACUUGAAAAAGUUCAUAUGCUAAAUGUGAAGAUUGUAUAAAUGCAUCAACUAUCCUUUUUCUUUUUUGCGUAAUCAUUGAUAGUUGGGAUAGCCAUAUUUACACAAUUAUAUGAAUGGUUUUUACAAUUAUAUGCAUCAUAUUUACACAAUUAUAUGAAUGGUUUUUUCUUUGCUUAAGGAAAAGGGAAAAAGAUUGGCUAAGUUACAUUAAAAAGAAGAACAGAAAAAGGUAAGUGCAAUAAAGAAAAGAAUAAAGAAAACAGAAAAUUAAAUGACAAAAUUGGGUAAAUACUUUAAACCAAAAAAAAAAGAAGGAAUAACAAAUACGAAGAUUGUAUGAAUGCAAGAACAAUGUUUUUUUUUUUUUUGGUCAAAGGUAAUUUUUUAUUAGAAAAAUUUUGGCAGAGUUUCCCCUUAUAAAUGGACGAAACUCCCUGCCAACAAACUCAAAUACAAGAAAAUUAUCUGCAUGGUAGUAAGUUAAUACAAUGUAACUUUACGACAGUUUGCAAACAAUUUAAUAAUAACUGCACGAUUAAAACAGAAUGUGACGGCCAACCAAAUAAGGCUCAACUGCAGAAUUUCGAACUAGACUUUUCAUCCACUCUAAACACAUUUCCUAAUUGAAGGCAGGCCUAUUCUAUCUAAGCGAAACACCCCACAAGCUUUGAUAGGGAGGUCCACAAGCUGAUGAUAUGUUGUAUUGAAACCUUGAUCACAUCCCAUGUUUGCUAAAGAAUCGGCAACUUGAUUACUUUCCCGAAAGCAAUGAGAAAUUGCAACAAAAUUAGACGACAACUUUAGAAGGUAUUUAACCACUGUAUAAAUACUCAAUGGACAGCUAGAUCCCUGUUUUAGGAUGUGAACAAGAACCAACGAAUCCAUUUCAAUGUGCAAGUUAACAUAACCACGAGAGAGACACAACUUAACCCUAAAGAGAAGAGCGCACGCCUCAGCUUGAAUGCUGGUUACAUUCCCAAAAAAAGAGGAGAAAGCAAGCAGGAAAUUUACUCCAUCAUCACGCAAAACCCCACCACCACCUGCCCUCCCUGGGUUACCCCUUGAACAGCCAUCAGCAUUAAGUUUAAUUACACCCAAGAGUGGCCGACACCACCUUACAAUCAUAAAUGAGACUUUCUUAUGAAUAUAAGAGAGCGAAGAAUAAAACUCCAUCCAUGUUGAGGAAGUGAAUGGGUACCCAGGGAAUUGCAACCUAAAGAGGUCCUUCACAUUGUCAAAAACAAACUCAAAGAUAGUGACGUGAGAAAGAAGUCUCCCUUCAAAACGUGCCGAGUUUCUAGACUUCCAAAUAUUCCAACAAAUCAGAGAAGGUAUAAUAAAAUGAACAAAUGCAAUGAAACCAUUUCUUGGUGCGCUAUACCACCAACCUGCAAUAUAAGCCCGAACCGAGCCACCUGCAUUAAGCACACUUGAAGCAGAGCCAAAGAAAUUCCAAACUGAAACUGCUACCUGUCCACUACAAAAGACAUGGUCCAAAGUCUCACCAUUAGCCUGGACAUAAUAGAAACACUUUGAUGGGCCCGAAAUACCAAGUUUGCAUAACGUGGAGUCCAUGGGUAAUCGAUUUCGCAACAAGCGAAGAAGAAAAACAGACACUUUGGAAGGAAUUCGUGGGUGCCAGACUUUUGAGAACAUAAAUGACCUUUGCUUAUGUGAUUGCACCAGGUUAAAAGCUAAGUUCAGCGUGAAAACUCCAGAUUGAGAAGGAGCCCAUAUCAUUAAAUCUUCCAUACCAAUCUCAAUUUGAGGGAGAGAGAACAUUCGGAUGUCGUUGAUAAUAAAUGGAGGUACCCACAAACCCAGCAACUGAAAAUUUCACCUGCCAUCAACUAAAAUAUCAGACAUCUUGUGAUCCGAAACACUCCCUAACCGCAUAACCAAAGGCCCAGAACCUAACCAAUUAUCAAACCAGAAAUUAGAGUCCCCAGAGUGGAUAAUGAAAGUUAUAUGUUGUUCAGCAAUGUCCCGAACAUAUAACAUCCUACGCCAUGUAUGAGAGGCCCCUUCCGAACGAACAACCAUACCUGGGUGCGCAUUCGAAUAAUAUUUGGCCAUCAUAAAAUUAGCCCAAAGAGACGCAUUUUGUCGAAACCUCCACCAUAGCUUAAUAGAAAAGGCAUUAAAAACAUCAUCCAGUGAUCUAAAACCAAGCCCACCCUCCUCUUUUGGGGCACAAAGAUCCUUCCAACGAAUCCAAUGGCAUUUUAAACCACCCUUAUCUGAACCCAAAAAGAAAUUUGCAAACAAAUGCUCGAGAGUAGAAAAUACAGAUUUUGGAGGUGACACAGUAGCUAGCAAAUGCAAUGGAAGCGAGGACAGUACAUGUUUAAUAAGUACAACCUUACCUCCUAGUGACAACAAACGAUUUUUCCAAGAAGCAAUCGUAGCAGCCACAGUCUUGAUCAAAUUGUGGAAAUAAACCUUUUUACGUCUCCCCACCAUUAAAGGACAACCAAGAUAGUUAAAAGGAAAUUCCUUGGGAAAAAAGUCCGUCAUGCUCUGAAUGAAUACCUUCCUUGUUCGGGAUAGUCGCGGGUGAACCAUGAAACAACUCUUUGACGCAUUUAUUCUCUUGCCCGAAACAUGUUCAUAUUUUUUCAGCGUUUCCAUUAACAACUUCAGGGAUACUGCUGAGGCAUUAGAAAAAAUAAGAAUAUCAUCUGCAUACCCCAGGUGACUAACUAGAGGACACCCUCGAGGAACCUUGAAACCAUUAAAGCGUGGAUGCAGCAGAAGUUGAUUCAAAAGCCGGGAAAGCACAUCUGCACCUACAAUAAAUAAAGAAGGAGACAAAGGAUCCCCUUGACGAAACCCCCGAGAAGAUGGGAAAAAACAACAUGGCACCCCAUUAAUCAAAACAGAAAAUCAUGGAUUAGAAAUAAGAUGCCAAACCAUAUCAAUACAUCUUUCGCCAAACCUAAAAGCACGUAACACAUUGAUCAAAAAAAAUCCAAGAAACCCUAUCAUAAGCUUUGGUCAUAUCCAAUUUGAGAGCAACAUUACCUCCCCUAUUCUUCUUACCAAUACCUAUAAUAAUUUCUUGGGCAAGUAAGAAGUUAUCAGAUAUUAGCAUACCACAAACAAAUCCACUUUGAUUUGGAGAGAUAAUUUUAGGGAGCAACUGUGAUAACCUAACAGCCAGGAGACGUGAAAACACCUUAUUUAUAAAAUUGCAUAAACUAAUAGGACGAAAGUGAGAAAAAUCUUUUGGGUUCUUCACCUUGGGAAUUAACAUCAAUAACGCCGCUAUCACUUUUUUUGGCAACUCAGCACCACAAAAAAAACUAAUAACAGUGUUUUACAAAUCUUGAGCAACUAUAUCCCAAGCAAAAGUGAAAAACUUUCCAGUAUAACCAUCAGGACCAGCCGCACUAUCACCAUCCAUAUUAGAAACCACCCGCCUCACAUCUUCCAUUGUAGGAAUUUCUUCUAACUUAGCAUUAUCAGCUGGCUGAAUUAAUUUCGGGAUAACAGAAGAUAAAUCCCAAGAAGAUGUAGCCUCAGCUGAAAAUAAAGAAGAGAAAAAUUUGACGGCUUCCUGCCCUAUGUCAGCUUCAGAAGAAAGCCAGUUUCCUCCCUCGUCUUGGACUCAGUGAAUAACUGAUUGUAAUCUCUUCUGCUUUACCACUGAAUGAAAAAAUUUAGUAUUUUUAUCUCCUAAAUCUAACCAACGGACCCUUGCUUUUUGCUUCCAGAAGCUUUCUUCCACUAUCAAACUCUGACGAAACUUUGCCUGGGCUCUUCGUAAAGAUUCCUGAGCACUAAUCGAGAUAUCAUCCUCCACUUAUUUCUCAGCUAAAACCACCUCCUUCUCAGCCCUUUUUACAUUAUUAAAAAUAUUACCAAAACAUUGUACAUUCCAAACUUUAAUAUCUGCCUUUAAUCUUUUAAGUUUGGAGCAAAACACUUGAAUAGGAGCACCAACAUACUCUUACUGUCAAGACUUUCUAACAACUUCCAAAAAGUCAGGAUGAGUAGCCCAAGCAUUAAGGAAACGAAAAGGGCGAGGUUUAUCAUCCAAACGGGUAGUAAACGAAAGCAAAAGAGGUGAAUGAUCAGAAGGAUCCCUAGCAAGAUGAGUAACAGAAACCCCAAAACCCGCAUCAUAAUAGGAAUUAUUAAUCAACAGGCGAUCCAAACGUUUCCAAAUUCACGCCCUUCCAAAUCGAUUAUUACACCAGGUGAAGGAAGAUCCAGAAAAGUCAGCAUCAAAUAAUUCAGCAGAAGACAUAAAAUCCAAAAACUCAACUGCCUCAGACAAACGAAAGGGCUGCCCACCUUUUUUUCCCCCCACAUCUACCACAACAUUGAAAUCCCCACAGACUAACCAUGGCACUACAAGAGGCUUAUCUUGCAACAACCCACUCCAUAAGCCUUGUCUCUCCUCUACCGUGCACAACGCAUGAACAAAAGAAGCAGUAAAAGGGGCUGCGUAGAAAUUAUGAUAAACUGUAAAAGAAAUAUGUUGUUCUCCCUCGCCCACCAACAAAAGAUGAAAAGGAUCAUUAUAAAAAAAUCCAAAGAGAUCCAGACUUGUUACACAGGACAUGUUCAAAAUGAAGCUUUAGUCGAAAGCUUUCAGCAAGGAUAACAUUAGCAUUAGCUUCACAAAUAACUAAAAAUUGAAUUUGUUGCUGAGAAAUAAUUUUUUCCUAACGUCUAAAGUGAGAAGGUUUAGACAAACCUCUUAUAUUCCAGAAAAGAGACUUAAUCAUUGGAUGGCAGUUGGAAAGAAAUCUGUGAAUUUUUUAAUGAAGAACGCAGCUGCCUAUCCGAAGGAGUGAUAGUAUGAAGUCCCUUAUGUUUCCUACCAUCUUGGAAUGAAUCAUCUUGAACACACCGGCCAGCUUCUGGAAUCGAAGGCAAAACCACUGCCAAUUCGCCUCUUGGAGAAAGAUUACCAGAAGAAAAGGUAACAUAGAGUCGACAUUUACUUCGUCAUCCAAAACCUCCUGCUGCUUGUGAAGGGAACAAGAGCCAUGGUCAGGUUGGUGAGCAGAAGCACUAGCAAAAGACUGAUCAGACUCAACUUGGACAUCUAUAACAGCUGCUUGACAUGCAGACGCAGACUUAGUAGUUUCAAGAGGCUACUGUUCUUGAGAUUCCACCAUCAACAUAUUAUCUUGAAGAUUAUUUUCCGCCGGAGCCCAAGGUAAUGGAAUAGUAGAAAGUGCCGCAGACGUAGCAAUUUGAAAUUUCUGCUGUGCUUGCAACUCUGAAGAUAUCACCUUGUUGGGGGUAGCAUCAUCAACGUGCAACGUCGCAGCCGUAGCUUUCGUAUCACAGUGCUGAUCUUGGGCCAAAGAAACAGCUUGCACCAUUGUGUCUGGUUUAUUUGUCGAAACUGGAACCCAAUUUUUUUUUGUAAUGUGGCCACCAUCCAAACCUAUAGAACCUUUUCCUAUACGUUGAUUAAAAUCCUCCUCCAAAGGCAUAUGGUCCUUACCCAACUGUUGAGACGAAAUUCCAGCAAGCACAUCCUUAUUACAAGCAGUACUAGAAUGUCCUAAAUGGCUAGAGCAAUAUUGGGGCAAAUUUUCAGCUUGCAACUGCUGCCAAAACCCCUCAUUAGAAUUCUCAGUCCCAAUCCAAACCCUAGAAGGAAGUGGGUGAAGUAAAUCUACUUCCACGCAGAUACGUGCCACACUUGGCUUGGACAGAUUAGCAGUUGCAGCAUCUAUAAACAUUGGCUUCCCCAACGGAUUCACAAUGGAGAAAAGGGAAUAUUUGUCAAAUAGAUGAAUGGGUAAACUCGGGAGAGAGAAUCACACCGGCACCAAUGAAGAUUCUUUAGUCACAUGAAAUGAGGGAGUCCACUUAAAGACUCACAUUGGAAAAUUACCAACGUACCAGAUUCCUCUGGUCCAUAGGCGAUGAAAAUCUGUUUCUGAAGCACAGCGAAUGAGAACAUGUCGAGCAUCCAUAUGUCCAACCGAGCAUGCAUCCUUUAAAUCAAAAGAGUGAAUGAACUUUCUGAUCUCCUCCAAUUAGAACGACCACGUACGCGAGAAUUUUCCAACCAAGGCCAGCCGAAAAGGUGAAGCUAACUUAUUAAUAUCAUCAAGUGAAAAGAAUAUCGCAGCUUGCCCUUUAUGAGUUGAGAGGGAUUUAAUGGAGAUGGGAGAGGAUGGAACAGGGUCAAACAAUUGGGCAAAUGAUUUCUUUUCCCCCAUAAUGGCUUGGGCAUUUAUUCAAAUAGCUAAUAGGCAUAGCAGAACUAAAUGUAUUUCUAUUCAACUUGUACCUAAAGUGCCCAAUAUUUCACCAAUCGAAACCGAAGACUACUACAAGCUAAUUAUUCUAUAGAAGCUCUAAAUAGAACCUGGAUUUGAAGAUCUGGUGUUUAGCAAGUACAAUGUCAUUACAAUAGAAUAUUUAAGAAAGCUUAGGUGAUAAUAAACCAUUGAAUGCUGAAAAAGUUCCAAAUCAGAAUGAAUCUGAUAUAAUUUAAACUCCUUUUAACUAAUAACACACUCCAAGAAUUGUGAACCAAGACAGCCUUUAUAUUGGUUUUGUUACCAAACGUAUACAUUGUAAACCCGGGCUAUCCUUCAUAAUUCGUUGGUACAAUGAUAUAAUUGAUAGACUCAGUUUGGAAGCCAACUUUACUAUGUACAAAUGAUAAAAGUUCAAGACACAUUGUUUGUUCGAUCAGCUGGGGAUUAAUGUUCAUAAAUAAAAUUGCUCUUCUAUUUUUAAAAAAUAUCUAAAGAGCGACAACAACUUGCAUUUUCUUUCAAGCACAUCCUUAUACCCCUAAGGUGGAAGAAGUCAAUUAGUGUGAAGAAGCAAACAUUGAAACGAUCCCCUAAUUUCCAACAAUAGUGGGCAAAUUUAGAUACCUUCCUGGUAAAUGAAUCAUGCCUCAAAAUCUAGAACAUAAUGCUGAUGAUGAACUUGAUAUUUUCUUCCAGAAUUGGCCUAUUUCUUCCUUCAUCUGGGAUAUGGUUCAGUAAUUGAUGCAUCAUUGACAGAGCUUGGAGCUGAAAUUCUUUUAGUGUUGGAUUGAUCAACUUUCAGCUCGUCUACCCUGCUCUCCGAUCCAUUGCUUCGGAAAACUGCCGGACGAUGUGGAGUUGGUAGGGAAACAGAACCAGGAUUGAGCAUGCAGACCACGGAAGCCAUUUUGUGUCUUUUACUGGCAUCUUCUUCAACACAUAGUAAGCCAACUUGGAUGCAUUGAAUGACUUCAUUUCUGGCAUAAGAAUCUCCAAUGCUUGAAUCCAAAAGAGCUAAAGUUUGGCCGCGUCUCCAAUGGUUCCAAGCCUUUUCGAAAUAAUCCCACUCAUAAGGUGUACAUUCUUAAAAACUUCAAUUAGCUUAAAUAGAUAUACAGGUAAAUGUCAAUAUUCACAAUAGGCAAUUGUCAAUACUCUCUAUUUCAAGUUUAAUCAUAUAAAAAGAUUGAUUAAUCUUUCUUGCAUUGAUGUCAGCGUUGGAUGAAUAACAAUUAUGCAAAAUUUGAAUUUUAAAUUUAAAUUUUGCAUACAUGUUAUGAAUCUAAUGGUAAUAGUAUAUACACUGUCUGAUAUAUGAGAUUUAUUCAUAAAAGAUUUCGAAUCGCAACCUUUUUUCCCAUCAUUGUAGUUAAGUAUAACCUGAGAAAGAAGUACAAUGGUCUUUACUGAAAUUUACAAGUACUCUACUUUGAGCGUGUGACAACGUACAAAACGAGAGAAAGAAUAGCAAUUAUGACAAGUCUUGCAUCCGACAUCUAAAAAUUUCCAUAAGAAGCACAUAAACAGAAAUACGUAUUUAUUUAGGGCAGGUAGUUCAUAAAUUAUCGUGCCAUUUUGGUCUGGUUCACACAAAAAAUGGUAUUGCAAGUUUAGGUGAAUUUAAUAAUGAAAAAAAAAAGAAAAUGUGUAGAAUUUAAUUGAAAUAUUAAAUGUGUAGAUAUUCAAAUUCACAAAAGCAAAAUAUUUCAUGCAAAGACCUUGUAUACACGACCAAAUCCACCUUCGCCAAUUUUGUUAUCCACUGAGAAGUUAUUUGUGGCAAUUUGAAUUUCAGUUAAGCUAUACUGUAAGGAUUCGGCUGUUAAGAUAUCAGCAACACCAUCUACACCAGAAAUAAGCAAAUACACUCAAUUUAUUUGUUCAAACAAAUCUGAGGUUUCCUGUAAUUGCAAUCAAUAAACUUUACCACUUGUUUCCGGUGCCAUAGCAACAUAACUCUUCCGCAAUCUCCAUUUCAGGAAAACUAAAGCCAUGAUAAAUAGCACAACAGCAACCCCAGUUAAUGGGACAGCAAUUCGAAAAGCUGCUCGUAGGGGGCUUCGCCCUUUGCCUGGAUGAAAGUUAGUUUAAUUUAGCUUCGAAAGUCAGCUGAUCAUAGGAGAUCAAGUUUAUUAAACUUCGAGGUAGAGUCACUCUGAGACAGCCUUACAUAGACAAAAAGCUAGAGUUGAGAUCCUCUCUAUUACUUUCUCACCAUUUAUGUGCCUAAAUUUAUGUCAGUAAUUUUACUUCCACAAGUUGAUCAACAUACUUAAAAUUCAUUCUCAUUUAUGAAUUUUUUGUCAUUCAAUUUGUACAAAACACUUUGACGGUGCAAUAUGGGCCAAAAUUAUAAUAAAAAAUGUAAAGUUUGAUCCAAUAUUAAAAUUUAAUCAAUUUAAUUUGAAUUUUUUAAUAUACUUUAAACAACACGAGAAAUAUAAUUUGGAUGACCUUUUAUUUCAAAAAUAGUAGUAUAACCAUGUUUACUUAGGUGUAAUGGAGAAAAAAUUUUCUUCAAUUAAUGGAGAAGAGCCUAACCCAAAAAGCUAUGCAAAAACACAUUAUUUGAAAGAAUAUUUUUUUUUUCAAUUCUUUUUGAAAGUUUUUCACCACCUUUUGGCCUCACAUGCUUCAUGUUGACGGUAAAUGAAGAGAGAUUUUCAUUAUCAAUUUUCAAUAUUAUGGAUUAAUAUUAAGAUACUCCCCUGAGGAUUGAACAUAUACAAGGUUAAUUGUGUUUGGACCAAAUUACGACUACCCAUUGUAAGCGAGGCUGUCCAGACCCAGUGAUUAUAAGGAAAUGACAACAAUGCCAAAUAUUACCAAAUUGCUGUAGAAGAACAAAGGUUGAAGAAAAUUAUUUACCAAAUUAAGAAGAGAGACAAAUCACCAAAAAUUCUUUAGCCUAUGCACUUGUAGCCUUGUGUAGAAAUGUAAAUCCUUAUUUCUUAUUCGCUGGAUGAUUUCGCACCACGCAUCUGUGGUCCUGUGAAAUUGGAUAGCAUAAAGUUUCCUUCGCUUUCAGAAGACCACAAAUCUGAGGUGGGAAAUCAUCCAACGAUGUGUUUCCUCUGCUGUGUUUUUUGUUCUUUUGUCAUGUAUUUGGUUUUAGUUAUUCCAUUUUCAUUUUUUAUGACCCUACAUGAAGAAUACAUGGCAAUAUGCAUAGUUAUUAAACUCGAUUGGACAAGAAAUCCAACAAAGGGACCAGGGCAACAUGUGACUAGUUUAACCAAUUAGUCAUUGGUUGAACUAGUGGGUACUAAAUUAAUAUUUACAAAUAUAAAAUAGCAAUAAAGUGCUUUUAGAUACUAAUUAUUAUACUUUGAAAGAUAUACAGUGAAUAUACAAAUAUUAAUAGAAGAUUUAAUUUCAUUUUAUUGUACUUGUACAUAAAUAAAUAACACAUUCAAAUAUAGAACAGAAUUGUAUCACUUAUUUUCAAAGGUAUAGCAUCGUUUUUAUUAUUUUAUCUUUCAAAAAUAAAAUAAUUUUUAACAACUCAAAUAUUGUAAGUUUGAAAGUUAAAAGAAUUAAUUGUCUAACAAAAAAGUAAACAAGUUUAUUUAAUAAAACAUUUAAUUAUCAAGUAAAAACUAAGGAAGUAGUAAAUUUUUUUACACAUUUAAGUGGAAAUCCAACAUACAAAUCUAGUCAAAAUUAUAUUACACUUUAUUUCAAAAACAAUGAUCCACAAUUGUAUUAGAAAAAAGAACACAGUCAACUGGAAAAUCGAACGGGCUCUGAUUGAACCACCAUGUCAAACAAGUUUGAUCGGACCAACCCAUUCUUCAAUCAAACUGGAAAUCCUUUCGGCCGGAUGGUCGAGUCAUUGAUAGGGUUGCAAACGAAUCGAACCGCUCACGAGCAACUCAAUACAAAACUCGACUCGAGCUCGAUGUGCUGCUCAUGAUAACUCGAGCUCGAUCAACAUCGAACUCGAGGCAAGCUCAACCUGAUCAAAUCGAACUCAAAUUCGAACUCGAGUUCAAAGCUAUUCAACUCGAUAGUUCAUGAGCCAACUCAAUUUUAUAUAUAUAUAUAUAUAUUAUUUUUUAUUUUAAUAGUAAAAUUACAUAUAUAUCCCUAAUAUUUUAUUUUUUGUUAAAAAAAUUAUUAUUUUAUUCCCUUUUUGAAAAAUAAAAUAACUAUUUUUUUAUUUUUUUAAGCUCCAGUUCAAGUUCAAACUCAAUUCGAAUUUGAGUUAAGCUCGAGCUCGAGUUGUUACAUUGAGAGCUCGUCGAGUUCAAGCUUGAGCUUGAGUUUGAUAAAACUAAGUCGAGUUUGGAUCGAUUAAACCAAAGUCGACUCGACUCAACUCGUUUGUAGCCUAUUUCAUUGGGCUGAUUGUUUCAAUUGCUAGGGUCACGUCAGGUUCAAUAACAAUAGGGGAUGAAAUAAAAAGUAAAACAGAAAAUCCAUUGUGAAACAAAUGUAAAAAAAUUUUAUUUGGCAAGAAAACAAUGAUAGGGUUUAAGAGUGGAGGAGAAAGGGAAUUUGAAUCUAAAAUCUCUAAAUUCUAAGGUCUCAACCUUAGCCACUAAGCAUAUAGUGCGUUACGUCAUAAUCUCCUUAUGCAUGUGAAAUUAUCCUAUUAUCUUGGCCCCUUGAACUUUCUUGUGAAGUGGAUCACUGAUUUUUCUUUUUUAGGCUAAAUUAACUUCAAGGAGGGUAAAUAUGGUAUUUGGUUGAUUUCAAUGCGAAUAGUUGUCUUGUAUAUUUUUUUUCUCAGCUAUUUUCUACUUUGGGCUCUCAACUAUAGACAUACUGCCACUUUAAUCAUUAAAUUUCAAAGUUGAGCACUUUAUUUCUUAAAAUAUGAAAUUCAUCCUACUUUAGUUCUUAAUAAUUGUAUUCAAAAUUUUGACAGCUAGUUUUGUUACAAAACAAAAAAAGAUCAAAUGGAUUCACGUUACCAAAGCACAACUAAGGUAAAAUUGCGAUUUUGAAACCACAGGAGGUGAAGAGCAAAACAUUAAACCGCGAAGAAGUACCAUUAAUUUACUUAUUUAAUAUCAGAUUUUAAACUAGCAGACAAAUUAUAUUGCACUAUAACGGAAAAUCUUUUACAUGCGUACAAUACAUCCUCGAUCUUCUUCAAUGUCUUUGUCUAAAAUUGGAAAAACUAAAAUGGAUUCUUCUUUGCAUUAUGCCAUAGAAAUUUCAUAUUUUUUUUACGUAAUUUUGCAAUCAAUACCGCCCAUAAUAUAACUCAUGUACUAUUUUACUUACACACAAAAGUUAAAUUAAAAAUACCAAACUUUUUCCAUUUGAUUAAUCAUUGCAAAAUUUUCCAUGAACUUGAGCCCUUUUACACUAUGUAAAUGUUUCUAGCAAAUUGAAUGCAAAAACUUUCUCAAAUGCACUUUAUAUUCAUGUAUGCUGAUCAACCAAUCAAAAUAAAAUUAUAACAUAAGCAUAUGAGUUUUAAAAACCAUAUAAUAGAUAAAUGGAUAGAUAACUAAAUGACGAUGUAGCUCUGAAAUUAGAUAUGUCAAAGGCUUAUGACCGUGUUUCCUGGAUUUUUUUGACAAUGGUUUUGAGGAGAUUUGGUUUUAGGGAGCAAUGGAUUGAUAGGAUUUGGAGAUUGGUCUCGAAUGUAUGGUUUUAAUCAACGGGGCCAGUGUGGGUUUCUUUAAGUCUACGCGAGGGCUUUGUCAAGGGGACCCGUUAUCCCCAAGUUUUUUUUUUUUUUUUUUUAAACCCAUGUAUAUAUCUAUUUUUUUUUUUUUUAAAAAAAAACUCAACUUUUAUUGCCACCGAGGGAACAAAGUUACACAGAGCCAAAAAGUCUAGACAAAACUACUAAUGCCGGACCCUGCCUAGCCGAAUCGAGGGAACUGAGAGCCUGUCCAACUGGAGAGCGGACCGAGCCUUCCGAGGAAGCUCAGCCCUGACUGUAAAAACGCCAUCCUGUUGUGGCCGCGAGCACGCAAGGGCAUCCGCUACCGUAUUUGCUUCUCGAUAGAUGUGUGCCACUGAGACCCCCAUUUGCCCUGAAAGCCAUUGAAUAUGACGUAGAGUAUUGACCAAAGGCCAUCGGGCAGGACCGCAAGAGGAGACCAUGCGCACCAAAACACUCGAAUCCACCUCAGCCACAAAGUGCAUGAUGUGCCGAGCAUAACAUAACCGCAAACCUUCCAAUAACGCCAACGCCUCUGCCGUGAGCACAUCGCACUCCCCGAACUCCUUGUAAAAUGCAAAAACCAGGUCGCCAUCUGAAGUACGCACCAGUCCUCCCCCGGUGGCCAGCCCCUCGGUGACGCUAGCAUCGGUAUUCAGUUUUACUGAGGACGUGGGUGGCAAUGCCCAAGUAACUGCGCGGGGUAUAACCUGCCGUCGAUUGUCCAUGCCAAAUGUCGCCCACUCGCAAUCCGCAUCCCCCUGGAAGUCCUUCCGGCGUAACCGACCUCCCCUUCCCAGCUGCUGGAUAAAUGCGCUAACCUGCAAAAUGAUAAUCCCUGGGGACAUGGCCGUCCCCUCAAAACGAGCUGCAUUACGGGAUUUCCAGAGAAACCAUAGGAUCACCAUAGGGAGAAGGACACGAAUAUGAUUCCUGCUCACACAGGAGUGGGAGAAGAACCUGCUGGAGAGUCUAGCCUGCACCCCCCGCCCCUGUGUCUUAAUCCCAAAGCGAUCUGCAAAACUCCUCCACACUGUCGUAGCCACUGGCCCAGAUACCAAGAGAUGGCCAGUGGUCUCCGUCGCACUCCCACAACAUGAGCACCUUGACGCCAAAGGACGUCCCCGUUGCUGUAACACCCCAUCCAAUGGCAGCCAGCUCCUCAGUGCCCUCCACCCAAAGAAAGAGAUCUUUUUUGGGAUAAUCGGGCUUCAUAAAAGGGAGUCCACCAUGGAGAUGUUUCUUUUCCCCCGAAGCUGCUCCCACGCUGAGGUGAUGGAGAAUUCCCCCGACUGGGAUGCCACCCAGAUCAUCCUGUCCCGCAUACCCGGGAACACACGUAGGGCCAGGACCUUUUCCACCAAGGCUCCCGGCAACAACUGCCGCAGGCGCUGAGCAUCCCAUCCCGUGUCCAUGAAGAGUUCCCCUACCAGAAGAUAUGAGUGACUAUGGCCCGAGACCAGCUGGGCGAGGGGGACAUCCGAGCACCAUCUAUCCUGCCAGAAAUCUACCAAACCCUCACCAAGGCUCCACCGGAUGUUUUCUUCAGCAACCCCCCGCACCUCCAGCAGACGUCGCCACACAGCCGAAGGUCGAUGAAUCGAAACCAAGCCCGGAUGCUCGCCUUUCACAUACUUGCAAUGCAUAAAAUUUGCCCACGGUGACUCAUUUGCUCUUAAUUUCCACCACAGCUUGCAUGCAAACGCCUGCCCUAGCGUUUCAAAUGAACGAAAUCCUAACCCCCCUUCCUCGACCGGGUAGCACACCUUCUCCCAUGCCGUCCAGUGAAUUCGGCGAGAAUCUGGGUUGUUCCAUAAGAAGGCAUUGCAGAGCCGACCCAUCGCUACUAGCACUGCCCCUGGGGGUUGCAGAGCCUGAAGCCAAUACAAUGGUAUAGAACCCAAUACGUGACGGAUGAGGACGAUCUUGCCCCCCAUUGACAGAAUCUUUGAACUCCAGUGACAUAAUCGCCGCCGCAUCCUAGACAGUAGACCAUCAAAGAUCGCACUCGUAACGUUAUUAUUGGCGCGGAGGUGCUGUCCCGUUCUUUGAACCAGUUAGUGGAGCAUCGGGAGUUCAAGUGCUUUUCAGUUCCGCGGGGCUGUCCUAAGAUCACUCAUCUCAGUUAUGCAGAUGACGUCCUGGUUUUUUCAGGUUCUUCAUCCUCUUCGCUGAGAUGUGUUAUGCAGAUUAUUGAGAACUAUGGAGCAGUUUCGGGGCAGGAGAUUAAUGUUCAGAAGUGCGGGUUCAUGGUGCAUGCUAAAUUGCCUAGUCACUGUGUGGCAAGGGUUCGACGGGUAACUGGGUUUGGUCUUAAGUCGUUUCCCGUGCGUUACUUGGGUUGUCCGCUUUUUGUGGGGCGCCGAAAGUGCCUAUAUUUCAUGGAGCUGGUACAGUCAGUUAUUUCUAAAGUUUCAUCAUGGAGGUCCAGCUUUCUAUCCCAUGGGGGUCGGAUUGUACUCAUCAAACACGUGCUUUCAGCAAUCCCAACUCAUUUAUUGGCAGAUUCAUGUCCUCCGAAGGGAGUUCUAGCCUUAGUUGAACGGGCUAUGGCAAAUUUUCUCUGGGGGGAACGGGAAGGUGGCCUCCGACAUCAUUGGAUUAAGUGGGCAGACCUGUGUGCCGACUCGUCACAGGGCGGGGUUGGUGUUCGAUCGCUACUGGAUGUUCAUACAGCAUUCUCGCUCAAAUUGUGGUAGCGUUUCCGUACGGGAGAGUGUUUAUGGGCGACAUUUAUGAGAGCCAAGUAUUGUCGGCAGAGUCAUCCAUGCAUGGUAGCGGCGGUUCAGGGCAGUUCAUAUAUGUGGAGGCGUUUGCUUCAAAUUCGUGAGGUGGCGGAGCAAAACCUUUGGUGGGAGGUGCGGUCGGGACAGUGUAAUUUCUGGUUCGACAAUUGGAUGGGUUCUGGUCCUCUGUGUCAACGGUUACAAAGUGUUUCUGAUCACUUAGUUUGGGAUUUCGUAUUGAAUGGAAGGUGGAAUCAACAGUUGCUACGGCUUUGGGUUCCUGAUGACAUAGUCUCAGAGAUAGUUACUAAAGUUGCCCCAGUGGGGUUCACGGACGAUCGUGCGGUGUGGGCCUUGACAGAGUCAGUAGAUUUUUCCAUUGCUUCCACAUACGUGCUGCUUGGUAGUCAGACCCCCUCAUCUUUCAUGUUUGAUAGGGUUUGGCACCCUGUAAUUCCAAUCAAGAUUUCAUUCUUCAUGAUAAGACUGCUGCGGGAUCGGUUACCGUUGGCGUCAUCCCUAGGAAGAUUGCAAGUGUAUGGCCCUUCCAAGUGUUUUUGCUGCUUGGCCUCGCAAUCUGAAUUGUUGGAUCAUGUCUUUGCGGAAGGUGAGUUAGCUCAGUUCUUGUGGACCUUUUUUGGGAAUGGCGCUGGAGUGAGUUAUAGAGGUAUGGGGGUGCGGUCGCGUUUGGCGGCUUGGUGGUGCCAACCGGUUCGGCACUCUCAUAUGAAGUCAUUACACUCGGUUUUGCCUUGCAUUAUUUGUUGGCAUAUUUGGUUGGCACGGAAUCUUGCAAUUUUUGAAGGGCAGCUCCUGCGUCGACAGACCAUUUGUGAUCGUAUCUUGGCGGACGUGGUAGGGCUAUUUUCCAGGAAGUUUGCAGGUGAGUUUAUUGGGGUUGGCUCCUGGCCGGCGGUCUUCUCCACCUUCUCUGGGUGGAGGCCUCGGUAUUCCCAUAGAGUGGUUUGUUGGGAAUUUUCAGCCCAGGGAGACUUCAAGUUAAAUACGGAUGGGUGCUCGCUUGGCAACCCGGGCAUUAGUGGCGGGGGUGGUGUUCUUAGGGAUUCGUCUGGUGCUUUUUUGUUUGGCUUUUCAGUUCCGUUUGGGGAACUGACAUGUCUGCAGGUGGAGAUAAAGGCUUUGGUGGUUGGGGUGCAACAAUGCCGUCUUCGGGGAUUCUCGUGGAUUCGGGUGGAGGUGGAUUCUCUUGUGUUAGUCAACCUACUGGUACGACGAUUCAGGUGUCCGUGGUUAGUUCGGUCGGAUCUGGAAACGUUACUGGCAAUCCAAGGUUUGGAGUGGACGGUGGGGCAUUGUUAUCGGGAAAUGAAUCAAGUGGCGGAUGCCUUAGCCAAGGUUGGGGCACAAUCUGAGGGUAUUAUCUUGUACACGACACAGUCUGAGUUGCCAAGGUUGGCAAGGGGGGCCUUAGGUUUAGAUAGGUCGCAGAUUCCUGCGAUUCGUACUGGAGCUAUUUCUCACUGAAGCCUGUAUAUUUUCUUGAUUUUAAUAAAAUGAGAAGUUUUGAAAAAAAAAAAAAAAAAAACUAAAUAAAAACGUAAUGCACGUUAGGCCAUCACAGUUAAAGGGAUUCCGCAAUGACCAUAACAAUUCUACUUCAACAUAUAUUCAAUAGUUAUUACAGUCCUAAUGCCUGCAAAAAGACCAAAUUUACUGUCCUAAGAAGUAUGACCACUUAAAAUCUUCCAUAAAUUGAUGCAUGUGAUCAGUAAGAUGUGCUGAUGCGGAAAUCUUACUGUUACGUAUUCAACUAAAAUUUGACUUAGAAAAUUCAAUAAGUUACGUGGUGGCCUGGGAAAACUUGACCUUGGCAAGCCUUACAACCAAGUCGCCUGGACGUGAACCAUCAGCUGACUGGCCUGUAACCAAAAUUCUAUAGUCAGUAGAUGCUAAGGGUAUCGAACAACGACAUUUGUGGAGGAUAAUUGGAAAUUGACUAAUGCUGAGAAGAAUAAAGUGGACCCAGAUGGAAUCCCUACCUAGUAGUUCAGAGUUCAUACUGGUUUGAGAAAGAGUUCUCUAUAUACAGUUAAAAGGAUAGAUUAUACAUAAUACCCCCGUGGAUUCACUUGUUGUCACAUAAACGACCUAAUAUUUCUAAAUACCCACAUAAAUCUCAUGUGAUUUCAUGUAAAGUGAAAACUUGAAGGAAAAUAAAUCCCGUAAUAUUGUUAGUUACUAGUACUGUCCUAUUCAAGCACACUAAAUCAAUCAACACUUUAACCACCAUACAUAAAAUCAUACGGGAAUAAUGUGGAUAAAUGCAAAAACUAUUGAGAGCUAAAGUGAAUAUUCAUGCAAAUCGUAGGGACUUUAAAUGGAUAUUUUGAUUUCAUUACACGUUUUUUAUAUAUGGUUCAAUCAGUGUAACUAUUGGUGCUUCCUGUCCAUUUUUCAUAUUACAUGAAACCACAGGAGGUUACAUAAAUAUUUUGAAAUCCUAAAGGGAUUGUAUGGAAAUAUGGAAAAUUAUUUUUUGGGGGGGUUGGGGGGGGCUAAUUUAACCUGGUCAAAUCAUGUAAAGUCUGUCGCAUUUUCGUUAUUGGAUUGAAACUUCCAAAUAAUUUUCAUUGUCGAAAAUACCAUUUGCAAUAUAUAUGAGUGUCUUCACCAUUUUGUCCAACUUGUUUACAUUUCAUGGACUUUUCUUUUUCUUUGGCUCAAGUGGGAAUAUCACAAGACAGGCAUUAAAUCAAAGGGCCCUCCAACGAAAGAAAUACCUGUCCAAUUUAAUACGCCAUGUGCUUGUUGGCUUUUAAUUUAUGUUAAAAUUAACUUUUCAAGAUUGGUGUUCUUUUUAUAUUGUUUUUUGUUCGUGUUAAGAAAUUAUUGUGCAGGAUUUUAAAUCUAAUUCAGUAUUUUUGUUGUCAAAAUCACCCAAAUUUUACAACAUAUGUAUAUUUUGGUGUACAUAUUUGUGUUGUUCAUAAGAUGCUUGUAUUUAGUUUAGAUAUUUAUUCUGUUUAGUAAUUAUAAGGAUGCACAUUCUUCUACGACCUAUUAGUGCUGAAAUUAUCAAAUGUGAAUAAUUUUUAUUGUUUUAGUUAUUAUUAACAUUUAUCAUUGCCCAGAAAGGGAAAAGAAGAACAGAUUUUUUUUUAAAAAAAAGAGAACUUAGAGGAAAAGGGUUUUUCACGAAUGAAAGGAACUAUUGAAGGAUCCUAAAAAACCCUUGAUCACUACUAGCUAGUAGGCCCUGAUAUAUUCCUUAGUAAUUGUGGAUGACAGAGAGAGGAUUGGAGGGUGGAGAAGAAAGAGAAGGAAUUUUUGUGUAGGGUAAAAUCGCUACUUCUAUUUCAUGUUACUUACAAAUUGUUAUUGUUUUAUAUUAAAAUCUUUCAGAGUAUCCUAUGAUACCUUAUGAUCAUGUUCUAAACCAUAUGAUCCUGAAAAUUCAAUGAUGAAAAACAAGAAGAAUUCAUGGCAGAAGGUUUGACAUAUUUGUAAUGGCUGAGCUGGAGCCUAGUUAGCUGACGUCAGGAAGUUAGUUAGAAGGAGAUAUUCCAAAUAACAGAUUGCAUGUGUUGGUUAGCUAAUCGUGCAUGUGAGUCAUUUCAUAUUGCAUGCGUUAGUUAUAUUGUUAGAAUACCAGAAACUAGUAUAAAACAGAGGAGGAAGAUAAGAGAUGUAGCUUGGGAUGUAAACAUUUCUCAUUUUCGUCUAUACUAUCCCAGUCUUCCUUCUACUCUUUCUUCUCUCUUUCUCCGUAUCUACAUUUCUCUUAUUUUCUGUCUUGAAUUCGUUCCUUGUGGUGCAAGUCCAGUACAAUUGGUAUCAGAGCUUGCAGUCCUUGGAUCUGCAAGCUCAGCUACCGAAUCUGUAGCUGACUAUGGCAGAGGGCACCAGAAUGAAAGGCUUCGAAGAACAGCUGAAGAAGCAGGAUUCAAGGAUCCAAAGCAUCCUUGAAGCCAAUGCAGCUGAAAGACUAGCACUGGAAGAGAAGUUGGCGACAAAUCACUCUGAUAUGAAGGCGCUCUUGGAAGCAAACUCAGCUGAGAUGAAAAAUUUCAUGGUUUCCAUGAAUGCUCAAUACACCGCUUUUGUGAGAAGCUUGCAAAGCGACUGAGGGAUCUUAGGAAUUUCACCAGACAACACGGAGAGAAAACCUGUCCAAAGGCCUCAGAGAAACUUGGAGUUGGGGCUGUCCAGUCAAGGGGAGAGGAAUUUCCUACCUGUAGGGACUCCUAAGGUGGAAUUUCCCAAAUUUGAUGGCUCUAACCCCAGAGAGUGGGUUAGGAGAUGUGAGAAGUUUUUCCGUUUAUGUCACAUUCCAGAUUCGCAGCAAAUGGAUUUAGUGGAAUUGCAUCUGGAUGGAAAAGCUAGUAUCUGGUAUCAAGGCUUCAAGAUGGACAAGGGGGAGUUACGAUGGGACAGAUUCAGCCAAGAGUUUUGUAGUAGAUUUGGGAAUUUAGGGGAGGAUGAUGUUAUAGAGGAGUUUAACAAGCUUCAUCAGACUUCCACAGUAAUCGCCUACCAAGAAAAGUUUGAAGAGCUGCGAGCUACCGUGAUGCUCAAGGUCCCUAGUCUUACUGAAUCUUAUUAUAUUUCCAGUUUCCUGAGUGGACUAAAGGAGGAGAUUAAGUCUGUAGUCAAGAUCCACAAACCUGCAACCUUGCAAUCAGCAUUUGAGAAGGCGAGAUGGCAGGAGCAUUAUUUACAGGUUAUGGCUAAGCAACACAGGAUGGCUACAAAACCAACUCCAGUUACAGAGACAAUACAGAGGAAGCCUGCACAUCAGGUGUUUGACAGCAGCAACAACAAAACUACCCCCCAAGGCUCUAGGAGGAUUACCCCCACUGAGUUCCAGUAUAGGAAGGAUCACAAUUUAUGUUUCAAAUGUGGAGAGAAGUUCUCCCCUGGGCAUGUUUGCAGAAAUAAGGGAAUUCAUUUGCUGCUAGCAAAGGAGGGCGAGGCUCAAGUAGAGGAAGUAGCAGAUGAAGAGGAUGAGGUCAUUGAAUAUCAAGGCAACAAGUAUGGCAGGGAUGUUACACUAUCCCUCCACUCAAUUUCUGGCCAAUUGUCUUCCAGUACCAUUAAAAUGUUGGGAUAUUAUGGUGAUCAAGAGGUGUCAAUCCUGCUGGAUGGAGGUAGCACCAACUGUUUCAUAAAGCCAACUAUUGCCCGACUCUACCCUGAAGCUGUUGAGAAUCAUAAACCUUUUAAAGUCAGAAUUGCUGAUGGGAAAGAAUUAGUUUGUGAGCAAUGGAUUCCUAAUAUGAAGUGGAUAAUGCAAGGCCAUCAUUUUACUCACAAUGUGUAUGUACUAGACUUGGAAACGUACGACCUGAUUUUGGGGGUUGACCGGAUGAAGUGUUAUAGCCCCAUGACUUUUGACUUUCAAAAGCUGUCAUUAUCAUUUGAGAAGGAGGGUGAAAUGGUGCUACCACAAGGGGAUUCCCACUCUGCUAAGGUGUUGAUGAAGCAAGGAGUAUCAGCCCAGAAGUAUUGCAGAAACAAAAUCAGAACAGCCUUGCAACAUUCUUGCAUGAUACGAGUACAAAACUCACAGGUAACUACUGUGCCCAAAACACUCACUCAAUUACUUGCUCAAUAUGAUGACAUAUUUGUUGCACCUACAACUUUACCACCCAACCGUAGCCUCAAUCAUCAAAUACCUUUGAAACCUGAUGCUAAACCUUUCAAGAUUAGCCCUUAUAGGUAUCCCCACAGGCAAAAAACAGAAAUAGAAAGGCAAGUCAAGGAAAUGUUGGCCACUGGUAUCAUCCAAACCAGCCAUAGUCCUUUUGUAUCCCCAGCCUUACUAGUUAAAAAGAAGGAUGGCACUUGGAGGUUAUGCAUUGACUAUAGACAACUUAACAGCCUCACUAUCAAAGACAAGUUUCCCAUCCUAAUCAUUGAUGACCUCCUUGAUGAACUGCAUGGUGCCAAAAUUUUUUCAAAGAUUGAUUUGAGGUCAGGAUACCAUCAGAUAAGAAUGAACCCAUCUGAUAUCCAAAAAACAGCUUUCAGAACCCACUCUGGCCUCUAUGAAUACUUAGUGAUGCCAUUUGGCCUCACUAAUGCACCAGCAACCUUCCAGGCUUUAAUGAACUCGGUAUUUGAACCUUUUAUUCGAAAAUUUAUGCUAGUGUUCUUUGAUGACAUUGAUAGGGUAUAAUUUGUUAGUAUUUUUAUUAUUAAUUUUCCCUUCUAUCCCUGACAAAUAUUGUGUUAAUUGCUGAUAUUUACUCAUAUUUGGUAUUUGAAAUCAAUUUCAGGAAUAAAGCAGAAAACUACCAAAAAGGAGGGACUUUGUGAAAAAUAUGGAGACUUCUAAGGGCUUCAAUCCUUGGGCCCUUGAAUUGGUGGGGGGACCACAAGCUAGUGAAAGGCAUUUGGUCAUUUGGGCUUCAAAGAAAGCAACGUAGAGAUACUUGGAACAAGAAGUACUUGGGAGGCUUUGUCCACAUGUGUGGGGACCACCUAGAUAGCUUUUAGUCAUCUUUCUUUUGUUGCUUUAAAAGGGGGACAACGUACAGAAGCAAAAGAUAUCUAGGGCUUUAGUUUUAGUUUUUUAGUUGAGUUCUAGUUUUUCUUUCUUUGGACUGGCCUCUGACACACGCCAGGUAUUCGACAAUAUUUCCCAACGGGGAGAUUUUCUCAUGAGGCGUGGUUAAGCUUUUCUAGUCAAGGGGACAACUGACGAUUUGGUUCGACAAUUACUGUGAGAUCGAAUCUGUUUUAAUUAUUUUCUUCAUUUAUUGGUAUUUAUAUGUUUCUUGAUUUUAAUUGCUAUGGCCUUGUGUAUGAUUGAUUAGUGCGCAAUAAUUAAUUAUUCAUAUAGGCUAUUUUUGCUAAAUAGGGGUAAUUGAAUCCGUAAUUGUUCGUUAUCUCUACCUCAGUAGCAACUAGCGUAAUUGGGUUUAUGUCAGGGGAGCAUAUGAUGUAAGAUUUGACUGUUAUACAAAGCCAAUUCCCAUCCUUCAAUCCUAGAGACUAGGAUUGUUUGAAGGGAGGGCAACUGUAAUGGCUGAGUUGGAGCCUAGUUAGCUGACGUCAGGAAGUUAGUUAGAAGGAGAUAUUCCAAAUAACAGAUUGCAUGUGUUGGUUAGCUAAUCGUGCAUGUGAGUCAUUUCAUAUUGCAUGCGUUAGUUAUAUCGUUAGAAUACCAGAAACUAGUAUAAAACAGAGGAGGAAGAUAAGAGAUGUAGCUUGGGAUGUAAACAUUUCUUAUUUUCGUCUAUACUAUCCCAGUCUUCCUUCUGCUCUUUCUUCUCUCUUUCUCCGUAUCUACAUUUCUCUUAUUUUCUGUCUUGAAUUCGUUCCUUGUGGUGCAAGUCCAGUACAAUAUUCAUGUUUUAGCAGUUUCAAGAUCGUGAUCCUAACCCAUGAAUACUCUAGAAAAUUGGACAACCUAUUAAACCUAGAAGUUAUAUGAUACAGAGCCGUUUAUGAUGAAGUUUCAUGGUUUUUGUAUUCUACAACAGCAGAACCAUGACUUGGAAAUAAGAAAAACUCAUAAUCUUGCAUAGCAUAGUUGCAUUGAAUCGGUCAUAAUUUGGUGUAUAAAGCUUGGAUUAAGGUGCCAUGUGCUUUCCCAAAGGGCUUUUACUAAUAAAGUAAUUCUUCUGGUUCAAUUUAUAUUGAAGGUAGAAAUUUUUUCAAGGUUGACUGUUUCAAUUCAAAAUCUUGGAAUAGUUUCUCAUCAAAGUUUUAGCCUCUUGAUGUAUAUAGUAGUGGAAAGCCCAUUCUUGUAUGAUUUUUUCAAACUCACGAGCAUCCGAUUAUGUAAAUCUAGUCCAUUCUGGAAGUUUUAGUUCUGGUAACCUUGUAGUCAUAUUUGAAUGUUCUAAAAUUAAGAUUUCGGAGAUGACUCCUUCACGAAAGCUAAAGACAUCAUUGAUCUUUCCAAAUUCCAACUGUAUAAAUAUCUUGUGAAAACAGUGAAUCGGCCGGGACAAUUAAAUCUUUUAACCAUUGUCAAAUCUUGAUAUUUCCUGAUUUGCACAAGUUGAAUAUUUUGAAAUUGAAAGAGACUUAUAAACUCAAUGAUUUUUAAUAACUGUUUACUGAAAGGUUUACUAGAAUCAAUUAAUGGUACAUGGAACUAUGUUAAAGAAUUUUUAGAUAAUUAUUGUUAGUUACGGAUGAAAAACUUUUUAAAAUAUAUCGAUGAAUGCUGAUGGGAUUUUAUAUUUGCUAAUUUCCAGGUUUUAGAUGAAACUCAUGUUUUCAUUCAAAGGGUUUUUAUUUAGUGUAAGAUUAGUGUUGUGUGUGUAUGUGUAUGUGCCUAUAUAUAUACGAUUAAUUACAAAAUCUCCCCCCUAAGAUUUAACCAAUUUUGUACUUUGUCCCCUAACAUUAUUUUUGAUUUUUGACUUUAGCCUCUAAACCAUUAAUCAAUGCUAACAUUGUAUAAUGGAAAUGUCAAAAAGACAUUGAUAUCCCUAAGGGUUAAUUACAAUAAAUUCCCUUACGAUAUAAUGCAUUUUGCACGAAUUUCAGAUUGGUUCUGUAAAUGCUGCCGGUAGGACUGUUAGGAUUGUAUGUAGUAUUUCCACAGUAAUACUCAAGAAAACUAACGGGGCUAGUGAAUGUGGUAUGGAAGCUAAUAAGCAAACAAAGUAAUAAUGGAAGUGAAGCAACAAAUUUCUGGAGAUCAUUUCAAAGGCAGGCAUCAAAAGAGCAAAAGGCUAAAAAUCCACAAAUUACAAUUGUAACAUAGGUGCCAAAGUUUUGGUUGAGGGAUCAUGAAAGUUGAGAAAAUUCUUAAAUUGUGAUGAAAAAACAAGUUAUUCUACAAAGGGGAUAAUUUGUGAAGUUGGUUCCACAAAUGUGAUCUUCGCAUUUGUGAAAUGCGAGUUCAGAUACCUCGCAUUUCACAAAUGCGAGGUAAGUGUUUCCAGAAAAAAAGAAAAACAAGCUCGCAUUUGGAGAAUGCGAGCUGAGUGCGAGGUACUCAAUCUGAACACAAACAAAGUUCCCAAUUUCGGCAUUCAAGUCUGUCUCACUCUCCCUUCACUCUCUCCGUCCAGCUCACUCCUCACUCUCUCCUCUUGGUUGCCGCUUUCUCAUCGGAAAUCUUGGUCACAGCUAUGUCGUCGGAAUCUCUCGGCCUUCUCGUCGGAAGCUCUUCUAUUUUGUAGAGCUUCAGCAUUUCUCCUCAAGCGAAAUCUGGCGGCGGCACUUUCUCGUCCGAAGCUCUCAUCGGAAGCAUUAGAAGCUCUCGCCCAUUGCAGAGCUUCCCCUUUGGGAACAUGACCUCUGCUAGCUAGCUGCCCCUCUCUCCCUCCUCCCAAUUUGCCAUUUUUACAACCUCAACAGGAUACCCCCUCACUUUUGAGUCCCAUUUGCACUGCACAUUUUAUUUUCUCUUGGCAUCUGGCUUUCUCCAUUUGUUGUUUGCUCAGAAACAGCAUAAGAGGUAUGCAUUAAAUUUUUUUUCUGAGUUUAAAUUUUUUUUGGGAUUUUUUGUUUUCCGAAUUGAAGUGGCUUUUCUGAUUUGGCAAUUUAUUGGACAUUGUUGUUGUUUCGGUUGGUCUUUUAUUUGCUUGCCAUGCUUAGUCUUCUAUGAUGGUGUCUUCUUGUAAAUCUGCAUUUAGUCUUCAAUUCAUUAAACAUCAAUGAAGUCAGCCCUUUGAGUCUAUGAAGUUGACCUGAGAAAUUAUACAGAACUGACCACCAAAAUAAUUCCAUGUUGGCAAUAUGAUUUGUUAGUGGAUUUUUGCAUAAUGGAUCUUGCACGGGCAUGUCCGGGGUCUGGUUGUCAAAUAUCAGGCCCUUCAAAUCAUUCUGGUAUUGACCCUGAGAUAUUUUAUGUUGCUUCCAAUUGUAAGAUACCAUUAAUUAUACAUUUUUAUGAGGAUGAACCUCUUAUAAAUUUUAUAAAUUUCAGAAUCUUCUAUUAAUAUUUUUGUAAUUAUUUAUAUUGAUGUGUAAGUUGUGUUUGAGAAAUUUCCAAUUUGAUGACGAAUUUAAAAAAAUUUCUGCAAAAAGGGUGUUUUAAGUAUGGACUAAUAUUACUUAAUUGGACAAAUGCUUCCACAUACUUGAGUAAUUCAACAAAAUUGGUACCCGAAAUGCCAUAAACAAGCUCAAUAGCUCUUCUUCUAUCAUACCAAGCUUUCAUAUAAGAAAUUUUAGCAUUCAAAUUUUUCUUCAUGGAGGAUAUUAUUUUUUUAACUUUAUUGUUCUUAAAAACAAACUCCAUUUUGUUAAGAGAACAACUCAUGUACAAUUCUUUUUAAAAAACAAAAAAUGUGAAUGUGAGGUCUCACCUUUCUUUUUUUUUGUUUGUUAUUUUAUUUUUGUGAAAACAUUAUGGUUGGUUGUUUUUGUUUUUACAUCUGCAUUUUAUAGAAUUAUUGAAAAAAAGAUAAAAAUAAGAAAAGGAAAUCAUCAUGAUUUACUCCUUGGCAUCAAGAGAAAGGACCAUUAGUUUUAUAAAGGAUGAACAAAUAAUGAGAUAAAUAUAAACUCUUUGUCGCGCCCCAUUUUUGAAAAGAAAAAUAAAAGACGAGUUUAGAAAAAUGAAAAUUUAAUUCAAUUUUUGAUUGAAAAACAUGAUUUUUGAUUUAAAAAGAAAAUGGGCCUAAAUGGGGUUUGUAAUGCGACGAUGUGGGCCCAAAUUAUAGUUUAAAAAGGGUUUUUGAAAAAAAUCGAAGUCACCAAUUGGUAAUGAGUUAAGGUGUACCAAGUCACCUAAAAAUGAAUUUUUAAAAAAAAUAAAAAAAACCCCUUUUUAAACGACUCCAAAUCUACGUAAAUCAAAGGAAAAGGUUCGGGAGUCACAUUUGAAGAAAGGGAAGGCAAGGAUAAAAAUCUGAGGCACCCUUUCAACCUAACCAAGGCUAGUUGCGUAAUUUAGUCAAAGAUUUUCUUAUUCUUAACCUAAAAAUUUAUCACAUUUAGAUGUACUAUAUGAAUGCAAACCCUAGACCUAGGAGGGUGUCGGGGGGUCGAAAUGUAUCUUCAAAACUUAUUUGGUACCAAUCACAUUUAUUAUGACGCCCAAUGAAGACUUUUCGAAGAAGUCACGAAUAAUGCAAAAAUAUGAGACUCUAAGAAAAGAAAAGGAAUAAAAUAAUUAUACAAAUAUACAUGUCUUAAAGGAGUGCAUCAUGUCGGAUACGGGGGACUAAUGUUCGUGACUCAAUUUUCCAUUUAGUAGAGGGAAUACGAGCGUGCUAAGGCUAGAAAGCCAAACUCGUCCAUAUCCCAUAUCCAAAGGGCAAUUUCCCUAAUCUAAUCAUGCAAAUGUACUAGCUUAGUUCUAAUUCUUAAAUGGGAAUGCAAGUCUAAUGUCAUGUUUUCAUACAAAGGGGUAAGGAAUAUACAUAUAAGGGGAAAAUACGGGAUAAGGGCUAUACAUAUAAGGGGAAUAUUAUACAAAAUGAUAAAAGACCUGAUAAGGGUUUAUUUUACGUAUUUUUAAGUGUAUUUUAUUAGUUAAUUUGGUUUGAUUAUUUAGUUUUAUAACUAAAAUAACUAAGAUUUUGGUUAAAAUCUACAUUUUAUGUUAAAAUGGCUAACAUUGCAUUUCUAUUGGAUUUUUAUGGUAAAAACUUCAUAUUUUGUAGGUUUAAUGAUUCAAUCAUCAAAUGAAGUGCAUUGAAAAGAUAUUUGGAUGAUUGAAGAUGGAUUAAAGUGGUGAAAAUUAAAUAUGAAGUGUAAAAGGAGAAAUGCAAUUUGAGGACAAAAGAAUCAAGAAAAGUCAGCUUUGACAACUCUGAUACAUUUUCGUAUUUUGACUAUAUCUGGAGCUACACAUAUUGGAUUGAGGUGAUCUUUAUACCAUUUUGAAGCUAAGAGAUAGACCUAAAAUUGGUAUGAAGACAUCUGAAUCCAAUUCAGCCGUUUUCUCAGUCAAAAAGUCAGAAUACCAAAAUUCAACACUGCUAUCCAAAGUUGAAAACAAGGGUUUGACCAGGUGAUAGUAUUUCGAUCAUAUCUUAGGCUACAUAGCUCCGAUUUGGGUGAUUUUUAUAGCAUUGGAAAGCUAACUCAAAGGGGUACAACUUUGGUGUUUUACACAAAAGCUAGUUCAGCCUGUAUCAUGGAGACAAUCGUAGUUGAAGUAAGGCCAAAGUGAAAACGCGAGUGUACAAAACGUGAGUUGUAGCCGCGUUUUGUAGCCGAAAUUCUGCAAUUUGACUCAGCCAUUUCUCUUGUGUUCAUACCACUUUCCAGCUAUAAGAUGCAAGGGAAUUUGGUGCACAUGCUUCAGAAGACAAAAGGGCAAGAAAAGUGGCUUAUUUUCAAGUCAAAAACAUUGGUUAUUGACUAUCCUAACAAAGUUGAGAUUUGGGAAUCAAAAGGUGGAAUUUGACUUGGAAAAAUGGAGCUCUUGAGCAGUUUUUAUGCAGAGACAUUGGGAGAUGUCUGGACAUCCAUACGUAGCCGGAAUUUCUGAUAGCAAAUUCUCUCUAGCUAGCAAAUAUUGAGAAUAGAGACAUACGGGAGAACUUGGAGAGUGCAGAAAUGUAGCUCUUUCAUCUUCUGUGUGUUAGAUUUGUUUAGUAUAGAGUAGUAUAGUUCAUCCAUUCUUGUAUAUUGGCUAGAUUAGGAUGAAGAUGGAGAUGAAGAAGGAGGAGUUGAAACUCAAGUGACAUGGGUUAUCUCUUCUCUAACUCUUUAUCUUUUGUAUCAGAUUCUUAAGUUUAGUUAAUAUACAAGUUCUGGAUUUUGUGUUUAAUAUGUGUCUCUAAAGUUUAAGUCUUGGGUUUGGUUGAACUUUCUAUGAUUGUUAGUGCUUAUUAUUUGGCUAUUUGACUGCUAUGAUUUGAGCAAGUUAUUUAGUACUUUAACUCUUUAAAUCAUGAUUAAUCUGGUACAUUAAUUGUGAUUAUCUAAGGUGUUAUUUCUGCAAUAAAAAUUGAGAUUUAACACUAGUUCAAGAGUGCUAAACAUAAGGAGUACACUCACAAAAGUAGAGGUGCACCUAUGUGGUUUUCAGUGAUUCAUUUCAUGUAAUUUCACUGAAGAAAUGAACUUGUAGCUAAUUUCAUAACCAUGAGAAUAGGUAUGGAUUAGUUAUAAGUAUAAUUGAUUCACUACGAAAGUAUGAUUCAAAUGCAUAAGGAAAUUACACCUUAACUAGCCUAGAUGUAGUACUAAAUGAUCCAAAUAUAGCACUUGUAUGAGUAGUUAGGGAUACUACAACCUAAGGAGCUUUUAUUUGUUAUUUUGUAUAAUUUCAGUAGGUUAAAUUUGUUAUAAUUCAUUGAUAGUCUAAAUAAUAGAGAAGGUUUAGUAAAACCGGUAAUUGUUCACUCUUCCCUGUGGGAUCGACCUGAUAUAUACCCUAAACUACUAGUUGAUCUGUAGACUUGCAGUGAACGGGUGUAAUUCGGUUUUUUAACUUGCCCGUAUGUAAAAUACCCGUCAAGUUUUUGGCGCCGUUGCCGGGGAAGAUUUGACAAUAUCGGUGUGAAUAGCAACUUUAUUAAUUUAGACGUUUCAUUAGUUAUAGUGUGAAUGUUAUUUUCUGUUGUUUUUGUGUUUUAUGUGUGUAUGUGUUUCAUUACCUAUUUUUCUUACUAAUUUUGCUUUUGAAGUUGUUUAAAAGCAAUUUUAGGUGAUGAGAAGGGUAGGUCAAUUUGGAGGACAAUGCUUGAGAAGUGGAAGAGUGGCAAUGGAUGGUUAGCAAGUGCAAAACUCCUUCAACAGAGGUAACCAAGAAUUUACUGAAUGUAUGUCUUUUGAAAAUGGUUUAAGGUGCUUAAAAGCUAAAUUUGAUGUAAUUAAGUUACAAGUUCAAAUGGACACCAUGAUGCAUGAAAUUGAGCAAGGGAGGAAUGUUAAUGCUUUUAAUUCUUAUCAUGUGAUUUGUGACUUGUGUGGCGGUUAUCAUGCUUCUAAUACAUGUAGACAAGCACAAAAUGUGGAUUAUUAUGAUGAAUUAGAGCAUUACAAUCCCUGUUUUGAUCGAUAUAGUGCUAAUUGGAGCAAUUCUCCUGCUUAUGGUUGGGAUAAUCAAUGUACUUAUAGUGAUUCUCCAAAUUUUUAUGAUUACCAACCUAAAAGUGUCCAAUAUGAAUCAAAACCAUCUUGGGAGUUGGCAAUAGAAAAGUUAGCUAAUGCACCUCUACCUUGGGAGUUAGAAAGUGAACCAUUAGUUAAUGAUUCUAAUGCAUCUUGGGAGCUAGCUGUAGAACAUUUUUCUAAUCAAUUUGAUUUAGCAAUAGAAAAGCUAGCAAAUGCAACUUCCGACCGUUUUGGUAGGAUUGAGGAAAGAAUAGAUGAAUUAGUUUCUCACUUUGGUAGAAUACAUCAGCAAUUGAAUGUAUUGUGUGAAGUUAUUUCUUCUAAUAAUUUGUAAAAUGAUCCUAGCAUGAAUGGUGGAAAUGUUGUAUGUGAAAAUGGAUUGCAUUUGGAUGAAAAUGAUGAAUCUCAAUUAUAUUUCAAUGAGCAAAUAUCCAUUUCACAUGAUAAUACCUUUGAAACUAACUUUGAGCCUCAAGAGGUGAGUUUUAAUGACUCAUUUUUCACCUCUCUUGAGGAGUGCAGUGAAAGUAUAGGUUCUAAAGGUAUUCCUACCCAAGAUACUCUCAUGACAUUUCCUUUGGUAAGUUCUCAAGUGGUGCAUAUUCAUGGUAAUAUUUAUGAAACACUUGGGAUAGGUAAGUCACUUCCAUUUCUUACAUCAAUAAAUCAUGUGGUUUUGCUAUAAAGUCAUCAUUUAAUGAUCAACCACGUCCAAAAAUGGUGGAUUAUUCGUUAACUAAGCCUCCUUGAAAAAAGGAGGUGAUAUAGUCGAGCCAACGACUAUAAACAAAAGCGCUUGUUGGGAGGCAACCCAAUGUUUUAGUACCUUAUGUUAUUUUGGUGUGAUUUUGUGGGUUGAAUAAGUGUUUUAGUUGAUUUGUUGUUUUUGUGCUAUAGGGUUGGCAAUUGGAAGCAAGAAUGACCAUUUGAGAUAAAAAAAAGGCGAACUUUGAUCAAGCCACUCAACCCCUUGAUUUGCGUUAAAGAUGUAUUUGAUCCGUCAAAAAGGGGUAAAAUGCAUGUUUUUAUCAAUUUACAUGUGUGCACAUCGAUAAAAUUGGUAAAGAAAUGAUCUAUGAUGCAUUUUGAGUGAUUGGGGUACUUGGUGUAAUUUUUGAAAAGUUGAAAUUCUGCUAAAAGUCGCAGCAGAAAACGCGUUUACAAAGAAAACGCACCACAAAGUCGCGUUUCUAUGAAGCGCGUUUUCAAUUCUGCAACGAGAAUAAUGAAAAUGCGCUACAAAACGCGACAUUUAAUCGCGUUUUUAUGAUAAAUCGCGUUUUCAAGCCUGGAUCAAAACUCAAAAACGCGACUAAAAGUCGCAUUUUCCAACACAGCCGCGUUUUCAUUCCUACAAGAUUUGUGCAGGAAACGCGACUAAAAAGUCGCGUUUUAUGUGACUGAAUAUAGGUUGCAGAAACGCGAUUUCCAGGAUUUCUUCUUCUUCAAACUUCAUCUCGCAGACGCGUUUUUCCUCUUGCUUUCUACCCAACUCACAAAUCUUCAUUUUUACUCCAUCAUCUUGCUAGAAAUCAUCAACCCAACACCUUUUGAGCUUCAUACAACCUUUUUAACCGAUUAAAAUCCAAGAAAAACACCUAAAAUCAGGUUUUUGAGGGAUUGAAGGUUAGGGUUCUUAAACUCUAAUUUCUUCAAUUGGAGGUCAAUUGGAGGUUGUUUCAUAGGGCUUUUGAUAUUUUUAGCAUCACCAAACUUCCUUCUACGUGAUUUGAGGUAAGUUUCUUCAUCAAAUCUUUUGAUUUUAGAAAGUCAUAUUUUUUUUUAUCCUGAGCUAUCUGACAUCUUUUAUUUUCGAAAAUUUGAUGAUGUAUAUGACCAUUUUUGAAUUUAUUCAUGCUUAUUAAGAUUGUUUAAGCAUGUUUACAUGUUUAAAUGUAGCAAUUUGUUGGUCAUUAUUGCUUUCAAAAUUCACAAUUGCUAUAUUUGGAAGAAAUUGAAAAAUGGAUUUAGGAUGUUUUUGAGCUAUUGGUGAUGACUAAUUAUGGUUAAAAAUGGUUAGUUGAUGAUAUUUUAGCAUGUGCAUUGUGUAUAGCAAGUAAUUUGGUUGAUUUGGUGAGUUAGUUAGUUUAAUUUUUGCCUAAAUAUGAUUAUAGCUAAAAGCAUAUUAUUAUUAUUAAUUCUAAAUAGUUAUAAUCAUAAUUGUUCCUAUUUUUACUAAUUAAAUUAUAAUUGAUACAUAUCUUGUGUAAUUUGGUGAUUUUGGGCAACUUUAGGCAGAAAAUAUGUCUUGUUUUGUACGAUCAUUGAAUGAUUAGAACUUGAGCAAUUGUAUUUGAGCUUAUUUGGAUUAAUUCUGGAUUUUUGUUGCCAAAUAAUGAGUUGUAGUACAUGUGGAUAAUUGAAAUAUUUUUUUAAGUACUAUGCCAAGGGGAAGAAGAGCGGUACUUUCAUCCUCUAGUAGUGAGGAGAGGGAGGUUAAUGAAGAGAUGGAGGUGACUGAUGAGGAGAAUUCACCUUCUCCUCCACCAGUUAACCGUCGACCUGGUGAGGGCACCUCCCGUGGAGCGGAAAAAUCGGUAUUUGACAGUGCUAGGUUCAACACUCGCAGGAAUCAGGAGUGGCAUGAGGCGCGUGCUAAUUUGGAGUUUUUGUUCGAGAUGCACAUCAGUCCACCAGUUGAGAUGAUGUACAACAUUUCAGAUGCUUUUGCUCAACUAGGAUGGGCUCCGAUUCUCACCCUACCAAACCAUUACUACCCCGACUUGGUGCGCGAGUUUUACGCCAACAUUGAAAGUAAGGCGCGCUAUAGUGGAGAAAUAGUUGAGUCCUGGGUGCGUGGAAGACGAAUCACCUUGUCACGUCAGAAUUUGGCUGCUAUUUUGAGGUGUAUGGAUGACGGCCGUCCAGUAGAUUUGAAGAAGGAGUUUGUUCCCCCGAAUAGGAGAUGGGAUCCCUCGCUGGCCAUGACUAGGUUUGAUCUUGAGUACCAACCUUUUUGCUCUACAAGGAAGGAGACCAUUUUGGCAAAUGUCUUUGAACCUCGUCAUCGGCUUAUCAUUUACAUGAUGGCUCACAAUGUCGUCCCAAAGAACACGGGGCAUACGGAGGUUCGCAAGAGCGAUAUUUACUUCCUUGAUUACAUGUUCCACAACCGAACUUCCCCGUAUGCUCGAAUUUCAUUGCCAAACAUCAUCAUCAACCACAUUAGGUCUACGGCGAGGCGUAAGACAACGUCCUUCAAACUUUCAUUUCCUCGUCUACUGACUUUAAUCUUCACCCGUUUUGAGGUUCGAUUGGAAGGCAUGCGGCGGGAGUAUGUUCCACCACGUGCUGAGAUGACUAUCACUACUCUUCGCCGCCUUGGUAUUGGCACGGGGGACAUUCCACGCCCUGUUCAGGAGCGAAGACAGAAGGCUAGACAUGGUCGGGAUGAAGCUGGACCAUCUACUGCAGCACCACCUCCUCCUCCACCACAAACUAAUUGGCAGCGACUUUUGGAUCAUAUGGAGGAUUUUGCAUUCCAGUUCGCUGACGUUAGGAAUCGUCUAAGCCGAAUUGAAGAUCAUUUGGGCAUUCAUUCACCACCCAAUCGUGAUGCAGAGGAUGACGAUGAUGCCGAGGGGGAUGCCUGAUUUGGCACACUAAAGAUGCCAUCUUUUGUUGCUGUAUUUGCUUGCCUUAUUGUCUUAUCUUGUGGAUCUUAAGUUGUUUAACUUCAUUUUAAUUUUUUUGUUUUUUAUGUGGUAGGUACUUGUAUGUUGACAGUGGUUCGUGAUUAGUGGCUGAUAAGGAUCUCAGCCAUUGACUUGGGAAGUACUUCUUUCUUUUCUUUUCUACUUUUGUUUAUUUCCUUCCCUACACAUUGAGGACAAUGUGUAAUUUAAGUGCGGGGGGAGAAAUAUGUGUGGUACUUGUGGUUUUAGUUGUGUUUGAUAUAAUUCUUAUGCUUAAAUUGUGUUUCUUGUGGUUGAUGGUAGGGAGUUUUAGUCCACUUUUAAGGGGAGACUCUGUCAAAAUUUUUCCAAAACCUUAUACAUAUAUAUGUUAUUAACCAUAAUAAAUAAAUAAAUUUUGUCACUUAUCCUUUUGAAAUAAAUAUAUGUGGUUUUGAAACUUCUUUUCUCAUUUAAUUUGAAAAUGACUAUUAUGUGAUUAUAAUUUUUGCAUUUGUAGGAAAGUAUAUCUUGUAAAGUGGAGAAAAUUAUGCCUACAUUUUGCAUAUUUGAUAAAAAAAUUCUUCUUUUUAUCUGAUUUUAUAAGAUAAGAAAUUAAUAUGGUCAAUAAGUGUCAUACUUUUCUCAUGAUUAUUCUUUAGAGGGAAUAUUAUUGUAUCAUUUACCAAAAAAAAAAAGUUAUUCUACUCCAAUGGUUUUUGUACUAAGUAACCGGGAGUCUUCAUCUACAAAUGUUGACUUUUGCGUAAAACGGUACUUAAAUUAAGAGUAUGAAAAGCAACUUGAAUAUGUGAAAUGUUGAGUAACCGGUGAUCUUCAUCUAAAAAUGUCGAUCUUCGCGUCAAAAGGCAUUUUUCACAAUUUAAGUAAUAUUUAACCCUUAAAAUAUAUACAUAAAAAAAAAACAAAGAGUAAGUAAAAUAAAUCCCUCUUUAACAAAAAUAAGAAGUUGAUCAUGGGUUUAGGAAGCAUAUUAUUGACCAUAUGAGUUACUUGCGUAUAAAAUUGGUUAAGGAUGAGAAAUUGACUUGAAUUUGUUAUAAUGGUGGUAUAAUUGGCUCUCCUUUACUUGAUAUUAUGAGUACUUGAGAAUUAAUGAAAGAUUGCAUAAUUGUUAUUUACCUUGUUUUGAGAAUAUGAAAUUGAUUGUGUACAUAUAUUUAUCUUCAAAUUUUGGAUCAUUGUUGGUUUGUAUUUCUUAUUGCAUGAGGACAAGCAAUGGUUCAAGUGUGGGGGUAUUUGAUAAGGGUUUAUUUUACGUAUUUUUAAGUGUAUUUUAUUAGUUAAUUUGGUUUGAUUAUUUAGUUUUAUAACUAAAAUAACUAAGGUUUUGGUUAAAAUCUAAAUUUUAUGUUAAAAUGGCUAACAUUGCAUUUCUAUUGAAUUUUUAUGGUAAAAACUUUAUUGUUAUUACAAUAGAAUACUUAAGAAAGCUUAGGUGAUAAUAAAUCAUUGCAUGCUGGAAAAGUCCAAAAUCAGGAUGAAUCUGAUAUACUUUAAACUCCUUUAACUAAUAACACACUCCAAGAAUUGUGAACCAAGACAGCCUUUAUAUUGGUUUUGUUACCAAACGUAUACAUUGUAAACCUAGGCUAUCCUUCAUAAUUCGUUGGUACAAUGAUAUAAUUGAUAGACUCAGUUUGGAAGCAAACUUUGCUAUGUACAAAUGAUAAAAGUUCAAGACAUAUUGUUUGUUCGAUCAGAUGGGGAUUAAUGUCCAUAAAUAAAAUUGCUCUUCUAUUUUUAAAAAAUAUCUAAAGAGCGACAACAACUUGUAUUUUCUUUCAAGCACAUCCUUAUACCCCUAAGGUGGAAGAAGUCAAUUAGUGUGAAGAAGCAAACAUUGAAACGAUCCCCUAAUUUCCAACAAUAGUGGGCAAAUUUAGAUACCUUCCUGGUAAAUGAAUCAUGCUUCAAAAUCUACAACAUAAUGCUGAUGAUGAACUUGAUAUUUUCUUCUAGAAUUGGCCCAUUUCUUCCUUCAUCUGGGAUAUGGUUCAGUAAUUGAUGCAUCAUUGACAGAGCUUGGAGCUGAAAUUCUUUGAGUGUUGGAUUGAUCAACUUUCAGCUCGUCUACCCUGCUCUCCGAUCCAUGGCUCCGGAAAACUGCCGGAUAGUGUGGAGUUGGUAGGGGAACAGAACCAGGAUUGAGCAUGCAGACCACAGAAGACAUUGUUGGUCUUUUAAUGACAUCUUCUUCAACACAUAGUAAGCCAACUUGGAUGCAUUGAAUAACUUCAUUUCUAGCAUAAGAAUCUCCAGUGCUUGAAUCCAAAAGAGCUAAAGUUUGGCCGCGUCUCCAAUGGUUCCAAGCCUUUUCGAAAUAAUCCCACUCAUGAGGUGUACAUUCUUAAAACUUCAAUUAGCUUAAAUAGAUAUAUAGGUAAUGUCAAUAUUCACAAUAGGCAAUAUUCAAUACUCUCUAUUUCAAGUUUAACCAUAUAAAAAGAUGGAUUAAUCUUUUUUAUAUUGAUAGUGUAUACACUGUUGUCAGCAUUGGAUGAACAACAAUUAUGCAAAAUUUGAAAUUCAAAUUCAACUUUUACACACAUGUCAUGAAUCCAACGGUGAUAGUGUUUACACGGUCAAUGUAUAUAAGAUUUAUUCAUAAAAGAUUUCGAAUCACAACCUUUUUUCCCAUCAUUGUAGUUAAGUAUAACCUGGGAAAGAGUACAAUGGUCUUUACUGAAGUUUACAAGUACUCUACUUUGAGUGUGUGCCAACGUACAAACGAGAGAAAGAAUAGCAAUUAUGACAAGUCUUGCAUCCGACAUCUAAAAAUUUCCAUGAGAAGCACAUAAACAGAAAUACGUAUUUAUUUAGGGCAGGUAGUUCAUAAAUUAUCGUGCCAUUUUGGUCUGGUUCACACAAAAUGUUGACCUUUAUGCUUUGCUUCAUCCCACAUCGGCCAAACGGAAGGAAAGGCUCCUUUGGAAAGCCUAUAAAUAGAAGGGCCGAUUGAAGGUUUUAAGUGUACUAAACCAAGAGAGCAUUAGUGGGUUAUUUGGGUCUUUGGGUCAUUAAGCCUUUUGAAGUAGAAAUACUUUGGACUCUCUUAUGUUUUAGUAUUAGGUACCUCUUUGGCCUAGGAACCAUUUUUUUAUGGCUUUUGUGUAUCUUUUUCAUAAUAGAAAUAUUGCUCCUCUUCCACCCGUGGACGUAGGUCAAUUUGACCGAACCACGUAAAUUUCUGUAUCUUUUAUUUUACUUUGUUAUUUGUCUUUAUUGGGUUGCCACAACCCUUUUAUAUGAUCGAUUUUACCGCCUAAGUAUUAUAUGGCUGGUGUCUACUGCCAAACAUUAUAUGGUCGGUUAUAUUGUCUAAUUUGUUUUAACUUUAGUUUGUUUAUUCCUGGGCCAGUCCUAAUAAACUGGUAUCAGAGUUGGUUGAUAUAUUUUGUAAAACAGGUUCAUCUCGUGAGGUCCAUUCAUCCUGUGGGGUUCGUUCAUCUCGUGGAGCCCAUUCAUCCUGUGGGCCCGUUCAUUUGGUGGGGCCCGUUCAACCUGUGGGACCCGCUCAUCUCGUGGGGCCCGCUCAUCCUGUGAGACUCGCUCACGAAAUUUGCGUAUUUUUUUUACUAGUUUUUGAGACAAACUUUAGAUUAUAGAUUUUGUGGCAACAAUGACAAUAUCAAAGACGGUUGUCGAGAAAUUCAACAGGAAUGUCAACUUCGGCAUGUGGCAACUCAAGAUGGAGGCCAUUUUGGUUCAAGACGGAGUUGACCUAGCGAUACACGGAAUCAAGAAAAAGUCAAAGGAUGUGACAGAUGCAAAUUUUGCUGCGAUGGAUAAGAAGAUCAGAUCCAGCAUAAUCUUAAAUCUCUCCGAUGAGGUAUUGCGUGAGGUAGCAACGGAGACUUCGGCCAAGACUAUGUGAGAUAAAUUGAAAGUCUUUUAUAUGAAAAAGACUGUCGGGAAUCAGCUAUAUCUGAAGCAAAGUUUGUAUAUGCUUCGGAUGUCUGAAGGUACAUUUAUACUCUCCCAUCUUGAUAAAUUUGAUUAUAUUAUUAUAGAUUUGGGGAAUAUAGAUUCGAAAUUGAUGAUGAAGAUCAGGCCCUAUUACUUUUGUGUUUCCUUCCCCAGUCCUUUAAGCAUUUUCGUGAUACUAUGAUUUAUGGAAAGGAAAUAAUUUCGUAUCGAAAAAUUAAAUCUACAUUAAAAUCUAAAGAGCAGAUAGAUAGGGAUAUUACUGGGAAAACUAGUAGGAGUCAAGCCAAUGGUUUGUUUGUUGGCGGUAGAUCUGAAAAGAGAAACACAGAAAAAAGAAGUAGAUCCAAGUCCAGACAUAAAAAUGUGGUGUGCCACUAUUGUAAAAAGAAGGGCCAUGUUAUCUCUGAUUACUUUAAAUUGAAAAAUAAAGAAAAGCAAAAGGAGAAAAAGAGUGAGACCACCGAGACUAGUAUUGUAGUUGAUGAGAAUAAUGGAACCAUUUUCUAUGCAAUAAAAAAUAAUUUUAAAUCUAACAAUGAGUGGAUUUUAGAUUCGGGUUGUUCAUAUCAUGUGUCCCAAUAGGAACUGAUUUUCAACAUAUGAAUCAACUGAAGAUGGAGUUGUUUUAAUGGGUAACAACGCUGUUUGUAAAGUUGUUGGCAAAUGCACAAUCCGAAUUAAAAUGUACGAUGGUAUUGUGAGGACGCUCACAGAUGUUAGACAUGUUCCAGAUUUAAAGAAAAAUCUCAUCUCUUUGGGUACUCUUGAGUCUAUUGGGUGCAGGUAUUCAGCUGGAGGUGGAGUUCUCAAAAUCAGUCGAAGUGCUCUUGUUGUUAUGAAGGCACACAAAUCUAGUACUUUAUAUAUUUUGCAGGGAUCUACUGUUACAGGUGCUGCUGCUGUUUCAACAUCAACUUUGUCCGAUUCUGAUUUCACCAAAUUGUGGCACAUGAGAUUGGGGCACAUGAGUGAGAAAAGCUUAUCUAUUUUAUGUAAACGAGGUCUUCUUGGUAGCCAGAAUAUUGAAAAGAUGGAAUUUUGUGAAUAUUGUAUUUUUGGAAAGCAGAAGAGAGUUAGCUUCCAGUUGCCGGCAGUUCACAGGACAAAAGGAAUUUUGGACUACAUUCAUUCAGACCUUUGGGGGCCUUCUCGUGCUCCUUCUAAAGGAGGUGCCAGGUACAUGUUGACUUUCAUUGAUGAUUAUUCAACGAAAGUUUGGGUAUAUUUUCUUAACCAUAAAAAUGAUGUUUUCCUAACUUUCAAGCAAUGAAAAGUUUUGAUUGAGAAACAAAUAAGAAAACAUAUUAAGCGGUUGAGAACAGAUAAUGGCAUGGAAUUUUGUGGAGGCGAAUUUGAUAGAUUCUGCAAAAAUGAAGGAAUUGUUCGGCAUCGCAUUGUCAGAAUGACGCCUCAAUAAAAUGGUGUAGUCGAACGUAUGAACAGAACGGUUUUGGAGAGAACGAGAUGUAUGAUGUCCAAUGCAGGGUUAACAAAUGACUUUUGGGCAGAGGCGAUCAAUAUGGCCUGUUAUAUUGUCAACUGUUCUCCUUUUGCAUCUCUUGAUUUCAAAACUCGUGAGAAAGUUUGGUCAGGUAUUCUUGCUGAUUACUCCAAUUUAAAGAUUUUUGGGUGUCCGGCAUACAUGCAUGUGAAUGAUGGAAAAUUGGAGUUUAGGGCUAAAAAGUGUAUUUUCUUGGGUAUGCUUCUAGGGUGAAAGGAAACAGAUUAUGGUGUCCUGAUCUCAAAUCUCCAAAAUUUGUGAUCAGUAGAGAUGUUACUUUUGAUAAAUUGUCUACGUUAUCUUCCAAGAAGGAGUCUUUUAAUCCUUGUACUACUGAUAGUACACAGAAGCAGGUGGAGCUUGAUAUUGGUAGUUCUGAUCCUUCUCAGACCAAAUUUUCUAUUCAACAAGUGCUAGUAGAUGCACCUGAAUCUAUUGUUGAAGAUAGUUCAGAAGAAGAGGAGUAUUCCAUAGCUAGAGAUAGACCAAUGAGAGACAUUGGACCACCACGAAGAUAUGCAAAUUUAGCUGCAUAUGCUUUGUCUGUUACAGAAGAAACUGAUACAGUUGGUGAGUUUUCCACCUAUUCAGAAUCAGUUUCUUGUGAUGAUUCUGCGAAGUGGUUGAUUGUGAUGAAUGAAGAAAUUGAAUCUCUUCAUCAGAAUGAAACUUGAGUUCUUGUAAAGCCGCCGUCAGAUAAGAAAAUUGUUGGAUGCAAAUGGGUUUUCAAGAAAAAGGAAGGUAUUCCAGCGGUUGAAAAUGUAAGGUAUAAAGCACGAUUGGUUGCAAAGGGCUAUACUCAGGUACAAGGUGUUGAUUUUAAUGAUGUGUUUUCACCUAUUGUUAAACAUAGCUCUAUUCGUGUUUUGCUUGCUUUAGUUACCAUGUAUAAUUUGGAGUUAGAACAGCUCGAUGUUAAGACAGCUUUCUUACAUGGCGAACUUGAAAAACAAAUUUAUAUAAAGCAACCCCAGGGUUUUGAGAUUGAAGGUAAGGAAGACCAUGUUUGCUUGUUGAAGAAAUCCUUAUAUGGAUUGAAGCAGUCUCUGAGACAAUGGUAUAAAAGGUUUGAUUCCUUUAUGUUGGGUCAUGGUUAUUCAAGGAGCAUGUAUGAUAGUUGUGUUUACUUCCGGAAGUUAGAUGAUGAUUCUUUUAUCUAUUUGUUAUUAUAUGUUGAUGACAUGCUCAUUGCUGCCAAGAAUUUGUCGGAAAUUUACACUUUGAAACUGCAGUUAAAUAGUGAAUUUGAAAUGAAAAAUUUGGGAGCAACUAAGAAAAUUCUUGGCAUGGAUAUUAAGCGAGAUCGAGGAGCAAGGAAGCUGUUCUUGACCCAAGAAAAUUACCUGAAGAAAGUCUUGGAGCGUUUUGGCAUGAAAGAUGCAAAACCUGUAAGUACUCCUCUUGCUAACCAUUUUUGGUUAUUUGCUGGUCAGUCACCACAGUUAGAUGAAGAGAAAGAUUAUAUGGCACUGAUUCCUUACUCUAGUGCAGUCGGAAGUAUUAUGUAUGCAAUGAUUUGUAGUCGUCCGGAUAUUUCACAAGCAGUCAGUGUUGUUAGUAGAUAUAUGUCUUGUCCAGGUAAAGAACAUUGGCAAGCUGUGAAGUGGAUUCUCAGAUACUUGCAAGGAACUUCAAACGCUUGUUUGGAGUUUGGAAGAAAUAAAAUCACUCUGAUUGGUUUUGUAGAUUUAGAUUACGCCGAGGAUCUUCAUAUAAGAAGAUCACUUUCUGACUACGUAUUCUACAUUGGGGGGUUGUGCAGUCAGUUGGAAAGCUACUUUACAACCCUUUGUGACUCUAUUUACUACGGAGGCAAAAUACAUGGCAGUGACCGAGGCAAUCAAAGAAGCCUUGUGGUUGAAGGGAUUAUUUGGCGAGUUUAAUCUACAUCAGGGGGUUACCGUUAUUCACUGUGAUAGUCAAAGUGUUAUACACUUGACUAAAGACCAGAUGUAUUAUGAGAGAACAAAGCACAUUGAUAUAAAAUAUCACUUUAUCCGGGAUAUCAUUACUGAAGGGAAAGUCCUUGUUCGAAAGAUCAAUACCAAGGAGAAUGCUGCUGACAUGUUUAUGAAAACCUUUUCCAAUUUACAAGUUCAAUCAAUGCUUGGACUUGAUUGGUGUUCAUUGUUUGUGAUAUGGCCCGUUGGGGCUUAUAUGAAGAAGGUGGAACAAGUUUAUAAUCUCUUGAUGUUGGGGACUCAUCAAGGUGGAGAUUUGUUGACCUUUAUGCUUUGCUUCGUCCCACAUCAGCCAAACGGAAGGAAAGGCUCCUUUGGAGAGCCUAUAAAUAGAAGGGCCUAUUGAAGGUUUUAAUUGUACCAAAUCAAGAGAGCAUUAGUGGGCUAUUUGGGCCUCUGGGUCAUUAAGCCUUUUGAAGUAAAAAUACUUUGGACUCUCUUGUGUUUUAGUAUUAGGUGCCUCUUUGGUAUAGGAACCACUUUCCUACGGCUUUUGUAUAUCUUCUUCAUAAUAGAAAUAUUGCUUCUCCUCCGCCUGUAGACGUAGGUCAAUUUGACCGAACCACGUAAAUUUCGGUGUCUUUUAUUUUGCUUUGUUAUUUGUUUUUAUUGGACUGCCAAAACCCUUUUAUAUGAUCGGUUUUACCGCCUAAGUAUUAGAUAACUGGUGUCUACCGCCUAAAUAUUAUAUGGUCGGUUAUACCGCCUAAUUUGCUUUAAUUUUAGUUUGUUUAUUUCUGGACCAAUCCUAACACAAAAAAUGGUAUUGCAAGUUUAGGUGAAUUUAAUAAUGAAAAAAAUAAAAGAUAAAAGGUUGAAAAUUAGGAGUGCCAAUAUCAAAUCCUCCUCCCCAGUUCUGCAAACACCAAAAAAAAAAAAAGAAGAAAAGUAACGACUAUAGCAAAGGUUUUGCAAUUUGUACUUACAUAGCUAAGAAGGUCUUCGGAAUCUCUAGAUUGAUGGAAGUCACUGCUCUUCUUGCCCGUCACAAUUUCCAAAAUUACAACCCCAAAACUAAAUACGUCUGACUUUACUGAGAACUGACCCCAUCUUGUGUAUUCAGGAGCCAUAUAACCACUACAAGCCACAAUGAUUGUUAUAAUUAGUACAAAGAAAAUCCGAAUGAUGCAAUCAAAUGGAGGUGUACAUAAUUUUCCAUGAAAGAUUCAAAGUGAUAUUAUGUGAGAAAGGAUAGUAUGGGAGCAAAACUUACAUUGUCCCAGCAAUUCUAUUUGUGUUUCCUUCAUAUUGAUCAACUCCACAAAUCUUUGCCAUGCCAAAAUCUGCUAUCUUUGGACUCAUAUUUCCAUCCAAUAAUAUAUUACUUACUUUGAGAUCGCGAUGAACAAUUCUUAGACGAGAAUCCUCAUGCAGAUAAAGAAGUCCUUUUGCUAUACCUCCAAUGAUAUUGUAACGUCUUGACCAGUUCAAUGAUCGUUUAUUUUCUGGAUCUACGCAAAUUUAAACACAAUAUAUUGUGCUAGCAUUGAGAAUUAUUAAAUCAAAAAUUCCAGAAAGCAUAAUCAAAUAGGUAAAUUACAUUUUUAGCUUUUAAAAUAUAAAUGCACUCUCAGUUUAGUUCUCAAAUUUUUAUUGUGGACACUUCACAUUGUCCCACUUCAGUAUAAUUAUUAAUGAAAUCAUUAAAACAAAUGGAAUAUUCCAUCCCACUUUGAUCAUUACUUGCCAUUAUUCCAUUAGUUUUUACAAUUGAGUGAGUGAUUGUAAUGAUGUGUGACAAAUGUGAUGCUUUAGGAGGUGAAGUAUCCAAAAUUAAAGUUUAAGAACUAAAGUUUGAGUGCGUCUGUGGUUUAAGGGUCUAAACUAGAAUUAAACAUUUGUCUAGAGGCAAUUUGUCCGUCAUUUCCAUAAAAUGGCAAGUCAAGUAAAAUAGAAUAAGAUCACAUGGAACAACAAAAAAUUACUAUAAGUAUGUCUAGAUUGAACUCACCAAAGAGAAAGUAGUCAAGGCUUUUGUUAGGAACAAAUUCAUAGAUGAGUAUCUUUUCUUCUCCUUCCAGGCAAAAUCCCAAUAGCCGAACUAGAUUUCUGUGUUGAAGCUUUGCGACUACUACAAUUUCAUUUUUAAAUUCUUCUGCACCUUGCACUGAGCUCCUUGACAGCCUUUUAACAGCUACUUCUUGUCCAUUACCAAGUACACCCUGAGUAAACAUGCAUACUAGAAUUUAAUUGAAAUAUUAAAUGUGUAGAUAUUCAAAUUCACAAAAGCAAAAUAUUUCAUGCAAAGACCUUGUAUACACGACCAAAUCCACCUUCGCCAAUUUUGUUAUCCACCGAGAAGUUAUUUGUGGCAAUUUGAAUUUCAGUUAAGCUAUACUGUAAAGAUUCGGCAGUUAAGAUAUCAGCAACUCCAUCUACACCUGAAAUAAGCAAACAGACUUAAUUCAUUUGUUCAAACAAAUCUGAAGUGUUUGUAAUAUUAAUCAAUCUACUUUACCACUUGUUUCCAGUGCCAUAGCAACAUAACUCUUCCGCAAUCUUCUUUUCAGGAAAACUAAAGCCAUGAUAAAUAGCACGACAGCAACCCCAAUUAAUGGGACAGCAAUCCGUAGGGGGCUUCGCCCUUUGCCUGGAUGAAAGUUAGUUUAAUUUAGCUUCCAAAGUCAGCUGAUCAUAGGAGAUCAAGUUUAUUAAACUUCGAGGUAGAGUCACUCUGAGACAGCCUUACAUAGACAAAAAGCUAGAGUUGAGAUCCUCUCUAUUACUUUCUCACCAUUUAUGUGCCUAAAUUUAUGUCAGUAAUUUUGCUUCCACAAGUUGAUCAACAUACUUAAAAUUCAUUCUCAUUUAUGAAUUUUUUGUCAUUCAAUUUGUACAAAACACUUUGACGGUGCAAUAUGGGCCAAAAUUAUAAUAAAAAAUGUAAAGUUUGAUCCAAUAUUAAAAUUUAAUCAAUUUAAUUUGAAUUUUUUAAUAUACUUUAAACAACACGAGAAAUAUAAUUUGGAUGACCUUUUAUUUCAAAAAUAGUAGUAUAACCAUGUUUACUUAGGUGUAAUGGAGAAAAAAUUUUCUUCAAUUAAUGGAGAAGAGCCUAACCCAAAAAGCUAUGCAAAAACACAUUAUUUGAAAGAAUAAUUUUUUUUCAAUUCUUUUUGAAAGUUUUUCACCACCUUUUGGCCUCACAUGCUUCAUGUUGAUGGUAAAUGAAGAGAGAUUUUCAAUAUUAUUGAUUAAUAUUAAGAAACUCCCUUAAGGUUUGAACAUAUACAAGCUUAACUGUGUUUGGACCAAAUUACGACUACCCAUUGUAAGCGAUGCUGUCCAGACCCAGUGAUUAUAAGGAAAUGAGAACAAUGCCAAAUAUUACCAAAUUGCUGUAGAAGAACAAAGGUUGAAGAAAAUUAUUUACCAAAUGAAGAAGAGAGACAAAUCACCAAAAAUUCUUUAGCCUAUGCACUUGUAGCCUUGUGUAGAAGUGCAAAUCCUUAUUUCUUAUUCGUUGGAUGAUUUCGCACCACGCAUCUGUGGUCCUGUGAAAUUGGAUAGCAUAAGUUUCCUUCGCUUUCAGAAGACCACGAAUCUGAGGUGGGAAAUCAUCCAACGAUGUGUUUCCUCUGCUGUGUUUUUUGUUCUUUUGUCAUGUAUUUGUUUUUAGUUAUUCCAUUUUGAUUUUUUAUGACCCUACAUGAAGAAUACAUGGCAAUAUGCAUAGUUAUUAAACUCAAUUGGACAAGAAAUCAAACAGAGGGACUAAUAUUCUUCAUGUAAAGUACUUUUAGAUAUGCAAAUUAAUAUUUACAAAUAUAAAAUAGCAAUAAAGUACUUUUAGAUACUAAUUAUUAUACUUUGAAUGAUAUACAGUGAACAUACAAAUAUUAAUAGAAGAUUUAAUUUCAUUUUACUGUACUUGUACAUAAAUAAAUAACACAUUCAAAUAUAUAACAAAAUUGUAUCACUUAUUUUCAAAGGUAUAGCAUCAUUUUUAUUAUUUUAUCUUUCAAAAAUAAAAUAGUUUUUAACAACUCAAAUAUUGUAAGUUUGAAAGUUAAAAGAAUUAAUUUUCUAACAAAAAAGUAAACAAGUUUAUUUAAUAAAACAUUUAAUUAUCAAGUAAAAACUAAGCAAGUAGUAAAAGUUUUUACACAUUUAAGUGGAAAUCCAACAUACAAAUCUAGUAAAAAUUAUAUUACACUUUAUUUCAAAAACAAUGAUCCACAAUUGUAUUAAAAAAAAGAACCCAAUCAACUGGAAAACCGAACUCUCUGAUUGAACCACCAUGUCAAACAGGUUUGAUCGGACCAACUCAUUCUUCAAUCAAAUUGGAAAUCCUUUCGGCCGGAUGGUCGAGUCAUUGGUAGGGUUAUAAACGAAUCGAACCGCUUACGAGCAACUCAAUUCAAAGCUCGACUUGAGCUCGAUGUGUUGCUCAUGAUAACUUGAGCUCAAUCAACAUCAAACUCGAGGCAUGCUCAACCUAAUCAAGUCGAACUCGAAUUCGAACUCGAGUUCAAAGCUAUUCAACUCGAUAGUUCAUGAGCCAACUCAAUUAUAUAUAUAUAUAUAUUAUUUUUUAUUUUGAUAGUAAAAUUACAUAUAUAUCCCUAAUAUUUUAGUUCAUGAGCCAACCUCCUCGUUACCAAAGCACAACUAAGGUAAAAUUGCGAUUUUGAAACCACAAGAGGUUAAGAGGCAAAACAUUAAACCACGAAGAAGUACCAUUAAUUUACUUAUUUAAUAUCAGAUUUUAAACUAGCAAACAAAUUAUAUUGCACUAUAACGGAAAAUCUUUUACAUGCUUACAAUACAUCCUCGAUCUUCUUGAAUGUCUUUGUCUAAAAUUGGAAAAACUAAAAUGGAUUCUUCUUUGCAUUAUGCCAUAGAAAUUUCAUUUUUUUAACGUAAUUUUGCAAUCAAUACCCCCCAUAAUAUAACUCAUGUACUAUUUUAGUUACACACAAAAGUUAAAUUAAAAAUACCAAACUUUUUCCAUUUGAUUAAUCAUUGCAAAAUUUUCCAUGAACUUGAGCCCUUUUACACUAUGUAAAUGUUUCUAGCAAAUUGAAUGCAAAAACUUUCUCAAAUGCACUUUAUUUUCAUGUAUGCUGAUCAACCAAUCAAAAUAAAAUUAUAACAUAAGUAUAUGAUUUUUAAAAACCAUAUAAUAGAUAAAUGGAUAGAUAACUAAAUAAAAACGUAAUGCACGUCAGGCCAUCACAGUUAAAGGGAUUCCGUAAUGUCCAUAACAAUUCUACUUCAACAUAUAUUCAAUAGUUAUUACAGUGCUAAUGCUUGCAAAAAGACUAAAUUUACUGUCCUAAGAAGUAUGACCACUUAAAAUCUUCCAUAAAUUACAAAUGAUGAUGCAUGUGAUCAGUAAGAUGUGCUGAUGCGGAAAUCUUACUGUUACGUAUUCAACUAAAAUUUGACUUAGAAAAUUCAUUAAGUUACGUGGUGGUCUCCUUUCGUUUGAAAGUGAAUUCACACCCAUCAUCCUAUAUUUACAUAUUCUACUAACUUCAAUAAUAUUAAUUCCAAUAACAAAGGUAUGAAUUUAAAAUGAAGGAUGUAAAUUUAGUGCUUUUCAUUUUCGACCUAGAAUUUACUACAAACAAGAAAUUGUAAGAAUUAAGAUUGUAUUCAACACCAAUUCCAAGAAGAGACGGCCAUAGCAAGGCUGCAGAACUUACCUUCAGUGGAAUUAGGAGGAGGACCGCCAGGAGAGUUUGGCGAGGCAGAGGAUACAUUAUCAUAGAAGCUGGAGACCUCAUACCUCAGAUUACAGCUUGGAUAAAGUACUCUCCCUCCCUGCUUCUUGGAACAGCACGCGGGUACAUCCAUUAUAGCCUCUCUGAGGCAACUUUUGCAGUCAUAAGGGGAUAGAUCUGGUGUGCACUGCGUAAGGGUAUACAAUCUCUUUUGAUCAGUGGAAUAAUUGCCUUCUUGGACAGCAAACUUUUUGCCCAUGGUAUGAUUUGCAGCCUCAUCCGCAGCGUUAUGCAAUAAAUUGAUCAAUACCAUUUUGAAUUUGUCCCAGUCAGGUCCAGGGACAUCGAAUGGAUUGCGCCUAGUCACAUUCUCUCCCAAAUCAGCCUUGGAGAAGAUCGUCUGGUCAGAAAAACGUACCAAGCACUCGUCAUACCAAACAAUAGCAGCUGUUUGAUUCGGGCACUCCUGAAGUAGUCGUGUGUGGGCAUCUGCGACGCAUUCUUUGCAAACAUCAGUGUUGACAUCACCUCGACAGAGAAAGAGGCCAUAGACCUUGUUUGAAGGGUCAUCGCCAGUACUGAAAUUAUAGAAGCCAUUGUUGUCUGUCCGAGAUGCAUGCGAAGACAGAUUGUAAAGCAAGAAAUUCAGAUUGGCUCUGUAAAUGCUGCCGGAAGGACUGUUAGGAUUGUAUGUAAUAUUUCCACAGUAAGAGUCAAGAUAGUUCCAGGGGUCUGUGUCGUUGGAAGUGGAACAACAAUAUUCAAUGGUAUGGAAGCUAAGCAAACAAAGCAUGUAAUAUUUGAAGUGGAACAACAAAUUUCUGGAGAUCAUUUCAAAGGAAGGCAUCAAAAGAGUAAAAGGCUAACAACCUACAAACUAGAUUGGUAGAUUAGGAGCCAAAUUAAGUAUUGUUUGAGGGAUCAUGAAAGUUGUAUAAGCCAGGAAAACUUAUGGCCUGGGAAAACUUGACCUUGGCAAGUCUUACAACCAAGUCGCCUGGUCGUGAACCAUCAGCUGACUGGCCUGUAACCAAGAUUCUAUAGUCAAUAGAUGCUAAAGGUAUCGAACAACGUCACUUGUGGAGGAUAAUUGGAAUUUGACUAAUGUGGAGAAGAAUAAAGUGGACCCAGACUGAAUCCCUACCUAGUAGUUCAGAGUUCAUACUGGUCUGAGAAAGAGUUCUCUAGAUACAGUUAAAAGGAUAGAUUAUACAUAAUCCCCCGUGGAUUCACUUGUUGUCACAUAAACGACCUAAUAUUGCUAAAUACCCACAUAAAUCUCAUGUGAUUUCAUGUAAAGUGAAAAUUGGAAAGAAAAUAAAUCCCAUAAUAUUUUGAGUUACUAGUAGUGUCCUUAUUUAAGCAUACUAAAUCAAUCAACACUUUAACCACCGUACAUAAAAUCAUACGAGAAUAAUGUGGUUAAAAGCAAAAACUAUUGAGGGCUAAAUUGAAUAUUCAUGCAAAUCGUAGGGAAUUUAAAUAGAUAUUUUGAUUUUAUCACACACGUUUUUAUGUAUGGUUUAAUCAGUGUAACUAUUGGUGCUUCCUGUCCAUUUUUCAUAUUACAUGAAACCACGGAGGUUACAUAAAUAUUUUGAAAUCCUAAAGGGAUCAUGUUGCAAUAUGAAAGAUUAUUUUUGUUGUUUGGGGGGGGGUUGGGUUUGGUUUAACCUAGUUAAAUCAUGUAAAGUCUGUCGCAUUUUCGUUAUUGGAUUGAAACUUCCAAUAAUUUUCGUUGUCGAAAAUACAAUUUGCAAUAUAUAUUAGUGUCUUCACCUUUUUGUCCAACUUGUUUACAUUUCAUAGACUUUUCUUUUUCUUUGGCUAAAGUGGGAAUAUCACGAGAUAAGCAUUAAAUCAAAAGGCCCUACAACGAAAGAAAUACCUGUCCAAUUUAUAUUAUCAAUUUCAUACUCCAUGUGCUUGUCGGCAUCUCAUUUAUGUUAAAAUUAACUUUUCAAGAUUGGUGUUCUGUUUAUAUUGUUUUUUGUUCGUGAUUUUAUAUCUAAUUCAGUAUUUUUGUUGUCAAAAUCACCCAAUCUUACAACAUAUGUAUAUUUUGGAGUACAUAUUUGUGUUGUUCAUAAGAUGCUUGUAUCUAGUUUAGAUAUUUAUUCUGUUUAGUAAUUAUUCUACGACCUAUUAGUAUUUUAGUUUCAUAAAUGCUGCAAUUAUCAAAUGUGAAUAAUUUUUAUUGUUUUAGUUAUUAUUAACAUUCAUGAUUGUCCAGAAAGGGAAAAGAAGAACAGAUUUUUGGAAAAAAAAAAAAAGGACUUAGAGGAAAAGGGUUUUUCAAGAUGAAAAGGAACAAGUAUUUUCUUGCUCCGCAUUGGAACUUUAGCAAGGAAUUUUAAGUGCUGUCCAACCUAAUUCCACAAAGAUUAAAUAAGUACAAAAGUGUUAAGUAUUGAAGGAUCCUAAAAAACCCUUUAUCACUACUAGCUAGUAGGCCCUGAUAUAUUCCUUAGUCAUUGUGGAUGACAGAGAGAGGAUUGGAGGGCGGAGAAGAAAGAGAAGGAAUCCUUUGUGUAGGGUAAAACCGCUACUUCUAUUUCAUGUUACUGACAAAUUGUUAUUGUUUUACAUUAAAAUCUUUCGGAGUAUCCUAUGAUGAUUUAUGAUCAUGUUCUAAACCGUAUGAUCCUGAAAAUUCAAUGAUGAAAAACAAGAAGAAUUCAUGGCUGAAGGUUUGACAUAUUCAUGUUUUAACAGUUUCAAGAACGUGAUCCUAACCCAUGUAUACUCUAGAAAAUUGGAGAACCUAUUAAACCUAGAAGUUAUAUGAUACAGAGCCGUUUAUGAUGAAGUUUCAUGGUUUUUGUAUUUUACAACAGCAGAACCAUGACUUGGAAAUAAGAAAAACUCAUAAUCUUGCAUAGAAAAGUCUGCAUAGCAUAGUUGCAUUGAAUCCGUCAUAAUUUGGUGUAUAAAGCUUGGAUUAAGAUGCCAUAUGCUUUCCCAAAGGGCUUUUACUACUUAUAAAGUAAUUCUUCUGGUUCAAUUUAUACCGAAGGUAGAAAUUUUUUCAAGGUUGACUGUUUCAAUUCAAAAUCUUGGAACAGUUUCUCAUCAAAGUUUUAGCCUCUUGAUGUAUAUAGUAGUGGAAAGCCCAUUCUUGUAUGAUUUUUUUCAAACUCACGAGCAUCCGAUUAUGUAAAUCUAGUCCAUUCUGGAAGUUUUAGUCUCUCUGGUAACCUUGUAUUUGUUGACUUUGGUGGCAGAAAUUGAUGACUUUUCCAAACCAAAAUUGUUGACAUUUUUUUGGCAAACAUUUAAUCCCACAUCGGUUGUUUUAGAAGUUGUAGGAUUGCUUGAGAAUUAUAAAAGGACUCUCAAGGUUCCUAAUAAUAUUUACCAAAUACACUUACAAAAGAAUUACACCAAAAGGAUUUUGUAAUUCUUUUGUAAUUCUUCCUUCUUCCAAAAUUUAUAAGAGCGGAUCGCUUGAGCGGUGCUCAGAAAUUAGGCAAAAUUGGUCGAACUCUGUUAUCAAUUUUUCGGAUGCGUUCUUUUCUUAUCUCUUUUAUUUAUUCCGCAUUUAUUUAGUAGUUUCUUUUCUAUUGUAGUAUAGUAUUCAAUAUAUUUGUCGGGUAUAUUUGUAGCAUUUUUAUACGGUUCAUUUGGGUGUAUUUAUUCUUAUUCGUGUGUACGUAUUAUUUAUGUAUACACGGGUAUAUUUGUGAUAAUACACUGUGCACGUAAAUUCUGUCUAGGAAACUGGGUUUUAAGUGAGACCGCUUGUGACCCCUCCAGCCUGUCCUGAGAAUUUAUUUGGAAUGAUAAUUCUGUCUUAGGAGAUUGUUUGACAAUCUUUUUUGGGAAUUAUCGAAUCGGUUUAAAUCACUAGUUGAAUUUUUUGAGUGGGAAAUUACCCGAUUUCCCUAACAAGUAGUAACAGAGCCGAAGGUUCGUCCUUUGGCCUGUUUUUAAUUUUUAUAUUGAAUACUAUUAUUUGAGUUUGUAAUGACAUCAAACGAUUCCACGUCAAGAGUUACAUCUGGGGCAUCGGUUUCCUUGUCCACAUAGUCGAGGAUUCCAAUGUCAAGUUCGAAGUUGGCGAUGGAGAUAUUUGACGGUACUGGCCAUUUCGGCAUGUGGCAAGACGAGGUUCUAGACUCUCUUUUCCAACAGGGUCUUGACAUUGCCAUUGAAGAAAAGAAAUCAGAUGAUAUAGAAGAGAGGGAGUGGAGUACCAUAAAUCGGUUGACAUGCGGAACUAUUCGAUCGUGUUUGUCCAGAGAGCAAAAGUAUGCUUUCAAGAACGAGACUUCUGCAUGGAAAUUGUGGAGGGCAUUGAAGGAGAAAUUUCUGAAGAAGAGUGGUCAGAAUAAACUCCUAAUGAAGAAAAGAUUGUUUCGAUUCAAUUACCAACCAGGUACUACUAUGAAUGAACACGUCACUAUGUUUAAUCAGUUAGUAGCAGACUUGUUAAAUUUAGAUGUUAAAUUUGAAAAUGAAGAUUUGGCUUUGAUUUUGUUGUCAUCCCUUCCUGAUUAAUUUGAACAUUUGAAAACUACGUUACUUCAUGGGAAGGAAAAUAUAUCUUUAGAUGCUGUAUGUUUUGCUUUGUAUAGUCAUGAAUUGAGAAAGUAGGAUAAAAUGAAAAAUAAAAUAGUUGUAACAGAUGAAGCGUUAGUCGCAAGAGUUCGUUAACAAAGCCAAUCAAAUGGGAGAAGAGGAAGGUCCAAAUCGAAAAGUAGAGUUGCCAAAGAUGAGUGUGGUUUCUGUCGUGAAAAAGGGCACUGGAAGAAAGAUUAUCCAAAGUUGAAAAAGAAAGAGAAAGCUCCGCAAGACGCAAAUGUAUGUUACAGAGUGCAAAAGCGAUGCGGAAUCGGAUUUCUCUUUAGCUGCAUCACCUUCAACAUCUUAUCCAGAUGAAUGGAUCUUGGAUUCAGGUUGCACCUAUCAUACGUCUCCUAUGUGAGAGUGGUUCUUCGAACUUGAAGAGCCUGAUAGUGGAGUUGUUUACAUGGGGAACAACAACCAUGUAAAACAGUUGGGAUAGAUUCAAUCAAACUGCGUAAUUAUGAUAGAUCCACCAGAAUCUUGAAGGAUAUUCGGUACGUACCGAAUUUGAAGAAGAAUCUCAUCUCUUUAGGACUCUUGGAGUCAAAAAGCCUGAAAGUGAAGAUGCAAGAUGGAAUUCUUAAAGCAAUUUCGAGAGCACUUGUGAUGUUGAAAGACGUGAGAAAGAAUAAUCUGUAUUACUACCAAGGUAGUACAAUUGUUGGGACAACAACAGCAGCAGCAACAUCUUCCAAUAACAAGAAGGAUGCAGAGACAACAAAGUUGUGGCAUAUGCGAUUGGGACAUGCUGGUAAAAAAUUCUUACAAAAUCUUGCCAAGCAAGGAUUAUUGAAAGGUACGAAAACUUGCAAAUUAGAAUUUUGUGAGCAUUGUAUUCUGGGAAAACAGAGAAGAAUAAAAUUUGGCCCACCCAUCCAUAAUAUCAAGGGUAUUUUGGAUUAUGUGCAUUCAGACGUGUGGGGACCUGCCAAGACUUCAUCCCUUGGAGGCAGGUACUAUUUUGUCACUUUUAUUGAUGAUUUUUUCAGAAGAGUUUGGGUGUUUACUAUGAAGAAGAAGGAUGAAGUGCUUGGGAUUUUCCUUAAAUAAAAAACUUAGGUUGAAAACCAGACGGGAAGAAAGAUCAAGAUUCUUCGAACAGACAAUGGUGGAGAAUACAAGAGUGAUCCUUUCUAGAAGAUAUGCCAACAAUGUGGCAUAGUUCGGCACUUCACAGUAAGAAGAACACCGCAGUAGAAUGGGGUAUCAGAGCGUAUGAAUAAGACACUAGUGGAGAAAGUACGUUGUAUACUGUUUAAUGCUGCAUUAGGCAGAAAUUUUGGGUUAAGGCUGUGGUAUACGCUCAACAUUUCGUCAAUUGCUUGCCAUCAUCUGCAAUAGGUGGCAAGACUCCAUUAGAGGUAUGGUCUGAAAAACCUGCAAUAGAUUAUGAUUCUUUGCGUAUUUUUGGUUCUACUGCAUAUUAUCAUGUAGAUGAAUCAAAGUUGGAUCCACGUGCAAAGAAACCUCUCUUUAUGGGCUUUAAUGCUGGAGUUAAGGGAUACCGUUUGUGGUGUCUAGAAGCAAAGAAGACGAUUAUCUGUAGGGAUGUUACCUUUGAUGAAUCUAUCAUGUUGAAUAAGGUAACACUAGGUGAGACCAGUAGUACUCCGCAACAGGUGGAGUGUACGUCGAAACAGGUAGAGUUCGAGCAGAUAAUGGUGAAUCCAGCAAAAAUCACUGUCAGUGACUCUCCCAUGAUAGAUGAGGAGUCAGAUGAAAAAGAGGUUUCAACCCAAGAACCUCAGCAGCAGUAAGAGUCAAUUGCCGUCAAUAGGUCAAGACGAGAAAUUCAAAAACCUGCUUGUUUUGCUGAUAUGGUGGCCUAUGCACUUCCAGUUGUUGAAGAUGUUCCAUCCACAUUUUCUGAAGUAGUUUGAAGUACAGAAAAUGAUAGAUGAAAAGAUGCUAUGAAAGAAGAGAUGCAAUCUCUUCAGAAGAACAAGACGUGGAAGCUGACACAACUACCGAAGGGCAAGAAGGAAAUUGGAUGUAAAUGGGUAUUUGCAAAGAAAAAAAGGUUUCUUGACAAGAAUGAUGUUCGCUACAAGGCAAGAUUGGUGGAUAAAAGUUAUGCUCAGAAGGAGGGAGUUGAUUAUAAUGAGGUAUUUUCUCCAGUUGUUAAACAUUCCUCUAUUAGAAUUUUGUUGGCCUUGGUAGUGCAGUUGAAUUUGGAGUUAGCUCAACUUGAUGUGAAGACCACGUUCCUUCACGAUGACUUGGAGGAGGAAAUCUAUAUGUCUCAGCCAAAUGGAUUUAAAGUUGCUGGUAAAGAAGAUUGGGUUUGUAAACUGAGCAAAUCAUUGUACGGAUUGAAACAAUCACCGAGGCAAUGAUACAAACGAUUUGACCAGUUCAUGAUGGGUCGAAAGUACACAAGAAGCAAAUAUGAUCAUUGUGUGUAUUUGCGCAAGUUACGAGAUGAUUCCUACAUCUACUUACUCUUGUACGUAGAUGAUAAGCUAAUAGCGUCAAAGAACCAAGUUGAAAUUGACAAAAUGAAGGCUCAGUUGAGUAAAGAGUUUGAAAUGAAGGAUUUGGGAGAAGCCAAGAAGAUUCUCGACAUGGAGAUAAGCAGGGAUAGAACGAGAGGCAAGUUUUGUCUGACACAGAAGUAAUAUUUGAAAUAGGUACUACAAUAUUUUGGCAUGAAUGGAGAUUCAAAACCUGUAAGUACUCCGCUUGUUUCUCAUUUGAAACUUAGCAACCUAUUAUCUCCAAAUACGGAUGAAGAGCGGGCAUACAUGGCGAAAGUCCCGUAUGCUAAUGCAGUUGGUAGCUUGAUGUAUACAAUGGUGUGUACUAGACCCGACAUUUCACAAGCAGUUGGUGUGGUAAGCAGGUUUAUGCAUGAUUCGGGCAAGGGUCAUUGGCAAGUUGUGAAAUGGAUUCUACGGUAUAUCCAAGAUACUGUAAACGUUGGAUUAGUAUUCGAGCGGGAUAAAUCACUUGGUCAAUGUAUAGUUGGAUAUUGUGAUUCUUACUAUGCAGGUGACUUGGAUAAGCGAUAUUCUACAACUGGCUACUUGUUCACAUUUGCUAAGGCGCCAGUUAGUUGGAAGUCUACUUUGCAGUCAACGGUGGCUUUGUCUACAAUGGAGGCAGAGUAUAUGGCGAUUACAGAAGCUGUAAAGGAGGCAAUUUGGCUUCAAGGAUUGCUUGAAGACUUGGGAGUUGGUCAAAAACACAUUGAUGUAUUUUGUGACAGUCAGAGUGCUAUUCACUUAGUAAAGAACCAGGUCUUGCACGCAAGAACGAAAUACAUUGAUGUUAGCUAUCACUUUGUGUGGAAAAUUCUCGAAAAGAGGAGAUUUUUGUCCAGAAGAUUCGAACUGUGGAGAAUCCUACAGAUAUGCUGACCAAGGUGGUUACAAGAUCUAAGUUUGAACAUUGUUUAAACUUGGUCAAUAUCCUGCACAUUUGAGUUGGCGUCUGAGGACACAAAUUUGGAAGCACCGCAAGAACCAUUUGUUAUUUUUGUGAGAAGAUUUAUAUUUUUUGGUGGGAUUAGAAUUUAUGCCAAGGUGGAGAUUUGUUGACUUUGGUCGCAGAAAUUUUGGUGGCAGAAAUUGAUGACUUUUCCAAGCCAAAAUUGUUGACAUUUUUUGGCAAACAUUUACACAUCAGUUGUUUUAGAAGUUGUAGGAUUGCUUGAGAGUUAUAAACGGACUCUCAAGGCUCCUAAUAAUAUGUACCAAAUACACUUACAAAAGAAUUACAUCAAAAGGAUUUUGUAAUUCUUUUGUAAUAUUUCUUCUUCCAAAAUUUAUAAGAGCGGGUCACUUGAGUGGUAGAUGGAAAUUAGGCAAAAUUGGCCGAACUCCGUUAUCAAUUUUUCGGGUGCGUUCUUUCCUUAUCUCUUUUAUUUAUUUCGCAUUUAUUUAGUAGUUUCUUUUCUAUUGUAGUAUAGUAUUCAAUAUAUUUGUCGGGUAUAUUUGUAGUGUUUUUAUACGGUUUAUUUGGGUGUAUUUAUUCUUAUUCGUGUGUACGUAUUAUUUAUAUAUACACGAAUAUAUUUGUGAUAAUACACCAUGCAUGUAAAUUCUGUUUAGGAGACUCGGUUUUAAGUGGGACAGCUUGUGACCCCUCUAGCCUGUCCUGGAAAUUUAUUUGGAAUGGUAAUUCUGUCUAAUGAGAUUGUUUGACAAUCUUUCUUGGGAAUUAUCGAAUCGAUUUAAAUCACUAGUUGAAUUUUUUUGAGUGGGAAAUUACCCGGUUUCCUCAACAGUAGUCAUAUUUGAAUGUUCUAAAAUUAAGAUUUCGGAGAUGACUCCUUCACGAAAGCUAAAGACAUCAUUGAUCUUUCCAAAUUCCAGCUGUAUAAAUAUCUUGUGAAAACAGUGAAUCGCCCGAGACAAUUAAUUCUUUUAACCAUUGUCAAAUCUUGAUAUUUUCUGAUUUGCACAAGUUGAAUAUUUUCAAAUUGAAAGAGGCUUAUAAACUCAAUGAUUUUUAAUAACUGUUUACUGGAAUCAAUUAUUGUUAGUCACGUGGAACAAUGUUAAAGAAUUUUUAGACAAUUAUUGUUAGUUACGGAUGAAAAACUUUUUAAAAUAUAUCGAUGAAUGCUGAUGGGUUUUUAUAUUUGCUAAUUUUCAAGUUUUAGAUGAAACUCAUGUUUUCAUUCAAAGGGUUUUUAUUUAGUGUAAGAUUAGUGUUGUGUGUGUAUGUGUAUGUGCCUAUAUAUAUAGGAUUAAUUACAAAAUCUCCCCCCAAGAUUUAACCAAUUUUGUACUUUGUCCCCUAACAUUAUUUUUGGUUUUUGACUUUAGCCUCUAACCAUUAAUCAAUGCUAACAUUGUAUAAUGGAAAUGUCAAAAAAACAUUGAUAAGGGUUAAUUACAAUAAAUUCCCUUACGAUAUAAUGCAUUUUGCACUUUACCUCUAAUAUCAUUUUUUUCUUAAUUUGUCUAUUUAUCGCUAAAAUCAUUAGUCAACUCCAAUUUUUUUCAUACCAUUCAAGAUAAAUAAUGUAUAAAAAUAUUAAUAUCCCCAACAUAAUAAUAAAAUUUAUUAUAUAUUCAUGGGUAUAGGUUUUGAUAAAUUUUAUCCCUAUAAUUACAGGUUUUUUAGAUAGAGGAAAAUAUCCCGCUAAUUUCACAUGAUAAGUUAAAAAAAUUAUUAGUGCAGAAUUAAACUAUGAAAAUGUUGUUAAAGGUCUAUAGAUUGGGUGUGUUUGAAUUGAAGAUUACUUGGAAAAUCUUUUAGAAUAAUAGCACUUUUUGCUAUUUGAUGUUUGUGAAACAAAAAGAUGGUUGAAAAAAUAAAGUUGAUUGGGAAAUAUGUUAUAAUGCAACAGAAUUUUUUUGAAAAAGAUAGCAAUCAAAAUAAAUUUUAAUAUCAUCUAAAUAUGGUAUAUUAAAAGAACAACAAUAAACUUUGAAACCCAAAUCAACUAUAUUUCUCUCUUUUUUUAGUAUUACCAACAAAAAAAUGUAUACUUCGUUAUAAAGAAAUAUUUAGCUAUUAAAAGAAAAGCAUAGUCAUAUGCAUACUCCCAAAGAGAAAUUGACAAUAUCUUGACCAUUUUUAGACUUUUAAAAUAUUUCACACUUUAAUUUUUCAAUAACAAUUUUUAUUUUUUCAUUAUUGUGUCAAAUUAGCAAGAUAUUCACCUCAAUCCAAAAAAAAAAUGUAAUUAUGGAGUGGAAUAUAACUAGGACUGUAUCAAUAAAAAUAUUAUAUUUUCAUUAUUAUGUAUGGAACAUUAAUUUUUUACAAAUUAUUUUCUUGGGUGCUAUCAAAUAUUGGAGUUCGCUGAUGAUUUUAGUAACAAACAAACAAAUUGCGAAAAAAAUGACGUUAGAGGAUAAAGUCAAAACAAGCUAUAUGUUAAAGGGAUUUAUUAUAGUUAACUCUUAGGGAUAAAGUGUUAAGAGAUAAAGUGACUAGCAGUUAAGAGAUAAAGUGAGGAAAAAAAUAUCAUUAAAGAAUAAAGUGUAAAAAUGAUUACACCUAAGGAGGAAUAUCUGUGAUUAACACACACACGUGUGUGUGCACGUGCACGUACUGGUUAUUAAGGGAAAUAUUUGCCUAAAAACACAAAGAAAGAAAAAGAGUUCUUCACUAAUUUAAGCAAAUUUUCUGGUUUGGACAAAUUCAGUAUUCGUUAUGAAAGGUUGAUGAGACUCAGCAUCUUUUAACAAAUGUUCCCCUAUCGAUACUAUAUGCUGAAUAUAGCAAUAUAUAGAAACUCUUUUUAAAUGUUUGUGUAGAAUUUUCUGGUUAUUAAGAUGGUCUUUUCUCAUGGUUCAAAUCCGAAAUUUUUUAAAAGAAGUAAAAGUCCUCUCAUAAACAAGAAUAUUAGGGCUCUAAAGGGAGGGGUAACUAAGGUUGCAACUUGAAUAUUUAUGAUUGUUGUCAAUAUAGGUUAUGUAAUAUAAUUUAUGCAUAAAUGUUAAAACUUAACUGUAAAUUUGCUUUUUGUAAAAAGUAAACUGUCUAGUUAUUGGAACUCUAGUGAAGUUGAAAAUUUUAGCUUGCUUUAUCUAUCAUUUGUUAAGUUGACUUUGAUCUAGGUUUUCAAGUUAUAAAUCCUAAUUAUCCUAUAUAUUUAAGCCCAAAUACUCUACUUUACUACAAGUUUACCCGUCAAAUGAUACAAUGAUAAUUGGAUUGAUUCGAUACCGGUGUGGGUAACUACCAUGGUCUUUAAACUUACUAUGGCCUUAUUCGGCAAGCAAGUUUUUGAUCAAAUUUGUCAGCUACAAGUUUUUUAAUAACUUUAACAAUAGUAAUUUCAAAAAACUUCUCAAAAAUUUUAAACUAUACACUUCAAAAUAUUCACAAAUAUACAUAUUUCAAAAAAAUUUCCACAACUUCAACAGUAAAAUUUUAGACAAAUACCAAAAAACUUACUUGCCAAACAGGCUCAUAUCUAAAAAACAAAGAAAUCAAGUAAAAACAAUACUAUUGAUUAAACUAAUAAAAACAAUCAAAAUGACAGUGAAAAACUUGGUACGAGGACUUCCUGAAGCUACAAAUCCCUUGUUGUUCAAGAUUAAGAAAUAAUCCGAUUGAUUUAGGCCAUUAACUCAUGAUUGGUUAAGGAUAUAUAUAUAUAUUUCAAUUUUUUUUGAAUAUUACUUUCACGAUUACUCAAACAUAUACUCGCACUAGACCUUCACCGAUAUGAUCUUAGCUCAUGAAGAUCAAUGUAGUUUUUAGUUAGUCUGCCUAAAUACAUCUCCUACAUAACGUGAACAUGUGUUUUAAGUUUCAUGAAUCUUGAACUAUACUUAUAUGGCAACCUUUAAUACUCAACAAAUGAUUAAGUGAUUCAUAGUUGGUGACCAAACAACUACAAAUGUAAGCAUAGACUCAUGAAUUCACAAAUUCACAAGCUAGCAAAAAUCAACCAAAACUACUUCUAAACAAAUUCAUCUUCAUUUUAGCAAAAAAUAGUUUAGCUAGACAUAAAGUUAAGCUUAUUUAAACACAAGACAUAAAUGAACACAAUAAAUUCAUGUAACAAGACAUAAAUGAACACAAGAAUUUAAACAGCAAAGGAUGAGAGAUUCUUAUUCAUGAUGUUGAAAUAAGCUCCUCAAUUUUCCUUUACUUUUGGUUCAAUCUGCUAAGUUUACAAGCUCUUUUCUUCUACACUACCUCUCUCAAAACUCUCCAAAGUCUCUCUAAGAGUUUCUAAGUCCCCAUGGAUGUAUCUUCAAUCCCUAAUGCAAGGUAUUUGUAGAAGAAAAACCCUAACUAAGUUACUUCUUGGAAAGACACAAAAUCACUGAUUAAUUUACGUAAUAAUUAUAUGAUAUAUUAUAUUAUUUUUAGUCACUUUGGUUACAUUAUUGGAAGAAUAUGAAUCAUUUUGGCUAUAAUUGGUGAAAAAUGCUUUUAAGUGAUUAAAUAAGGUUUUUACCACUUUUUACUUGGAUUUUGUGAAUUUUGACAGUUUUGACAUAUUUUCGUAUUUUGGCUAUAACCUGAGCUACAAUGAUCGGAUUGAGAUGAUUCUUGAACCAAUUUGAAGACAAGAGAUAGAUCUACAACUUUGGUGAAGACAUCUAAAUCCAGUUUGAAGCUUUUCUAGGCCAAAAAGCGGAAUUAGAGUAGCUAAUGUCUAUUGGUCGAAGCUGAAAUAGGGCCAUGAGCAGUCAAGGGUAUUUUGGUCAUUUAUCAGCCUACACAAAUCCAAAUGAGGUGAUUCUUGAUUCAUUGAAAAUUUAACUCAAAGAGCUACAACUUUUAUGUUUCGGUCAAGAGCUAGUUCAGUCUUCAUCAUCAAGAAAAGUUCGGUUGAAAUUGAUGCAAAAACGGAGUAGAGCUGAAAAUUGAACAAAAGUGCACAAAAUGACACUAUAGCAAUCCCGUCGGAAUUUGGCCGGAUUUGUGGCAGGAUUUUGGCUGGAUUUCUGGCCGGAAUGUGGUCAGAGAAGACUACUCUUUACGUGGAAAACUCAAUUUCACCUCCACUAAGUCACAUGCAAUGCUAGACAUGUGAGAAACAUCACCAGCUGUAAAAGGAAGGUGGAUGCCUCAUUUCUUGACCAACUUUCAUCAUAAAAUAGCCAAGACUUGCAAGAUUGAGGGGAUCCAAUAGAGGGAGAUACGGGAGAAGCUUGGAGCGCAGAAAUGUAGCUCUUUCAUCUUCUUAGUGUAGGUUAGUUUAGCUAGUUAGUUCAUCCUUCUUGUAUAUUAGCUAGAUUAGGAUGAAGAUGGAGAUGAAGAAGGAGGAGUUGAAACUCAAGUGACAUGGGUUAUCUCUUCUCCAACUUUUUAUCUUUUGUACUUGAUUCUAAGUUCAGUUAAUAUGCAAGAUCUGGAUUUUGUGUUUAUUAUGUGUCUUUAAAGUUUAUGCCUUGGGUUUGGUUGAACUUUCUAUGAUUGUUAGUGUUUAUUAUUUGGCUAUUUGAUUGCUAGUAUUUGAGCAAUUUAUUUAGCACUUUAGCUCUUUAAAUCAUGAUUAAUCUGGUACCAUUGAUUGUGAUUAUCUAAGGUGUUGUUUCUGCAAUGAAAAUUGAGAUUUAACACUGUUCAAGGAGUGCUAAACAUAGGGAGUACACUCACGAGAGUAGAAGUGCAUCUAUGUGGUUUUGGUGAUUCAUUUCAAGUAAUUUCAUUGAAGAAAUGAACUUGUAGCUAACUUCAUAACUAUGAGAAUAGGUAUGGAUUAGUUAUAAGUAUAAUUGAUUCAUUACGAAAGUAGGAUUCAUGUGCAUAAGGAAAUUACACCAUAACUAGCCUAGAUAGUAGUAUUCAAUGAUCCAAAUAUAGCAUUUGCAUGAGUAGUUAGGGAUACCACAACCUAAGGAGUUUCCAUUUGUUAUUUUCUUGCAUAAUUCAGUAGAUUUUAAUUCUUAUAAUUCAUUGAUAGUCUAAAUAAUAGAGAAACUUUAGUAAUACUGGUAAUUGCAAUCUUCCUUGUGGGAUCAACGCUUAAUACCCUAUACUCACUCACGAUUCGUAUACUUGCGAUAAAUCGCUUGUGGGGUAUUUUGAAGUUUAUAAAUGCAAAACUUGAUUGUGAAUGAGCUAACUAUUAUAUGUAUACCCUGCGCACGUCAAGUUUUUGGCGCCGUUGCCGGGGAAGAUUUGGCAAUAUCGUUGUGAAGAGUAACUUUAUUAAUUUAGACAUUUUUACUUGUUAUAGUCACUACAAGAAAUAUGUUUUUCAGUGACAAAAAUUUAUGUGACAACAAAAAUCUUGUCACAGAUAACCUAAUUCAGUGACGACAUUAGGUGUCAUCACAGAUGAGUACAGCACAAGCAUAAUCAGUGACAACAUUGGAAGUUGUCAUUCUCAACUCGUCACGAAAUAGUUGGCGCGCAUCUCAUUUGAUGCCGUGGGAAAUGAAUUUAUGACAACUCAAGUAAAGUCGUCACAAACGCUCUCUCUACAGUGACAACAUAACUUGUUGUCAUUGAAAGUCUACCCGAUUCCAAUUUUGUGACAACUUUUUGCAUCACUAUAUACUACAGUAUUUUCAUCAACUUUCACUAAUUCUACUAUGACACCCUAAUUUUAUUUUUUAGCCCCCAAUUCUUUUAUAUUAGCAAAAGCACCGAAGAUAUGACACCCUAAUUUUAUAAUUUAGCCCCUAUUCAUUACGUAUUAGCAAAAUGCAAAUGAUAUAAUAACAAACUAUUUUUAGAUAUUUGUAAUUUUUGCUAAGUUGACAUAAUAGACAUGUCUGAGCAUAAAAAAAAUUGUUUAUUAUUCCUUAUAACAACCCCCAAAAAUCAAUAACUGAAAUAAUUUGAAAAAGUGUAAUUGAAUAUAAUUUGUAGUCUAAUGUUAGCACUGUGAAAGAUUAGUAUAACGUGUAAUACAUCAUAAGUAAUAAUUAUUUUCAUAUGGAAUGGGUAUAUACGAAAUUAAAAUUAUUCAGUAAAAUAUCUGUCGUGCAAUAAGAUUGAGAGUUGUAACACAUUUAACAGAAUAUUUGAUUACAUGUUUCUUUUAAUUUAUUAUAAAAACUAAGUAAUAGACAAAGAGUAGGAUAAGCAUGAGUAAGAAGUGCUAUACUGUAUAUAAGCAAUUCUAUAGUAUUUUCAUCAAAUUUCACUAAUUCUACUAUGGCACCCUAAUUUUAUUAUUUAGCCCCCAAUUCUUUUAUAUGAGCAAAAGCACCGAAGAUAUGACACCCUAAUUUUAUAAUUUAGCCCCUAUUCAUUACGUAUUAGCAAAAUGCAAAUGAUAUAAUAACAAACUAUUUUUAGAUAUUUGUAAUUUUUGCUAAGUUGACAUAAUAGACAUGUCUGAGCAUAAAAAUGUUUUCACGAAUUGUUUAUUAUUCCUUAUAACAACCUCCAAAAAUCAAUAACUGAAAUAAUUUGAAAAAGUGUAAUUGAAUAUAAUUUGUAGUCUAAUGUUAGCACUGUGAAAGAUUAGUAUAAUAUGUAAUACAUCAUAAGUAAUAAUUAUUUUCAUAUGGAAUGGGUAUAUACGAAAUUAAAAUUAUUCAGUAAAAUAUCUGUCGUGCAAUAAGAUUGAGAGUUUUAACACAUUUAACAGAAUAUUUGAUUACAUGUUUCUUUUAAUUUAUUAUAAAAACUAAGUAAUAGACAAAGAGUAGGAUAAGCAUGAGUAAGAAGUGCUAUACUGUAUAUAAGCAAUUCUAUAGUAUUUUCAUCAAAUUUCACUAAUUCUACUAUGACACCCUAAUUUUAUUAUUUAGCCCCCAAUUCUUUUAUAUGAGCAAAAGCACCGAAGAUAUGACACCCUAAUUUUAUAAUUUAGCCCCUAUUCAUUAUGUAUUAGCAAAAUGCAAAUGAUAUAAUAACAAACUAUUUUUAGAUAUUUGUAAUUUUUGCUAAGUUGACAUAAUAGACAUGUCUGAGCAUAAAAAUGUUUUCACGAAUUGUUUAUUAUUCCUUAUAACAACCCCCAAAAAUCAAUAACUGAAAUAAUUUGAAAAAGUGUAAUUGAAUAUAAUUUGUAGUCUAAUGUUAGCACUGUGAAAGAUUAGUAUAACGUGUAAUACAUCAUAAGUAAUAAUUAUUUUCAUAUGGAAUGGGUAUAUACGAAAUUAAAAUUAUUCAGUAAAAUAUCUGUCGUGCAAUAAGAUUGAGAGUUGUAACACAUUUAACAGAAUAUUUGAUUACAUGUUUCUUUUAAUUUAUUAUAAAAACUAAGUAAUAGACAAAGAGUAGGAUAAGCAUGAGUAAGAAGUGUAUACUGUAUAUAAGCGAUUCUAUGCAUGUUAAAUUUUUGAAACAUGUUUUAUUGUGUAAGUUUUAUUGUAAGGUAAUUUCUUAAAUAAUUUGUAUAUUGAGUUGUCCAAACCCAAAAAGAUGUAUAUAGACACAAACAAGCACACAUAUAUAUACAUGCACAAAAAAGAAACCAAUAUCAAAUAAUUUAUUUGAUAUUUAUAGAUGAGAUUAAGGAAAAAAAAAGAGAUUAAGUAUGAAAAAAGAAACCUGAAAAAAAAAAUUGGCUAAAAAAAAAAAGAAAAAAGAUGUAUGAAGCUAAAGGCGUGAAUCCUGGAAUCUCAAAGACGUGCUUAGAUGCCAAAAAAAAAGAGCGCCAGUCUGAAAUCUGAAAGAGGCGCGAGGUGGGUGGCUGAAAUCUCUACAAAACGACGUCGUUUUGGUUGUUCACACACAAACAAAAGUCUCGCCGCUUCUCUCUUCCAACACUUAGACAAAUUUCAUUCUCAGUCUUUCCUUCCUAUGGUGAACUAACCCUCCUUCCCGUGAGCAAGAAAAGCUGAGGGGGAAGCCUGAGAAAGGGCGGCUAGGUUUUAGAGGAGAAAAAGAGAAAUAGAAGAGCAGAGAAGCAGCUAGGGUUCUUGGAAGGGAGGCCUUGAGCGUGAAAAGAAAAAAAACAGAGUGAAGGAAGAGUGGCGGCUGAUAGGAAGAUCAGGAGAGAAAGACGCGGCAACGGACAGAGGAGGAAGAACCAGGUCACCACCAGUCCGCGUCCGCUCUGCUGCUGUCUGCCAUCGCCAACACCGCGCACAACCUCCCGGGCUGCUGCCGUUCUCUGUAUCACUAGAUGAAGGCUCUCGGAGGAAGUCAGACCUAGUCAUCUUCCAAUUCCAACUCACCGUCUUCACCUUCGUCAUAAUCGCCGUCGCCACCGCUCAAGUAAGAGCACUAUAAGUCGCCCCUUUUUCUUUGAAUUUCAGUUCCUUCCCAAGUCCUCUAAGCAUGUCUGCCAUGGCUUCGUUUAUUGCAAUUGCCCCGUUGAUUGUUCAAAUUUUAGCAUGCGCAUGUUUAUAUCAUGAUUGAAUUUGAAAUCCCUUGUACUUCUGAUGAUUUUGGGGCCAACCGUGGCUUCAUUUGAGCAAAGAAUUGCUGGAAUUUUUCAUGUUCGUUUACUGUUUGUUGAAAUGCCCAAGUGGUCUAACAGCAGGCCGUAACAGGGCAUUCGUUCAAUGCUCAUUGCUGCAUUUCCCUAUCCAUAUUAUUGACUCAAAAAGACUCCAGCAACCAAAAAAGCUAUUUUGUUCCAGAAAAUGAUAGGUCAAGUUUACUCAACUCACGAUUUUAUCAUAUGAAAAAACACUUUGAAUAAAGCAAAGAUUCAAAGUAGGCAACUGGACUUUAUUUAGUUACAAAACAGUAGAAAAAGGACAUGGUUUUGACGAAUUUCUUUUUUUUUUUUAAUGCCGGAAAUAUUCCAGCAGGUUGAUACUGAACACCUGGAAAAUCAUGAGGCUGCUACCUUUUAUAUCCGUGACAAUGCGUAAGGGAAUAGGAUCCUUCCAUCUUCUUCUUUUUUUACAGUAAAGCAAAGCGUAUACUACAUGGUAAUAGGAACCUGAGCUUAUCCCGUCAUCUUGAUUCUUUUCUUUUCUUUUUUUUUCCCCGAAGGGUAUGACAUGCUCUGCCCUACAAAAUGGGAGCUAUAGUUUUUUUCUUUCAUUUCCUUUCUUUUGAGAAGACAUGGUUUCAUUAGUUUAGUAUUAUAUUUCUGAUCAUAUAUCACUAUCGGAAUUGGUAGUAGUUGUAUUCAUGGAAGUUAAACAUUUAUGUUCCUAACAGGUGCAUGGGUCCUUAUUGUAAAAUAUAUAUUAAUUAGCUAAAUACAGGUUCUCUCUUCUUGGUUUCUUAAAAUCAGCUAAUUAUAGUUUCUUUUAAGCUAAAAGCAUCUGAGUAACAAAAUCGAUUUUAUGCAGAAAGGCUAUUUAUGAGGAGCAGUCUUCUAGUUAGUUUUGAAAACAGCUUUUUAGGUUGGAGAAAUUUUAAAAGUGAAACGUAAUUCCAAAUUUUUGGAGUUCACCUUUUGGAUGAUCACCUUUUCUAAUCAGCUUCAGAAAAGCUGAAUCGAACAAGGGCAGCUUAUUUUUAUUGCAUGGUCUAAUUAGUUUUGAUAACCUGUGCAUGCUAACAAUUUCAACAACAUGAUUCUGUAGGGUACUGGCAAAUAAAACUUGAUUGCUUGUGUUGGCCAUCUUCUAUGAUUUGGCUAUAUACUUGGCUUUCCUGAAUCAGGAAUAUUGGUCGAUGCAAUAUGUUGUUGUUUCUUGAGUUGCAUGGAGCACAUUUUGGUGCCAUCCAUUUGGUCCUAUUUACUGAUUUUAUUGUGAUAUAAGAAAAGAAUAUAGUUGUUAUCUUUGGAAGAUAACUUAACAAAUUGAUAUGGAAAUCCGGAUGUUUCCAUAUAAUCAAAAGUUGCAAUGUUGGAAAGAGUUAUAGGACGACAAUUGCAGGCUGGAGGAAAAGAUGGACUAAAACCACAGUGGAAUGUUAGUAAUUUAAUUAAUAUGUGGUCUUGCUGCUUAUGGAAGAGCAUGACCAAAAAAGGGUAGAAUAGAAGUAAAGGGCUGAUGUACAAGGGUGAGAUUGAAUAGGAUAAAGUCUUGGUUGUGUUCUUGGCUUCCUGAUUAUCACCAUGUUUAACAUCAUGGAAACUUUGUCAAAUGCAAUAAAGAGAAGAAGGCAUGUUUUCAAUUUAUAUUUGUAUUUACUAUGUGUUUCCACAUUCCUUUAUAUCUUUGAUGCUCUGAUGUCGGGCUGUUAUGAUGACCUGUGUUUGAUGCUUAUAUUCUUUGAUAAUAGUCCCCAGGUCAUUUUCUUCCUAAUUGCAUUAUCCUUUGUAUUAUUGCCAUCUGAAAGCAAAUGCAUCUUUGUUACCCCAAUUUUGGUGAUAAUACUUCUCCCUUCCCUUGAGACGCAACAUGUCCACUAGCCAUAUGACCUUUCAUUUUCCCCCUUUUUUUAGAUAAUAAAUAAUCUGAAUAUCACCUCAUUACAUAAUUAAAUGUAUUUGUUGUGUCGCAGGGAUUGUAUCCUGGGUACAUGAUUUUCUUUGUUCAGUCUGCUUUGUUUAUUGCUGGUUCAAGAGGUAUGAAUAUGGUCUUUACUUUGGCAUAUUGUGCUUAGGAAUGUAUUUCAUCAUUUGCCUGGAUAUCUAAUUUCUUUUGUGGUAUAAAUAAAUUGUUUGCUCUUCAUAGUUAUUACAAUUGAGGCACUUGAAUUCUGGUUCUACAAAAUAGAGAUUCAUUUUUAAUACAAUUGGGUUGCUUGAUGUCAAUUUAGUUGCUUGAUGGCACUUGAAAUCUGGUUCCACCAAAUCUGAUUCCUGUUUAAUGCAAUUGAGUUGCUUGGGGCUGAUUUAGGUGCUUGAAAUCUUGUUCAUGUUUAAUUACAGCCAUUGAGGUGCUGGAUGUUGCAACCAAAACUUUAGUGUUUUUAAAGCAAAUGUGUUUGAACGUUGGGAUGUAUUCCACUUUUUUCUUUGUCGAACUCAUCUAAAUUUUUCUGUAUCAGAAUUUCUUUUUUGUGCUAAGGAAAAAGAGGCACCUGUGAUUGUGUGUGUGUGUGUGUGUAUUUUUUUUCUUGAUAUACUGUGUGGUUCACGGUCAUCUAGGCUCUCAAUGAUUUUAGGAUUUUAUUGCUGUUAUUGUUAUUGUUAUUGCAUAUAUAUUUGUGAACAUGCAGAUAUUUAUUGUGUUUGUAUUGUUAUUCUAUAUUUCACAGAAUAUACAUUCAAUGUCUUAUUUGCUAUAAUUUCACUUUAUUUUUGUGUUAAGCAAUUUACUUAGAUUGCUAUAAUUUCAAAUUAGAGUGACAUUAGUUUUUAUAAUAUGGUGCCUAUCUAGAAGUGUAGUUCCAGUUUUAACACCAGUGCUCAUUGCUUCAAUUUUGGUAACGUGUAGGUUCUAACACGAUUUCCAAGAAGAAGAAGCCAGUCAUUGCUGUGAAGAUGGUUUUUGAAUUGAAGACUACAAGGCCUAUCGUGCUCAUGUUUUGUUCUAGAUGAGAAUCGUGCUCAUAUUUUUGUAUAGAACUUUACUACUCUCUAUUGUGGAUGGGAAAUCACUAGUAUUGUAACUGAAUGGCUUAUUUUGGAUGGUGCAUGGUUUAUGACUCAUUUGAGGCAACAUUUAUAUAUAUAUGUAUUUGGGUUGAUCUUCUAUUGGAAAUGAAUGUUGGCUUUCUUUUCGUAUGUUGGCUUUUUUUUUCUCCUUGCUACUCAAUGAACGUUUUGUGAUUGUUGGCAGAUAUGUUGCGUAAUUAACAUUAGAUUAUUGCUUUUUACAAAAAAAUAAAUGACAAUAAAAAAGUUGUCACUGCCAACAAGUUUCACUAGUGACACCAGAAAGUCGUCACUUUUUAUGGAUGGAAAACAAUGACAACAAAAGUCGUCACUGAACGGAAGCAUAAUGUGACAACUCCAAGGGUUGACUAUGACAAGAAUUUAGCCAGCUUAGUGACAAUAAAAGUCGUCACACAAUGUACAACAAUGAGUGACGACAAGAGUCAUCACAAAAGCGAAAUCGUUUGUGACGACUUUCAACAGUCGUCACAUGGACCCCCUUUUGUGACAUAGAUCUAGUGACAGCUCUAUGACAGCAGUAAAAGUCGUCACUGACUUUUUUUGUGAUGACUUCUGAAUUUUUAGUGACGACUUUUGCCUGUCACAGAAACGCAAUUUUCUUGUCGUGAGUGUGGAUGUUAUUUUUGUGUUUUAUGUGUGUAUGUGUAUCAUUACCUAUUUUUCUUACUAAUUUUGCUGUUGAAGUUGUUUAAAAGCAAUUUUAGGUGAUGAGAAGGGUAGGUCAAUUUGGAGGACAAUGCUUGAGAAGUGGAAGAUUGGUAAUGGAUGAUUACCAAGUGCAAAGCUCCUUCAAUAGAGGUAACCAAGAAAUUACUGAAUGCAUGUCUUUUGAAGAUAGUUUAAGGUGCUUAAAGGCAAAAUUUGAUGUAAUUAAAGUUCAAAUGGACACCAUGAUGCAUGAAAUUGAGCAGAGGAGGAAUGUUAAUGCUUUUAAUUCUUAUCAUGUGAUUUGUGACUUGUGUGGAGGUUAUCAUGUUACUAGUACAUGCAUGCAAGCACAAAAUGUGGAUUAUUAUAAUGAAGUAGAGCAUUACAGUCCUUGUUUUGAUCAAUAUAGUGCUAAUUGGAGCAAUUCUCAUGCUUAUGGUUAGGAUAAUCAAUGUACUUAUAGUGAUUAUCCAUAUUUUUAUGAUUACCAACCUGAAAGUAUCCAAUAUGAAUCAAAACCAUCUUGGGAGUUGGCAAUAGAGAAGUUAGCUAAUGCACCUCUACCUCGGGAGUUAGAAAGUGAACCAUUAGCUAAUGAUUCUAAUGCAUCUUGGGAGCUAGCUGUAGAAAAUUUUUCUAAUCAAUUUGAUUUAGCAAUAGAAAAGCUAGCAAAUGCAACUUCCGACCGUUUUGAUAGGAUUGAGGAAAGAAUAGAUGAAUUAGCUUCUCACUUUGGUAGAAUACAUGAGUAAUUGAAUGCAUUGUGUGAAAUUAUUUCCUCUAAUAAUUUGCAAAAUGAUCCUAGCAUGAAUGGUGGAAAUGUUGUAUGUGAAAAUGGAUUGCAUUUUGAUGAAAAUGAUGAAUCUCAAGUGUGUUUUGAUGAGCAAAUAACCAUUUCACAUGAUAAUAUCUUUGGAACUAACUUUGAGCCUUAAGAGGUGAGUUUUAAUGACUCAUUUUUCACCCCUUUUGAGGAGUGCAUUGAAAGUAUAGGUUCUAAAGGUAUUAAUGCCCAAGAUAGCCUCAUUGCAGCUCCUUUGGUAAGUUUUCAAGUGGUGAAUAUUAAAGAUAAUAUCUAUGAAUCACUUGAGAUAGGUAAGCCACUUUCAUUUCUCACAUCAUUAGAUCAUGUGGUCUUGGCUAUAAAGUCACCAUUUAAUGAUCCACCACGACCUAUAAUGGUGGAUUAUUUGUUAACCAAACCUCCUUGAUAAUGAGGUUAUAUAGUCAAGCUAAUGACUAUAAAGAAGCGCUAGUUGGGAGACAACCCAACGAUUUCUUAUUUUUAGUAAGUUUAAGUUGUUUAAUUAUUGUUUUUGUGUGUUUUAUAAGUGGCAAUGGCAAUGGUUUAUCCAAAUUGUUCAAGUGCAAAAGAGAUUAGAAGGAAGUAAAAGGGAGUUUUCUUGUUCAUUUGAUCUAAUUCAUGCAUUUAAAGUGUUUUAAGCUAAUGCUAUAUCGAUGCAUGAUUUCAUGAUUCUAAUUGCAUUCAGUUGAGAAAAGCACAUAUUUCGUGUUUAAGGUGAGUUUUUCUUGAAAAAAAUGAAGAAAGUUGAAAAUUGGGUGAGUUGCAAGCUUGAUUAAAUGGAAAACGGAAGGAAAAAGUGCAGAAAUAAAAAUUUUCUGCAACAAAUCCGACUUCAAAUCCGGCCAUAAAAUGGCCGGAUAUUUGGCCGGAUUAACAGGGGAAGAAAAUGAAAAUUUUUGGAGCUACUGGCUCGAAUCCGACAGGAAAUCCAGCCUAAUUUUGGCUGGAUAUGCAGAAUUGAAAAAAAAAAAAAUUCAAUCCGGCCAGAAAUCCGGCCGAGUUUCGGCCCUACAACUCGGCCGGAUUGAUCUGCGAUAUUGAAAAAAUUUUGUUUGGCUACUGGCCAGUACUCGGCCGAGAAUCCGGCUGGAUAUCCUGCCAAAAACCGGUGGAUUCUGGCCGGUUUUGCGCAUCAAAGGGGAAUCCGUGCACGCACGGAUUCCCCAAAUUCCUUCUUCCUUUCUUCUUCAAUUCACACACACACUCACACCUAAAACACACACUAUUCCUAAAAUUCAUCUUUUCACCAUCCAAUCUCCAAACUGAAUACAUCAAAACAUUCCCCUUUCCCUUGUGAGUUGAUUUCAUAACUUAAAAUCCUUCAAAAACAAGUUUUAAUUCGGAUUUGAGUUUGAGAAGAACAAGGGUUUCAAAAUUUUGAAUUCUUCAUUUGGGGCCAAAUUGGAGUGAAAUUUUGGGGGUUUCUUCACCAUUUGCAUCCAUAAUCAUCAACAAACAAGUUUGAGGUAACAAAUCUUUACCAAAUGUUGUCAUUUGAAUUUUGCCAAUUUUCAUUUUUUUUUCUAUUUUUGAGCAACUUCGAAUUUUUUUCAUUUUGUGAAGUUUGAUGCUUUUUAUUAUGCUUAUUGAGCUUAUUGAUGAUUAUUGGUGAUGUUUAACUCAUGGGUUUGUGAUUAUUUGGUGACUUUAGCAAUUUUUAGCUAAUUUUGAGGAUUAAUUUGAUUUGAUAAUUAUUAGCUAAAUUCUUGAGCCAAUUAGAUUAAAGAAAAAUGUAGGAGAUCAAUGGAUUGUUCUAGGAUAUUUACAUGCUAAAUUUAGGCUUAAUUGGCUUAUCCUUUGAUUUUUAGCACGUUUAUUCUAGAAAUUUUGGUGAAAAGAAGAAUUAAUGACCUUUUUAAGUUUAAAAUUCAUGGUUAAGGUGUUGUUAAUACUUAAUUAUGCUUAUUUAGGUCAUUAAGUUGGGAGUGAGUUGUGUGUUUGUUUAAUUGCUUCCUCUAAUUAUUUGGACAUUAUAUGCUUAAAUGUUUUAUUUGGGGAAAUGAUAAGAGCACUUGUUGUUGAUAAUCAAUUUUGAUUUUUACUUAUGGUGUUAAUUGUUAAUUAUUAUAUAAGUAAGUUGAUAAGAUUGUCUAAUUAAAGAUAAAGGGGUAAAAGUGAAUGAGUUUUCCUUAUCUUUACUUAGCAAUGUACCUAUUAAAUGAAGUUAAUGUUUAAUUAUUGAAUUUAGGUACAAUGGCUCGCACUAAGAAAGCCGGAGUGAAAUCUCCUCCUCCUAAUAGAAGAGGAGAAUCUUCGACGUCUAGACCACCGCGCAUGAAAAGAAAAGCAAGUAGACGUUUAGUUCUUGAGGACGAGCCAUCAUCUGGAGAAGAGACUCAACAACAAGAGGAACAAGAGGCACAAGGGGAACAAGAGGAGGAAGUCUCUUAUGAUAAGUCGCGCUUCACCUCCGUCGAAAAUGAAACUUGGUACAAUGCUAGGAAGGGAGCUAAGGUAUUGGUGGAGAAAGAUAUCACUCAGGAUGCUGAGGAGGUCUACCAUCUCAAGGCCUCCUUUGCCAAAUUGGGAUGGGAAAACUUCUUUAACAUCCCAAACUUCUAUUAUGAAGAGUUUGUUCGAGAAUUUUAUGCAAAUGUGGAGGACAAGAAGGUUUUUCACUACGAUACAGAGGUGAUUACCAGUACAGUGCGAGGGAGACAAGUUCGAGUCCAUAGAGCUGAUUUGGAGAGCUAUCUUCAUGUUUCGGAUGUUAGGUAUAAGGUAGAUUUGAAGAAAGCUUUCAAACCCAACGAUUUGGACUCUUGGAACAUGCUAGAGGCACUUGUACGCUUGGGGAUUGAGUACAAGGCUACUCGGAAGACUGGGAGAUAUUCAGUAUUGACCUCAUCCUUUCCGGAGUCACAAUGUCUUCUUAUUUACCUGUUCGUCCAAUACUAUUUCGAGGGCAAGUGGAACCAAUGAGGCACGCACAAGUGACAUCUACUUCUUGGAUAAAAUGGAGCAUGGUCUAGGCAACAUCCGAGAUAUUCCAUUGGGAAGCAUUAUCACCAAUCACAUGUGGACAGUGGUUCGCACUUCGCAGUAAUGACAUUAAACAUGCUUUCUCAUAUCCUCGCUUCUUGACCUUGGAGUUUCAAAGGGCUGGAGUGGAUUUUUCUAACGCUAUCCCUACAGGUCUCAAGAAAAUGACGUCUUUACACUUGAAUUUUGCAGGUUUAUUUUGAAGAGUAAAGACGUAGGUGGUCCUUCAACUCAAGAAGGUGCUCAUGGAGAUAUUAGGCACGAGGAGGAAGCGGAAAUUGCAUGAAUUGAAGGGGUUGACACAACCACCCCCCGGGUUCAACUGAGCCAUCUUCCUCACAUCGUCCAUCCUCGCCUCAGGACACUCGAUCAUUUCUGAAGAAGAUAAUGGAUAAACUGCUUUGCGUUGAGACUGAGGUGAAGAAGAGUCGACAAGAGAACAAGCGGAACUCCGAGCGUCUUCGUCGCAUCGAGACCAAACUGGCCAUUGAAGCUCCUCCGACUCCACCCUCUUCACCUGACCAAGCGGCUACUUGAGGGAGUGCUCGUCACCAUGUGACAUUGCCGCUAGUUUUUUUUUUUUAUUUUCUGUAGUACUUGUGAUGUUUUCCUUUUUAGUAAUUUUCUUUAUUUCUUUUUUGUGGACUAAUCCAAGCGAUCUUCAUCUUUGUUGUGGUGUUAGUGAUUCGGACUACUUAUGGUUGGAAAUUCAUCACUUGGACAUGGAUUCGGAUUGCGCAAGUUCAAUUGAGCAGUAUUUUCUUUUACUCUUUAUUUAUUUUCCUUUUCUCACAUUGAGGACAAUGUGAAGUUUAAGUGUGGGGGAGGGAAAUAUUUGAACUUGCAUUUUAAUGUUAUGUGAUGAUAUUUUGUGGAUUUAAAUGCUUAGAAAUGUUGGAAUUGUGCUUGGAUAUAUUGCCAUGUGGAUAAUUUGCUUGACAUUGGGUAUGUUGGCAGAGAGUUUCAUCUGUUUAUAAGAGGAAACUUUGUCAAAAUUUUUCUAAAAUCUUUUCCAAUAUUUCAUUAAGGCCCAAAAGUUCUUCAAAUUUUUGCAUUUUUAUUCAAAAAGGGCCAAUUUGUUCCAACCUUAAGUGUUUUAUUCUUCCAUUUGUUGAAACGUUAUAUGUAUUUUGGAAUAUUUAAUCCUCAUUUAACUUGGAAAUGAUUAAUAUGCAAUUAGGAUUCUUACAUUUUAAAAAGUAUAUCCGGUAAAGUUGGGAGAAUUAUGCCUAUAAUUUUGCAUUUUGAAUGAGAUUUCUCCUCUUUAUUUAAUUUUUCAAUUAAGUGAUUGAUAUAGUCGAUAAAGGUUAUACUCUUCCUUUGAUUAUUCUUAUAUAUUUUCUAUGAAGGAAAAUUUAUUUAUUGUCUUAUAAAAAAAAGAAGAAGAAAAAAAAGAAAAAAAAGAAAGUAAAUAAAAAUUAUUCUACUCCAAUGAUUCUCGUAUCAAGUAACCAGGGGUUGGCAUCUACAAAUGUCUACAUUCGCGUAAAAAGGUAUUUGAAUUAAGAGUAUGCAUAGCAACUUGAAUAAGUGAAAUGUUGAGUAACCGGGGAUCUUCACCUAAAAGUGUCGAUGUUCGCGUAAAAAGGCAUUUUCACUAUUUAAGUAAAAUUAGUGUGAAUAAGCCCCUCUUAGUUGUAAAAUAAAAAGAUAAAAAAAAAAAGAAAAGGAUGAAGAUAGGAGGAGGAAUGCUAUAAAUUGACUAUAUGAUUUGCUUAUUUGUGAAAUUAGAUUAGGGUGAGAAAUUAAGUUUAAUUUGUUAAAUUAGUGUAUAAUUACCUUUCCUUUACUUAAUAUUAUGAGUAUUUAGUGUAAUUUGAACAAUUACAUAAUGAUUGUUUUCCAAGUCAUGAGGAAUUAAAUUUGACAAAAGUGCAUAUAUUGUUUUACCCCUUGAAUCAUUGUAGUUGAUUAUGUAUGGAUUACUUGAGAACAAGCAAUGAUUUAAGUGUGGGGGACUUUGAUAAGUGACUAAUUUACGUAAUAAUUAUAUGAUAUUUUAUAUUAUUUUUAGUCACUUUGGUUACAUUAUUGGAAGAAUAUGAAUCAUUUUGGCUAUAAUUGGUGAAAAAUGCUUUUAAGUGAUUAAAUAAGGUUUUUAUCACUUUUUACUUGGAUUUUGUGAAUUUUGACAGUUUUGAAACAUUUUCAUAUUUCAGCUAUAACUUGAGUUACAAUGAUCGGAUUGAGAUGAUUCUUGAACCAAUUUGAAGAUAAGAGAUAGAUCUACAACUUUGGUGAAGACAGCUAAAUCCAGUUUGAAGGUUUUCCAGGUCAAAAAGCCCAAUUACAGUAGCUAAUGUCUAUUGGUCGAAGCUGAAACAGGGUCAUGAGCAGUCAAGGGUAUUUUGGUCAUUUUUCAGCAUACACAAAUCCAAAUGAGGCGAUUCUUGAUGAAUUGGAAAGCUAACUCAAAGAGCUACAACUUUUAUGUUUUGGUCAAGAGAUAGUUCAGUCUCCAUCAUCAAGAAAAGUUCGGUUGAAGUUGAUGCAAAAACGGAGCAGAGCUGGAAAUUGAACAAAAGUGCACAAAAUGACACUAUAGCAAUCCCACCGGAAUUUGGCCAGAUUUGUGGCAGGAUUUCUGGCCGGAUUGUGGUCAGAGAAGACUGCUCUUUACGCGGAAAACUCAAUUUCACCUCCACUAAGUCACAUGCAAUGCUAGACAUGUGAGAAACAUCACCAGCUGUAAAAGGAAGGUGGAUGCCUCAUUUCUUGACCAACUUUCAUCAUAAAAUAGCCAAGACUUGCAAGAUUGAGGGGAUCCAAUAGAGGGAGAUACGGGAGAAGCUUGGAGCGCAGAAAUAUAGCUCUUUCAUCUUCUUAGUGUAGGUUAGUUUAGCUAGUUAGUUCAUUCUUCUUGUAUAUUAGCUAGAUUAGGAUGAAGAUGGAGAUGAAGAAGGAGGAGUUGAAACUCAAGUGACAUGGGUUAUCUCUUCUCCAACUCUUUAUCUUUUGUACUUGAUUCUAAGUUCAGUUAAUAUGCAAGAUCUGGAUUUUGUGUUUAUUAUGUGUCUUUAAAGUUUAUGCCUUGGGUUUGGUUGAACUUUCUAUGAUUGUUAGUGUUUAUUAUUUGGCUAUUUGAUUGCUAGUAUUUGAGCAAUUUAUUUAGCACUUUAGCUCUUUAAAUCAUGAUUAAUCUGGUACUAUUGAUUGUGAUUAUCUAAGGUGUUGUUUCUGCAAUGAAAAUUGAGAUUUAAUACUGGUUCAAGAAGUGCUAAACAUAGGGAGUACACUCACGAGAGUUGAGGUGCAUCUAUGUGGUUUUGGUGAUUCAUUUCAUGUAAUUUCAUUGAAGAAAUGAACUUGUAGCUAACUUCAUAACUAUGAGCAUAUGUAUGGAUUAGUUAUAAGUAUAAUUGAUUCACUACGAAUGUAGGAUUCACGUGCAUAAGGAAAUUACACCAUAACUAGCCUAGAUAGUAGUACUCAAUGAUCCAAAUAUAGCAUUUGCAUGAGUAGUUAGGGAUACCACAACCUAAGGAGUUUCCAUUUGUUAUUUUCUUGCAUAAGUCAGUAGAUUUUAAUUCUUAUAAUUCAUUGAUAGUCUAAAUAAUAGAGAAAUUUUAGUAAUACUGGUAAUUGCAAUCUUCCUUGUGGAAUCGAUCCUUAAUACCCUAUAUUCACUCACGAUUCGUAUACUUGCGAUAAAUUGCGUGUGGGGUAUUUUGGAGUUUAUAAAUGUAAAACUUGGUUGUGAAUGAGCUAAUAAUUAUAUGUAUACCUUGCACACGUCAGAAAAACAGCUGAAAUCUAUGCUAUAAAUGAAGUUGUAAAGCAGUGUGAAAUGCCUGCAAGUAGCUGCGCAAGGACUUGUUCAACUGCAUUAAGAAUACGCGGGUAGGAAAAUGUGGGUGUGGUCCGCAUUUUAGUUGGCGUUCUUGCCUCCUCUACAUUUUCUGAUUUUCUUUCUUUUAGGGUUCACCUCAAAACGUGUGUGAAAACAUGAGUAGCCACCCAUUUUUGUCCACAUUUUAUAUUCGGGAAACUUGAGUUGCUCACUUUUGUCAUUUUCUAAUUGUCAUCAAAUCAUUUCCAACACGUUAUUUGUAUUCUACUUGUUCCAAAUCAAUCAUCAAUCACCAAAACCUACCAAAAGUAACAUAAUUUGUAAGUUAAACCAUUCAAAUGCAUUUUUUGGUUGUCAAAUGUGACUUAUAGAAAUAAUUGGCAAAGGAGCUAAAUUUCAUCUUUAUCCCUUAAAAACACACCAAAAACUAGUAAUAAAUUACACUCAAAACAUGCAAAUAAAAUGCUUGCCAAAGUUUAUCAUCUAGUGGUUCAAAUUUCUGUGAUUCCAAUUGAGUUUUAUGAAAUUUCAUUUACUUUUUUUGUUUUAUACAUUGAACAAAAGAAUCAAUUUAGCCAAAUUGUACAGUUUCGGAGCUAAAUGUUUUAGGCAUCAAUACAAGGGACAAAUUUAGCAGAAAUUAUAUGCUUCAUAAUGAACUUGUUUUGCCAAAACAUUGGCCAUCACCUUGUGAAAUAUCCCACGUCGACAAAUAGAAGACGAAGGGAAAGGAACAUAAUGUUCGAUCGAUCUGUUGAUUUAUUUAUAACAUUGGGUUAACCAUUUUAAUUUCAUAGUUUCAGCUCAAAACUAUUAUUGGGCUAGCCUAUUGGGUGCAGGCAUUACAAAUGGCAUUAGAGUGAAUUUCGCGUGAUCUCUAUAUGAAUGAGUCUAGGGUCAAGUGAUGUUAUGGUUCCAACUACAGUGGUCUUCAAAUUUGCAUUUUUUAUCUAUUAUCGUCAUUGUAAAUUACCUUCAUUUACAUAAUUUUUUUGUUAAAAAUUAUUGGCUCUGUUUGGAUUAACUGUUGUUGAAAAUAUUUUACUACAGUAGUAUAUGUAAAAAACUUUUACUGUAGAUUGUUUUUGUGGUGUUUUUUGAGGGUUUUUGGAAUAUAUUUUGGUGUACUUUUGAAAUUAAAAAAUUUUUUAAUAUACCUUUUAAAAAUUAACACUAUCACCCACAAUCGCCACCAUUCUAUCCUUGUUAUUUUCUCCUCCCUCUCCCUCUUCCUUCUUCUCUUUCUCUCCUUCCCUCUUCCUCCUCCCCUCUUUCCAUCCCUCUUCCUGGAGGGAAAGAGAGAAAGAGAAGAAGGAAAAUGGAUUGCUAUAGUAAUACAAUGCUACAUCGUCUUUGGUUUUGAACAAUAUAUCAUGUCUCUCUUCUGCUUUUUCCUUGUUAUUUUCUUGGAACAGUUGUUCACUCCUUUAGACCAAUUUUUUUUUUUUAUUAUUGAAUUCUCGAUUACUGGCCGGUAAGCACCCCCACCCAUAACUCAUGACUAUGCAGCAUGAUUGUGUUGCUAAUUUGCUAUUAAGAAAAGGGUCUAUUACAAGGGAAACUAGUUUGGACGUUCCUAUGCAUUCUGAUUGUUCACUUCGUUCUUCAAUGAGUAUACUUUGAUUACCAUUAACAAUUGCAGAUUUUUAUGCCCUUGAUAAUUCAGGAUAGAACAGCAAUACAAACUGAAAUUUUAUAUCAGCUAUUUGUUUAGAAUUUUGUCCUGUUUUGGUGAUACACAUGUAAUUUACUUUGAUUUGCUAUCAAAAGUGGAUUGGUUGUGGUUCAAUUUCUAGCCAAUUCUAGUUAACCUAACCGUAGCUAUUGGUGUAGGAAUAAGAAUAGAGGAAGAUGAUAGAAGCUGUUCCUAUGAAAUUGGAAUAGGCUUGAUGGAAAAUGCAUUGAAUUGUUAUCAAAAUGGAUUCCUAGCACAGUGUCCAAGGUAGUAACUAUAAUAUUACCACGCAACUUACAAGUACAGAGUUCAUGUUUCAAUUUGUGCUCCAAGUUAGAAAUUUGGAUGAAAGAGAACUCAAAGUAAUAAAUGUACUGUAAUAAUUUGGAUGCUGAAGAUAGAAUCAACAUGCUUUUGUAAGUGUCUUGAGUCACAUCCUAUCCCGUCAGUUAAAACCAGUGUUUUAUUUAUCACAUUGAUGGGUGUACAAAUGGACUAUUAUUUAUAAUAUAACAUUUAAUGACAGAAAAGAGAUCGAUACUUGUCCCUACUGAAGAAGCUGGAGCUGAAGCAGCCUAGAAGGCUAAUUUUAUAAACUUUCUGGAUAGAGUUCUGUCUUUCUAUUCGUAAGAAUUCAACUGUCAAAGAGUUUUAUGUUUUGUUCUCAGACAAGUAUGAUCUAUCUCGUGUGAAAACAUGGAUCACUGCUGCUUUAAGUGCUAAUGUCCAAGGGCUUCGUGUUUUGUAUGGGACUAUUCGGUAUUCCCUCAUUUGAUUUUCACUUGUGAUACUUUUAACAGAGAUGGAACUCAGACUCCGCAAGUUCAAAAUUCCAACUGAUGCACAUUCCUUGAACCUUCAAACCUUAGAUUUCCCUAAAGUUGAAUUUCAGGAUGAUUACUCUUUGCAAUCUAACCACCACUUGUUUAACUUCCCAUUCCUUGAAGUAUUUGUAUUGUCUAGCUGCAAAUGGUGGAAUGUGAAGCUUCUUACAUCGAAACACCCCGGCUUUCUAGUUUCCAGAAGUCAGACCCCAUUUUUGAAUUUGUGAGCGAUGGAUGAAAUGACUGGAAAAUUGAGAUCUGUAGAACCAGCCUCAAAGAAUCCAAAUGUAGCGCGAAUGAGUCUGCAAAUUUCCAUUUUUCUAGCCAGUCAACAAACGAUGAUGCAUCUGUACAGUACGGGGCUUGCUGCAUACUCAUCUUAUCCCAAGUGGGGAGAUAUGCUGUCAAGCCUGUAUGAUCCUAAAAGGGUUCUCUGCUUUUAUUAGAUUCCUGGAACUAUCUAGUGAUCUUUCCAAGGUAAAGAUCCUUCUUGAUAUGAUUACUUAAAUUUUAGUAGUUCGACUAUCAUGUUGCCUUUAAAAUUGAUCAAAAUUAUCUUUUGUUACUCUCUUUCAUUGUUCACCCAAUUUGAGAUUGUACCUAUGAGUUCUGGGCAGAUUUAGUCUGUGUUAUAAGUACUAGUGGUUUAAAUGGUCUUCCCAUUUCGGUAUGAUUUGUUUCCUUUUUUUUUUGACGUACAUGAUCUUGCUACAACAUAUAAUUUUGAUUUUUUCUCAUGUUGUAUAUCUUGACUAAUUCUAGCUAUAUUCCAUUAUUUCCUAAGGUACUUUCUCAUAGGGAACCACCACGUCCUCUUCCAUUUCUUGAUAAGCUUACCGACCUGAAAUUUACACGGCUAGGAUAGCAGUAGGAAGUGAUGGAGUGGCGAUACACUUUUUGAAAAUGGAAACAGUUUUUCAAUCACUUAUUAUUACUAGGUUGGCUCUUCAAGUUAUAGUUUCACCUGCCCCCAGAAGCUAAGGAAAAACAGGUUUACGGGCUUGCAUAAAUAUGAUGGCAAUUGAGUGUAAUGUUCAAUUUAACUCUUAAGCAUUGUUUUUGUGUAUAUGUUUUGUCAUAUCAGUUUUGUUAAAGCUGGCGAUUUUCAUUUUCUCUUUUGUAACUUUACGACACAGGCUUGUACAGACAAUGCUGCUGACAACUACAAGGGAAUCAAAUUGAUGCCUGGUGGGGUCUUUUGUCUAACUUGCCUCAAGAUAGUGAAAUUGGAAAUUCCUAUUAUCCUAGCACAAUGGAGAAUUCUUUGGUAAAGGUUUUAGAACAGAAUGCGACAGAGUGGAAUGAUUGUAAAUAUACAUGCUGGAUGACGGGCAGAUGAUGAAACAGGUUACAGGUCAGCUGUUCAAGUUUUCCUGAGGCUCAAAUCAUGAUCAAUGGUGCCCUUUUGGAAGUGAUAUUGACCUUACCCAGAGAAUAGUCUAGGAUUUUCAAGUGAACUUCCUUUGGAAAAUGCUAAAGAUUUUUCCUUGAGAUUUCCUAAAUUUCUGUUUUUGUUUAUCCUCAGGUUUGCAAAUAUAUAUAUUUCUUCACUAAUCUAGAUUUCUUUUUCUUUCCUUCACACUGCUUUAGUAUAUUGUCAUUUGUUUUGUGACUUUUGUCUCUCUCUCUCUCUCAAAAUCUCGGUUUAUGGUUUAUGUAGCAUCCCAUCCCAUAUUUACCAUUGAUGACAUGCAAUUGAGGCCCAAAAUCCCAUGGAGUCACUGAGUAUUUCACCUAUAAUUGAAGUAAACCAGCAGAAAGGAUGUUCGUCACACUAAAACAGAAGGAGAAAUGUCUAUAAUCUAGCUUCAGUCUUUGUCCUUUGCUCUCGUGUUAAUGUUCAACAAUUCUAUCCUCCAAGUGAGAUAUAAUAAUCGUGAAGGUUUGGCGAGGAGAACCGAAACAGUUGUGCCUUGAAUUUCAGGAACUGACCCGAAUUAUAACCAUUGUCCUUAAUUAGUGGUACGGGGGACAAGGCGCGCGAUAUGGCCUAUACCAUUUUAAUUGGGUUAUGUAUAAAUAAGCGGGUCUAGGAUUUACUGUGGACACUUUUAGUCAGUUUUUUUUUCAGAAAUAAGAAUUCUUUCUCUCUGCCAGUGGAUAUAGGCCACAUUGGAAGAAACCACCAUUUGUUAUUUAUCACUUCUCAAGAGGAUGAAUAUGGAUAGCAUUUAUGACAAACCAUUAUUGGAGUGGAACCUGUGUGUAUGUUUGGAAGUAGUUCAUGAACCUCGUAUCCUGUAGCUCUUUCUAAGAAUUCAUCGAUCAAAGAGUGUCACCUUUUGUUUCUAGACGUGUAUGAUCCAUUUCGUAUGGAAACUUGGAUCACUGCUGCUCUAAGCGCUGAUGUCCAGAGGCUUCGUAGUUCAUAUGCUGGGGUCUUGGUAUUUCCUCGUUGGUUUUUCACAUCUAAUUCUUUGAUGAAAUUAGAACUCAAACUCUGCAAGAUCAAAAUUCUGAUGAAUAUAUCUUACUCAAACCUUCGUAUCUUGGGUUUCCAUGAUGUUGAAUUUCAGAAUGAUGACCCUUCUAGCCCCCUAUUUCUUACCUUCCCUGUCAUUGAAGAGUUUCUGUCAUUGGAUUGCAAAUGGAGGAAUGUGAAGAAGCUUAAAAUAGAGGCGCCAAGGCUUGCUAGGUUUGAGAUGACAGGCUGCAUCUUUGAACAUGCAAAUGAUGGAUCAAAUGAUUGCAAAAUAGAGAUUCGUGGGAGUAACCGUGCAAAAUUCAAAUGUAGUGUUGAUAUAUUUGCCAGUUUCUAUUUUUCUAGCCAAUCAAAACUUGUUGAUGCAUCUCUGGAGUAUUGGAAACCUGACAUGAAUGAUGAUAUUAACCAAAGAAGCAAGACAGGUUUUCAAGCCUGUAUGAUCUUGACACGGUCCUCUGCUUUCAUCAGAUUCCUAGAACUAUCUACUGAUCUGAUCCAGGUAAAGAUUCUCCUUUAUGCCAGUUUCUAAAUCUCACCUAAUUUAAGCAACUUUGUUCCUUUACAAUUGUUCAGAAUUUAAGUUUGCAAUUACCUCUUGCUAUUGUCUUUCAUUAUUCAAGCAAUUUGAGACUCUGGAUAAGAAUAUAGAUGCAAGCAACAGGCUCAGCCUUCGAUUUAUCACGACUCAUGAGUGAAGAUGUCAUGCCAUUCUGAUAAAUGAUUAGCUACAUGAUGUACAUGAUCUUGCUAGAAAAUACGGUUAUGCCUUUUUCUUGUGUUGUAUCUUGACUGAUGCUUACAGCUGUAAAUAAGCCUAAUCAAACCAAACAUCAUACUGUUCAAACUUCUUUGAUUAUUCAAAAAAGCUUGAAAUUGUUUUUGAGCUUUCAUUUUUUAUUUAUCACGCUGAGGUUUUACCGAGGCAAGCUUGAGUAGGUUGGAUUUUUUACCUAUAAAUUCUAAUGAGCCCCAGCUUGAAAGUUGAUGCUAUUCAAGUUUAACUUGGUUAGUUAGCAAACCUAUUGUGAACAAUCUCUUAUUGAGCUAAACUAAAUUCAAGCAUCGAGUAGUUGGUUCUCCUUUCAGCCCUGCUAAUGCUAGCUUAAUUGCCUUAUCUCCUCAAGGUGCUUGCUGAUGCGAAUCCACGAUGUCCUUCUAAUUUCUUUAGGCUUGCCCGUCUCAAAGUGUAUUCAGCUAGCAUUGCAAUUCAGUGUGAUGCAGCGCUGAUAAACUUCAUGAAAAUGGCACCAGGUCUUGAAUCACUUACAUUUACAGGGGUAAAAUAAAGAUUAGCUUUUCCUUUUUUUUGCAGGCUUCAUAAACUUUUGCAUUUAUGUGCUUUGGUGGUUCCUUGAUGUUUAACCUGUAGUCCUUGUCAUUGUCUUCCUCGUUUGACUUUGUUAAACAGGAAUUUUCGAGGCAAGCUGCUGGUGACUACGAUCAAAUUCAAUUGUUGCCUGGAUAUCUAUCUUUCCUCGAGGUAGUCAAACUGGAAUAUUCCUGCUCUCCUAAGCCAACGGAGAGUACUUUGGUGAAAUUUAUUCUGCGGAAUGCUGUAAAGCUUAAGGAGCUGUUGAUUUAUUCACAACAUGAGGGCCAUAAGGUGGAUGAAGUUAGAGAUCAUCUGUUCAAAUGUUCUAGAGGCUCAAGAAAUGUGUCGAUACUGUCCCUUUGAAAGUUUCAGUGUCUAUUAGCUCCAAAAGAAUUCAGGAUCUUCAAGUCAAAUUGCCAUUACAAAAUGGUAAAGGUUCUUAUUGUCUUUUGAGCUCCUGUUAUUCCUUUGUUUAUACAUCUUCAGAUUUGCAGAUUAACCUUCACUAAUCUGGAUUUCAUUUCCCUUUCCAAGUACUUCCUUGUACAGAUUUUCUUGGGUAGGAAAAAAAAAGAAACUAUCAUGAAUAGAAGCAAAGAAUAAUAAUAUCCAUAUCCCAAAUAAUAACUAGCUAUUGCUACUCUCACUAUUUACAAAUUCUAUCGUACUGAACCAUUCCUGCACAUCCAGCACAGUACCCAGUAACGCAUCAUUGCCUUCAUUCUUUUGAAUUUUAGCUCUUAGGACUUCAUUGCCUGGUACUAUUUGCACCUUGUUCCAUCCCUGCUCCUGUGCUUUGAUCCAUCCACGCAAACUUCACAGCCUCAGCUUGAUCCAACAUUUGAUGUCCAUUUUUCUGUUCUACUAGUGCCCAAGCAGUAUCCACCAUGUCAUUGCUUCUCUUUGCUACAUGCCGGUCUCCUCCCAGCCAUAUCUUGCUUAGCUGUUACUGAGAUUUUAACCUGGUCUGUUGGGAUCUCCUGGUCACUCCUUUCAGCCACUUCUUUUGUUUUCUCUCUGCUUCCAAGCUUCACUUUAUGCAAUACAACUCUGCCAUAUUCCUCCCACUGAUUCCAUGCUUUCUGGACUAUUUCUGUAAAGCUUUUCCUUCUCCCAUUCAGUUGUUGAUUGUUCUUUUCCUUCCACAGCUGCCAUAAAUUUUUGCUUUCAAUCCUAUGUGGUCAUUUCCUUGGAUUCUUUUUUUUUUUUUUUGGCCUUCAUUACUUCUCUCCGGCGUCCGCCAAUUUCUGAAGUAGUGACGGACAUAUCCCUAAGUACAAUAAUAGUAUACAAGGAACAUAUUAUACCCUACAACUCAUUGAAAUACAAACUUUUAGUAUUUAAAAACCCACUUGCGAAUUGGAAUUCUUAGUAUAUUGGACUUGUACUCUUGCAGUCAUUCAUUAUUUCUGGCAUUUAAUUUUUGCAAUGAGAAUUGUUUUCAAAUUACCUAUAAGUAUAUAUGUAAAUUGACUUUCUACAAAUUAAUUAAAAUAAAAAAAAAUCUUUAGCCUUGAAAUGACCAUCUUUCUUUAGCCAGUGGAGGCACAUUUAUCAUUUAAUAAGACAAAAAUUAAAUCUUGUUAAAAAUACAAUGACUAAAACUGUGGCUUCAUUUGGAUUAGUCUAUUUUUUCACAAACUAUUUUUGUUUAUAAAAUCUAUAAUAACGAUCUCCAAAAGUACACAUUUCAAAUAUAACCUAUAAAAACACAACGAAAUUUUAAAAAAAUUCUACCACCUUUUCUUCUUCCACUCGCUCCCGCCAUCACCCUCCCCUCUUCCCUCCUUUGUCGCUAUUGCUACCCGUUCCCCCUCCUCACGAUUUGAACCCCGAAGACGAAUACACUAGGAAUUCUAAGAGCUCUCUUUUGACUGUAGGCCAACUUUAGUGGUUGUAGCAUGCUAGUGAAGGUUGCUACAAGCCCACUGAACACUUGUCACCACAAGUAAUUGGACAAAUUAAAGGUAAAUGAAAACUUUUCAACUAGAUGGCUGGAACGAAAUUAUACAUGUGUUUUUCCGUCACUGUUCAGGGUGUUAAUUGGAUCUUAUGAGUUGGAUUUUGAAAAGUUCAAGUUUUUCUUACAAAAACAAAGUAGAACUCCAGGGCUCUGGGACUCAGUCUUUGGGCUCAAUCUAUAAAGCUCAUACAUGACUCAUCAAGAUGCAAGAGUUUUCGGCCCAAUUCAAAUUUGGCACAAAUUCACAAUUAAUUCAUAAUUUUAAGAACAAUAUGCAUGUAAUAUUUAUUUUAUUUUAUCAUUAUAUAUAAUUCAUAAACUAUUUACAUUAUAAUAUAUAAUUAUUAAAUACCAUACAUCAUUAUGAAUAAAAGAAUAUGUGUUUAUGUACUUAAUUGUUCAAGUCGGGUUUUAACUGGGUUGAGCCCCUUUAAAUCCAAACUCGGGUCACAAUUUAAUCAUGCAUUAUUUUGAGCUCCAACCUCAACCUAGCCCUAGAGCCCAAUGAUAUGCAAGGCUUGACUCGAAUUAUAUUGAAUUGAUCAAUCUGAGUUGAGGUUGAUCCAACACAUUAACAACUCUAAUCACAACCGCUAUUUUUUACUUUCCUUGGAUACAAAGACAGCCUACAUAUAGAAAUAGUUGCUAGGCAUUGAAGCCUUUUUUUUUUUUUAAUUUUCCUUCUACUCUCUUAAAGCCAAUCUCAUUACCAAUUAAUUUGUGCUUCUUAGACAAGACUAUUUCAUACAGUUUAUAUAUUUUUUUCUUUUCAUGAUGCUUUUUUCAACUAUUUAUGGGUAAAAUAAUUAUUUUUAAAUACUCUAUUUACUUAAAAUAUUUCAACAAAUAAUGUGAGAAAAUAUUUAUACGUGUGCACGACAAAAGAAGACAUUUUGCAUAAACAUUUUAUGAAGAGUGCAAAAAACUAAGCAAGACUAUCUUCAUUAUUGUGAUAAGAAUGAUAAGUGUUUAUUUUGUAUAUUUUAGUGUAUUUAUAGCUUAAUUUUGGUGUGUUUUAAUUAUUUUUAUAGUUAAUUAAUUAGAUUUCUAGUGAAGUUUGCAUUUUAUGGUUUAACUGUGAAAAUUUGCAUUUCUAUGGAUUUAAGUGGUUGAAAUUUCACGUUUUGUUGGAUUUAAUGAUUCAAUCAUUAAUUGUUGUGAAGUGAGAAUAUAUUUGGAUGAUUCUUGAUGAUUUGAAAUGAUUUAAAGUGAAUCUAAAGUGCAAUAUAUUCAAAAGAUGAAAUGCAAUCAAGUUUAAAAGAAGGAAAUUUCAACAAUUUUCACACCUUUUAAUAUUUUGGCUAUAACCUAUGUUACAAGCUUUGAAUUGAAAUGAUUCUUAAACCAUUUUGAAACUAAUACAUAGAUGUACAUUUCGUAUAAAGUAUUGAAAUCCCAUUCAAGCAUUCUCAUGGUCAAAAGGUUGAAAUACAGUCGUGCAUUUAUGCUAUCAAAAUCACAGACUCACUCUUCUUCAACAUCUAAAUUAUAUUCUAGAUUCCUGUCAACCUUUGACUCCUUGGUCUAACACCAACCAGAUCCCUUGUCAAACCCAUGACGCACUUGGUUCAACACCAACCAAACUCCUUGGCAUUUCGAUCCAUCACUAAGAAGAGAAUUUUCAUCGAUUCAACUCCAAAAAGGAUCCACUUGCCCAUGAGUAGUCCAGUCUCACAACCUGAAACUCUAAUACUACUUGUUAGGGGAGAAACAUCUCGAGAGAGUCCACCAAAGAACCUAAUAUGUAAGUUAGGAAUUCAACUCUAACCCAAAACUUAAACUAUUAGGUCUCGAAUCAUUACUUACAUAUUAACCGAUCUUUCUUCGUCUCUUGACCUAAUAUGGGACAUAGUCUUUUUACUCAUGAACCUAAUACCAUUGUGAUUUAACACUAGUUCAUGAAAGUAUUAAAUCGAGGGAGUUAACCCACUAAUAUAAGGUUACACCUUUGUGGUUUUGGUGGCUUGUUUCAUACAAUUUUAUAGAAUUUAACGAAUAUAUAGCUAGUUUCAUAUCACAUUAAUAGGAAUGGGAUAGUUAUAGGUACAGUUAAUAUAUCAAUGGAAGCAUAUAUCACAUAUAUUUGGAAAUUACUUCAUAACCAACCAAAAAAAUGGAUUCAAUUAAUUGGUUAUUUCAUUUUCAUAAGUAGAUAGGAAUUCCUUAACACUAAGCAUAUUUGCAUGUCAAUUAUGCAUGUCAAGUUUUACUACUUGUGUUGCAUGUUGGUAGUGUAGAUUCAUUUGCUUUAUUUGUAAUAAUCUAAAUAAAAGAGGAGUUCAAAUAACACCGGUAGUUGACAAUAUUCCUUGUGGGAUAGACAUCUAAUAUCCCCUAUAUUUGAUAAAUGAUAUGUAUACUUACACAAAAUGGGAUAUUUUGGCUUUUAAAAUUUGGUGUAAAGUAAAAGCCUGAUCGAACCAAUUCAUAGCAGAAGCUUUGCCAAUGUUGUGGAGUAAAUUGUUACAAAACAUGUUUAGGGUGCAUUUGGUUCUCCAUAAUUAGAAUUGAAUUAUAAUUGGAAUUCUAUGAAUUGGAAUUCCAAGUCAUUCCAAUUCUUUCGUUUGGGAAAUGCAUAGAAUUGAUACGGAAUUUAUUUGGAAUUUCAAAUUCUUUGUUUGCAUGAGAGAAGAAUUCAUCAGGAAUUAGAAUUGUUUUCAUGAAACAUUUGCUUACAUAUAAUUUUUCUUUUUUUUCUUUUUUCUAUAUAAUAAUUUCUUUUUUUCUUACAUUUAGCUAAUUUUUACUAAAGAUUUAAAAGAAAAAACCAAUUUAUGCCUUUAAUAAUCUAUUUUUUCCCACUCUCAUAUCAAUUUCUUAGGUGAACAUUUCCUUUAACAUGUUUUGAUCCAUUAUCCCUUUUUGUGAAGAAAUAUAUCCCCAUCUCAAAUGUGGUAUUUCAAUUGUGUUUUGAUAUAUUAUAAUAAAGCAAACUUCUUUCUUACUUCUAAUACUUACACAAAAUUCAAAAAAGAUUUAGAGAGUUAGAACUUUCCCUGUGGCGCAUGGAGCCAACAUGCAUCAGAUGGCAAAGACAAUUGUACACAGGAAUUGUCUAAUUUGUGCAACAUCCAAUGUCGGUCGAGGGAUGCACCAGAAACCAUGUACCAUAACCCAUUCAUCUGUAAUUUAUUAACUUGCAAGUUCGUUAGUCAUAACUACUACAAGUUCCAAGUCUCCAUUUCACUCCCCAUGCUUCAAAUUUUCUGCAAUGUGUCACAGUAGUCAGAAAUUACUGAUUACUUCAACACCAAUGUGUUUAAGAUUUAAUUAUGUGUAAAACCUCAACAGCAAAAAUACCUAAAAUACACAUUCAGCGAGUGCAAAAACAUAGAAAUUACAGCAACUCAAGACUCCCAGAUGCUCUUCCUCCAGUGACCUAACAAUACAACCGAAUGAAAAUGCCGAAGGCCAGCAUAAAAAUUUGGAAGCAAAAUUUAAAUGCCAACACAAGUAUCAUUUUCUGACUUGCAUGUCCAAUCAGACUCGACAAAUAACACUUCUUAACCAAUCUCUAGUAUGAUGUGAAAUGUGCUCAACAAGCAUCUGGAUAGCAUGAAAAAAACAAAAAAAACAGCAGCAUUGAUCACCACAUAGGUUCAUGCAGCUCAAGGACAAGUCAGGUCAUCAACAUAGGCUGCUGUGUUAAUCUCAAUACCUAAAAUGCUAGUUCAUCAGACAAAAGAUCCAAUGUCCCAUUCUUAUUCAUCUCAAAAAUCAGACAGAAAAUAGCUGAAAUACUCCCUAGAAUCUUUCUAUAAUCUUGCUUUGAUCCAUUACAUGAAAAACAAAGAACUCAUCAGAAUUUAAAAAGUCAUGUGGAUAUAUGAUGGAGUAGUAACAGCCUCUGCUUUCUCUACUUGGCUUCCAGCAAUAUGCUCAACUUCUUCUCCCAACAGAAACAACUUCAAAUGGAGGUUACCAAAUAAAAUCAAUUACCAAUGUGCAUCAAUAGCCAAUCCUUUUUUAAGUCAUCUCGGAGACCAGAAAAGUAUCAUACUUUGUCCUGUCAUUCAUAAGUAAAUCGAUACCCUUUAACAGUUGAAAUCUAUCCAAUUCAAUUUUAGAUAACUCAUCUUCCACCAUUUUAGUUGUAACUUUUGAACAUUCUGAAUUUAAGUACUUAUCCAGUGAAUCUGCCAUUCGUCCCAACACCUUGUAAAGUGCUUAAGAGCUUGUUAGUUUCCUCUUUGUGCCACGAUCAUUUGUUGAAGAUGGCGAUUUUGAUUUUGACCGUUGUCGAGCUAGCAAUGCAUUCAUAACUUCAUCUUCUAAAGAACAUGAAUCAGUCUCAAAUGAUUCCUCUACAUUAGCAGACUCUUCAACUUCAGUUUCAGCAUUAGCCUCGAAAGCAGUUUGGGGCGCCCUCUCCAUUUGCACGAUCGUGUGAAAACAAUGUACAGAUAUCCUCCCAAUUUUCAACCACAAUUUUUUUUCUAUAAGGAACAAUUUUAGGAUUCUCACUUACUCGAGCAUUCCAUACAUCCUCAUCACGAACAUCAAUUUUACCUCUAGAGUAGUCCCAUAUUAUCGCAGACCCAGAGUUACAUGACUGGAGCAGUAGGUAUAGGAUAUCAUAGUGUUUCUCUCAUGUCUUGAAACAAGAUAUAAUAUUAGCCUUUGUCACAGAUAUAUUGAGCUUAUCGAAUAAAGCAUUCAUUACAGUGGUGUAGGCUGCUGUCUUCCAUGCACAUUUACCAUCCAAUUUGUUUCCUUGGUUCAUUUGGUCAAUAAAACAGGUGCCCAUUACACGAUCCAUAUCAGGAGUCUAAGUGAAAUACCCUUUGCCUUUCCCUUUUGACUGAGAUGUUGCUUCAGAUGCCAUAUCUGAGGCAAAUAUGCACCAGAAAAACAUCACAAUGUCAUGUUCUUAAGAAUAGAUUCAGCAGCCACUGCAUUAUAGAACGAAAAAUGAAAGGCAAAUAGGCACCAGAAAAAUCCAUACAUAUGUUAAAUGAAGAACUUAUGCUGACUUAUCUGGACAGAAUCUUUCUGCAAAAGUAAUUUGGAGAUGUUGCUGAGAUCAUCACUUAUGUGCACAAAAUUGUUUGGAGAUGUCCUAAAUUUAUUCUAGUGACUUAAAGCUUCUGCUGGUUUUGCAUUUAAAAUAACAAAGGUCUGUUUGAUUCAGAAGUGACCUUUAAGGUAUGGUAAGGAUUUUCCAGCAAACUGCAACAAAAGAAGGAAACAAAAAAGUCCCUACAAAGCUUUCUUUUUAGAAACAAGACUAAUUGGCUAUGAGGAACAUCAGAAUCCUUCUAAAGCCUUCUAUGAGUCUCAUCAAAAGGAAAGAUUUAGUAGUCUUAUCACAAGACUAUCACGUCAAUAUUACAAUCAUACAUAAAGACUACAGGUGUUAGGCGCAAUGCAACUCAAUUCAACAACUCGAUACCUACAAAAACAACCACCAUCAUCAGCUUCACUGACCCAACUUUAUAUUCAAUAUCUCCCCAAAAGUAUUCCCACCCCCCUCCCCCGCCCUCAAAGCCUCCAGUUUGAAGUCAAUAAAACGACUGUUGUAAAUGGAGCUAGAAUUCUAUCUGUCUGCACAUAAAGUCAGCUCAAACCAAACGACAGGACAUGCUGAGGAAUUACUAGGAUAGGAGACAUUUAAAAAUAAACAACAGAGGCAAUUAAGAAGUACUACUAGUUAAUAUUGGGAAUCAAGCUAAAAGCAAGAGAUAGAAAAUUAAGAGAUGAAUAUAAUGGUGGUAGCAGUAGUAUUAUUAGUUUACUUCUAAUCAAAGUUGAUUUUUCCAAAAGCCUCGGGAUCAAUUAAAAAGUGUCCAAGUUCCUAAUAAGUACUCUCAAAUCCUACACGUUCAGGCAUUAUCCCGAAUGGGUUCCAAGUCAAACUUUGACUAAUUAACUAAAACUCAAACAAACAAGAAAAUGGAAACCAAAGACCAACUUGUUAUUUUGUUCUCAUAACAUCGUAAAUUAUAAGCUUAAAAUAAUAAUAAUAACCGCAUAGAAUCAAUCAAUACCACAAAUUAUAAAAAAAAAAUACCUUAAAAAAACAAUGUUUAAUAGAAAAAAAAUUAAAUUAUGAAGUUACCUUUAUAAACUCUAAUUCUAUCUGAAAAAUCUGGAAUAGUAGGGAGUAAAUUGCAAAGCCAUGUCGUAUUGGUUAUAGUAUCAGUCAAUCCUGGAGUAAACCGUACAAGUGUGGUAUUUAUUGUUUGUUUGCAGCUGGGAUUUCUUGACUUGAUGAAGAUCUGGAACUACAAAGCAAGCGAAUGAAGUUUGGAGGGGCCGAAGACGACUUCUUCUAAUGUAGCUUCAAUUUUUGUACGAGGAAAUUGCCCCUUUUUACCAAUUCAACUGCUAAUAAUAGAGACUAUUCCUCGUUCUCUCCUGAACAAGUAUCGGCUUCAAGGAAAUAACGAAGAAGUUGGGCACUUUUGUUUGUUCCCGGACGCUUAGAUGGAAUUGAUCAAUGAAUUUUCCCAAAUUGGUAAUGAAAUUUCAUUCUUCCCUCAUCGAAUCAAUUCUCAAUUCAUUCACUGGAAGGGAAGGAGAAGAUUGACAGAAACUAAUUAAAACCCCAUAAUUUCAACCUGAGUUAUGCAAUGGCCAGCGAGUGGAGCAUGGAGGGGUGGAGGUGGCAGCAAAAGUGAUGGGUGAAGGCAGCACAAGUGGAGGAGGCAGCGGCAGGAAUGCUCCAACAGAGCAUUAGAUAUGGCGAUUGAUAAUGGAAAGAGAAGAGAGAGGUUUGAGUUUCUUCCAUCAAUUUUACAGUUGACCCAUUUUUGAGAUUUUACCCGUAUAAGACCCGCGUGUUGACCCGAUUUAGGAGUUCAGUCGUGGAAUUGGAAUUGAAAUUCUUUGGUCCAGCCAAAGAAUUGGAACCAUAGAAUUCGAUCGAUUUGGAAUUGCAAUUGAUUCUAAUUCUACAGGAAAGAUAGUACCCAAACACAAGAAUUGAAAUUGGAGCUCCAAUUCCAAUUCUACACUCCAAUUCUAUGGGGAACCAAACGUAUCCUUAGUUUUACUACUUCAAGUGUAUAUUCCAAGUUGUUUUUGUCCAAAAUAUACAGCUCAAAAACUUGGACAACAAAAUAUAAUUGAUGUUGCAGGAGCAAUCAUUGCUUGUUUGUAGGCAUUUGACUUGCAAAAUCAAAACAUGGUUGGCAUCGAGGAGGAAUCAUUGCUUGCAUAAUUUGGUACUUGAGGAGGAAACAUUUGUUCUAGGCAUUUGACUCGUGGUGAAGACUUCUACUAUCCCGCACUAUUUCAGAUAAUGCCCAUCACAGUUUCUAGUUUAAGUUUAUACCAAAGUAUUGUUUUAAACAAUGACCCUAUGAUUCUUGCUCUAAUACUAUGAUAAAGAAGACAACAAAUAGGGAAAAAAUAAUUGACAGACUAAGUUACGAAGCCAUCUUUGCUACAUAUAAGUGAUAAAAGCCAACUUUGCUCAAGACAUGUUGUCUAUUUUACAAAAAAAAAAAAAUGUCUAAAGUGCAACAACAACUUGCAUUUUUCUUUCAAGCACAUCCUUAAAUCCUCAAGGUGCGAGAAGUCAAUCAGAGUGAAGAAGCUAAUUUACAACAAUAGUGGAGAAAGAUGCCUUCCUGGUAAACGAGUCAUGCAACAAACACUACAACGUGGUGCUGGUGAUGCACUGAAUAUUCCCAACAAGAAUUGGCCUAUUUCUUCCCCUAUCUGGGGUAUGGUUCAGUAAUUGAUGCCUCAUUUACAGAGCUUGGAAUUGAAAUUCUUUCGGUAUUAGAUUGCUCAACUUCCACCUCUUCCACCAUGCUUUCCGAUCCAUGGCUCCGGAAAUCUGCUGGACGAUGUCGAGUUGGUAGGGUAACCGAGCUACUAUUGAGUAAAGGUGGCAAAUCAACCCACUUAACUAAAUUUACCCAUACCCGUCCAUGAAUAGAUGGGUAUGGAUAUCUUAAAUUUUUGUAUAUGGAUAUAAAUGGGUUAGGUAUUAUUGAGUAACCCAUCAAACCUAAUUAACCCAUUUAGAAUUCUCUUCUCCUAAAUCUCUUCUCUUCCCCCACCCAUUUUUCUUUCCAAAUUUUUCAUUUUGUCAUGAUGUUAACUACUUUUGUUUCAUUAUUAUUAUUAUUUGUUGGUUUUAUUUUAUUAUUUUAUUUUCUCUUAAUUUGUUAACUUGCUCAUUUUUCAGCAUUACCAAUUUAUGAUAAAUUUAAGCCUCUUUUCUUAUCUUUCUAAAAUGAAAUUUUAAAUUUAUAUAUGGAAAAAAUGUUAGGGGUUCAAAAUUUUUGAAUUAAAUUUUUAUAUUAACCUUUAUAGUACUUAGUUCAAAUUUUUAUAUUCUUAUUAUUCAAUUAUUAAAUAAUAUGUAAUUUUGUGAAAUAGAGUAUAAAUGAAAAAAAAUUGGUAAUUAGGCUUAUUAAACAUUAUAAGUAAAUAUUUAAAACUAAUGAUGGGUACAAAGAGCGGUAUAAAUUGAUAACUUAGUUUGUAAAAAUGAAUUUAAAUGAAUUUACAAAAAAUUAAAAUAAAUGGGUUAUAAAUGGGUAAUUGGGUUACCCAAUUCAUUUUUUAAUUUAUCCAUUUAUACCCAUCUAAUUAAAUGGGUACAAAUGGGUUGACUCACUUAUACCCAUUAUCCAUUUUACCCAACCCAAACACGCCCAAGUCACCCAUUUUGACACCUCUACUAUUAAGCAUAUUGACCAGGGAAGCCAUUGUAGGCCUUUUACUGACAUAUUCUUCAACACAUAGUAAGCCUCAUUGGAUGCAUUGAAUGACUUCAUUUUUGGCAAAAGAAUCUCCAAUUCUUGAAUCCAGAAGAGUUAAAGGUUCGCCACGUCUCCAAUGCUUCCAAACCCUUUUGAAAUAAUUCAACUUAUAAGGAGUUCACACAUAAAAACUUCAAUUUGUUCAACCAUUUAUACGUGUCACAAGUAAUGCCACCUUUCGAAUCGACAUCAGUAAAUGCUCUACCUUCAAAGUUUAACCAUACAAAAGGUUUAGAAUCACAACCUUCCUAUCCAUCCUUUUAUAUGGUCUGCCAAAUUAGUUAAAAUGACUUGUAAAAAGAAAAGGAAGCAAACUAGUCUUUACUAAAAUUUUGAACCACUGUACUGUGUGUAACUAUGAACAAAUGACGAAUGAUAAGGCCUAAUGGCAUCAUGACGGUGAGGAUUCGCAUUGGACGUCUAAAUAUUUCCACUAGGGGUGCCAAGUUAAAAUCCUUGACUGCAAUUGUGCAAAACCACAGAAAAUUAAUAAAAACAGUAGUAGAGGUCUUACAUAGCUUACGAGGUCUUCAAUUCGCACUUACAUAGCUUACGAGGUCUUCAGAAUCUUCAGAUUUUUGGAAACUACUAUUCUUCUUGCCUGUCACAAUUUCUAAAAUAAGAACCCCAAAACUGAAUACAUCUUACUUUAUCGAAAACUGGCCCCGUCUCAUAUAUUCAGGACUCAGGAGCCAUGUAACUACUGCAAGCCACAAUGAUUGUUAUAAACGGUGCUAAGAUGACCCCAAUGAGGCAAUGAAAUGGAAGUGUAGAUAAUUUUCCAUGAAGAUUCAAAGUCAUAUUCCCUACAAAUACCACUGACCACGUGCUUUGGCCUGCUGCAAAUUUCUUACAGCCAACUAUCGAACAAUAGAAGUUAAUUCAGAUAAUUGUUGUUGAAUUGACGAGACAUUUACCUCAUUUACUCGAUGAAUAUAGAUAUCUUCCCUUGUGCCAAAUUGUUGAGAAUUUUCUGCCAUCCCUUCUAUCAAUUCCCAAACUUCUCGAGGGGUCUUAUUCACCAAUGCACCUCCAUUGACAGUAUCUAUAAGACUUCUAUCUGCAUAAAGCAAGCCUGCAUAGAAAUACUGAAUCAUUGCUCACUAAUUUGGUGCUGGGGACAACUUGUACAUAGCUUCUUAAACCUAUCCCAGAACUCAUACAGAAAUUCUCCAUGCUGCUGCUUAUUUGAGCUUAUUGCCCAAAAUAUUUGAGCUUAUUGCCGCAGCUAUUCUUCAAGAAUGCGAUGAAGUACCGAAAUAAGAAGAAAAGGAAAGAAGCGUCUGUCUGUCUCUUGCCAAAAAGAUACCUCCUGACUAGUCUCUCGCUUCGAGAAAGAUAAAGAAACUAUCAUGUGUCCUAUUGUUCUGUUUCCUACUCCUCCUAAAACUGCUCCUCUAGUCCCUAUAGAAAGAAUGGACUAGUGUCCUAUUACAAAUGAAUGACUGUCCAUUCGGCCAACUGAAUCCAAUCCUCACGACUUUGAUUCGAAGUUGGAAAUAUUCUCACGAGCCAAAUCCCAAAUUUUCUGGAGGUGCAGAGAGUUAUUUUAAAUACCAAAUCACGUCUUUAAUCCCUUUUUGUUUCAAAUUCCUAUGAUCAACACCAAUUAUCAAAAAUAAGUAAAAUCUACCAAUUAACGCAAUAUUUGAUAAAAUACAAGAGGAAAACAAUCAUAAAAUUAAUAACAAAAAUGCAUAUUUUUAUCUGAAAUCUGAAUCCAUUAACUGAUUAAAUUGUUAAUUAUUAAAUAAAAUACAUUUGAGUAUAUAUUAUUUUUAGUAUUAAGUGAAUAGUUUAUCACUUAUUUUUGGAAGUAAAUUUUACCUAGAAAAUUCAGUGACACUUAAUUAAUUCAGAUGCUCAAUUUUUUGUUAUCAAACGCAUCUAAACAUAUUAAAAUCUAAAUACAUUAAUUUUAAGUGCUGAAUUGGACUAUCAAACAGAGCCUAAGUCUUCACUUUAGAUUUCACCACAAGAUUAGGGAAAUUAUAGUAUUUGGUUAAAUUCGGUUCAUUGGCAAGAGCGAAUUUCAAUGGUUUGAGUGAAAUACAUCCUUAGCAAGGCAAGAGCAUUAGUGAUAAUUGACUAUUUCAUCCAAAGUUAGGUACAUUAGAUGGAUUAUAUAUCCUAAAACAUUUGUGUUUAGUUGAGUUUUUUCAAAUUGUUAAUUUUCCUUGCAUUGUUUUAGCAUUGUGAUUAUUUUACUUAGUUGAAAUUCUUGAUUAGUUUAAAUAAUAGAGUGAGCUAAAAGCUUUAAUAGUUAAAAGUAAUUCUCAUAGGAUCAAUCCUAACUCCCUAGUAAUACGAGCCAUGACCUUUAUACUUGCAGUGAACUAGGGAAUUAGUUAAAACUUAGAGCCUAGGCUAGAAUCUCGUCGGGUGUAGCGUUAUAAUUGAUAGACUAAGCUAGGAAGUCUAGUUUUUCUAUCUGCAAAUGAUAAAACCUCAAGACAUGUUUAUUUUUUUUUAAAAAAAAAAACCUAAAGAGCGACAACAACUUGCAUUGUUCUUUGAAGCACAUCCUAAUACCCUUAGGGUCCGUUUGCUUCAAUGUAAAAUUUUUUUUCCAAGGAGAACAUUUUCAAUGAAAAAAAUUUUCCUGAAAAAAUUUUCUUUUCCCUUCAUUUUCAGAUGUUUGGUGCAGUUUUAAGAAAAUUUACCACAAAACUAAAACAUACAAGAAGAAGAUUCCCCAAUAGAACCCCUCCAACUACCACCAUCCCAUGUACAUUGGAUUUACAAUCUCAACCCAGAGAGUCAUCCAAUCUCCAAAUCUAUCAAACUCCAUAAUCAGGAAUUCAUAAUUUCUCAAACCAAUUACACAUUGUACCAAUGAAGAUUCAAAUUAAUAAUAUGUCAAUAAAAAUUGCUUCAAUAAUUAAAACCUUAUAAUUGAUCAACCAUCAUAUGGACAAGUAGCUCUUGAAUUCUGUUACAAACUUUUCUGCACAAAAGUCUUCCUCCACUCUAUCUCUUUCACUUUUCUAGAUUUCCCUCACCCAAAAACUUAUCAAGACCCACUCUUGGGAUAGAUUUUCUACAUCUCCAUGGAUGCAUUGUUUAUGCUGGCAUGGGAGGAAAGGAGUAGAAUUGGCGAAGAUGAGGAGGAGGGAAAGGUGGCUAACAAUGGCGUUUUUCGUAGCAGGCACAGGGAUGGAUUUUUAACAAUAGUCUCGGUAUUGGUUUUUGUUAUAUGUUACGAGCAUCUUAAUAGGUAAGCCUUGAAAUGGUUGAUAAGCUUCAUGAGUUUGAUUGAAAUUAACUUCCGUAUGCCUGCUCCAUAAGUCAUUUUACGUCCUGUAGCGUAAAACAUUUUACAUUGGAAAAUAUUUUCCUAACAUCUUCUGCUGCCAAACACCAGAAAAUCCAAAAAAUAUUUUCAGUUCAAACAAACAGACCCUUAAGGUGUGAGAAGUCAAUCAGAGUGAAGAAGCUAAUUUUCAACACUAGUGGAGAAACUUUAGAUACCUUCCUGGUAAAUGAGUCAUGCUACCAGAAAUACAAUGUGGUACCGAUGAUGCACUUGAUGUUUUCUUCUAGUAUUGCCUUUGUUUAUUCCUUUAUCUAGGAUAUAGUUCAGUAAUUGAUGCCUCAUUUACAGAACUUUGAGUUAAAAUUCUUUCGGUAUUAGAUUGAUCAACUCCCAGCUCUUCCACCCUGCUCUCUGAUCUAUUGCUCCGGAAGAAUGCUGGACGAUGUGGAGUUGGCAGGAUAACAGAAUUACUAUUCAGCAUGUAGACCACGGAAGCCAUUAUAGGUCUUCUACUGACAUCUUCUUCAACACACAGUAAGCCAACUUGGACACAUUGAAUGACUUCAUUUUGGGCAUAAGAAUCUCCAAUGCUUGCAUCCAAAAGAGCUAAAGCUUCGCCACGUCUCCAAUGCUCCCAAACCUUUUUGAAAUAAUUCCACUCAUAAGGAGUUCACACCUAAAAACUUCAAUUUGCUCAAACAUAUAGGUGUCACAAGUAAUGGCACCUUUCCAUUAGGCAUUAGUAAAUACUCUACAGUCAAAGUUUAACCAUACACAACCUUCCUUUCCAUCAUUUUAUGUGGCCUGUCAUAUUAGUUAAAAUGCCUUAAAACAAAAAGAAGUAAAUUCUGAGCUACUCUACUAUGUUUAACAAUGUAGAAAUGGCAAAUGAUAAGUCCUAGUGCUGUCAUGAUGGUGAGGAUUCGUAUUGGACAUCUAACUAUUUUCAUUAGGGGUGCCAAGUUCAAAUCCUCCACUGCAAAUGUGCAAAAGCAUAGAACAACAGUAAAAACUGUAGUAAGUUUUUGCAAUUCGCACUUACAUAGCUUACGAGGUCUUCGGAAUCUUCAGAUUGCGAGAAGGUGCUGUUCUUUUUUCCGGUGAUAAUUUCCAAAAUUACAACCCCAAAACUGAAUACAUCUGACUUUACCGAGAACUGGCCCCUCCUUGUGUAUUCAGGAGCCAUGUAACCACUGCAAGGCUCAAUGAUUGUUAUAAUCAGUACUAGGACAAUCCCAAUGAGGCUAUCGAAUGGAGAUGUACAUAAUUUUCUAUGAAAGAUACAACGUCAUUUCAUGCGAGAAAUAUAGUAUGGGCAUAAAACUUACAAUGUCCCAGCAAUUCUAUUUGUAUUUCCUUCAGAUUGAUCAACUCCACAAAUCCUUGCCAUGCCAAAAUCUGCUAUCUUUGGGCUCAUAUUUCCAUCCAAUAAUAUAUUGCCUGCUUUGAGAUCACGAUGAACAAUUCUAAGGCGAGAAUCCUCAUGCAGAUAAAGAAGUCCUCUUGCUAUACCUCCAAUGAUAUUGUAACGUCUUGCCCAAUUCAAUGAUCGUUUAUUUUCUGAAUCUACACAAAUUUAAACACAAUAUAUUGUGUUAGCAAUGAAAGUUACCAAAUUAAUAAUUCCAGAAAGCACAAUCAAAUAGGUAAAUUACACUCUUGGUUCUUAAACUAUAAACACACUCUCAAUUUAGUUUUUAAAAUUCUAUUGUGGACACUUCACCCUAAAGGUUUCAAUUUAUCCCACUUCAGUAUAAUCAGUAAUGAAAUUAUUGAAAUGAAUGAAAUAUUUUGCUCUACUUUGAUCAUCACUUACCUAUUAUCGUUAGUUUUGACAAUUCAUUUAGUUGUUAUACUGAUGUGUGACAAAUUUGAUACUUUAGAGGAUGAAGUAACUAAAAUUAAAGUUUAAAUACUAGAGUUGGAGUGCGUCUAUGGUUUAAGGUUCUAAACUGGAAUUCACUCCAAUGUGUUAUCUAUCAUUUCGCAUAACAUGGUCGAAUCAAGUAAAAUAGAACAAGAUAACAUGGACCAAUAAAAUAUUACUUCAAGUAUGUCUAGUUCGACCCACCAAAGAGAAAGUAGUCAAGGCUUUUGUUGGGAACAAAUUCAUAGAUGAGUAUCUUUUCUUCUCCUUCCAGGCAAAAUCCCAACAGUCGAACUAGAUUUCUAUGUUGAAGCUUUGCAACUACUACAAUUUCAUUUUUAAAUUCUUCUGCACCUUGCCCUGAGCUUCUUGACAGCCUCUUAACAGCUACUUCUUGUCCAUUACCAAGUUCGCCCUGAGUAAACAUGCAUACUAGAAUCUAUUUGAAAUAUUAAACGUGAGAUAUUCAAAUUCACAAAAGCAAAAUAUUUCAUGCAGAGACCUUGUAUACACGGCCAAAUCCACCUUCGCCAAUUUUGUUAUCCACAGAGAAGUUAUUCGUGGCAAUUUGAAUUUCAGUCAAGCUAUACUGUAAGGAUUCGGCCGUUAAGAUAUCAGCAACUCCAUCUACACCUGUAAUAAGCAAAUAUACUCGAUUUAAUGUUAGCUCAAAAACCUUUAAGAUGUCCUGUAAUUGCUAUGAAUAAAAAUUACCAGUUGUUGCGAGUGCCCCAUCAACAUAUCUCUUCCUCAAUCUUCUUUUCAGGAAAACAAAAGACAUCAUAAAUAGCAUAACUGCAACAAUGAUUAGUGGGACAGCAAUCCGAAAAGCUGCUCGUAGGAGGCUUCGCCCUUUGCCUGGAUGAACAGAAGUUUGUUGAGCACCAAAAUUCAGCUUGUAGGAAAUCAAGUUUGUUGAACUUCGGGUUAGUGUCACUCUGAGACAGCGUAUUGCAUAUUCACAAGGCUAAGCCAAAAAUACAGUAUUUGGAAAAAAAAAUUUAAUAUUCUCUAAACAUGUUUUUUUUUAACCGCAUCUGGUACGCUUCAUGUUGACUAGGAGUGGCAAUUUUCAAUACUACCUAAAAAUACGACACAAACCUAACAUGAAAUUAAUGGGUUUGUAUUGAGAUUUCGCGGGUUCGGAUCAGAAUCGAAUCGAACCGAUGGUUCUGUUAAGACUACAAUGGUAAAUUAGUAAAUUAAAAUUAUAUUUUAGAUCAUUCGGGUUGAUCCACCAACCCGAAAUUUUCAGAUUUAAGUCAGGUAUCUAGACCCGUUUUGGAUUGGUGGGUCGUGUUUGGAUCAAUAGGUUAUCUAUUAUACUCGAGUCUCAACCUAACCCGCCAAACCGAAUCUGACUCGAUUGCCACCCCUAAUGUUGACGGUAAAUAAAACAAAAGUUGAUAGUCAAUUUUUAAUCCUAACUAUUUUUGUUAUGGAUUAACACAAUUAAACUCCCCUAAGGUUUCAACAAUUUACAAAACUUAGCUUUGUGUUUGGACCAAAUAAUGGCCGCCCUUUUAAUUGAGGCUGUUAAGACUCACAUUUGGGUCUGUGUUGGUGGCAAUUUGUAAGAAAUCCUAUAAACAACCUAUCAUCUCCAAGAUAUGCCUGACUCAUGAUGACAAUCAGAGCAAAACCCAUUCAAACUUGUAAAUAAGAACUACCACUUCCACUAGCACCCUUGUUCCUACAUACUCCAUUUCCGGGACUAUGAAUAUUCGAUCCCACUUCCUAUUUCAUUCUAUCCCAUUUUUUUUUAUUGUAUCACUAUUUAUCUUUCAUAAAUAUUAUACUUUAAUUUUUUUUUCUUUAUUAAGUUCUAAUAACUAUUAACAAAGUAAUAUACAAAAUUCAACAAACCUCAAAAAAUCAAAAUACAGAGAAAAGACUGUUGUAUUUUAUUUUUUUUACUGUAUUAAUAGUUAUUUGACAACAAGGAAACAAAAAAAAAAGUAAAGAUUAUGUUUACAAAAGAGAAAUAUUAAUAUAAUAAAAAGUGGAAUAAAAAAUCGAAUAUGAAAUAUAACUGAAUAUCUAUUCCCAUUUGGCUAAUCAGAGGUUUAUUACCACUGCCACCAGAACCACCAUAACGACCACCUUAUUUUAUUGUACCUACUCCUAUUCAAUUCCCUCGAGAUCUGGCAUCACCAAGUAAUUUUCUCCUUUCUAUCUUUCCUUUGCUUCAUACGCUUACAUAAAUGAUACAUACAUACAUAUAUAAAUGCAUAUAUGAUAUUUUGUUUGUGGAAUUUGAACAUAUGUAAUGAUAGUGGUUGUAGAGGAGAUUUGGGCAACUUUUUUUUUUUUGUUUCCCUAGAAUGAAAGGUAAUGUAGAUUUUGAAAACUUUUAAUGUACGGCAUAGUUUGGUAGUCUGAAAUUGUGUGCUAAACGGUUAAAACCGAGUCAAUGAGAAGAUUGGCUGUGUUAAGUAAUGUUCCCUACUUUUCGGAGCUCGGAAUCAGGAGGCCAUGGAGUGAAUAGUGAGGUAAAGGGUAAAGACAAAUGUUUGUUAAACAGAACGAGGAGGAGAAGAGGUUGACCAUUGUCCGUUAACAAGGACAAUGCUAUACAUUGAUGGGUAUUUUGGACAUCUAGCAAGUCUUUCUGUUGACCAUUCAAGUUUAAGCAGAUUAAGUAAUGCCGAAGGGAAGGGACUUCUUGUCAUAGGCUUACCAGCAUUGAUUAGUAAUGGGGUCAAACUUUAAGAUGCCAAAUGUCAUGAGAGAUAAAUGCACAAAAGAUUUUGUAUCAUUUCCUAUUCCAUUCCUUGUCCCACUUUAGGUUAUAUUACCAUGUAUCUUUUAUGAAUAUCUUAUUUUAAUUCUUUUUUCUCUUAGAAUUUUAACAACCACUAACAAUGUCAAAAACAAAGUGCAAUAGACUAAGAAGCCAAAAUUUAAUUUAAAAAUCAUAUUUUUUAAUGAAUUUUCUACUAUAUUUUUUGUUUCUUGAUCAUAUAUUGGUUUUUAGUUGAUAUAUUUUGAUUUUUUUUAACGCUAUUAGUCGACAUUGGACCUCAAGGCAAAAGGAAAGCAUGAUUAAAAUAGAAUGUUCAUGAAGAGUACAUGGCAAUACAAUAGAAGGUGGAUAGAAAAUAGGAGAGAAGAUCCAUUGUGAGAUAAAUGUAAUUAAACAUUUAAUUACUAUGAAUUUUAAUAAUUAACUUCUACAAUUGAUGAUUUAGUGCUUCACCUCAUAAUCUCCUAAUGCUUUCGAAAUGAUCACUUUACCCCCUCCCUUUUUGCUUUCUGGUGAAGUGGAUUGCUUUUUUUUUUCUCAUGGUUAACUGAACUUGAAAGUGGGUAAAUACGGUAUUUGGUUGAUUUCAUUGCUAAUUUUUGUUUUGAACAUUUUUUCCCAAUUAAUUUUCAUUUUGGAUCUUUAAACUAGACAUGUACACCUACUUUAGUCCUUAAAUUUUAAUUUAGGACAUUUUAUUCUCUAAAGUAUGAAAUUCGUCCUUAAACAUUAUUUUUUUUAAUCUUGACAACAAGUUCUGUCACAAAACAAAGAAAAACUUAAUCGCUCCACCUUACAAAAAGACAACUGAAUAAGGUAAAAUUGUGAUUUUGAAACCACAAGAUUGUGAGGCAAAACGUUAAACCACAAAGGGGUAAAUUAAUUUACCUAUUUUAAUGUUAGAUUUCAAACAAGCGAAAAAAAACAUAUUACACUAGAAUGUAAAAUCUUUUACAUGCAUACAAUGCAUCCUCGAUCUUCUUCAAUGCCUUUGUUUAAAUUUGGGAAAACUAAAAUGGAUUGUUCUUUGCAUUACGCCAUAAUAAGUUCAUUUGAAAAAUUUUUAAAUCAACAUUGUCCAUAAUAUACCUCAUUAAUUAUUUUAUGAUUAAUCAUUACAAAAUUUUCCAUGAUCUUGAACUCUUUUAUGCUAUUUAAAUGUUUCUUGCAAAUUGAAUGCAAAUACUUUCUCAAAUGGACUUUCUCAUUAUGUAUGCUGAUCAACUAAUCAAAACAAAAUAAUAUAGUAGAUAAAUGGAUAAAUUACUAAAGGAAAACAAAGUGGAGAGAAGGCCAACCCAUUUUCGUACAUCAAACCAUCAUACCUAAGGGGAUUCUAUAAUGGCCACCAUACUGCUAUUUCAAUAAACAUGCAAUAGUUAAUCACUGUCCUAAUGGUUGCAAAAUGACUAAGUAUGUACAUAAUUAUUGGCCUAAGAAGUAUGAGUCCACUUAAAAUUCUUCCAUAAAAAUGACAAUUCAUGAUGAAUGUGAUCAGUACGACGUGAUUAUGCUGAAAUCUUAACAUUAUGUAUUCCACUAUUGUAUAAAGUUACGUGGUGGCCUCCUUUAGGUAUGUAUUUUAUUUUGAGAUUGAAUCCACACCCUCUCAUCUUAUAUCCACAUAUUGUACAAACUUCAAUACUAUUAAUUCCAAUUAUAAAUGCUUGAAGGCAUGGAUUCAAAUGAAGGGUGUGUGGAUUUAAUUCUUUUCAUUUUCGGCCCGGAAUCUGAUACAAACAAGAAAUCGUAAGCCUGCAUACAAGCCCAAAAAAGACUGCUAUAUAUAACAAUGCUCCAGAACUUACCUUUAGUGGAACUAGAAGGAGGACCACCAGGAGAGUUUGCCGGAAGCGGUGGUGCAGAGGAUGUAGGCGGUGGUGCAGAGGAUACACUACCGUAGAAGGGGUAAACCUCAUACCUUACCUUACAGCUUGGUAACAUCACUCUACCUCCCACUCUGCCAUUACAACACGAGGGCAGCAAUGAUAUAGCAUUGCUGAGACAAGUUUCGCAGUCUAGAGCGGAUAGAUCUGGUGUGCACUGCGCAAGGGUAUACAAUUUCUUGUUACCCGUGGAAUAGUCGCCUUCUCGAACAGCAAACAUUUUCGCCCCCGUUCUAUUUGCAGCCUGAACCGCAAUGUCAUUCACCAGGUUUUCCAACGUUGUUUCGAACUUCUCCUGGUCCCGUCCAGUGACAUUUUGUACAUUGUACAUAGCAAAAACAACGUAGACAUCGACCCUGGAGAAAAUUGCCUGGUUAGAAAAGCGUAAGAAGCACUCCUCGUACCAAACAAUAGCAUCCUCGUGAUACGGGCACUCCUCAAUUACUUUUAUGCCGGCUAUUGCUACGCAUUGUCCACAAACGUCAGUGCUGACAUCGCCUCGACAGAGAAAGAGGCCAUAGACCGUGUUAGAAGGGUCAUUGCCAGUACUGAUAUUGUAGAAACCACCGGUGUCUGUCCGAAAUGCAUUUGAAGAUAGAGCGGCAAGCACGGAAUACAGAUUGUUACUGUAAAUCCUGCCGGAAAUACUGUUAGGUUCGUAUGUAGUAUUUACACAGUAAGACGAAAGAAAAUUAACGGGGCUAGUGAGUGUGGUAUGAAAGCUAAGCAAACAAAGCAUGCAAUAUUGGAAGUGGAACAACAAAUUUCUGGAGAUCAUUUCACAGGCAGGGAUCAAAAGAAUAAAAGGCUAAAAAUACACAAAUUACAGUUGUACAAUAGGAGCCAAAGUUUUGGUUGAGGGACCAUGAAAAUUGUACAGGCCAGGAAAACGUGUAGUCUAGGAAGACUUAUUUUAGCAAGUCGGUCAACGAAGUGCCUGGACGGGAACCAUCAGCUGAAUGGUCUGUAACCAGAAUUCUCUCUAUACGUCCUUUAUGGAUUUUGACGGGAGUGGAAAAUUCGAGGAUGCUGACAAUAUUGAAGAAUGUCAUUGUGACAGAUUAAUGGAGACCAAGCUAAAAGCUAGUGCUCUAAUCGUCCCAAAUUCAAUCUCUAUUUGGUAGUAGAAUCGUUCAACACUACUGGGUUUUAACUUUGGAUUAUUCUUUCUAAACAUUGUCAGUGUAAAUCCAUUUCACACUAAUAAGAUGCAUGACACGUAAAUUUUAUUCAAAAUUUAAAUUCAUUUUUAACAAAUAUAGCAUGCACCUAGAUAAAAAAAUAAAUCUUUAUGCUGAUGGUGUAGAUUAGAUUAAUCCUAUUUUUAAGAAAGAGUUCUUUAGAUACGCUUGAAAAAUCAUGUAAAGUCUAUCAAAUUGUUUCUUUUGUCGCCUUUAUACGAAUGGACCCCUACAUGGAAAGAAAUAUCCAGCCAUUUCGCCACAAUUGACAGCCAAUUUUAUGUCCGCCACUGCUUUUCAAAUCAAGUUUAAUUUUCUAACGUAUUUAUUUACAAUGGUGCCUGCUGCAUUAGUAAGAUAUAUCUUGGGCUGUAAAAUAGCCAGGGUUCAUGCCUUAGUUGAUACAGGAGUAACCACUUUGCUAGUUGCCUGGACAUGAGCCAUCGGAUGACUAGUCUGUAACUAAAACUUCAAUACGUCAUUAAAGGAUGCUAACAACAUCAAAACAACGUCAUUGUGAAGGAUAAUUGUAAUUCUACUAAUGCUCCAAAGAAUAAGUUCGACCCAAAUUUAAAAAAAAAAAAAAAAAAGUUGACCCAAAUUGAAUCUCUAUAUUGCAGUUCAACACCGGUUUUAAGAAAGAGUUCUCUAAAUAUAGUUCAAAGGGUAAAUGAUACAUGGCCCGUGGAUUCAUUCAUUGUCACAUGACUCUAUUAAUAUUUACAAAUAUCCAUAUAAACUUUCUAUGGUUUCAUAUAAAGUGAACAUUUGACGGAAAAAUAACCUCUAAAUAUAUUAAUUUGAAAUACCAGUAUUACCUUUAGGGUAAAUUUCAGAAACCUCCCCUGAGAUUUAGCACCCCUUGAUUUUGAGAAAUCACACUUACAACCCUAGGUAGAAUGAAGUGACAUGCUGUCCUAAUCAGUAAUGGAGAAAUUACCAUGCUACCCCCUAUUAUUAAGUAUUUCUUGUGCAGGAAAAUGCUGCAAAAAAAAAAUUGAAGCUAUAUUAAUUCAAAAUUGAAAGAACAUGAUUCCUAUCAUCUUUGGCCCACAAUUUGAGUGCCAUUUUUGUUAUAUCAGGGCUUUUCCAAGUGGUUUUAACGAGGCUAAAGGCUCCUUGCAGUCCUUACUCUUCGUUUUUGAAGUAGUACAAGUACUUCGUGUCAUCAAAAUGUAUGAUAAGAAGACUUAUUAAUUAUUGUAUUUUUUUAUGCAUUUCAUCUGGUGGAAUAUGCAUUGCCAUAUACUAAUCUUAUAAUAUAUAGCAACGCAUUGAUGCACUAGUUGCUUGGAAAGACACGUUGAUGCAUUAGUUGUACGAACAAAUAUGAAUAGUAGCACACUUUUUGGAAUCUUAGUUUGGCUUAGACUUAGCUAAACAUGUGACCAUGGAAAUGCACAUCUGAUUGCAUUGUCACAAGUACCACACAAAACAGGUUCAACUUCCUCAGCUUUCUACUUUGAAUUGCCUAUGACUAUGAAGGCUAAAACAGUUGGUGAACAAUUAUAGCAUUGCAUGUUGUACUUGGACUUCAUCAAAUUGAUUUUGUAAUCUCAAUAAAAAUGUAGAUAGCAAUCAGUAUUAGAUUGAUGCAUCAGUUGCUCCAAUUUGCCCAAAGAAAAUCGAUGGUGAAUGAUAUUGUUAUCUUGUUUCCAAGCUACUUUAUACAUCUUAAGCACCAGAAGGUUGGAAUGGUCCUGCCCAACGGUCCUCUACAGUAUCAAUGUUAAGAAGCUUCUUGUGCUUAUUGCACUUACACCCCUUUAGCUUCUAAAAUAAUAUCACAUUAUAGCUUUGUUUUUAUUUUCAUAUUGUAAAUUCAAAACUCAUCUUCCAGCAGGGCAAAAGUGGAACAGAAAAAUAGUCUCUCUCCUAUAAACAAUUUUUAAAUACAAUUCUUAUGCAAAAGGGCUGACAAUGUGAUGAAAGUUGUCAUUCUAAGGGUGGUAAGUGUGAUUUCUGAAAGUUGGGGGGGCUAGGUGUGAUCGGAGAAAACCUCGGGGGAGAUUUCUGAAAUUAACCCUUACCUUUAUUUAAACAUUAAUUCAAACAAUGACCAGACCAUCUUACAUAAAAUUAUAGGAGAAUUAUGUAGAUAAAUGCGAAAUUUAUAGAGGAUUAAAAUAGAUAUUCAUACAAAUCAUACGGGACAUUAAGUAUAUAUCAUUAUUUCGUCACGUGCAUUUUUGGAGCACUUCUGUUCAAUCACUAUAGCCAUUGAUGUUUUCUGUCUAUUUAUCAUAUCCCAUGAAAUCAUAGGGCGUUAUGGGGAUAUUUUGAAAUCUAAGGGGAAUCAUGUGCCAAUGAAAAACCAAGGGAGGUUAUGUGUAAUUUACGACAAGAUCAUGUAAAGUCUGUCACAUUUUAAUUGGACUAAAACUUUCCAAUAAUUUUCAUUGUCAAAAAUGCCAAUAAAUUGUCACACUACUUUUAAUUCUCUACGGUUCCUUGUGUUUGGUUAAGUGGACAAAUCAUAAGACAAGCAUUAAUUUUGAAGGAAAGAAACGUCUACCCAUUUUUUAAUGACCAAUUCCAUGUCUGUGCUGGAUUUUCGAACAUAUUUACAAGGGUGCCUGCAGCAUUAGUAAGACGCAACUCAAAAGGUAAAAAUAAACAAUUUUCAUGCCUUAGGAGCGACCACUAUGAUCUUUGUUGGUCUUUGUAUUUGCAAGAAACAUGUCACAAUAAAGCUACACGUGUAACUCCUCAUUUAUAUUAUCAAUUUUGAUAAUCCAUUUGCUUGUUAGCAUUUCAUUGCAAUUCUUAUUUUAAAUUUAACUUUUCAGGAUUGUUUUUCUAUUCGUAUUGUUUCUUUGUUCAUGUUAAGAAAUUAUUGUGCAGAAUUUUAUAUUUGGAUUCAAUAUUUUCAUUAUCAAAUUUGUCCAAAUGUUCAUGUUGUUCAUAAAAUGCUUAAUCUAGUUUAGAUAUUUAUUCUGUUUGGUAAUUAUUAUAAGGCGCAUUCUUCUAGGACCUAUUAGUAUUUUAUUUUCAUAUAUGCUGAAAUUAUCAAAUGGGAAUAAUUUGUAUUGUUUCAGCCAUUAUUAACAGUUAUGAUUGCCCGAACAGGAAAAAGAAUAAUAGAUUUUUGUAAAACUCAAAAGAAUUUAAAAGACAAAGGAUUUUUCAAGAAUGAAAAGGUACUGCUAUUCUCUUGCUCCACAUUGGAACUUUAGCAAACCUAAAUACCUAAGAUCAGAUAACUGCAGAAGUGUUAAGAUUGAGGCAGGUGUGGAGCUACGUUGCCCCCUCCCCACCUUAGCUUCCGAAAAAUACCCUACUAGUUGUGAAGAUUUUUAAUAAGUUUUAAUAGUUGCACUUCUUGAAAUUAAAAGAGUGGGGGUAAUAUGUAAAACACGUACACCUAUUAAUAUUUAACAAAGAGAGUUUCAGAUGAUCAAUUACUUAUGUAACACUAGUAAUUAAAUAAUAAAAUUGACAAUGAAUUAGCUCUUAUUUUGUAACACGACCAAACGCGAUGAUCUAGUUUUUAGGAAAAAAAUCAAGGAACAAAUAAAAGGUGAAAAUAUAUAUAUUUAUCCUUCCACCCCUCUCCACCCCAACUAUUAGGUACAAGAAAGAGUCCUUCCUUUGACCAUUGACCAACUUUAGCAUGGAUUUUUUAGUCUUAAAGCUUUAGUUACUUUAGUCUUAAAAAAGUUUUCCAACGUUGCAAUAUUUCUGCUGAUCUGUUAACUUGUGGUUUAAAAGAGGGUUGAAUUACUCCGGGUGUCUCAGAAGUUGGAUAAGACCAAGGAUGUGUCGAACUCAGUCAGGGCUAGCUAAAUACGACAGGCGGACCCAUAUUAAGAUUGUUGUGGAUGAUUUCUCUAGUGAUUUGGGUAAAGACCUUGAAAGGAUUAAAACGGCGAUUGAAGAGUUCACAUUUGCAUAUUUUUCUAACUUCGAAGACAACACCAAAUAAAAAAAAAAACAAAAAAAAAGUAAUUAUUGCAAAUGUAGAGCUAAAUCUAUGAUUUGCAGACUCCAAUUCCACGAUUUGCUGAGGGAGAGAAGAGAAAAGGAAAAAUGAAAAAAAAAAAAGAGAAGAAAUGGAGAGAGACAGAGAGAGAAAAAAAAAAUUGGCUUAAACCUGCCUUAGUUAUAGUCGCUUUUACUUUUGCCCUGAUUGUUUGUUAAAAGAGUUUUUGGUUAUUUUCAGGCCAUAAGUGGUUGAAAUUAGUGAUUUCGAUCAUAUUAGACCUCUUAUACUUUUAUGAGGAAAGUAAAAUCACCAUUUUAAAUUUAAGGAAUGACAAAAUUCCACUGGCGAAUUGGAAGGUAUAUUUUGGACGAUUUUCCUUCUAUAUAUAAAGCAUGAGGCAUGGUUUUAGUGUUAAAAUUUUUUUAUCAUCUUUUAUUUUUCCAAAAGUAAAGAUUUACUAUAGAUAACUACUAAAAUUCAAUAACUUCCAAUAAUUUCUAAUAAUUUCUUUUUUAUCUGUUAUUUCUUUGGCAAAAAAAAAAAAUCAUACUUCUUUUGUAUUUUUGUUUGCAACAAAAAAUAUAAAAGUUAUAAUAACUUCCACUGGCAUGAAUAAAUAUAACUUAAUUUUUUAUUAAUUUGCACACCAUAUGGCAUGCUUUUUCCAUUGAUCUUUCUAUAUAUAAAGCAUGAGCCAUGCAGGGGUGGAGCUAGAAAAAAAUUCAAUGGGGGCAAAUUUAAAAUGUGAAAUUGUGCUACUUUCAAAUUUUAAAUCCCUAUCAAAAUUCUUAAUAAAGUUUUAUCUAUUUGUGAAGGUGAAACAACAAGAGAGCUAGCAAUUUUUACAAAUUUAUAUGUGUUGAGAAAAAAAAAACAGCAACUUUUCGAAUGGAUUUGUAUGGUGAGAGCAAAUUGGACAAGAGUGAGAAGAAGAAUAAAGAUAAAGUUGAAUCUUUGGUGAUUGGUUUUUAUUUAUAUGUGAGAGGCGAAAUGAGUUAUUUAUUAUUUUUAAUCAAUCUUCUUGGAGUAGACAAAGUGAUAAAAAAGAAUAAUAUUACUUAAAUAUGUUUAAAAAGAAACUAAAAUCUUGUUGAAGAGCGGUGGGGCAAUAUUCUCUAAUUAUAGGGGUAAAGGUAUGAACUUGUAUGUGUCAAAUUCGAACCAGUGUUUGCAACAUCUUCUAGCACCAUAAAACUAAGCCUCAACCCCUAUUAGAUUAUACUACAGCCCACACCAUCCCAUCACUUAUCUCAAUAUUAGGGAUUCAUUCGAUCAGCAAUCUUACCCUUCAAUUGUCAAACAUAAAGGGCCGACACUAAAUCCUAGAGAUGGCAAAAUGGGCAAAUUGAUGGGUAUAAAUGGAAUUAGAUUCGUAUCAAACCCAAUCUCAAAAUUGGAAAAUCCAUCCUGUCUAAAGGAUGGGUAACCCAUUGAAAUUUGGGACAGAUUGCUAUCACCACUAAAUCCUAACUCAAGGGUUCAACCGAUCAAACUAUGGAGACUACAUCACAACACACAUUGGUUCGAAAACUAGAGAAAGAGUCCUUAAUAUGUAAGUGAGGACUCAAAACUAAUAAUUUGAACUUUUUGGUCAAUGAUGGAUUCCUGACUUAAUUACAUACUGGGUCUUUUUGGUGAACUCUCUCUGGUGUUUCCCCGAAUCUUCUAAUUGCGAGAUUGGACUACUCAUAGGCAAGUGAAUUUUUCUCAGAGUUGGAUCAAAGAACUUCUCUUCUUGGUGGUGGGCUAAAGUGCCAAGGAGAUUGGCUAGUGUUGGACUAAGUGCGCCAUGGGUUGGCAGGAGCUUGGAACCCAAUUUGGAUAUUGAAGAAGAGUGGGUCUAUGAUUGAGAGAAGACAUGACCUUGGACGUUAAUGUGGGUUUGCAUUGAGAUUUGAAGUGUGCUUGAAGAAGAGCUUAUCUUGUUGGUGAUAGACUGAAGUGCCAAGAAGUUUGACUACUGUUGGACCAAGUAUGCCAUGGGUUGGCCGGGUUUGAAAUCCAGUUUGGAUGUUGAAGAAUAUUGGAUCUAUGAUUGGUAGAGGAAAUGACAUAGAUGAUAUGGUGGAAUUGCGUUGAGUAUUAAAGUAUCUUGAAAAAGAAUUUGUUACUCAUGAAGAGGGAGAUUAUUAGACUCAUGAAUAAAGAAUUAUGUCUCAUGUUAGUUUGAGAGAGAGAGAAAGAGUCCUUAAUAUGUAAUUGAGGGCCCGAAACCCAGCGGUUUAACCUUUUUCAUCAAUGUUAGGUUCUUAACUUACAUAUUUGGUCUUUUUAGCAAGCUCACUUGAGUGUUUCUCCCUAACAAGUUGUGAUUCAACUACUGAACAAACAUGUUUCAAAGUAUACAACAAUUUAAUGACAAAUAAUGAAAAAUGUUUAUCCCUAACAAGUUUGUUGUGAUCUAACUGCAAGAUAAACGUCUCAAAGUGUACAACAAUUUAAUGACAAAUAAACUACAAACAUGAAAAUAAACGAGACACGAGAUUUUUAUGAGAUUAUAAUAACUUGAACCUAAAUCCAGCCCUUGUAUAUUUUUUCUUAUCUCUUGAGUGUUUCUCCCUAACAAGUUUGUUGUGGUUCAACUGCGAAACAAACAUGUUUCAAAUUAUACAACAAUUUAAUGACAAAUGAUGAAAAGUGUUUCUCCCUAACAAUUUUGUUUUGAUCCAGCCGCGAAACAAACAUGUCUCAAAGUAUAUAACAAUUUAAUGACAAAUAAACUAUAAAUAUGAAAAUAAAUUGGACAAAGGAUUAUUAUGAGAUUAUAACAACUUGAACCUAAACCUAACCCUUAUAUAAUUUUUCUCACCUCCCAAGAACUCUCUCUCAUCUCAUGUAUAAGGCUACAUAAUGCCAACAAUACCUUCUCCGAUGGACUCUCCGAUGGGCAAGGGAAAUAGGAAAAUUGCAAUGUGACUACCUUAAGGGAAGAUAAGAAGUCUCCAGGCAUCAAUUUGGUUCCUUCACGGUUGUCGGCAGGCUCAUCUGAAUAAUCCUGUUAGGUGAAGUUAUAAAAAAAAAAAAGGAAAAAAAAUGAAAACUGGUUUCAACAAGGGAUGAUCUCUAACUUUACUAUUUCAAUUACUUUAUCUAAACAGUGCCAUAGUCGGUUUGGCAGCAGAUGCAUGAACUUCCACUCCAGUCUGGACCGAUAAAGCUACAUACAGAAUCUGUUUUAUCUUUUGAAAGAUUCAAGGACGCCAUUUUUGUUUAUCACUGCUGUAGCAUCUUUCUACACUUGAUGCCACAAUAAUCAAUUUCUGAGACUCCAUUGCAUUACCUUUUGAAUUCUCAAAUGAUGCGCCUAUUUGGUUUAGGGGGAAUACAGGUGAAAAUUCAAUUUUCUUGUUACCAAAUACAUUGAAUUAUUAUUGAAGCCUAGAGUCAAUUGCAUCUAAGAAGCCCUUGCCUUUUCCCAAUUAACUUAGAAUUAUCGAAUUCUAUCUUCCAACUAACAAGGGAACCAACCAACCAAUUCAAGUUCUAAUCCAACAUCCAAGUGAUCUUAGCUAGUUUCAGUUCUGGUUUUGAAAAAUAGGAAGUAUGGACCAGAAAAGAAGUGGAAGUAGGAAAUUAUUGGACGGUAAAGAAGAUAGAAUCAGUGAACUUCCCGAAAGUGUUUUGAGUCGCAUCCUAUCCCGUUUACCAAUAGAGGAUGCUGUUAGAACUAGUGUUGAUAAAUGCGAGUACAAAUGAACUUCCAUUUAUAACUUAACCUUUGAUGAAGGAAAGAGUUUUCGAUACUCGCACAAGUGAGGCAAAUGGACGCGGCAGAAGGAGCCUAAAAAGACAGAUUUUAUGGACUUUGUGGACAGAGUGCUUCCUCUUUCUAAGAAUUCAUCUAUCAAAGAGUGUCACCUCUUGUUUCUAGAUGCCUAUGAUUCAUUCCGUUUGAAAACUUGGAUCACCGCUGCUCUAAGAGCUAAUGUCCCGAGGCUUUGUAUUUCAUACGAAGGGAACUUAGUAUUUCCCCGUUGGUUUUUCACAUUUGAUUCCCUGACGAGGUUGAAACUCAAACUCUGAAAGUUUAAAAUUCCAAUGACCAUAUGUAAUUCAAACCAUCGAACUUUGGAUAUCCAUGAUAUUGAAUUCCAGAACGGUGGCCCUUCUGGCCAUAUUUCUUACCUACUUUGUCAUUGAAGAGUUUCUGUCAUCAGAUUGCUAAUGGAGGAAUGUGAAUAAGCUUAAAAUACAGGCACCAAUGCUUGCUAGGUUCGAGAUAACAGGCUCCAUCUUUGAACAUCUGUGAACGUGCAAAUGACGGAACAACUGACUGGAAAAUAGAGAUUUGUAGGGGCAACCUUGCAAAUUUCAAAUGUAGUGUUGAUAAGUUCGCCAAUAUCUAUUUUUCUGGCCUAUCAAGAAUUGUUGAUGCAUCUCUAGAGUAUUCGGAGCCUGAAAUGAAUGACAAUAUUAACCAAAGAAGCGAGACAGGUGUUCGAGCCUGUGAUCUUGACAAGAUUCUCUGUUUUCAUCAGCUUCCUGGAACUAUCUACUGAUCUGGUCGGGGUAAAGAUUCCCCUUUAUGCCAGUUUCUAAAUCUCACCUCAAGCAAAAUUGUUCAUUUAUAGUUCUUCAGAAUUUAAGUUUGCAAUUACCUCUUGCUAUUCUCUUUCAUUAUUCACGCAAUUUGAGAUUGUAGAUAAGAAUAUAGAGGCAAGUAACAGGCUCAGUCUACGAUAUAUCAUGACUCAUGAGUUAAGACGUCUUGCCAUUCUGAUAAAUGAUUAGCUUCAUGAUGUACAUGAUCUUGCUAGAAAAUACCCCUAUGCCUUUUUCUUGUGUUGUAUCUUGACUGAUGCUUAUGGCUGUAAAUAAGUCUAAUCAAACCAAACAUCAAACUAUUCAAACUUCUUUGAUUAUUGUAAAAAGCUUGAAAUUGUUUUUGAGCUUGCUUUAUUUAUUUAUCAAGCUGAUCUCAAAUGAGGUUUUACCAAGGCAAGCUCGAGUAGGUUGCGUUUUCUUAUCUACAACUUCUAAUUUUCAUUUUUAUACUUUGAAAGUUGAUGCUAUUCAAGUUUGACUUGAUUAGUUAGCGAACCAAUUCUAAACAAUCUCUUAUUGAGCUAAACUAGUUUCAAGUAUGGAGUAGGUUGGUUCACCUUUCAGCCCUUCUAAUGCUAGCCUAAUUGCCCGAUCUCCUCAAGGUACUUGCUGGUGCGAAUCCGCAAUGUCCUCCUCUUUUCUUUUAUGAGCUUGCCCACCUCAAAGUGUAUUCAGCAAGCAUUCCAAUUCAGUGUGAUGCAGCACUCAUGAAGAUGGCACCAGGUCUUGAAUCACUUACAUUUGCUGGGGGUAAAAUAAAGAUUACCAUUUCCACGCUCCUAAAAGUCCUUUUUUUUUUUUGCAGACUUCGUUAACUUUUGUGUUUAUGUGCUUUGGUGGUUCCUUAAUGUUUAACCUGUAGUCCUAUUCAUUGUCUUCCUUGUUUAUCUUCAUUAAACAGGAAUUGUCGAGGCAAGCUGCUGAUUACUACGAUCAAAUUCAAUUGUUGCCUGGAUAUCUAUCUUUCCUCAAGGUAAUCAAACUGGUAUAUUUGUACUUUCAUAAGCCAACGGAGAGUACUUUGGUGAAAUUUUUUCUGCGGAAUGCUGUAAAGCUUAAGGAGCUGUUGAUUUAUUCACAGCAUGAGGGGCAUAAGGUGGAUGAAGUUAGAGAUCAUCUGCUAAUGUUUCUCCAAUCCCAUGAUUGGAGAACUCUAAGAGCUCUAAGAGUCUAAUUGCGAGGAGAACUCUAAGAGCCUUGUUUGAAUUAUGGGCCAAUUCCAGUGAUUGCAGGUUAAUGAAAGUUGCUACUAGCCCACUGAACACUUGUCACCACAAGUAACUGGACAAAUUAAAGGGAAAUGAAAACUUUUCACCAAGAUGACUAGAACAAAAUUAUGCAUUCAUUUUUCCAUAACAAUUAGGGGUAUCAAGUGGGCCUUACGAGUUAGAUUUUACGAAGUCCAAGUUUGGCUUAUAAAAAUAAAGUAGCACUUUCAUGUUUUGGGACUCAGUAUCUAGGCUCAAUCUGUAAACUCAUACUCAGUUCACCAAAAUACAAGAGUUUUGGCCCAAUUCGAACUUGGCCCAAAUUCACAAUUAAUACAUAAUUUUAAAAAUAAUAUACAUAUAAUAUUUAUAUUAUUGUAUCAUAAUAUAUAUAUGUUAUAAACUAUUUACAUUAUAAUAUAUAAUUAUUAAAUAACAUACAUCAUUAUGAAUUAAAAAAAAUAGCUAUUUAUGUACUUAAUUGGUCAGGUCGAGCCGAGUUUUAAUCGAAUUGAGUCUCUUUAAACUCAAACUCGACUCACAAUUUAAUCGAGUCUUAACCUUAACCUAACCCUACAGCCCAAUAAUAUGCAAGGCUCGACUCAAAUUAAUUCGGAUCAAAUAGGCUGAGUUUAGGUUGAUCCAACCCAUUAACAACCCUAAUGGCAACCACUAUUUUUCACUUUCUUUUGGGUAUGAAAACAACCUACUUAUAUAAAUAGUUGCCCAGCACUGAAGCCUUUAUUCUUUUUUUUUUAAUUCUCCUACUACUCUCUUAAAGCCAAGCACAUUACCAACUAAUUUGUAUUUCUUAGACAAGAUUAUUUCAUGCAUUUUAGAUUAUUUUUUAUUUUCAUGAUGGUUUUUCAAUUAUUUUUGGUAAAAUAAUUAUAUUCAAAUACUCUAUUUACUUAAAAUUUUUCAUAAAAUAAUUUAAGAAAAUAUUUAUACAUGUACAAGGCAAAAGAAGACAUUCCGCAGAAACAUUUUAUGAAGAGUGCAUAAAACAAGUAUAUUUGUUUAUUUAAAAUAUUGUUUUUCUUAGGUACAAUUUUCCAAGGAAAUGUUUGUAAAAAGGUACAAAGAAUGAGUAAAAAAAAAAAUGAAAGACAUAAAGAAAGGAAGAAUGAAAGGUUGCAAUUUUUAUAAAAUUCGUAAAUAAGGCAAAAGGAUUAAAAAAACACGUUAUUAGCAUUACAUUGAGGACAAUAUGUUUACAUUGAUAUUGAUGCAGACAUGCAUCCAUAUGCACAAGUAUUGGUGGCUUUUUCCUCUUUUAUUUUAACUGUGUGCACAUCUAAACAAGUAUUGUUAGCCUUUUCUUUCGUAUUAAUGCUCAAUAAUUCUAUCUUCUAAGUGAGAUAUAACCACCAUGAAGGUUUGGUAAGGGCAACUUUCAUGUGCAAAAAGUUACAAAAUUAUACAGCUUUUCCACCUUGAAUGUCACGGAGUUGAUCGUUUUACCAAAACUGUAGCUCCUGGGCUUGAAUUAUGUCAUAUCAAGUAAUGACAGUUCCAUUCAAAGGGUUAAUUCUUAUACGCUGUCAAUUGCUUCAGGCUUGCAUUUAUGUGAUAUAGCAGUUCCUAUAUGAUAUCGUUAUCAUUGAGUAAUGUGAAGGCAAAUAAUUGACCUGAAUCUGAGCCCUAUAACUGGAGCAUUUGCACUUGUUAUGAAUUGUAAACAUACCCAAGUCCUUAUCCUGCAGAAGUAUAUCAUAAUGCAAAGAAAUAUUGGUCAAAUUAGUUUCUACCAGGUCUGUUUCUUUUCUUGUGAUUGUGUGCAUUGCAGAAUACUUGAUAUCGUAGAUGUGAGAUUGUAUGGCUGUGUGUGUAGAUCAAAAGUGAGUACUUUGUAAUAUUGAAAGUUGACUAGAUUAAAUAUCUUUCUUUACUUCUUUUUCGGGUAAAUUACAUUUUACCCCCCUGUGAUUUACCCUUUUUUUACAUAACCCCCCUAUGGUUUCAAAAGCUAUACAAAACCCCCUCAUGGUUUGGAUUAAAGUGUCAAAGUAACGGAAAUAGUCACUCGUAACGGAACUUCUAAAAAUGUCGAAAUUACCCUUAUAAAUACAUGACACAUUAACCCCCUAUGAUUUUUAUAUUUUACCAUAUAACCCCCUAUGGUUUAAUACUUUACCAUAUAACCCCCUUAUGAUUUUCAAAACAUACACAUAACCCCCCUUGGUUAAUACAUAAAUUUCAACCUUACAUAAGGGUAUUUUUGACAUUUUAGGUGACACCGUUACGAGUGACUAUUUCCGUUACUUUGACACUUUAAUCCAAACCAUAAGGGGGUUAUGUAUAGCUUUUGAAACCAUAGAGGGGUUAUAUGAAAAAAUGCUAAACCACAGGGGGGUAAAGUGGAAUUUGCCCUUCUUUUUCCUAUGUCACUUCAAAAUUGAUUAAUACAUUCAAUCCCAGGAUCUACUCACAGCUAAUAGAAUUGCUGCACACAAAAGGCAAUUAUGCAACAUCCCUAUCAUUCUGGUACGUUUCUUACUAUUUUGAUAACCAUACAUAAUUUUCGUCAAAGGAAUUCGUAAUAUCAAUAAGGUGACAUCUCCAAGUUCUGCAUAUGAGAGCACUAAAAUGCCUUUCCUGUCUCAAUUGCUUUAUCUGCACAGUUCCAUAGUUAGCCUGGUCAGAGAUGCAUGAACUUCCCCUCCAAUAUGGAGUCGUAAAGCUACAUACUGAAUCAAUUCUAUCUUUUGAAAGAUCCAAAGACACCAUUUCUUAUUUUUCAUUUCUCAAGAGGAUAAAUAUGGAUAGCAUUUAUGAUAUACGAUUAUUGGAAGAAUUCAUUUGCGAGAAAAAAUGUGGAACCUGUGUGUAUGUUUGGAAGUAGUUCAUGAACCUCGUACACUGUAGCAUCUAUCUAUAUUAAUGCCACCAAUACUCAAUUUCUGAGACUCCAUCUGAUCACCGUUUUAGUUCCUAAAUAUGCGUACGUAUGGUUUAGGGAGAGUACUUGUGAAAAGUCAGUUUGCGUUUUCCUUGUUACCAAAUACAUUGAAUUAUUAUUGAGAACCUUAACAGUGUCAAUUGCAACUAAGCAGACCUUCCGUUUUCCCAACUAACCUACAAAUAUGGAAUUCUAGCUUCCAACGAAUGAAGGAAUCAACCAACCAAUUCCAGUUCUAAACCAAAAUCCAAGUGAUCUUAGCUAGUUCGAGUUCUAAGUUGAAAAAUUGGAAGCACGGACAAGAGAAGAAGUCGAAGUAAGGAAUUAUUGGACAGUAAAAAAGAUAGAAUCAGUGAACUUCCCGAAAGUGUUUUGAGUCACAUCCUAUCCUGUUUGCCAACAGAGGAUGCUGUUAGAACUAGUGUCUUGUCAAGGAAAUGGGAGUACAAAUGGACUUCCAUUUACAACUUAACCUUUGAUGAUAGAAAGAGAUUUUGUUACUCGCACAGGUGGAGGAAAUGGAAGAGGAAGAAGCAGCCUAAAAAGACAGAUUUUAUGAACUUUGUGGACAGAGUUCUUGCUCUUUCUAAGAAUUCAUCGAUCAAAGGGUGUCACCUUUUGUUUCUAGACGUGUAUGAUCCAUUUCGUAUGAAAACUUGGAUCACUGCUGCUCUAAGCUCUAAUGUCCAGAGGCUUCUUAUUUCAUAUGCAGCUAGUUCGAGUUCUAAGUUGAAAAAUCCAAGUGAUUUUGAUGGCUUGUUUCAUUUAAUUUCAUAGAAUUUAACGAAUAUAUAGCUAGUUUCAUAUCACAUUAAUAGGAAUAGGAUAGUUAUAGGUACAGUUAAUACAUAAGUGAAAGCAUGUAUCACAUAUAUUUGGAAAUUACGUCAUAACCAACCAAAAUAAUGAAUUCAAUUAAUUGGUUAUUUCAUUUGCAUAAUUAGAUAGUAAUUCCAUAACACUAAGCAUAUUUGCAUGUCAAUUAUGCAUGUCAAUUAUUACUACUUGUGUUGCAUGUUGGUAGUGUAGAUCCAUUUGCUUUAUUUGUAAUAAUCUAAAUAAAAGAGGAGUUCGAAUAACACCGGUAGUUGAUAAUAUUUCUUGUGGGAUCGACAUCUAAUAUCCCCUAUAUUUGAUAAAUGAUUUGUAUACUUACACAAAAUGGGAUAUUUUGGCUUUAAAAAUUUGGUGUAAAGCAAAAGCCUGAUCGAACCAAUUCAUAGCAGAAACUUUGCCAAUGUUGUGGAGUAAAUUGUUACGAAACAUGUAUAGUUUUACUACUUCAAGUGUAUAUUCCAAGUUGUUUUUGUCCAAAAUAUGCAGCUCAAAAACUUGGACAACAAAACAUAAUUGAUGUUGCAGGAGCAAUCAUUGCUUGUUUGUAGGCAUUUGACUUGUAAACUCAAAACAUGGUUGGCAUCGAGGAGGAAUCAUUGCUUGCAUAAUUUGGUACUUGAGGAGGAAACGUUUGUUCUAGGCAUUUGACUCGUGGUGAAGACUUCUACUAUCCCGCACUAUUUCAGAUAAUUCCCAUCACAGUUUCUAGUUUAAGUUUAUACCAAAGUAUUAUUUUAAACAAUGACCCUAUGAUUCUUGCUCUGAUACUAUGAUAAAGAAGACAACAAAUAGUGAAAAAAUAAUUGGAAGCCAUCUUUGCUAUAUAUAAGUGAUAAAAGCCAACUUUGCUCAAGACAUGUUGUCUAUUUUUUUUAAGAAAAAAAAAAAUCUAUAGUGCAACAACAACUUGCAUUUUUCUUUCAAGCACUUCCUUAAAUCCUCAAGUGUGAAGAAGCUAAUUUACAACACUAGUGGAGAAAGAUACCUUCCUGGUAAACGAGUCAUGCAACAAACACUACAAUGUGGUGCUGGUGAUGCACUCAAUAUUCCCAACCAGAAUUGGCCUAUUUCUUCCCCUAUCUGGGGUAUGGUUCAGUAAUUGAUGCCUCAUUUACAGAGCUUGGAAUUCAAAUUCUUUCGGUAUUAGAUUGCUCAACUUCCAGCUCUUCCACAAUGCUUUCCGAUCCAUGGCUCCGGAAAACUGCUGGACGAUGUGGAGUUGGUAUGGUAACAGAGCUACUAUUGAGCAUAUUGACCACGGAAACCAUUGUAGGCCUUUUAAACAAAUAGGUAAAUUACAUUUUUAGCUUUUAACAUAUAAAUGCACUCUCAGUUUAGUUCUUAAAUUUUUAUUGUGGACACUUCACCCUAAAGGUUUUAAAUUGUCCCACUUCAGUAUAAUUAUUAAUGAAAUCAUUAAAACAAAUGGAAUAUUCCAUCCCACUUUGAUCAUUACUUGCCAUUAUCCCAUCAGUUUUGACAAUUGACUGAGUGAUUGUGAUGAUGUGUGACAAAUGUGAUGCAUUAGGAGGUGAAGUAUCCAAAAUUAAAGUUUAAGAACUAAAGUUUGAGUGCGUCUGUGAUUUAAGGGUCUAAACUAGAAUUCACACCAAUUAAACAUUUGUCUAGAGGCAAUUUGUCUGUCAUUUCCAUAAAAUGGCAAGUCAAGUAAAAUAGAACAAGAUCACAUGGAACAACAAAAAAUUACUAUAAGUAUGUCUAGAUUGAACCCACCAAAGAGAAAGUAGUCAAGGCUUUUGUUAGGAACAAAUUCAUAGAUGAGUAUCUUUUCAUCUCCUUCCAGGCAAAAUCCCAAUAGUCGAACUAGAUUUCUGUGUUGAAGCUUUGCAACUACUACAAUUUCAUUUUUAAAUUCUUCUGCACCUUGCACUGAGCUCCUUGACAGCCUUUUAACAGCUACUUCUUGUCCAUUACCAAGUACACCCUGAGUAAACAUGCAUACUAGAAUUUAAUUGAAAUAUUAAAUGUGUAGAUAUUCAAAUUCACAAAAGCAAAAUAUUUCAUGCAGAGACCUUGUAUACACGACCAAAUCCACCUUCGCCAAUUUUGUUAUCCACAGAGAAGUUAUUUGUGGCAAUUUGAAUUUCAGUUAAGCUAUACUGUAAGGAUUCGGCUGUAAAGAUUUCAGCAACUCCAUCUACACCAGGGAUAAGCGACUUCACUCAAUUUAUUAGUACAAAAAUCUCUGAGGUUUCCUGUAAUUGCAAUCAAUAAACUUUACCAGUUGCCUCCUGCUGUGCCAUAGCAGCAUAUCGCUUCCCUGAUCUUCUUUUCAGGAAGACUAAAGCUAUGAUAAAUAGCACAAAAGCAACCCCGAUUAGUGGGACAGCAAUUGGAAAAGCUGCUCGUAGGGGUCUUCGCCCUUUGCCUGGAUUAAAGGAAGUUUAAUUUACUUCAAAAGUCAGCUCAUAGGAGAUCAAGUUUGCUGAACUUUGGAUUAGUGUAACUCCGAGACAGCCCAUUACAUAGACGGAUAGCUACGCAAGAACACAUUAUUUGAAAAAAUAUUCAUUCAGUAUGCUUUAAAAGUUUUUUCGCCACCUUUUCGUCUCACAUACUCCAUGUUGACGGUAAAUAGAAAAAAAUUUUGACGAUCAAUUUUCAAUCCCAGCAUACCAAUUGUUCUAGUUAUGGAUUAAUAGACUUCAGUAAUUAGCUUGGCUUCCCUGUGGCUUCAGUAAUUUACAAAUUUAGCUCUGUGUUUGGACCAAAUUACAACUACGCUUGUAAAUGCGGCUGUCCAGAUCCAACCGUUGGAUAUAAUCAAAUGACAAUAAUGGCCCACUUUAAAAAGACUUGGAAAAUAAAAACCAAAACAAAUGGGAUAGCGUUUUUAGGCACAAGAAUUGCUAGCAAAAAAGCCGAAGAUAAUUAAUUACUAAAUUUAGAAAAGUUGGGUGGCAAAUUAGCAAAUAGGUGUUUCCCCCAGAAGAACAAGAAAGUACGUAUCAGAAUCGAACGAGAUAAAAGACAAAGAAGUGGAGAAGAAACAUUAAAGAUAAAGUAAAGGAAGAUGCACCAAUACUAAGAAGAAAGAAAUACAAGAUAACCAAACCAACGGUGUGGAAAGGCAAAAUAAAAUGAGGAAAAAAAAAAGAAGAAGAAGAAGAAAGCACCUUUUCGUCUCAAACCUUAUUUACUCCAUUUCAGAUCUAUUACAACUGCCACUGCAAUCACCAUAACCACCUCCUCAUUUUAACGUACCUAUUCCUAUUCAAUUCCCUCGAGACUGGUAUCACCAAGUCAUUUUCUCCUUUCUACUUUUUCCUUCGCUUCAUAAGCAUACCGACAUACAUACAUACGCGCGUCACGCGUAUAUACAUACAUAUAUGGUAUUAUAGUUGUGGAAUUUGAACAUAUGUAAUGGUAAUGCUGGUAGAUGAGAUUUGGGCAUUUUUGUUUCCUUAGAUGGAAAGGUAAUGUAGUUUUUAAAAGGGAAAAUUGUUUAAAACAUUUUUCACAUUUCGUUUAAUAAUUUUUUUGUUAUUCACUUUUAAAAUUCUCAACUUAAAUUUUUUGAUAAUUUCUUAUCCUGAAUAUGAUCCACACAUGAUUAAUUUUUUGGGGCAAAAAAGUGAGACCCAUCUGCAAUUAAAUAAUCGACUCGAUCGAUAUUUUUGUCCUUAAAAAUAUAGGAUUUUAUUCAAUCAUAUUCAUUUUUUUUCUAAAAAAGUGGGAUUUGACUCAAUUUGUAUUUGUUUUGCCAUUAAAAAAAAUAAAAUUUGACAUUUUUGUGCAUAUAAAAAAUUAUUGCAUGUCAAUCAUCGAGUGAUUUUAAGUUAAAAGUGGUCAAAAAUUUAGGUUUGUACCAAAAUUUACUAACUUGAAUUUGUAAGGAACACAAAAUUAAGAUUUUAAAAGUGAUUGACGAAAAAAUUCAUUUGAUAAAAUGUAAAAAUCGUUUUAAAUGAUCUUCUUUUUUUGAAAACUUAAUGUACGACAGAGUUUAAUAGUCUAAAAUUGUGCUCUAAACGACUAGAGGCCGAUCAAUGAGCAGAUUGGUUCUGUAAAGUAAAGUUGGCUGCUUAAUGGAGCUUGGAUGCUGGAGCCCUAUUGUAACCAUGGUUAUCAAGGUUCGGAUCAGCAAAAUCGAUUCGGAUCGUAUAUAGAAUCGAAAAUUGCCUUAAUUUGUAUAGGAUCGUUAGCAUCGUUCGUGGGAUCGUAGGAUCAUAUAUAGGAUCGUACGAUCCUACGAUAUCCCAUUGUGAUCCUACGAAUUUUUGAGAAUUUUGUAAAUGUAGGGCUAAAUGGAAAUAUUUUGAGCAUUUUUGUAAUUUAUCAAAGAAUUAGAUCCUUUAAUUAUAAUUUUGCAACAAUUUUUGUCUCAAAAACAAAUUAAAAGGUACAAUAAAAAAGGAUUCGGGAACAAAUGAAUGAAACAAGCAGAGACAAAGUCACAAAAGACGAAGAGAGAGAAAGAUUCUUUGGUUCUUCCCAAUCUCCAUUCCAUACUUUUGCCCUAUCUAGAUUCCAAUAAAAUUUCACAAAAUCACUACAAGAAAAUUGGUCAUCAGUGACAACUUUUCUCUGUGACGAAAAAAAGUUGUCACAAAAGUGGAUCCUUUAUUGACGACUUUCUAACUCGUCACAAACCUCUAAUGGGAGCCAACUCAUUUGUGACAACUUAGAAAAGUCGUCACUAGUAAAUUCCCGCCAAGAUUUAGCAAGAGCGCGGGAGUGUUUGGAACACACAAUAGUGACGACAUUAAAAACAUCAUCACUAUUGCUUGGCCUAGUUACGGACAACUUUUUGUUGUCGUCACUGAUCACUAAAAAAAAGGUUAUUAGUGACAACAUUCUCUAGUGAUGACAAUAAGUCGUCACAAAAGGGGUUUCUUUAGUCGCGACACCUAAAGUUGUCACAAUUGCAUCAAAGCAACUAAAUGUUUAGUGACGACCCGUUAUUUUCGUCACAAACUACAUUGCAAGAAAUAUGGUCAUUAGUGACAACAUUUUUUAGUGACGACAAAAGUCGUCACAAAAAGUGGUUAUUUAGUGACGACAAGGAAAGUUGUCAUAAUUGCUCAAAGCAACUAAGUCUUCAGUGACAACCUUGAAAAAGUUGUCACUAAAAUGAUCUAUAUAGUGACAACUUCUAAUAUCGUCACUGUCACUCUACCGAUUCGGAUUUAGUGACAAGAAUUAAUCGUCACUGUUUAAAGUACUUAUUUCUAAGUCACUUUCAUUAAUUCUACUGUGCCACCCUAACUUUUGCGAUUUAGCCCCAAAUGUUGUAAUAAAUUUCAUUAAUUCCAUUAUGAUACCUUAACUUUUUCAAUUUAGCCCCAUAUGUAGUACACCGAUUUCAUUAAUUCUAUUAUUACUCCCUAACUUUUGUAAUUUAGCCCCAUAUGUAAUUCACCAAUUUCAUUAAUUCUACUAUGGCACUCUAACUUUUGCAAUUUAACCCCCAUAUGUAAUACACCAAUUUUAUUAUUUCUAUUAUGGCACCCUAGCUUUUACAAUUUAGCCCCUAUUUUUUUAUUAGGAAAUUGCGAAUGGUAUCUUGAUAAACUAUGCAUAAAUAUUUUAUAAUUUUCUCAAACUUAAGUAAUAAUUUGUUAUAAAUUCUAAAGAUAUAUCUUUCAUUACAAUAGUUAUAAGGCAGACAGGUCUUUUUAUCAAUGGAAUAAGAAAUUUAUGGCAGAUUUAUCCUUUGUGCUACAUGCCAAGUAGUAUUAGCAAAGGAAUAACAAAGUACUACAAAGCAAUUAACAAAAUAUCUGUAAUUUAUACACAUUUUGCAACUACUACUUUGUGUUUUCUCUGUAAUGAAUUUUUUAACUAUUGAGAACUUAAGUUUUGUCUUGCAAAUCUAUACUAGUACAAUAAUUUUAAACAAAAUUAAACAUUAAAAUAAAUGUUUGAAAAAGAACAAAAGUACAUUUAUCACUUGCAGUAAUGUAACAAAAUUUUCUCAACCAUUAUCAAUAUUUUCACAAAAGUAUUAAAAACUAGCAAUUGACAAUAUUAAAAACUAGCAAUUUAAUUAGUGAUGACUUUUCUUGUCAUUAUAAUCUUGAAUAAAUUAGUGAUAACAUUAUGUCAUCACUAAAUUUUCUUUGAUUUUGACUUAACAAUAAUGUCUUAUUAAUAGCAUUUGAUUAUUUUUAAUGAAAGUCUGUUAUAACCAUAGAAUUUGACUUUCGUUAUUUUCAAUUAAUGAUGUACUUUAGUGCUGCAAUUAUAAAAAAUUGCAGGGCUAAAAUAUUUGCAAAUUAUAAAAGUAUAUUUUCACUUAUAUGUAAUUAACAAAUUUUGCCACCUAUAUUGACGAAAAUUUGUGUUUUUGUACUAAAAAAUAAAGAAUAAUACUAUAGCAAUAAAAUCUAUGCUUCAAACCAAAUUAAAAAUAAAAAAAAAACAUGAUGAUUGGUCUCAAAUGUUGGGAAAAUGAUUAUUUUUAUUGAAACUAUGUGUAGACACCAAAUUUUUGUUUUUUUAAUUUUAUUUUGUUUAAUUAAUUUAAUAGGUUUAUUUGUUUCAAUUCUAGGGCUUUUAUUUUUAUUUUUAUUUUAUUUUAUUUUAUUUUGCUCUAAUUCAUUUUAUUUUAUUAUUUAUUUUUGUCUCGUACUAAAAAAAAAGAGAAAAAGAAAAAGCAAAAAAAAAAUAAUGACAAAUGGGGAUCAUGGAUAGAGACAAGUGUCCCUUUUUGCAUUUGACAACACCUCACCUCACCUAGAUGGUGAGGUGUCUAGACACUUGUAGGAUAGAUAUUUUGAAAAGGAAAAGAAAGAGAAGAAAAGGGCAACGGGGCUUGAAAAAAAAAGGCAAGACAAAGAGGAGGGUUUGGCGGCUGAGUAGGGGGGGAACCUGGUUGGUGGCCGAAAAGAGAAAAAAGAAAGGAGAGAACCGAGAGGGGAGGACGGCUGGAAAAAACAGAGUAAAAGAAAAACCAAGGGGGUGGCGGAUGAAAAGGAACCGUGGAAAACGAAAAGGAAAAAAAGGAGGUGCUUCAUCGGAGGCUAAAGAAAAAGAAAGAGAAAGAUUGAAAGGAAAAAAUGGGAAGUUUAGCGGCUGAAGGCUGAGGAGAGGCUUCGGCUGAGUGAAGGGAAAAGGACGGAGAGGGAAGCUCAACGAAAACAAAAAACAGAGAAAAGGAAAAGAGGGUGGCGGCUGACGGGCAGAGGAGGAAAAAAGAGCAAAAACGCAAGGGGAAAACAGAGGGGCUGAGAACAAGGAGAAGAAAAAGGAGAGAACCGAGAGGGGGGCUUCGGUGGGGAAAAACAGAGAAGGCCGAGAGAGGUUUGGGCUAAAAAGAACAAAGCAAAGGAAAGACAAGGGGCGGCGGAACAAAGCAGAAAACUAAGAGGAAAAUGGACUGCUAGGGUUAGAGAAAAGGGAGACGCGAAAGUGAAAGGGAGAACUUCGGGGAGUUUCUGAGAGGAAGACAAGAGCAGGAACCAGAACAAGAGGAAGAAAGAAGCUUCGGGCUAGGGAAAAAUCAAAACGGAGGCAGAGGAGAGUAAGAACCAGAAUCACCACUGCCGUCGACCACCGCCAGCGCCGCCACUUCACCGAAUCCACCAUCAUCACCGGCCAAUUUUCAUCAAGCAAGAGCACGGUAAGCUGUCUUUUCUUCUUUAAAACUUCAGUUUUGUUCAAGCCUUUGAAACAGGCUGCCGUGACUGUGUUUGGUUGCAAUUUUCGGUUGUUUGUUCAUGAUUUUUUAAUACGCAUGCUAUAUGUGUUAAUUGGACUGUUUGCUGUGUUUCUGGCAAACUUUUGGGGCUGAAAAUGACCUUAAUUGAGCAAAAAAAGUCGGUGAAAUUUUGGUGCCUAUUUGCUGUUCGACGAAAUGCCUAACCGAAAGUCCUGCUUUGAAGAUGAUUUUUGCUUGCGUUUUGCGUUGUUCUUAUCCCAGAAAUUUUGUUUACCAGAGUUGGGUAGUUGAAGUUUUUGGUAAUUAUGCUAGAGGUUGGGUUUUGUUUUUGCUAAGAUGGCAUGCUGUAGCUCCCUGCUUUUCCCUUGUGGUUGUGCAAUCAGCCACGGAUUUAAGGGGGGGCUGGUGGGGGCUUAAGCCCCCCCCAAGCCGCCGGAAAACCCCCUAUAAUCAAACGCUAAGGCUUACUCUGCCUAUCUCAGUCGAUCUCAAGGACACCGCCAUCCCCGACUGCCUCCAGUCCUGCUGCCAGAAGAGCACCGCCGCUAGCAGUCCACCGUAAGUUAUCCCUUUCAUUUGUAUUUCAUUUUUUUUCCUUGAUCACAAGUUUUGGAAAGUUUUUCAAAUGGGUCUGCCAUGACUUGGUUGUUGCGUUUCCCCUGUUGAUGGCCCAUAAUUUUAUGAUUAUACGUGUUUUAUGUGUUGAUUUGGUUGGAUUUUCUUGGGAUUUCUGAUAAUUUUGGGUGCUGCUUUACAUCAAUUGAGCGAGAGAUUAGCUAAAAUUUCUUAUGCUCAUGUGGUGUUUGACGAAAUACCUAACCGACAGUCUUGCUUGAAGACGAUUUUGCUUGCAUUUUGCGUGUUCUUAUCCCAGAAAUUUUGUUUACUAGAGUUGGGUAGUUGACGUUUUUGGCAAUUAUGCAAGAGGUUGGGUUUUGAUGGUAUGCUGUAGCUCCCUGCUUUUCCCUUGUGGUUGUGCAAUAGAUUUGAAAUGAUGAAUUAGAAGAAAGCCACGGUUGGGAAUAAAAUUAUUGCAGAGAAUAUUUGUUGCUCAAAAGAAAAGUUUCUCAUGGCUUUGUAUGUUCUUUUCAAAGGAUUCUACACUUAGCAUGUGAAUAAGUUGACCCGUAUCAAUUUCCCUUUAGUAGAAUAUGUUUUUCAGUUUGGCUAUUGUUGUUUCAUUUCUGCCAUUUUUGAAUGAAAGCUGUUAGUUUCCUUCAUCCGAUGAUCUGCGAGGCUGUUUUGCUGUGAAUACUGAGUUUUUAUUGCAAGAUUAUGGUUGUGCCUAAGAUUUUUAUCUUGUGAGUUUGUUUGAAGUUAUGGCAGAGCUCUAAGCCAUUUUGGUUGCAUUUUGAUGAGCAUCAAAUCUGCAGCAGAAUAAAAUUUUUGCAGUCCUCUUUGCUGUUUUCUUUUUUCUGCAAUUGCUCACCAAGUUUCAGCCAUCCAACCUGCUGAUUGGUCUUAUAUUGAAAAGGUGGAUUAGAUAAGUGGUGUUGGAUUAGCAUGUUUAGUAUUUUGUUCAAAUUCAAGAUCUGAUCUUUAGCAUGUUUUCUUGAAUGUUUUGGUUCGGCACUUCAAACAAGAGUUAAACAUUUUCGCUGCAUUUUUGUUUUGUUAUUUUGAAAACCACUGCUACCCCUUUGUUUUUGCUAGCUGUCACCAAACCAGAUUUUCUGAUUUGAUCUUGCAACAAAAGGGUAAUAUUUGACUUUCUAACUCGUCACAAACCUCUAAUGGGAGCCAACUCAUUUGUGACAACUUAGAAAAGUCGUCACUAGUAAAUUCCCGCCAAGAUUUAGCAAGAGCGCGGGAGUGUUUGGAACACACAAUAGUGACGACAUUAAAAACAUCAUCACUAUUGCUUGGCCUAGUUACGGACAACUUUUUGUUGUCGUCACUGAUCACUAAAAAAAAGGUUAUUAGUGACAACAUUCUCUAGUGAUGACAAUAAGUCGUCACAAAAGGGGUUUCUUUAGUCGCGACACCUAAAGUUGUCACAAUUGCAUCAAAGCAACUAAAUGUUUAGUGACGACCCGUUAUUUUCGUCACAAACUACAUUGCAAGAAAUAUGGUCAUUAGUGACAACAUUUUUUAGUGACGACAAAAGUCGUCACAAAAAGUGGUUAUUUAGUGACGACAAGGAAAGUUGUCAUAAUUGCUCAAAGCAACUAAGUCUUCAGUGACAACCUUGAAAAAGUUGUCACUAAAAUGAUCUAUAUAGUGACAACUUCUAAUAUCGUCACUGUCACUCUACCGAUUCGGAUUUAGUGACAAGAAUUAAUCGUCACUGUUUAAAGUACUUAUUUCUAAGUCACUUUCAUUAAUUCUACUGUGCCACCCUAACUUUUGCGAUUUAGCCCCAAAUGUUGUAAUAAAUUUCAUUAAUUCCAUUAUGAUACCUUAACUUUUUCAAUUUAGCCCCAUAUGUAGUACACCGAUUUCAUUAAUUCUAUUAUUACUCCCUAACUUUUGUAAUUUAGCCCCAUAUGUAAUUCACCAAUUUCAUUAAUUCUACUAUGGCACUCUAACUUUUGCAAUUUAACCCCCAUAUGUAAUACACCAAUUUUAUUAUUUCUAUUAUGGCACCCUAGCUUUUACAAUUUAGCCCCUAUUUUUUUAUUAGGAAAUUGCGAAUGGUAUCUUGAUAAACUAUGCAUAAAUAUUUUAUAAUUUUCUCAAACUUAAGUAAUAAUUUGUUAUAAAUUCUAAAGAUAUAUCUUUCAUUACAAUAGUUAUAAGGCAGACAGGUCUUUUUAUCAAUGGAAUAAGAAAUUUAUGGCAGAUUUAUCCUUUGUGCUACAUGCCAAGUAGUAUUAGCAAAGGAAUAACAAAGUACUACAAAGCAAUUAACAAAAUAUCUGUAAUUUAUACACAUUUUGCAACUACUACUUUGUGUUUUCUCUGUAAUGAAUUUUUUAACUAUUGAGAACUUAAGUUUUGUCUUGCAAAUCUAUACUAGUACAAUAAUUUUAAACAAAAUUAAACAUUAAAAUAAAUGUUUGAAAAAGAACAAAAGUACAUUUAUCACUUGCAGUAAUGUAACAAAAUUUUCUCAACCAUUAUCAAUAUUUUCACAAAAGUAUUAAAAACUAGCAAUUGACAAUAUUAAAAACUAGCAAUUUAAUUAGUGAUGACUUUUCUUGUCAUUAUAAUCUUGAAUAAAUUAGUGAUAACAUUAUGUCAUCACUAAAUUUUCUUUGAUUUUGACUUAACAAUAAUGUCUUAUUAAUAGCAUUUGAUUAUUUUUAAUAAAAGUCUGUUAUAACCAUAGAAUUUGACUUUCGUUAUUUUCAAUUAAUGAUGUACUUUAGUGCUGCAAUUAUAAAAAAUUGCAGGGCUAAAAUAUUUGCAAAUUAUAAAAGUAUAUUUUCACUUAUAUGUAAUUAACAAAUUUUGCCACCUAUAUUGACGAAAAUUUGUGUUUUUGUACUAAAAAAUAAAGAAUAAUACUAUAGCAAUAAAAUCUAUGCUUCAAACCAAAUUAAAAAUAAAAAAAAAACAUGAUGAUUGGUCUCAAAUGUUGGGAAAAUGAUUAUUUUUAUUGAAACUAUGUGUAGACACCAAAUUUUUGUUUUUUUAAUUUUAUUUUGUUUAAUUAAUUUAAUAGGUUUAUUUGUUUCAAUUCUAGGGCUUUUAUUUUUAUUUUUAUUUUAUUUUAUUUUAUUUUGCUCUAAUUCAUUUUAUUUUAUUAUUUAUUUUUGUCUCGUACUAAAAAAAAAGAGAAAAAGAAAAAGCAAAAAAAAAAUAAUGACAAAUGGGGAUCAUGGAUAGAGACAAGUGUCCCUUUUUGCAUUUGACAACACCUCACCUCACCUAGAUGGUGAGGUGUCUAGACACUUGUAGGAUAGAUAUUUUGAAAAGGAAAAGAAAGAGAAGAAAAGGGCAACGGGGCUUGAAAAAAAAAGGCAAGACAAAGAGGAGGGUUUGGCGGCUGAGUAGGGGGGGAACCUGGUUGGUGGCCGAAAAGAGAAAAAAGAAAGGAGAGAACCGAGAGGGGAGGACGGCUGGAAAAAACAGAGUAAAAGAAAAACCAAGGGGGUGGCGGAUGAAAAGGAACCGUGGAAAACGAAAAGGAAAAAAAGGAGGUGCUUCAUCGGAGGCUAAAGAAAAAGAAAGAGAAAGAUUGAAAGGAAAAAAUGGGAAGUUUAGCGGCUGAAGGCUGAGGAGAGGCUUCGGCUGAGUGAAGGGAAAAGGACGGAGAGGGAAGCUCAACGAAAACAAAAAACAGAGAAAAGGAAAAGAGGGUGGCGGCUGACGGGCAGAGGAGGAAAAAAGAGCAAAAACGCAAGGGGAAAACAGAGGGGCUGAGAACAAGGAGAAGAAAAAGGAGAGAACCGAGAGGGGGGCUUCGGUGGGGAAAAACAGAGAAGGCCGAGAGAGGUUUGGGCUAAAAAGAACAAAGCAAAGGAAAGACAAGGGGCGGCGGAACAAAGCAGAAAACUAAGAGGAAAAUGGACUGCUAGGGUUAGAGAAAAGGGAGACGCGAAAGUGAAAGGGAGAACUUCGGGGAGUUUCUGAGAGGAAGACAAGAGCAGGAACCAGAACAAGAGGAAGAAAGAAGCUUCGGGCUAGGGAAAAAUCAAAACGGAGGCAGAGGAGAGUAAGAACCAGAAUCACCACUGCCGUCGACCACCGCCAGCGCCGCCACUUCACCGAAUCCACCAUCAUCACCGGCCAAUUUUCAUCAAGCAAGAGCACGGUAAGCUGUCUUUUCUUCUUUAAAACUUCAGUUUUGUUCAAGCCUUUGAAACAGGCUGCCGUGACUGUGUUUGGUUGCAAUUUUCGGUUGUUUGUUCAUGAUUUUUUAAUACGCAUGCUAUAUGUGUUAAUUGGACUGUUUGCUGUGUUUCUGGCAAACUUUUGGGGCUGAAAAUGACCUUAAUUGAGCAAAAAAAGUCGGUGAAAUUUUGGUGCCUAUUUGCUGUUCGACGAAAUGCCUAACCGAAAGUCCUGCUUUGAAGAUGAUUUUUGCUUGCGUUUUGCGUUGUUCUUAUCCCAGAAAUUUUGUUUACCAGAGUUGGGUAGUUGAAGUUUUUGGUAAUUAUGCUAGAGGUUGGGUUUUGUUUUUGCUAAGAUGGCAUGCUGUAGCUCCCUGCUUUUCCCUUGUGGUUGUGCAAUCAGCCACGGAUUUAAGGGGGGGCUGGUGGGGGCUUAAGCCCCCCCCAAGCCGCCGGAAAACCCCCUAUAAUCAAACGCUAAGGCUUACUCUGCCUAUCUCAGUCGAUCUCAAGGACACCGCCAUCCCCGACUGCCUCCAGUCCUGCUGCCAGAAGAGCACCGCCGCUAGCAGUCCACCGUAAGUUAUCCCUUUCAUUUGUAUUUCAUUUUUUUUCCUUGAUCACAAGUUUUGGAAAGUUUUUCAAAUGGGUCUGCCAUGACUUGGUUGUUGCGUUUCCCCUGUUGAUGGCCCAUAAUUUUAUGAUUAUACGUGUUUUAUGUGUUGAUUUGGUUGGAUUUUCUUGGGAUUUCUGAUAAUUUUGGGUGCUGCUUUACAUCAAUUGAGCGAGAGAUUAGCUAAAAUUUCUUAUGCUCAUGUGGUGUUUGACGAAAUACCUAACCGACAGUCUUGCUUGAAGACGAUUUUGCUUGCAUUUUGCGUGUUCUUAUCCCAGAAAUUUUGUUUACUAGAGUUGGGUAGUUGACGUUUUUGGCAAUUAUGCAAGAGGUUGGGUUUUGAUGGUAUGCUGUAGCUCCCUGCUUUUCCCUUGUGGUUGUGCAAUAGAUUUGAAAUGAUGAAUUAGAAGAAAGCCACGGUUGGGAAUAAAAUUAUUGCAGAGAAUAUUUGUUGCUCAAAAGAAAAGUUUCUCAUGGCUUUGUAUGUUCUUUUCAAAGGAUUCUACACUUAGCAUGUGAAUAAGUUGACCCGUAUCAAUUUCCCUUUAGUAGAAUAUGUUUUUCAGUUUGGCUAUUGUUGUUUCAUUUCUGCCAUUUUUGAAUGAAAGCUGUUAGUUUCCUUCAUCCGAUGAUCUGCGAGGCUGUUUUGCUGUGAAUACUGAGUUUUUAUUGCAAGAUUAUGGUUGUGCCUAAGAUUUUUAUCUUGUGAGUUUGUUUGAAGUUAUGGCAGAGCUCUAAGCCAUUUUGGUUGCAUUUUGAUGAGCAUCAAAUCUGCAGCAGAAUAAAAUUUUUGCAGUCCUCUUUGCUGUUUUUUUUUUCUGCAAUUGCUCACCAAGUUUCAGCCAUCCAACCUGCUGAUUGGUCUUAUAUUGAAAAGGUGGAUUAGAUAAGUGGUGUUGGAUUAGCAUGUUUAGUAUUUUGUUCAAAUUCAAGAUCUGAUCUUUAGCAUGUUUUCUUGAAUGUUUUGGUUCGGCACUUCAAACAAGAGUUAAACAUUUUCGCUGCAUUUUUGUUUUGUUAUUUUGAAAACCACUGCUACCCCUUUGUUUUUGCUAGCUGUCACCAAACCAGAUUUUCUGAUUUGAUCUUGCAACAAAAGGGUAAUAUUUGACUUUCUAACUCGUCACAAACCUCUAAUGGGAGCCAACUCAUUUGUGACAACUUAGAAAAGUCGUCACUAGUAAAUUCCCGCCAAGAUUUAGCAAGAGCGCGGGAGUGUUUGGAACACACAAUAGUGACGACAUUAAAAACAUCAUCACUAUUGCUUGGCCUAGUUACGGACAACUUUUUGUUGUCGUCACUGAUCACUAAAAAAAAGGUUAUUAGUGACAACAUUCUCUAGUGAUGACAAUAAGUCGUCACAAAAGGGGUUUCUUUAGUCGCGACACCUAAAGUUGUCACAAUUGCAUCAAAGCAACUAAAUGUUUAGUGACGACCCGUUAUUUUCGUCACAAACUACAUUGCAAGAAAUAUGGUCAUUAGUGACAACAUUUUUUAGUGACGACAAAAGUCGUCACAAAAAGUGGUUAUUUAGUGACGACAAGGAAAGUUGUCAUAAUUGCUCAAAGCAACUAAGUCUUCAGUGACAACCUUGAAAAAGUUGUCACUAAAAUGAUCUAUAUAGUGACAACUUCUAAUAUCGUCACUGUCACUCUACCGAUUCGGAUUUAGUGACAAGAAUUAAUCGUCACUGUUUAAAGUACUUAUUUCUAAGUCACUUUCAUUAAUUCUACUGUGCCACCCUAACUUUUGCGAUUUAGCCCCAAAUGUUGUAAUAAAUUUCAUUAAUUCCAUUAUGAUACCUUAACUUUUUCAAUUUAGCCCCAUAUGUAGUACACCGAUUUCAUUAAUUCUAUUAUUACUCCCUAACUUUUGUAAUUUAGCCCCAUAUGUAAUUCACCAAUUUCAUUAAUUCUACUAUGGCACUCUAACUUUUGCAAUUUAACCCCCAUAUGUAAUACACCAAUUUUAUUAUUUCUAUUAUGGCACCCUAGCUUUUACAAUUUAGCCCCUAUUUUUUUAUUAGGAAAUUGCGAAUGGUAUCUUGAUAAACUAUGCAUAAAUAUUUUAUAAUUUUCUCAAACUUAAGUAAUAAUUUGUUAUAAAUUCUAAAGAUAUAUCUUUCAUUACAAUAGUUAUAAGGCAGACAGGUCUUUUUAUCAAUGGAAUAAGAAAUUUAUGGCAGAUUUAUCCUUUGUGCUACAUGCCAAGUAGUAUUAGCAAAGGAAUAACAAAGUACUACAAAGCAAUUAACAAAAUAUCUGUAAUUUAUACACAUUUUGCAACUACUACUUUGUGUUUUCUCUGUAAUGAAUUUUUUAACUAUUGAGAACUUAAGUUUUGUCUUGCAAAUCUAUACUAGUACAAUAAUUUUAAACAAAAUUAAACAUUAAAAUAAAUGUUUGAAAAAGAACAAAAGUACAUUUAUCACUUGCAGUAAUGUAACAAAAUUUUCUCAACCAUUAUCAAUAUUUUCACAAAAGUAUUAAAAACUAGCAAUUGACAAUAUUAAAAACUAGCAAUUUAAUUAGUGAUGACUUUUCUUGUCAUUAUAAUCUUGAAUAAAUUAGUGAUAACAUUAUGUCAUCACUAAAUUUUCUUUGAUUUUGACUUAACAAUAAUGUCUUAUUAAUAGCAUUUGAUUAUUUUUAAUAAAAGUCUGUUAUAACCAUAGAAUUUGACUUUCGUUAUUUUCAAUUAAUGAUGUACUUUAGUGCUGCAAUUAUAAAAAAUUGCAGGGCUAAAAUAUUUGCAAAUUAUAAAAGUAUAUUUUCACUUAUAUGUAAUUAACAAAUUUUGCCACCUAUAUUGACGAAAAUUUGUGUUUUUGUACUAAAAAAUAAAGAAUAAUACUAUAGCAAUAAAAUCUAUGCUUCAAACCAAAUUAAAAAUAAAAAAAAAACAUGAUGAUUGGUCUCAAAUGUUGGGAAAAUGAUUAUUUUUAUUGAAACUAUGUGUAGACACCAAAUUUUUGUUUUUUUAAUUUUAUUUUGUUUAAUUAAUUUAAUAGGUUUAUUUGUUUCAAUUCUAGGGCUUUUAUUUUUAUUUUUAUUUUAUUUUAUUUUAUUUUGCUCUAAUUCAUUUUAUUUUAUUAUUUAUUUUUGUCUCGUACUAAAAAAAAAGAGAAAAAGAAAAAGCAAAAAAAAAAUAAUGACAAAUGGGGAUCAUGGAUAGAGACAAGUGUCCCUUUUUGCAUUUGACAACACCUCACCUCACCUAGAUGGUGAGGUGUCUAGACACUUGUAGGAUAGAUAUUUUGAAAAGGAAAAGAAAGAGAAGAAAAGGGCAACGGGGCUUGAAAAAAAAAGGCAAGACAAAGAGGAGGGUUUGGCGGCUGAGUAGGGGGGGAACCUGGUUGGUGGCCGAAAAGAGAAAAAAGAAAGGAGAGAACCGAGAGGGGAGGACGGCUGGAAAAAACAGAGUAAAAGAAAAACCAAGGGGGUGGCGGAUGAAAAGGAACCGUGGAAAACGAAAAGGAAAAAAAGGAGGUGCUUCAUCGGAGGCUAAAGAAAAAGAAAGAGAAAGAUUGAAAGGAAAAAAUGGGAAGUUUAGCGGCUGAAGGCUGAGGAGAGGCUUCGGCUGAGUGAAGGGAAAAGGACGGAGAGGGAAGCUCAACGAAAACAAAAAACAGAGAAAAGGAAAAGAGGGUGGCGGCUGACGGGCAGAGGAGGAAAAAAGAGCAAAAACGCAAGGGGAAAACAGAGGGGCUGAGAACAAGGAGAAGAAAAAGGAGAGAACCGAGAGGGGGGCUUCGGUGGGGAAAAACAGAGAAGGCCGAGAGAGGUUUGGGCUAAAAAGAACAAAGCAAAGGAAAGACAAGGGGCGGCGGAACAAAGCAGAAAACUAAGAGGAAAAUGGACUGCUAGGGUUAGAGAAAAGGGAGACGCGAAAGUGAAAGGGAGAACUUCGGGGAGUUUCUGAGAGGAAGACAAGAGCAGGAACCAGAACAAGAGGAAGAAAGAAGCUUCGGGCUAGGGAAAAAUCAAAACGGAGGCAGAGGAGAGUAAGAACCAGAAUCACCACUGCCGUCGACCACCGCCAGCGCCGCCACUUCACCGAAUCCACCAUCAUCACCGGCCAAUUUUCAUCAAGCAAGAGCACGGUAAGCUGUCUUUUCUUCUUUAAAACUUCAGUUUUGUUCAAGCCUUUGAAACAGGCUGCCGUGACUGUGUUUGGUUGCAAUUUUCGGUUGUUUGUUCAUGAUUUUUUAAUACGCAUGCUAUAUGUGUUAAUUGGACUGUUUGCUGUGUUUCUGGCAAACUUUUGGGGCUGAAAAUGACCUUAAUUGAGCAAAAAAAGUCGGUGAAAUUUUGGUGCCUAUUUGCUGUUCGACGAAAUGCCUAACCGAAAGUCCUGCUUUGAAGAUGAUUUUUGCUUGCGUUUUGCGUUGUUCUUAUCCCAGAAAUUUUGUUUACCAGAGUUGGGUAGUUGAAGUUUUUGGUAAUUAUGCUAGAGGUUGGGUUUUGUUUUUGCUAAGAUGGCAUGCUGUAGCUCCCUGCUUUUCCCUUGUGGUUGUGCAAUCAGCCACGGAUUUAAGGGGGGGCUGGUGGGGGCUUAAGCCCCCCCCAAGCCGCCGGAAAACCCCCUAUAAUCAAACGCUAAGGCUUACUCUGCCUAUCUCAGUCGAUCUCAAGGACACCGCCAUCCCCGACUGCCUCCAGUCCUGCUGCCAGAAGAGCACCGCCGCUAGCAGUCCACCGUAAGUUAUCCCUUUCAUUUGUAUUUCAUUUUUUUUCCUUGAUCACAAGUUUUGGAAAGUUUUUCAAAUGGGUCUGCCAUGACUUGGUUGUUGCGUUUCCCCUGUUGAUGGCCCAUAAUUUUAUGAUUAUACGUGUUUUAUGUGUUGAUUUGGUUGGAUUUUCUUGGGAUUUCUGAUAAUUUUGGGUGCUGCUUUACAUCAAUUGAGCGAGAGAUUAGCUAAAAUUUCUUAUGCUCAUGUGGUGUUUGACGAAAUACCUAACCGACAGUCUUGCUUGAAGACGAUUUUGCUUGCAUUUUGCGUGUUCUUAUCCCAGAAAUUUUGUUUACUAGAGUUGGGUAGUUGACGUUUUUGGCAAUUAUGCAAGAGGUUGGGUUUUGAUGGUAUGCUGUAGCUCCCUGCUUUUCCCUUGUGGUUGUGCAAUAGAUUUGAAAUGAUGAAUUAGAAGAAAGCCACGGUUGGGAAUAAAAUUAUUGCAGAGAAUAUUUGUUGCUCAAAAGAAAAGUUUCUCAUGGCUUUGUAUGUUCUUUUCAAAGGAUUCUACACUUAGCAUGUGAAUAAGUUGACCCGUAUCAAUUUCCCUUUAGUAGAAUAUGUUUUUCAGUUUGGCUAUUGUUGUUUCAUUUCUGCCAUUUUUGAAUGAAAGCUGUUAGUUUCCUUCAUCCGAUGAUCUGCGAGGCUGUUUUGCUGUGAAUACUGAGUUUUUAUUGCAAGAUUAUGGUUGUGCCUAAGAUUUUUAUCUUGUGAGUUUGUUUGAAGUUAUGGCAGAGCUCUAAGCCAUUUUGGUUGCAUUUUGAUGAGCAUCAAAUCUGCAGCAGAAUAAAAUUUUUGCAGUCCUCUUUGCUGUUUUUUUUUUCUGCAAUUGCUCACCAAGUUUCAGCCAUCCAACCUGCUGAUUGGUCUUAUAUUGAAAAGGUGGAUUAGAUAAGUGGUGUUGGAUUAGCAUGUUUAGUAUUUUGUUCAAAUUCAAGAUCUGAUCUUUAGCAUGUUUUCUUGAAUGUUUUGGUUCGGCACUUCAAACAAGAGUUAAACAUUUUCGCUGCAUUUUUGUUUUGUUAUUUUGAAAACCACUGCUACCCCUUUGUUUUUGCUAGCUGUCACCAAACCAGAUUUUCUGAUUUGAUCUUGCAACAAAAGGGUAAUAUUUGACUUUCUAACUCGUCACAAACCUCUAAUGGGAGCCAACUCAUUUGUGACAACUUAGAAAAGUCGUCACUAGUAAAUUCCCGCCAAGAUUUAGCAAGAGCGCGGGAGUGUUUGGAACACACAAUAGUGACGACAUUAAAAACAUCAUCACUAUUGCUUGGCCUAGUUACGGACAACUUUUUGUUGUCGUCACUGAUCACUAAAAAAAAGGUUAUUAGUGACAACAUUCUCUAGUGAUGACAAUAAGUCGUCACAAAAGGGGUUUCUUUAGUCGCGACACCUAAAGUUGUCACAAUUGCAUCAAAGCAACUAAAUGUUUAGUGACGACCCGUUAUUUUCGUCACAAACUACAUUGCAAGAAAUAUGGUCAUUAGUGACAACAUUUUUUAGUGACGACAAAAGUCGUCACAAAAAGUGGUUAUUUAGUGACGACAAGGAAAGUUGUCAUAAUUGCUCAAAGCAACUAAGUCUUCAGUGACAACCUUGAAAAAGUUGUCACUAAAAUGAUCUAUAUAGUGACAACUUCUAAUAUCGUCACUGUCACUCUACCGAUUCGGAUUUAGUGACAAGAAUUAAUCGUCACUGUUUAAAGUACUUAUUUCUAAGUCACUUUCAUUAAUUCUACUGUGCCACCCUAACUUUUGCGAUUUAGCCCCAAAUGUUGUAAUAAAUUUCAUUAAUUCCAUUAUGAUACCUUAACUUUUUCAAUUUAGCCCCAUAUGUAGUACACCGAUUUCAUUAAUUCUAUUAUUACUCCCUAACUUUUGUAAUUUAGCCCCAUAUGUAAUUCACCAAUUUCAUUAAUUCUACUAUGGCACUCUAACUUUUGCAAUUUAACCCCCAUAUGUAAUACACCAAUUUUAUUAUUUCUAUUAUGGCACCCUAGCUUUUACAAUUUAGCCCCUAUUUUUUUAUUAGGAAAUUGCGAAUGGUAUCUUGAUAAACUAUGCAUAAAUAUUUUAUAAUUUUCUCAAACUUAAGUAAUAAUUUGUUAUAAAUUCUAAAGAUAUAUCUUUCAUUACAAUAGUUAUAAGGCAGACAGGUCUUUUUAUCAAUGGAAUAAGAAAUUUAUGGCAGAUUUAUCCUUUGUGCUACAUGCCAAGUAGUAUUAGCAAAGGAAUAACAAAGUACUACAAAGCAAUUAACAAAAUAUCUGUAAUUUAUACACAUUUUGCAACUACUACUUUGUGUUUUCUCUGUAAUGAAUUUUUUAACUAUUGAGAACUUAAGUUUUGUCUUGCAAAUCUAUACUAGUACAAUAAUUUUAAACAAAAUUAAACAUUAAAAUAAAUGUUUGAAAAAGAACAAAAGUACAUUUAUCACUUGCAGUAAUGUAACAAAAUUUUCUCAACCAUUAUCAAUAUUUUCACAAAAGUAUUAAAAACUAGCAAUUGACAAUAUUAAAAACUAGCAAUUUAAUUAGUGAUGACUUUUCUUGUCAUUAUAAUCUUGAAUAAAUUAGUGAUAACAUUAUGUCAUCACUAAAUUUUCUUUGAUUUUGACUUAACAAUAAUGUCUUAUUAAUAGCAUUUGAUUAUUUUUAAUAAAAGUCUGUUAUAACCAUAGAAUUUGACUUUCGUUAUUUUCAAUUAAUGAUGUACUUUAGUGCUGCAAUUAUAAAAAAUUGCAGGGCUAAAAUAUUUGCAAAUUAUAAAAGUAUAUUUUCACUUAUAUGUAAUUAACAAAUUUUGCCACCUAUAUUGACGAAAAUUUGUGUUUUUGUACUAAAAAAUAAAGAAUAAUACUAUAGCAAUAAAAUCUAUGCUUCAAACCAAAUUAAAAAUAAAAAAAAAACAUGAUGAUUGGUCUCAAAUGUUGGGAAAAUGAUUAUUUUUAUUGAAACUAUGUGUAGACACCAAAUUUUUGUUUUUUUAAUUUUAUUUUGUUUAAUUAAUUUAAUAGGUUUAUUUGUUUCAAUUCUAGGGCUUUUAUUUUUAUUUUUAUUUUAUUUUAUUUUAUUUUGCUCUAAUUCAUUUUAUUUUAUUAUUUAUUUUUGUCUCGUACUAAAAAAAAAGAGAAAAAGAAAAAGCAAAAAAAAAAUAAUGACAAAUGGGGAUCAUGGAUAGAGACAAGUGUCCCUUUUUGCAUUUGACAACACCUCACCUCACCUAGAUGGUGAGGUGUCUAGACACUUGUAGGAUAGAUAUUUUGAAAAGGAAAAGAAAGAGAAGAAAAGGGCAACGGGGCUUGAAAAAAAAAGGCAAGACAAAGAGGAGGGUUUGGCGGCUGAGUAGGGGGGGAACCUGGUUGGUGGCCGAAAAGAGAAAAAAGAAAGGAGAGAACCGAGAGGGGAGGACGGCUGGAAAAAACAGAGUAAAAGAAAAACCAAGGGGGUGGCGGAUGAAAAGGAACCGUGGAAAACGAAAAGGAAAAAAAGGAGGUGCUUCAUCGGAGGCUAAAGAAAAAGAAAGAGAAAGAUUGAAAGGAAAAAAUGGGAAGUUUAGCGGCUGAAGGCUGAGGAGAGGCUUCGGCUGAGUGAAGGGAAAAGGACGGAGAGGGAAGCUCAACGAAAACAAAAAACAGAGAAAAGGAAAAGAGGGUGGCGGCUGACGGGCAGAGGAGGAAAAAAGAGCAAAAACGCAAGGGGAAAACAGAGGGGCUGAGAACAAGGAGAAGAAAAAGGAGAGAACCGAGAGGGGGGCUUCGGUGGGGAAAAACAGAGAAGGCCGAGAGAGGUUUGGGCUAAAAAGAACAAAGCAAAGGAAAGACAAGGGGCGGCGGAACAAAGCAGAAAACUAAGAGGAAAAUGGACUGCUAGGGUUAGAGAAAAGGGAGACGCGAAAGUGAAAGGGAGAACUUCGGGGAGUUUCUGAGAGGAAGACAAGAGCAGGAACCAGAACAAGAGGAAGAAAGAAGCUUCGGGCUAGGGAAAAAUCAAAACGGAGGCAGAGGAGAGUAAGAACCAGAAUCACCACUGCCGUCGACCACCGCCAGCGCCGCCACUUCACCGAAUCCACCAUCAUCACCGGCCAAUUUUCAUCAAGCAAGAGCACGGUAAGCUGUCUUUUCUUCUUUAAAACUUCAGUUUUGUUCAAGCCUUUGAAACAGGCUGCCGUGACUGUGUUUGGUUGCAAUUUUCGGUUGUUUGUUCAUGAUUUUUUAAUACGCAUGCUAUAUGUGUUAAUUGGACUGUUUGCUGUGUUUCUGGCAAACUUUUGGGGCUGAAAAUGACCUUAAUUGAGCAAAAAAAGUCGGUGAAAUUUUGGUGCCUAUUUGCUGUUCGACGAAAUGCCUAACCGAAAGUCCUGCUUUGAAGAUGAUUUUUGCUUGCGUUUUGCGUUGUUCUUAUCCCAGAAAUUUUGUUUACCAGAGUUGGGUAGUUGAAGUUUUUGGUAAUUAUGCUAGAGGUUGGGUUUUGUUUUUGCUAAGAUGGCAUGCUGUAGCUCCCUGCUUUUCCCUUGUGGUUGUGCAAUCAGCCACGGAUUUAAGGGGGGGCUGGUGGGGGCUUAAGCCCCCCCCAAGCCGCCGGAAAACCCCCUAUAAUCAAACGCUAAGGCUUACUCUGCCUAUCUCAGUCGAUCUCAAGGACACCGCCAUCCCCGACUGCCUCCAGUCCUGCUGCCAGAAGAGCACCGCCGCUAGCAGUCCACCGUAAGUUAUCCCUUUCAUUUGUAUUUCAUUUUUUUUCCUUGAUCACAAGUUUUGGAAAGUUUUUCAAAUGGGUCUGCCAUGACUUGGUUGUUGCGUUUCCCCUGUUGAUGGCCCAUAAUUUUAUGAUUAUACGUGUUUUAUGUGUUGAUUUGGUUGGAUUUUCUUGGGAUUUCUGAUAAUUUUGGGUGCUGCUUUACAUCAAUUGAGCGAGAGAUUAGCUAAAAUUUCUUAUGCUCAUGUGGUGUUUGACGAAAUACCUAACCGACAGUCUUGCUUGAAGACGAUUUUGCUUGCAUUUUGCGUGUUCUUAUCCCAGAAAUUUUGUUUACUAGAGUUGGGUAGUUGACGUUUUUGGCAAUUAUGCAAGAGGUUGGGUUUUGAUGGUAUGCUGUAGCUCCCUGCUUUUCCCUUGUGGUUGUGCAAUAGAUUUGAAAUGAUGAAUUAGAAGAAAGCCACGGUUGGGAAUAAAAUUAUUGCAGAGAAUAUUUGUUGCUCAAAAGAAAAGUUUCUCAUGGCUUUGUAUGUUCUUUUCAAAGGAUUCUACACUUAGCAUGUGAAUAAGUUGACCCGUAUCAAUUUCCCUUUAGUAGAAUAUGUUUUUCAGUUUGGCUAUUGUUGUUUCAUUUCUGCCAUUUUUGAAUGAAAGCUGUUAGUUUCCUUCAUCCGAUGAUCUGCGAGGCUGUUUUGCUGUGAAUACUGAGUUUUUAUUGCAAGAUUAUGGUUGUGCCUAAGAUUUUUAUCUUGUGAGUUUGUUUGAAGUUAUGGCAGAGCUCUAAGCCAUUUUGGUUGCAUUUUGAUGAGCAUCAAAUCUGCAGCAGAAUAAAAUUUUUGCAGUCCUCUUUGCUGUUUUUUUUUUCUGCAAUUGCUCACCAAGUUUCAGCCAUCCAACCUGCUGAUUGGUCUUAUAUUGAAAAGGUGGAUUAGAUAAGUGGUGUUGGAUUAGCAUGUUUAGUAUUUUGUUCAAAUUCAAGAUCUGAUCUUUAGCAUGUUUUCUUGAAUGUUUUGGUUCGGCACUUCAAACAAGAGUUAAACAUUUUCGCUGCAUUUUUGUUUUGUUAUUUUGAAAACCACUGCUACCCCUUUGUUUUUGCUAGCUGUCACCAAACCAGAUUUUCUGAUUUGAUCUUGCAACAAAAGGGUAAUAUUUGGCUUGGGUGGUGAUUAGGAGUGUGUCUUGCGAUUGUUUGAUUCAAAAAGCUGAUGUUUGUGAGUGACAUAUUCGAAUUGAUAGUGAACUAGAGAAGGUAGCAGGUUGAUGUUGCAUAAAUUCUCACCGUAGCCUUGCAUGAACAGAUUGUAGAAAUGUGCUUUGCAAAAAUAACUUUCUAAAAUUGCACUCUGGCCCCCCAAGUCUCCCUUUGUUCACCGUGGCCCAAAAUCUGGAAAAAUCAAACUAAUUUCACUCUUUUAAGCUUAGUCCUCUGUUUGCAUAUUUUAUGUGGUUUUUUGGACAGAUUAAUUCUGGAAUUUAGACCAUAAUUGUAGCGUUUUCAAAUAUUGAGCAAAUAUUGCAGCGUUUUCAACGGAUGAAGACUCGCAGAAUGCAAUUGCCUCCUCUUCGUUAUUCGAGUGAAACAACUAAGUCUCAUUACUAAGUCUCAUUUCUAACUUCUUGCUGGUGCUGUAAUAUGUGGGCCCAAAUUAUAUGAGGUUCUUAAUGAAUUGUAAUUUUUGUCUUAAUAAUCUAAGUCUCAUUACUUGUUCUUUAUUAUUAUACUCCUCCUCUUACCUACUUCUUUUACUCUUUUAUGACAGAUAAAUGCUAUUCAUACUAGCUUUUGGAAGAUAUCUAUGGUUAUGGUUGAAGAAUGUUGAAGACAAAAUUGCCUUUUGCUCAUGGAGUGGUUCAUUUAGAUGUUCUUCAAUUUCUUAAACUGUGAUUGCUUUUGUAAAUGUACCUUAUGUACAAGUGAUAUUUUGGACAAAUGUUAUUUUUGUAGGCAUUAGUUGGGCAAUGUACACUUGAAUUUGGCAUUUGAGAAUGCUAUAUUAUUACCAUGUAAUCUAAUGCAAAUACUUUUGGUUAUCAAUCGUUCAUGUUUAUUUGUAUGAUUUGUUUAAAAUCAAUGAUUUAGCAAUGAUUACAGGCCAAAUUAUGACUAUUAAGCUAUUAUGAAAUUAUCUAAUGACAAAAAAAAGUUGUCACAAAAUAGAAAAUAAAAACUCCUUGUCACAACAGAGACUGUCACUAAAUCUAAGUUACAUUUGUGACGACAAUUGUUGUCAGUAAAAUAGUUAUAUACAAUGGCUUUCGGUGCUUUUUAGUGACGACUUUAAGUAGAGCAUUUUUGACAAAAGGUCAAUUCGUCAAUAAAACACUUCCGGAUUGUUGUCACUAAUGACAACUAUUUAGUGACGACAUUUCAGGUCGUCACUAAAUAGUUGUCAUUAGUGACGACAAUCUGGAAGUGUUUUAUUGACGACUUGAUCUUUUGUCAAAAAUGCUCUACUUAAAGUCGUCACUAAUGAGAACUAUUUAGUGACGACAUUUUAGGUCGUCACUGUUUACUUUUACCGACGGGGAUUUAGUGACGACUUUGUGACGAUCAAAAAGUAGUCAAUAAAAGGUAUUUGUGACGAUAUUUGUAUGUUUUGUGAUGACUUUGUGUUGUCACUAAUGAACAAUUUUCUUGUAGUGAAUUUUGCCAAUUUCCCAUCUCUAAUUCUCUAUUGUCUUUGCAUCCUUGUCCAAGUUCAAAGAAUUUCUGGCAAAAGAAGUCGCCCAACGAAAACAACUACGAGUACUUGUAACCCCUAAUUUGAUUGUUUAUUUUAAUUAUGCCUAUCAGCUAUAUAUGUGUACUAGAUACUUUUACUAUCAAGCGUCAAGAUAGGUUGUUUCUUAUUUCUAAUGCGACAAGAUGCUCGAACCUUUUCUUUUCAUUUUAGGGUUCCGUUGCUUUAUUUCUUGUCAAACUAUAGGUAAAAAAUGUUAUUUGUUUAUAAAUCAUUUACUUAUUUAAUAUUUUUAAAGUUGUACAAAACUGUAUAUGAACUUUAAAUUAAUUAAUUUAGUUAAUUUGGAAAUUUUUUAUGGAAUCUUACUUACAAUCCUAUGAUCCGAUCCUAUUAAACUAAAAUCGAUCCUACGUAGGAUCCCAUUUUGCAAACCUUGAUUGUAACUAUUAAGACUGGCCCAGGAAUAAACAAACUGGUAUCAGAUCUGGUUGAUAUAUUUUGCAAGACAGGUUCAUCUGGUGGGGCCCGUCCAUCUUGUGGAGCCCACUCAUCCUGUGGGUCCGUUUAUCCGUGG
rnacentral:lncRNA from 1 species